rnacentral:lncRNA from 1 species
CAAAUUUGUAGAGAUCGACUUCUGCGAUGAUGGCGACAGGUAAAGGAGCGGAGGCGGCUUUGCGUUUAAGGUAGUGAACGACUAGUUCUUCGUCGGUUGGGUGAAACCGGAAUCCUGGAGGAAGGUUAGGCUGCGGCGGCGGUGGAGGACCACCGGAAGAAUCGGUGCUCUCCAUGGCGAGUUCCUUCUACGUUUAGAAUCUAGCACUGUGGUCGGAUGAUUUGGUUAUGAUGGUAGGAGAAGCUCAUAUAAUAUUUACUCUGAGAUUCUUCCUCUCUCUCUUUUUUUGCUAGAUAUUUCUUUCUGAAAGGUGUGCUGAAAAAUGCUUCACCGAGUCAGCGUUACCAUUCUUUUAAAUGGCCACAUAAAACGCUUAUUUGUGGGUUCUAAUCGUAUGUUUUUUCUUACAUACACCCGCGGAGAUUAGGGUAAAAAUGCAAAGUAAACAUAUAUUUUGAAGAGUUUUUUUUUUCUUGAACUGGCUUUCGAAAUGUAUGAGUUUUUUUUUGUGAUCUUUUGAAGAGUUGUUUUACAUUGAUUAUUAGGUGAAAUUUUUUUAAUCCAAAAUAUUUUAUAUUUUAUUUUUAAAAUAUUUGAAAUAUACCAUCAUAUCAUUUAAAAUGCAUGUUUUGAUUUAACGACAAACAAAAUUAAUUGAUUAAAAAAUUAACAGAUAAUUUUGUUAUUAUAUUUUUAGUUAAAAAGUUUGUCUGAAUUAUGUUAAAGAGUUUCACACUAAAAACCCUAAUGUUUACUUCAUAUAUAUUUUAAUUCACUAUUAUUAACACGAUGCAUGUACCUAAAUUUAGUUAUUAGUUACAAAAUUCAUCAAAGGUUUGAGUAUAAAGAUUUAUAGCCCAUGCAAACAUUGUGUAACUUUUUAAUGAUAUAUUAGAAAUUUAAAAUACUGUUACAAUUUGUGUUAAUGUAGAUAAGAAGUAUGAAAAAGCAACAAUGAUUUCAUAGAAAGGCAUAUACAAUACAACUUAGUUAAUAAACAUAAUCAAGGCAAUUGUAUUAACACAAUGGCAGGAAAAAAGCUUUUUAACGUUAUACUGAAAUAAUUUAGAGUCACAUAAUUCAUGUUAGCGAUAAUCAAAAAGUACAAUAUUCCCCCAUAUUUCAGCCGAUUUUAGUGUGCUUUGGUGGCACUAAAGAAUCUUAAUGUGCGACAAUGCGACACAUAUACAAAGCCUGACUAAUCAUGUCGAAUCUGUGUAAUUACAAGAUUAACCAAAUACUGAGGACAUAUUAGUCAUUCGACUAUAUGAUAACUAUAAUGUAUCCAUUGAACUAGAUAUUUUGGUUGUGUUAAAAUAUAGGCUGAACUACGGCAAUGGAGAAGAAGCUGUAAUUAACGUCGAAACCGUGGGCAAUAAAAAUAUAUUGAUAUACAAAAAAUAGUAAGAUAUAUCGCUUUCUUCGUUAGUUGAUGACAAAUUACAAUUAACACAUCAAAGUCCAAUAAUCGAUAUAUCUUGCUGUAAUAAUAAUAAGUAGUUAUUAACGAUAAAGUAUAUAAGAAAAAUGAAGAAAAGUUUGAGGAAUUUUCUAAUUUCAAGUUGUAACAAAAUUAGGUUAGUUUAUUAAUUUUUCUGUGGCCUCCUUUGUUCCAAUGAAAAUUCGACACGUAUGAUUCCUAGUGGAAGAAAUAUUCACACGUGGCAAUCGAGACAUGGGACCCAUAUUAUCGCCACAGAAGGUAACAAAUUUAUGACGUGGAAAUAGAUGGCCGGGUGGGUGUGGAAAAAAAAGCUUUACGUUUCAGAUGUCAUAUGUCACGCUUUUGAUAUUGAGAUAAUCGCUCCACCAGAAAAAAAUUAAUAAAAAUUAAAUUUUAGGAAACAAACAAAUCGACCCAUUUCAUGUGAGUUUUAGGUCGAUUACUUUAUUGUUACUUUAUUCUAACAAUAUUUCUUGAUUUUCCAACGUCACAUAAAAUAAUUAUGACUGCAUAGUUUAUAGAUAACCAUGCAUAUUUCUCGACCACUAAAAGUCUAAAAUUUUUUUUGUUUGUCAACAGUCUAAAAUACUUAUGGUGUGCACAUAUUUAUUACUUUUCAUACUUAUUUUGAUUUAUCAUUUUUCUAGGAAGGGUUUUCGUAUGACUUUUCAGUUUUGAUAUCGGACCUUCAGAUUCUUACAAGUUCAAAAUAUUAGAUAGUUUUGUUUGGUAAAUACUAAUAGCAAUAUUAUUUUAUUUAACAUCUUUUUUUUGCUAUGAACUUAAUCAUAUACAAUCUCAGCAAGUGAUUACAAAAGAGAAGGGAACACUAAUCAACCAGAAACAAUCAGAUCAUUCACUUCGAGUUUAGAGGUUAAGAAAUAGCACUUAUAUCCGCUUGCCCCUCGGUUUCCACGUCCUCGGUUCCUCAAAAUUGAUUUACUUCCUCUGUUUUUUAUUUCUUUGAAAAUUUACUUCCUUUGUUUUUGUUAAUCUAGUUUACAUUUUAUUUAUGUUCUAAUUUACAUAUAUCAAGUGAAGAUUUAGAUUUAAAUUUUUAAUUUACAAAUGAGCCAAUGAGGCCACCUUUAAUAUCACAAGUAUUACAUUACCUUUUUUUCUAAAUCAAAAAUUUAAAACUUAAAGAGUCCCAAAGUAAAGUACAAAUGUCAUGAGUUUUCAAAAUCCUCAAAAAUAAAUUAUUUUAUAUAUUUUCUAGAAAAAUUGUUAAAUAAUUUUCUAAACAAAAUAAAAUAUUAAUAUUUUUUUGAAAAAGUUAAAAUAUAUAGUUAUAUUCAAAAAAUCUGUUAUAUUUUUUAAAAAAAUAAUUGAUAACAUUAAAUGGUGGUAUUGGUUCUUUUGAUACAAAUUAAUUUAUAAUUUGUCCCUCAUACAUUUUAAUUUCUGUAUUAUAUAUGAAGUGUUUUACAACAAACUAUCAAUGAACUGAAAUUGUUUCUUUUUUCAUAAUCAAACAAAGACAAUCAUAUAUCCCCACUUUUGUCUUUUGGAGCACUUAGAUUUAAAAUGAAAAAAAUAAAGAACGAAAAAUGCUCAUUAAAAAAAACGAGAAAUGUGGCCCAUAUUUUACACACGGUACCAACUCAAAUAAAUGCUUGCCUCUAAUUAGUUAAUCUAAUUACAUUAUUUCUUAGUCAAGAUCAUUAUUCAAUACUCGAGAGACAUCCUAUUUGCAUUCACAGAGAUUUCUAGUGCUUUACAUGGGUGCACACCAUCUCCUUUUUCUUUCUAACUUUCAGAAUCUCAACACAACCCACACACAUCCCGCCCGAUCUAUUUACUAUCGAACCCAUAGUCAUAAGAAAACUGUAAUAUGUUGUCUGUUACCUUUAACAAAUACGCGAAACUAUUUCCAAGUGUUAUCAACAUAUAAAAAUUUGGAAUGAUAAAUAAGCCAGAUUUAUAACGAUUUUAUCGUCCAAGCACAAUACUCAAAACUAUAUAUGAUAGGCAUAGACUGAAACAUGGAUAGGGCGAAAACACAUGUUCAAACCCCUUAAUAAGCGAGAUGCUAGGAUGAUUCGAACAAACGAGAUUAUUUCAAGAACAUAUGUAGGUUGGUAAAUUUCACCCUUCUAUAAGGUAUAUAAUAUGGGUAAACCUAACUUAAAAUUUUAUACUAUAUCUUAUGCUUUCCCCAUUAAGAAAAACUAUACGUAGAAAAACGACCUACUUUCAAAUGAUCCAAUGUGUAAGCUUUUGUAAAAAUAGCUUUCAGUUCACCAUGUGAUACAAUACUUUUAUGCCAGUUACAAAAAUAUCUAAACCAACUUAAAUUCCAUAUUUACACGGUCUUAUGUUACGUGACAAGCACAAACAUCGGACAAUUAUCAAACAUUUUGAUACUAUUUUACCUAGCUUAAAAACAUAUUAUGUCAUAUGAUUGUAAGCAUUAUCUGGAACUCUGCCGAUGGUUUCACUUCCCUAAACAUAGAAAAAACUAUUUGUAGUUUUGUAUUGUAUUUACUGUCCUCUAUUUGUUUCACAGUCAUUCAAACUAUAAGGUUCUAGUAUGUGAUGAUGUCUUGUAUUGUAAUUACAUAGAUCUAUAUGAUGCCAUCCAAAGUUCCUUACGGAGCCAGCCAAGACGAUAUCUAGACUCUCAAUCGUUCACAACACCUUUUGAGUUAUAUUUUUAGUUACGAAUUAGGUUUCUAGCUAGUCGAUGGUCACGUAGUAUAUAUCUUAGAGACAUGCAUGGUCCUUAGAACUUAACUAGAACUAGAUUUUAACCCGUAAACCCGCAUGGAUGUUUAAUUUAAUAUUUAUCUAAUUUAAUUUUUUUAAUAGGAUUGAAUAUAUAUAUAUAUAUUUAUAUAUACUUAUUUAUUUAUUUAUUUAAAAAAAUUGCCACUAUUAAAUAUUUGUUUAAUGUAUUUUGAACACAAAAAAUUUGUAGCGAAUUCAGUAGACAAUCUAAUUAAUUAAUUAGAUUCUAUAGCAUUUUAAAUUUUAAGAAUAUGAUAAAGAUAUACAAUGUAUAAUAUAGUAAAGUGUGAUUUUGAAGUAUAUAUAUAUUAUUGUUAUUAAUGUGAUAGCUUAAUUUAGGGGUUUGUUAUGUUAAGUUAGUCAGAUAUUCAAUUAUUUUAGGAAUACAUAGUUGAUUUCUUAUCUAUAGGAAAUUAUUAAUUCUUGUUUUAAUUCUAUGUCCAACUAAAUCCAUAGGAAAUAUAUCAAAUCGUUGAUUUUUUUGUUUGAAAAGAAAUUGAAUAAAUUUACAAUUAAUACAAACUUAAACCAAAUGUUUUUUAAAUUGUAUCUAAUUCAUGUUACAUAUAUAAUCUGGUUUAGUGAUGUUCUCAUCAAUUACAUUUACUAAAGUUUUUUUCUAAUGAAUUUUAAUGUUAAUUCAAUUAGAUGUUGACACUUGAUUUAAAACUUUUGGUUUACUAAUAUAGACAAAUGAUUUUAUGCAGAGACUAGGAUUGUGGCGCAAUGAAGAUGAAAUCUAUUUUAUGGUCUUAAAAAAUACAAAUUAUAUUAGUGGGUAACCAAACAUUAAUGGGCUUGUUAUUUAUUUCCUAUUGUAAUAUGGCGUGAAAGUUUACUGACUAUCUUCAGUGGUUCAUUCUAUUUUUCACUCUAAAAUAUAAUAACUUUGUAAUAGUGUUGUAAUAUACUUUAAUGGUACUCUAUUUUAAAAUGAAAAAUAGAGCGAUGAAAUUUUUUUUUUACUCUAUAUAUAGAGUAAAUCUAUUUUUUACUCUAUUAUAGAUGGAAAAAUAGAGUACUAUUAGGGCAUUUUUACUAUAAACUCUAUUUUAGAAUGGAAAAUAGAGUUGGGUUAGAGAUGUUUUAAUAAUUAGAAAAAGUGUAGAAAAUUAUCAGUGACAUUUGACUGUGAAUAUUUAGAGAAAAUAAGGGGUCAAUUCAAAUUUGUACUUAUGUUUUAAUAGUUUAGAUGAUUUAAAUGUUUUUAUUUUCAACUUGUUGUUUAAUUUGGAUCCUAUUUCAAAAAUCGGAAGGAUAUAUAUAUGUCUCUAUAUAUAUACUCUCGAUCUUUUUUUUUUUACAGCAAAUAUUUACAUAUUCAUAUUGACUCUGUAAACCAAGGUGGUAACUCUGCAUCCAUUCACAUACUCUCGAUCUUAUUUGGAUCUUUGCUGGAUGUUCUAAUUUAUGAGGACAAUUAGUCUGGUAAAUGAGAAUCUUCAAAGAUAUAUAUAACGAGGCAUAUAUCAUAUAUAAUUUUCCGGUAUAUUAUAUAUAUAUAUAUAUAUAUAUAUAUANNNNNNNNNNNNNNNNNNNNNNNNNNNNNNNNNNNNNNNNNNNNNNNNNNNNNNNNNNNNNNNNNNNNNNNNNNNNNNNNNNNNNNNNNNNNNNNNNNNNNNNNNNNNNNNNNNNNNNNNNNNNNNNNNNNNNNNNNNNNNNNNNNNNNNNNNNNNNNNNNNNNNNNNNNNNNNNNNNNNNNNNNNNNNNNNNNNNNNNNNNNNNNNNNNNNNNNNNNNNNNNNNNNNNNNNNNNNNNNNNNNNNNNNNNNNNNNNNNNNNNNNNNNNNNNNNNNNNNNNNNNNNNNNNNNNNNNNNNNNNNNNNNNNNNNNNNNNNNNNNNNNNNNNNNNNNNNNNNNNNNNNNNNNNNNNNNNNNNNNNNNNNNNNNNNNNNNNNNNNNNNNNNNNNNNNNNNNNNNNNNNNNNNNNNNNNNNNNNNNNNNNNNNNNNNNNNNNNNNNNNNNNNNNNNNNNNNNNNNNNNNNNNNNNNNNNNNNNNNNNNNNNNNNNNNNNNNNNNNNNNNNNNNNNNNNNNNNNNNNNNNNNNNNNNNNNNNNNNUAUAUAUGACAAUUAAUGAUUUUGAAUAAUAAAGAUCUGAUAAAAAAAAUGUAUCUUCUAUCAAAUUUGUUUAAUUUAAAACUAUUAAAAUAACUUUUAAAAAACACAAUAACCAUAUUAUAAAAAUUUAGAUUUUUCUGUAUAUUUUAUAUUUUGAAUUUUAAAAAAUGACUAUAAAUUACUAAAACUGUUAAAAGUCUCACAUUCAAAUUUUGCGAUCCAUGGUUUAAAAUUUUUGUUAUGACAAAAUACAAAUAAUUACAAAAUCAUAUAAGUAAAAAGUCUAAUUUAAUUAAUUAUUAAAACCAAUAUAUAUAUAUAUAUAUAUAUCAUUGUAUUUCAUCUAUGAUAUAUUUUCUCAGAGAGGACACACGGAUUAAACGUAUAACUGAUGUAAAUCAAUACAAUACUAAAAGUUGAAUAAGAUAAACAUCUAAACUGUCCACAUAUGACUAAAAAAUCAACCAAUAGAAAAGAGUUAUUUUACCAUGUCAUAUGAGCUUUGUUCGAAAAUGAUAAUUAUCGAGACUUUCGUGUGGGCUUAUGAUAUUUGGCCCAGUCAAACCCACUUCUGGAAAUGGCUCACAAACUUUCUCUUCUCAGUUUCGGAUCCUUGGAAAUCUCCGUUACACGCAACACCUUUAUCAAUCAAUUAUCUUUUACUCUUUUCUUUAUGGUCUCAUUUCACCUCCCUAUUAUCUUCUCCUAUAAAAAUCGUUUCUUCCAAACUUUAAUUCAACCAAAAUUGAAAGCUACGGCCAUGAGAAAUAAAUAAUUCAGAGUCUCUUGCUCUUCCUCUACUCUUCGUACCCGGUAAUCAAACCCCACAGUAUUCAUAGCUAUAGGAACGGCGAAAUCCACCGCCACAGCCCCGGCUUAAUUUUAUAAGGAUGUGAUCGUUUACCACCAAGUUUGCUUGCUUACAUGGUUGCAGCUUCAUAACUCGUGCCAUGUUUGUCAUACGAGUUCAUGACUCAUGGAGGUCAGACCAGUGGGGAAGACAGACAACAAACGGUUGAGAGUUCGCCGACUCCGAGGAGGUUUAGUUUAUCAUAUCCAUGGCCACUCAAGAGACAUGAUACAAAUUAGGAUUCUGGGAGUGGAUCUGAUAUCGAUACUACGUAGGAUGAAUUGGAUUGAGGUUAGUGGAUUGUCUAUCCUGUGAAUCUUGGUUCUGACCAAUCUAUUGUUUGUGUUGUGUGUGUGCAAAGUACUUUCCCUUUUGAUUUUUUAGAAUAAAAAAGUAUGAAAACUGUAUCAUUUUCCGGAAUAAAGUAUUGGCCUCAACUGAUACAUUGUUUUGUCUUCCUGUUCUGUGCAAGAAAUUCAUGGAAUACAAUGAAAUUCUCAAAACAUUUGAAGAUCAAGAGGAGUUAAAAGAGGUUUGACCUUCAAAUGCUAGCAAGAAGGCGGAUCAAUGGGUAGCUUUUCGAAUAUACUCUGUAGACAUUCCUUUUACCUNNNNNNNNNNNNNNNNNNNNNNNNNNNNNNNNNNNNNNNNNNNNNNNNNNNNNNNNNNNNNNNNNNNNNNNNNNNNNNNNNNNNNNNNNNNNNNNNNNNNNNNNNNNNNNNNNNNNNNNNNNNNNNNNNNNNNNNNNNNNNNNNNNNNNNNNNNNNNNNNNNNNNNNNNNNNNNNNNNNNNNNNNNNNNNNNNNNNNNNNNNNNNNNNNNNNNNNNNNNNNNNNNNNNNNNNNNNNNNNNNNNNNNNNNNNNNNNNNNNNNNNNNNNNNNNNNNNNNNNNNNNNNNNNNNNNNNNNNNNNNNNNNNNNNNNNNNNNNNNNNNNNNNNNNNNNNNNNNNNNNNNNNNNNNNNNNNNNNNNNNNNNNNNNNNNNNNNNNNNNNNNNNNNNNNNNNNNNNNNNNNNNNNNNNNNNNNNNNNNNNNNNNNNNNNNNNNNNNNNNNNNNNNNNNNNNNNNNNNNNNNNNNNNNNNNNNNNNNNNNNNNNNNNNNNNNNNNNNNNNNNNNNNNNNNNNNNNNNNNNNNNNNNNNNNNNNNNNNNNNNNNNNNNNNNNNNNNNNNNNNNNNNNNNNNNNNNNNNNNNNNNNNNNNNNNNNNNNNNNNNNNNNNNNNNNNNNNNNNNNNNNNNNNNNNNNNNNNNNNNNNNNNNNNNNNNNNNNNNNNNNNNNNNNNNNNNNNNNNNNGUAAUCAAACCCCACAGUAUUCAUAGCUAUAGAGAACGGCGAAAUCCACCGCCACAGCCCCGGCUCAAUUUAUAAGGAUGUGAUCGUUUACCAUCAAGUUUGCUUGCUUACAUGGUUGCAGCUUCAUAACUCGUGCCAUGUUUGUCAUACGAGUUCAUGACUCAUGGAGGUCAGACCAGUGGGGAAGACGGACAACGAACGGUUGAGAGUUCGCCGACGCCGAGGAGACAUGAUACGAAUUAGGAUUCUGGGAGUGGAUCUGAUAUCGAUACUACAUAAGAUGAAUUGGAUUGAGGUUAGUGGAUUGUCUAUCCUGUGAAUUUUGGUGCUGACCAAUCUAUUGUUUGUGUUGUGUGUGUGCAAAGUACUUUCCCUUUUGAUUUCUUAGAAUAAAAAAGUAUGAAAACUGAUUCAUUUUUCGGAAUAAAGUAUUGGCCUCAACUGAUACAUUGUUUUGUCUUCCUGUUCUGUGCAAGAAAUUCAUGGCAUACAAUGAAAUUCUCAAAACAUUUGAAGAUCAAGAGGAGUUAAAAGAGGUUUGACCUUCAAAUGCUAGCAAGAAGGCGGAUCAAUGGGUAGCUUUUCGAAUAUACUCUGUAGACAUUCCUUUUACCUGUUCUUCUCUCCAAUAUUUGUGUUGCCACUUGCCAGUGUUAACAAUGGUGGCUUCCCUAAUCCCACGUCUGUUAUUUUCUUCAACUAACAAAAUGUGUUUCAUGUAGCAUUUAAAGCACUGAAUUUUUCUCAGGGUUAUGGAAAUGGGGAAGAAGCUCGCAGAGAGGAUAAGGAGCAAAGGGCCUUAUAUUGUCCUGAGUGUAUGUACGUUAAUCAUUUCACUCUCACUAUUGAAGCUUCUUAUUUUCUUUUUUUGUUGUUGCACAUACAGCUGUAAGACUAAUAUUAUUAUUACUUUUUUAUAAUUGGGUAUAAUAUGCUUACGUGAUAUAAUAGUUCAAAUAAGAAUAUAUAUAUGAUUUAUAAAAUUUGAUUGUUACUGCUCUCAAUGGUGUAUAUAUGUUACUUUGUCUUAUUUAUUUUCCCUGCAGCUAAUUGUGGCUUUGAAAAUUCAUUUUCUACACCGAAGAAAAGAAGAAGCCAGUGACUGUUUUAACGUUUUGUUGUCUUCUAAGCUCUGUAAAUGUUUAUAAAACUGGUGUUUGAUGAUUAUGUGCCUCACAUUGUUUUUAUUUUUAUGGAUAGGUUGAAUCCCAGCUCACUGAAUAAAAAAAAAAUACCCAACUCCGUAUUUUCGAAUGGUCUUACAUAACUGUCUCCACUGGGAUCAGUGGCCUUAUGCUACUGUCGAUAUACUACAGAUUCCACCAACGCCAUAUCUACAAAGCCAAAAAGGAGGAAGAUGAACAUGACGACUUGAAGCCAGCCUCUAUCGCUGGGGGUGGAAACUGCAGCAAAUCAUAGUAGACACUACAAGGUACUCGCAUGUAAACACUACAUCCUUUGUAUUACGUCUUCUUUGUUGUUUUUGUUAUUCUCCCUUUCUUUAUAUGGCAUCUUACUAGAUGUUUCCAAAUGAAAUUUGGUAGUUCAUCACAAAACUUCUCUAUUUCAUUGAUAAAGGGGAGUCAUUCACCAAUGAUGUUUUAUCGUUACAUGGAUUCCAGUUUUAUUCAUUUGAAACUCUGGUACAUGCUUACCGAACAAAAUAAUGUAUAGCGACAUUUGUAUAUAUUAGUGAAUUAAACAUUUUACAUGGUUUCUCAUAUUGCUUCAUGUGCAGGUUGAAGCAAAAGAAGUUUUCUUUUCUGUUACAAAGCUUUCCCAAUCUAAAGACACUGGUUUGGGAGAGAACGGUUUACUUGACCAUAAAGGAACUUUCUCCAUCAGUUGCUAAGGUUCAUAGUUUGCAAUUUGCUUAGGUGGCUGAAUCCUAACACCAAUACUGAAGGUAUAGUUUCUGAUAAGUGGUUUGUUUUUCCAUGGUUAUUAUUGUUACAAGCUCCCUGAUCAGGGAUAUGAUCAUAUGAAUAGCAAGAUUGAUAUGUAUCUUGCAAACGGUAUAACUCUCUUAUACCGAAUAAUAGACGAAACCCUUUUUACACAAAUUAAGUGGUACUUGAAACAAACCAUUGUCGAUAAGAACUAUGUUGUUUCAAUCUCUGUUAGUAAGUUCUUUUGCAUGCUUCUUAGUUGCAAAACCAUAAUUUUCUAAGAUGGCUACCACUACAGAUGCAUUAGUUACUACUCAGGUUAUGCUGCAAAAUGGUUAGUUUCAUAAGUUUCACCUUAUACAUUGAUAUAUAUGUAGAAAAGAAGAGAAAGAAGAAAAACUUACAAGGCUAAAAGAUGUUAAGGGUCAUUAAAAGGAUAAAUCACUGCAAGAGCAUCAUUUCGAAGUAUUGGACUUAACGUGUGUUUUUUUUUUUUUAUCUUGGGAGUAUUCCUUAUGUACUGCUAUUAGAUUACAUUGAUAAGAUAAGAAAUGUAUUUCUUAAUUUGUUUUACCAGUGCCAACAAUCACAAAAUUAUAAUUUGUUCUUCUUCUUUCAGAUUCUAAUGAUUGGUUGUUAUUUGAGUUAUUGUGAUUUUCAGUAGGGAUGUUUAAAUGAAGAUAGAAUCUAACAAGUCAGUGUCGGAGGUUAAUAAUGAAAUUGAGAGUGAGGAUGGUAGUGAAUAAGUUUGUAGUUGAUCAUUUUAAAUUACGUUUUAUUGUGUAUAAUCAAAUUCAUGAUGAUAACGGUGACCAAGGUUGAAAUUUGUAGCAUGAGUACAUAUGGUUGAUCUCUUUGUCUUCUUUAUGUUUUCGUAAAAUUGUUAUGGGAAUGAGUAAAAGAGAGUGUUUUUCUUUAUUAUUCUCUUUGUUUUAAUACUUCACAAAAUGUUUUAUUCCCUACAUAAUUUAGAUUCUUAUUUUAUAAAUUUGUGAUCUCAUAUUUCUAUUUUGACAUGUGAUCAAUUCAAAUAAAAUUGUAGAUGAAAAUUGACAAAUAAAAUUGAUUUAAUUGGCCAAGAUAAUGUCAUUGUUUCAAACUCAUGCCCAAUUCUAAAUUUACACAUUUCUAAAAAAUUAAAUAUAAUAUCCUUUUGUAUAUAAAUUAUCAAAAAAUAAAUAAAGCAACAAAUAAGUGAUAAAGCAGUAUAAGGAAUUGUAUUAAUAUUUGAUGAUGCAAUUAAAUAAAACANNNNNNNNNNNNNNNNNNNNNNNNNNNNNNNNNNNNNNNNNNNNNNNNNNNNNNNNNNNNNNNNNNNNNNNNNNNNNNNNNNNNNNNNNNNNNNNNNNNNAAAAUUUAUUGAAUUAAUAUAUUUAAUUAUUGCAUCCUUAAAUAAUAUUUUAUUAAGACAUUAGAGAACUAUGUUUUGAGUUGUUUUGUCAAAAUUGUACAAAAAUCUAUGCUUUUUCAUAUUUGUCACGAAAAUUUAUAUGUUAAACUUACUUUUACAAAAUUCUUAACUUUGUCACGAAAACAAAAAUCUAUUUCUUUGUGGUAUAUGUCAAUGUUCUCACACUUUCAAAGAAUAUAUUAGCUUAGUCACUUACUUAUUUUUUUUUUACAAAACAAUGUAUUGGAGUCUUGAAAGUUGAAUCCAUAUUAUUGUAAAUGUACAUAAGAGUGUGAUUACAUAUUUAGUGAUUCUUGUAUAUGUGUCCAAGAAAGUCUCAAUGGCUUAGUGGUAUCUCUCAUAUAUUCAUGUCAUUCUAACCCGGGUUCGAUCAUUUCCUUUGCAUUGGUUUUUCAUUUUUUACGAAAAAAUAAAUGAGAUGACGUGGCAACUUCGGACUCUCUGAUUGGACGAUUUUUUGUGCGUACGUGGACACUCUAAGAGGAGCUUAUAUCCUCCUUUUAGUAUAGUAUAGAUAUUUGACAAAAAAAAUCAAAAAAUAAUUAUUAAUAAUAAAGAAAAAUAAAUCUACAACAACACUGAUAUAUGUAAUCUUACAAUAGACAUAAUAACAUUUAGCAUGCAAAUACAAUUAGCCCUAUAGAAUUGAGAUAGCUUCAUAAUAGUCACUCACAUUAACACACUUGUAAGGUAUGAACCGGGUCAAAAUCACGAUAUUUCUACGUGAAUCCCUUGCAUAAGAAUCAAAACAGAAAAGAAAGUGAUGAGAAGUACGAUGAAUGGCGAGGUUGCAAGUUUUGGAGUUGCGUUAGGGAGCCAUGGAUAAGAAUCUGGAGGUGGCAUAACGCAGUUAUCUCCAUUGAAGUAAAUACGUCUUGGAAACGCCCACCCUUUAUCGAGUGUGAACUUUGACGGGCUCUUUCGGAAGAGAAUUUCUGACUGUACAUUUCCUAAUGGACCGGCUUGGCUCAACAUAUCGUUGUAGAACUUGAUUCCCCAUAGAAUGGCCGUGUCAUCUGCAAUGAACGAUCCAAAUACAUGAAAUUGAUUACCUACAAAAACCCUCCAUAUCACAAUCUAAUCACCCUUAGUUUUGUUUAUAGGCAUCAUAAGGGUAUCCGAGCCUACGAUCAAAACUAGUAUACUAUAGGGAACAAAAGGGUAUCCGAGCUAAUAUAUCGCCUGAUCAUUUAGUACCCAAAAAGUCAAAAUGAAUGUGAUUACUUAUUUUGGCUGGAAUUUAUUGAUACGGUUUCACGCAAAUAGUUAUAACCAGGCUUUAAAUCAUAGUUUCAAUUUAGACAGACUGGCUAAUAGGUGGGACAAAUGGUGCGACCACCCGGGGCCAGACCAUGUUUCUGUAUUAAGGGGUUUCGAUUUUUUUUAUAUAUACAUAUUUUAUACAGAAAAUAAAAUUUUAAAAAUAAUGAUAUAAGAAAAAAGCUAAAAAAUAUUUUUAUAUGUAUAUAGUUUAGUUUUCAAAAAUUUAUAAAAAUAUUAAUGAUGUAAUAUGAAAAAUAAAUAAGUUAUUUAACUUAAAAAAGAUAUAAAAUUUCAAAGUCUAAUUUUUUAUUCUAGAAUCCAUAAAAAUGUUGAACCGGCCUUUAGUACCUAACCCCAUGCCUACCAAGAGUUAUGCAUACUAACAAGAGAAAAAAAUGUGAAUAAAGGAAUAAAAAGCAGCUUGGGCUUACUUAUGCCAGCGUAAGGACUAAGGGGUUUGUAGUUAAAGCUGAAAAGCUUAGUGACAUUGUCGAAGUUGGGAUGCUGUGCAACCAUAUUCCACAGCGAGUAAUUCAUAUUGUAAUUAAAGUUUGUGAUUGCAACCUUCACUCGCCAGUACUCUUUGUAGUUAGUUUUUACAUGCCAAUGAACUCGGAUGGGACACAUAUGCUGCGUACAUUGCAAUAGCGGUUGAUGGUUGUUCUUCCCUGAAGCUUGUAUUACCGAAGCUAUUUUCUGGCUGUUACAAUAAAUGAUUUAAGAAAACAAACAAACCCAAGAUUAGGUUCCUUAAGCGAACAUGAACUUACUUGACACAUGUACCAGUUUGAGAAUUAUUUUGACAACCACACGAACAAGUUGGGCAUGGUACGAUAGUUUCAUUGUAGAAGGAUGAGAGUGAGACACAACAAGUGGGAGAUUUCUUGGCUAGAAACUGCGAAUAUGUGCACGUCAUGUUCCAUGUCACUAAAUAUAACAACAAUAAAAUGUUAAAUUAGAAGCAAGAAAAUAAAACAUAACUUGGAAAGAAACUUUAAAACCUCUAAACUUACACAUAGCCUGAGUCUUUCUUCGUUUAUCAUCAGAAAAGAAUUUGGUCGGCGCAACGGUUUUCGCGGGGCCACAAGUAUAACCAGGUCCUGGUGCCUUCAAAGUGAUGUUCCUAGGUGCUCUAACCGUUGUAUUAGUUGUUCCAGAUUGGCCAACACUAAUCUGAAAAGCAGAAACAGCGGUUGCGGAGUCUUGUGCCCACGCACUAACCACACCGCCUCUACAACAGUUUGAUAUCUGGUGGUUGUAUGGAGUUCCUGGUAACAAGUCAACGACAGUUGGAGUUUUCUUGCAGCAAUGAGGAGGGUCACCUUUGAACUUAGAACAAUCUCCUUGUUCUGUUGCUUGUGCACCAACCAUAUUCCAUAUCACUUCCUUCUUUAACCAAGUCCAUCCCAAUUGCCAACCCGGGGACUCAAUGUGACGGUAUUGUUGAUAAUUGAAGAUUGUUACACGAGCCUGACGAGGAAAAAAAUGUCAUGAAUCAGUUUGUGUGGUAAACAUAAACUCCUUUGAAGAAACAUUUGACAAGAUUUUGGUUAUAUAACAAGUGGCAUUUAAAAAACUGUGAUUUGAGGAGUAAAAUGUUAAAGAUUUCUUACCACAUAGCCAUCAGGAGUCCAGCUCAGGAUAUCCCAUUUUAUGGUAAUGUUUCCAGUUGGAUCAAGUGCAUCAUAAGCUUCUGUGUAAGAGAUAAUAUCAAAUUGGUGAGCUCAUAAGCCAAAACCAGAAAUAAACCAAAAAAAUCGUUUCUAACAAUUGGUUAAUGAUUUUACCAAAAAAAAAAACUGGUUAGUGAAAUAAUAUAUCAUAUCAAAGCUUAUGCAUUCAACAAGUUGAUCACCACCACCAUCAUCUUGGCAUUGAGAUGGAUGUUUCAAAUGUAAAUUCCUAUCAGUGUUUCUUUACUUUUCACCUUUUCUAAUCGAUUUCAAUGGAUUUCUUAGAACCAACAGUAAUUAUUACAGAAUGCAAAGGAGCCAAAACUUUAUAAAACAAAAAGAACAAAAACUUUUAUCAGAGAAUUGAGCAGACCUGUUGUGGUGAAGCUGGUCCAAGAAAGGAGAAAUAGAAACAAAACUGAGAACUUAGAGAGGAGAAUUUUCAUUUUUGUGAUUUCUGGUCUUUGAUCAACCGUUUCUUGAUCUCAGAAGAAAACUUCUCGAAGAUGUAAAAGGGAGAAUGAAAGAGAGACAGAGCUGGCUUUAGUUAACUUUAAGACUUGGGAGCACUAAAAAACAAAACUUCCUAGUUUUAAUCGGUCUUUUACUUGCUUAAACUUUCCAUAUAUUAAUAGAUAAUAAUUAUAAACCUUGACCAAAAAGCUUAAUAAUUUAAAAACUUUCACAAGAGUUGCAUUACUACUAUUGUAAAUACUUUGAAGAAGCAUUCACUAUUUUAUAUACAUCACGCCUAUCUUGGGUACUGGCGUGUUGUUGCUAAAGAUGUAUUUCUUAUAUGAGAUUAAGCUAGAGUAGGAAAAUGAAAUUAGGUUAAGAGUAGGCCAUAGGUACACGCCUAAAUCAUUGAUGAUGUAUGAUACAUCAGUCAUAAGAAAAAAUCUACUUGUUGCAACAUUACAUUCCGUUAGAAUUUCCAUUAGUGAUCUGCAAAAGAAAUAAAUAUUAUCAUGUGCGAAGGUUUGUUUUCUCCGAUGGUACUAAUUUUUUUUGUUAUAAGUGUUCAGAAAGUGAGAAAAAGAUAUACAAAUGCUAAGUAAUUUUUUAAACUUGUUAAACAAAGCCUAAAUCCCAAACUAUAAUGAUUUUUUGUCAACUUAAUAAAUUUGUUAAACAAAGCGUAAAUCUUCAGCCAGCCAAAUAAAUCGAAUAAUAUUAAGCGAAAAAAUUAACUAUUCAACUGAAAUAUAUUUUAUUCAGUCUCUUUAUCCUAUAGCUAGGCUAUUUGCAAAGUACAGUUGUUUCAAGAAAGCGACCGCAUAUUUGUCUAUUCGUUUGGUUGGGUCCAUCAGAAUCUAAAACCUCAAUAUCUAUCAUUCGUCUGUCACGGAGAAAAGCAUCACCGCCAAUCGUUAUUGCUGCCUCGUCAACAAGCCGCGUUACUUUUUCGUCAGGUUGUGUUCUUUUUCUGCUUUCUGAUAAUAUUUUUUUACUAUAUUGACCGUUACUAUCAGUUACAAAACCUUGAAAAUUAUUCAAGUAAUCAUAUGGGCUUCGGUUUUAAAAUUGAACCAAGCCCAGGUAACUGAUUUUUUGUCGCCUCGCCCCACAAAACCCACAACAAAAAUGUAAAUUAGUAACAAGUAACAACCUCCCUACAUGUAAGCUGAGGUUAUCAUUUUCUCGUUUUUGUGGUACAGGUUCUGCGACCAGAGACUGAAUUAGCGAUUAGUUUUACCUCAAAAACUUAACCGAUGAUCUUGCAUCCGAUGCCAUCAUCAGCUAUCCUCUCUUAAUUUUUUUGAUUGAGAAAACCUUUGUAAGCUAAAGUCCUUUAUGAAAUAAGAAAACAAUUUCAACAUUGUUAUCUUCUUUAAUUUUAAUUUUUCUUUUUUGAAACUAUCUUCUUCUAGUUAUUUUUUUUUGUUGAUCUAGGAUAUCCAGCGGUCGAGACCUAACAACUAAUCUUCAUGUUCAUCGAUGCCGGCUCCAGACAGAUCUAGUUGCUCGCAGGAGAAAUUAGAUACUCUUGUCGCCUAACCACAAGAAUUAGUAAUAUGAAUGUGAGGUUUCGAGCCCGAAUCCCUUAGGGACUCUCCGAGCCACCUUCGUCACCCACCAAAUCAGCGUGGUUUCUUCUAGUUCUUUUAGCUUAUGUUUUCAAUAUUGAUAUGAUCAAAUUAACCUUUAAACUACUUUAUCAAAUAAUUGGUUCAUCGUAAUGUUUAAGGAUCGAAUCCGUAUGAAUUGGAGGUCAGACAAUAAACUUAUAGUUUUAAAUUAAGCUAAGCAAUAAAGUAGAAAGCAAUAAAACAAAGCAGUAAAUAAUAGAUUGUAAAAUAGAUAGAUAAGCAUUAGAUCUAAGAAUAUAAAACAUGUAAUCAUAACUCGGAUGAACAGUUUCCAAGGCUUUUAUUAAGAUAAGUCCUAGAACUCGAAUUCAUAAGUUAUCUAGCUCUCGCAUGCAAUUACUAUCAGAUGCCUGAAAUAUCAGAUGCCAACUCUCGUUGUGGAUCCAAUUAUUCUAGAGAAGCGUUAAUGUUCUAAUUAGGCAUGGACAUAUUUCCCGGAUCCGAAGAUCCGAACCGGUAAUUACCCAAAAAAUCGGGUUUUGGAUUGGAUUCGGUUAUCAAAAAUUACCCGGUCGGAUAAGGUUUAUAAUUUGGUCGGGUACCGGGUCGGUUUCGGGUUAUACCCGGGAUCCGUACGGAUGUCGACUUAACCCGAGUUAGCCUAACGGUUAGUAAGUAGUAAUCUAGUUACCCUACACUAGUUAAUGCGCCCACGCGCCCACGCCUUAGACAAGUUCUAUUUCCAAAAUCCAAUCUUCUCUUGAUACUCGUAAUCGCUGUUUCUUCUUCACGACAUAGACGACCUUUGCGAUUUCAGAUGGUCUUAAGCUGCUUACUAAAAGAGCAGACUUGUUGGGGAGAUGAUUAUCGGAAACAAAUCUCAAAUUCAGUCUCUCCCUCUUGCUUCUGAGUCAUCGAGAAACAUAUCUCAAGUAAGAAUUCUUUUUUGCAUGUCGGUUUUGAUCUCAAGUAAGGAUUGUCUGAUUGUGUUUCUGUUUAGUUCUUAUGAUCAAUUUAGUUUUUGCAUCUCGUUUUUUGAUCAUUAAUUGUAGGAUUGUCAGAUUCUGUUUCUGUUUAGUUCUUGUGAUCAAUUUAGUUUUUGCAUCUCGUUCUUUGAUCACUGAUUGUCAGAUUGUGUUUCUUUAGUCUUUAUCACUUGAAAUCGAUUUGUUGUGUAAAGAUGGGAUUGAAAUCAAUUUAUCUUCUCUUAUUGAUGUUCUUUAUUUUGUUCAACAUCUUAUUGGUGUUCUUUUAUUUGUAGAUGGAUUCUUCACCAUUGCCAGAUAACAAUGACUCUGAGACAGAGAAUGGAGUUCAAGCAACCCAAGAGGAGAUAACACGGCAUGAUAAGAAAGGCAAAAGGAAGGUUCGUUCAGGAGGUAGUUCUCAGCCAACUACAAAAAAGCAGUCAAGCACAAGAUCUGAUGUCUGGGAAUACUACACAAGAACAGAGGACGACCGUGACAAGUGCAGAUGCAACCAUUGUCAGCGUAUCUUCGGCUGUGCGUCUUCGCAAGGAACUUCUAACCUUAGGAAGCAUCUACUUUCAUGCAAGUCUCACUUGGCGUGGAAACAGAGCCAAGGUCCUGGUUCAACCGUGAUUACUAAUGACGGAGGUCUGACGAAUGCUAGAGUUUCUGAGGCUGUGUUCAGAGAGGCGACUAAUGAGCUAGUGGUGUUGGGUGAAUUGCCACUCUCUUUCACUGAGAGUGUUGCUUGGAGGCACUUCUGCGAUCGUGCUGGUCUCUACAAACCUCAUUCAAGAAGGACUGCAACUAGGGACAUUGUGCAGAUGUAUGUGAGAAAGAAGGAGGCUCUGAAGAAUUGGUUUAAGGUCAGUAAGCAGAGGGUUUCACUUACCACAGACAUAUGGACAGCACAUGCUACAAGAGCAAGCUACAUGGUGGUUACGGCUCACUUUGUUGAUGAUACUUGGCAGCUAAGGAAGCUUAUCAUCGGCUAUACAAUGAUUACUUCAACGAAGUUGAGAAUGGGAACAAAAGGAUAGGACCUCCUGCGACUGUUGAUUGGAAUGUAGUGGAGAGGUUGGUGAAGUUACUUAUCAUCUUCUACAACUCUACACUAGUUGUCUCAGCUUCGACAACAGUCUCCUCUCAUAAGUGUUAUGGUGAGAUCGUCAUUAUAGAGACGAAUCUGACACGGCUAAGUUAAAGUUUGGAUAAGGAGUUGAAAGGCAAGGCUGAUUGCAUGAAGGCAAAGUUUGAGAAGUAUUGGGGAGGCAUAAUGUCAACAAGAUGGUUAUUGUCGCUUCUGUCUUUGAUCCGACUAAGAAAAUGCAGUUUGCGAAGCUGUGUUUUGAGAAGCUUCACGGCAAAGAAACACCAGAGGCUAAGGCGAUGUAUCAGUCAGUUCACAUUGUGUUGACUGAUAUGUUCAAGGAGUACAGUCUUCGCUUGAGGAGAGAUUCAACUGGUGGACAAUCAUCUCAGUCUACUCAAGCUUCGUCAUCAAAUGGACAAGAUCAAGAUCAGGAUCAAGGGUUAGGUGAAAACGUGGAAGAAGCAAUGGAUUUGGUCGAUGAUCUCUGUUAUGAAAGGAUGGACUUUGCGUAUACUGAAUUGGUUGCUGAAAUAGGAGUUGAAGAAGCAAGGGAUGAGCUAGAGCUGUAUUUGAAAGAGAAAGUAGAGAAUCCUAAAAACUUUCUUGGAACCGAGUAUGAUGUGUUGUCUUGGUGGAAGCUUAACUGUCAGAAGUAUCCGAUCUUAGCAGAGAUGGCCAAAGAUGUACUUGCAAUGCAAGUCUCCUCUGUUGCAUCUGAGAGUGCUUUCAGCACCAGUGGUCGGCUUAUUGAUCCAUUUAGGAGUUGCUUGACAUACUACAUGGUUGAAGUAUUGAUGUGCACAGAGCAAUGGAUGAAGGCUUAUAUCAAUCUAUGUGAGAAACGUGUUACCAAUGGUCAAAUGCUACCUGAGGUUGAGCUACAUGACAAGCUAGAGAAAGGUACAUUCUCUUCUUUUUUAAUUCUUACAUUUCUUUAUGUUCUCAUGUUACAUAUUCUAAGUUGUAACACAAUCUUGUAAUAUAUGUAGAGUUUGAUACUCUAAACUUGACCUAGAAGAAUGUAUGGAACUCGGGGAAGAUGGAGAUGAAGGGGAAGAAGAAGGUGGUCCGAAGAGUGAAGUUGUGUUGUUGCUUGCUUGCUUUGUUGCUCUGUUUUCUUUUAAGAACUUAUGUUGGCUUUGCUUUUCUCGGUUGCUAUCUUUUUUUCAAAACGGAUGAUAUGCUUGUUUUCAUUUUGGAGAUUCAACUUUGGUUUGGUAACUUUGGUGAUUCAAAAUGGUAUUUUUAGGCUUUUAUUUGUUCAUUGCAUCAGUUUUGGAUGCUUCAAUUAAGUCUUCAAUAGUUUGAUAAUGGUUGGAGUAGAGUUCUCAUGAAAUCAUUAGUAAUAGUUUGGAUAUUUUUGGUUCUUUUGGAUUAUGUUCGGUUCUAGCGGGUUUAAUGGUUUGGUAUAUACUAAGAACUGAACCGAAUCCGUUAAUAUUUUGGUUACUUCGGAUAUAACCGGAUCCGACAAGUACCGAACCGUAACCGAACCAAAAUUUUAAAUUAUCCGUACGGUACCAUUUUUUCUAGUUCCGAAAUAUCCGAAAUCUGAAAGACCAGAUCCGGAUCCGAACCGGUUAUCCGAAUGCCCAGGUCUACCUGGGUUGACCAAAACUAAUUAUCAAUGGUCCAUAAAGAAUAUCUACUUAAAUGGAUAUUGGUCGACGCAUAUUGGUAAUUGGAUGGCCAUGAUUUAACUAGAAACUUUCAUUAGUCUGUUACUCUGUUAUAUGUACUGACAACAUUCAUCGUGGUUGCAUCAUAUUUCUUGCAGCAUAUUUUUAUGAAGAAUCUUGUUAAUAUAUAGAUGUGGCAACGAAUUAUAGACAACGUAAUUAAUGAAAAAGUUUCAGACAUGAUCACCAAGAUAUAUAUUUUUGUGUAUGCACAUACCUCUUAUGUAAUUCUAAAAGGUAUUUUUCUUCUUAAAAACUUUGAUUAUAUAAAAAAUUGUUUUCAAAAAUUUAUAUGCAGUUUCUAUCAAUCAAUGUUAAUAAAAUGUAAAGUGCAAAAAUACUACUUGGACAAAUUUGAAUUUAUUAAAUUAUUAUUGGUUCAUAGUUAUGAGAAAGUGUUUAGUAUAUAUGUCAAAUUUAUGUAUUUAUAACUUAAUAUUGAUUGUCUUAUUUAUAUGAUUUUUGUAACAUCGUUGUUUUAUUAACUAAAGGUGCAUUAAAUUUUCAGUGAUUAGAGGAUCACCAACAAUUGAUUACAAUUAGCGACAGCUAUGAAUGAGUGGCAUAUCCGAUGAAAAUGCUGUGCUAUGCCUACUGCUAGCAACACAAAACAUGAAAGAGAAUAUUAUGUGCAUAGAAAAGAAUAUUAUGUGCAUAGAAUAUUUUUUAGUACAGCUACAACCCGGGUAAUAUAAAUACUUUAAACAUACAUAUUCCCUUCAAGUAUACACAUGCAUGUCAAAAGAUUGAUUUUUUUUAAAGAUUGAUUUAUUAUUAGUAUUGUCUCGUUUUUUUUUUGUUUAAUAGUAUUGUCUCAUUGCUAUUUCUGGUAAAUACGUUUUCAGUAUUUUCAAAAAUAUUUCACGCAAAGAUAACUUAUUAGUUUUCUGAAACCUAAAUGAUACACAACUUGAGUAUCAACGCAUGCAAACUCAAUAUAAACUGACUACUCUGAAAGCAAAUUAAAAACGAUCGGUAAUGAAUAUCAAGCAUGUUACUGAUCUGAAAAAAAAAAAUCUACUUUGAAACACAGAUAUUUUGUAGUGAAAAGAUAUUCACCUUACUGCAGCGUUCCAAGCCACCAAAAAAUGGUCGUGCCAUAAUGAAAAUAUCACGUAGCUUAAGCUGCCUUCUGUUUGACAGCCCAAAGAAUGAAAAACCUGCUCUCGAAAUUACUUCCAGAAAUUCAAACUUUGAAAAUUUAAUUAUAUUAUUAAAAUAAAAAUCAAAAAGAGUAACCCCAAAGUUGUUUCAUUGUUUUAUUCAAUACAAAAAAAAACUCGGGAUAUAUAUAUAUAUAUAUCACCAGAAUGAUGACAACCAUUAAUCGUGCUCUGUUUUUUUUUUUCAGAUAUAUAAUCCUUACGUUUGAUUCAAUGGAGUGGGUUCGAGGAGAAACAAUUGGAUACGGAAGCUUCUCUACAGUCACUCUAGCCACGCCGACUGAUAACGACUCCGGCGAGUUCCCACCGUUGAUGGCCGUGAAGUCAUCAGACUCAUACGCUCGCCAACGAGAAAUCGGUUUUGGAUAAACUCGGAGGCGACUGCGACGAGAUCGUACGGUGCUACGGGGAGGAUCGGACGGUCGAAAACGGCGAUGAGAUGUAUAACUUGUUCUUGGAAUACGCUUCGAGAGGAAGCUUAGGGAGCAAUCUCAAGAAACUUAACGGCGAAGGUCUACCGGAAGCUACCGUGUGCCGCUACACAGGAUCGGUGCUUCGUGGUCUACGACACAUACACGCCAACGGAUUCGCACACUGUGAUUUAAAACUCAGGAAUAUUCUGUUGUGCUGUGACGGUGCCGUUAAGAUUGCUGAUUUCGGACUGGCGAAGAGAACGGAAGAAGUAACGGCGUCAUCAGGGGUGCAGAUUAGAGGUAUGCCGUUGUAAAUGGCGCCGGAAUCCGUUAACGAUAACGAGUACAGAUCAGAAGCUGACGUGUGGGCUUUAGGAUGCGCCGUUGUUGAGAUGUUUAUCGGCGAAACGGCGUGGAGUUUUAAGGAAGGAUCACACUUCAUGUCGUUGUUGAUACGCAUGGUGUCGGAAAGGAACUUCCGAGGAUUCCCGAGAACUUGUCGGGACAAGGAAGAGACUUUUUGUCAAAGUGCUUUGUUAAAGAUCCCAAGAAGAGAUGGACCGCUGAGAUGCUUCUAAACCAUCCAUUCAUAGCCGUCGAUCUUGAUCCCGAUGAUUUGGAAGAAACUGAUAUUCACUUGAAAACAGAGGACGUGUCCACAUCGCCGAGAUGCCCAUUCGAAUUUGCCGAUUGGGUUUCUGCUUCCUCCGAUUCAGAAACGCAGUAUCGACCUUUCGAUUCGCUGGAUGAGAGGAUUGCGAGUCUGGCGACUGAUUUGAUCCCUGAUUGGUCUGUCACCAGUAACUGGGUCACACCGUAAGGUGACGACAGUUGUCAAAAAAAACAGCGGACCAAAACAGAGUUGCACUGAAAGGUUAAGAGCAUCAACAAUGCCAAUAUUCUGAGCUCGAUAACCAAGGUAAGUUUUUAAAUUAUUUUAUUAUUUUCAUUUUUUUUUAGUUUAAAAAAAAAAGAAUCAAUCUUGGGUUUUCACGUGGCGAUGGGAUCUGCGCACAGUAACGAAUCUGUGGAAGAUUAAUCUUUAGCUAAGGAUUAAUUUGGCACAUAUUCUUAAAUUUAACGGGUCCCGCAGAUUAUUAUAAUAACUUUAAUGGUAACAAUUUGUUAAAAAUCAGCAUUAGAGGUGGUCUAAAAAGCUUUAAAAAAAAAAUUCUUAGUCAGAUCCAACAAUUCUAAUUAAUUUAUUUGUAUAAUUGUUUGUCAAUAGAAAGAAAAGUUUUUUUUUUCACUAGUAAUAUUAUUAAACAAAGUUUACAACGUGGGACAAGGUCCAUCAUGCCCAUCUAAACUUAAAGCCCGAAGGCUACACAAUAAUUACAUAAGAGGGCCAACAUAAGGCCAGACAACACCCCAAUAGAGAACUCGGAAACUAUCCGACUCGACACCACGUGUAUGAAGAGGAGACACGCGUCGAUAAAGGAAAACACCAACUCCGUUCACUGACUUGAAGGUCGUCACCGGAAAUCAAUCGGCAGCCACCGGAAACCAACCGGAACAUUAUGCACAGAUGAUUUCAACCAAUAACGAUGCAAGCAGGAAUUAGAGAGAGAACCACCAUCGCUUGAAGGAAGAAAAAGAUUCAGCCACAUGCAAUCGAUCAGAUUCAACAGAUACAGAAAACGAUAAAAGAAAUAUAAAAGCCGGAUAAACCAGCGAGGAGCCAGCUGUCAACCCCGAAAGAGAAGGUCUGACGCCGGAGACCAAAGCCGAACAAGCGACGCUGGAGGAGCCAUCGUUUCCGGAGACAAAGCCCAUUCACACGGGAGUCGUAACGCCGACUGAAGUUACGAUUGAUAACGAACCGUCUCUCUCUCUAAAAGAUUUUGAAGAGAUAAGAGAGAGAGAGCUCGACUAUAGUGUGUGUAGACACCAGUUCUUGUAUUCUUGAGCUAUAGUAUAUGAAAAUAUUAAAUUUGUUUUCGUGAUCUUAGUCCAUGAAUGUUAGCACAAUUAUCGCAGGCUCUUAGUGGGCUUCUAAUAGGCCUGGGCAUUCGGGUCGUCGGGUCGGAUUCGGGUCGGGUAUUUUCGGGUCUAAGAGUUUAGGACCCAAUAGGGUAAUUUCAAAUUUUUGGUUCCGGGUCGGUUCGGAUCGUGCCGGGUCCGGGUCGGGACGGGUCUUAGAUAGUUAGACCCAUUCGGGUAACUAGAAUUUAUCGGUUCGGAAUCGGUUCGGUUUCGGGUCGGGUUCGGGUCGGGUUCGAUUUAAAUAAAGAUCUAAAGAUACAAAAAUAUAUCUGAAAAUAUUUAUAUAUCUGAAAAUAUUCGAAAUUUUAUUCAUAUUUUGUGUUUUUAUGGAUACCGUUCUUACUCGAAGGGUAUUUUGGUAUUCUUGCAGAUUUCUCGUCAACAUGGCUCUGAUACCAAUUAAAGUUGCAAGAACAUAAAAGAUUACAAGAACUAACUCUUUUUAAUAGACUUAGAAACUCUCUUAAAACUAAAUCAAUGUGUUUUUCUUUUUAUGCGUUCUUCGAAAGCCUUCAAUGUUCCAACAAUGUCUUUGAAUCCCGUUGAAUUUAGAUGUAACACUUGUUCUAACGAAGAUACGAUGUGAAUGAACUUUUUUCUUGGAAGUCCCUUCAAAAACUUUUUUACCAUCUUCGAUUCUUCCAUUAUCUCUCCUAACGCGGCUGCUCUCGAUGCUAAGCCUGAAAGUUUCCUACAUAGUCAUCCACUGUGUCUGUGUCUGCCAUCUUCAAUUUGUUGAACUCAGACAUCAAAGUCUGUAACCUUGCUUCUCCAUGCGAUCAGCACCUAGGUUAUAGGAUUUGAUAGCUUCCCAAAUCUUCUUUGAUGUAUCAUGUUCACCUAUCUUAAGUAUUAACGCCCCCGAGACUGAUUGAAAGAGUAGAGCAAUCGCCAUAUUGUUCUUCUUUGCAUCAUCACUCCCUGGAUCAAUCGUAUCCCAAACUUCGUAUAAAUUGUGUGUCCUUUUUCAUCUCAAACUUUAUCACGGGCUUGAGAAUUUUUAUCGUCUCAUGUUUUGAUCGAAUUAUAACUCCUCUUGUAAACGAUUUUUGAACCAUGGAGCUCUGAUACCAAUUGUUGGGAUUUAUUAAAUCCAUGUCCAACUUUAUAUUGUUUGUUUAGACGAUAUUGUCCAAUUUGGACCUUAGGCAAGCCCGUAUGGUUUUACUUUUGGUUUCCUUCCCAAAAAUCCUCGUACUAAUUAGAGUUGGACAUCGCUUUUAUAUAUUAGACACUCUUUGUCUAAUUCUCCAAUGUGAGACUUAGUUUGAUAUUUCACAACAUUGUAGCUUUGCUUCUCGUUUUUCUUGCUGAACAUUAGUCUCUUUGGCUCUGUCACAAUGUUUAUCCCUUCAAGCCUCUCAUUCUCACGCUAUAGCUUAUCUUUGCUUCCCCCACGUUUGUCAACAUUCUUUGAAUAAUCUUGGGACCUUGUGAUACAGAUCACGAAAACCAAUCUAGAUAGGCAACAUCGUUGUAAAAUGACGAAAGGGGAUUUGGUUUUCUGCUAUCGAUUUGUAUACUAUUGACUCUCCAUAAAUGAUUUCACUUUCUACCUCUAUAAAAUUGUGCUUUCGUUUCGUUUCUAUUUCACUGAUAUGGGUUUUGUUUCUUGUUUUUAAAUUCUUCUAUGAAUUCGAUGAAUUACAUAAGUGUCAAUUUAAAAAGAUGAACAUCUUUAAAAAUUAGUUUCACUCCAGAUGCAUAUCUAAGUGCAUAUCUAAGAAUCAAUUUUUUGUAGAAAAUCACCGGCAAACUCUAUUCACAUGUUAGUGUUCAAAUCUAAUAUAUCAAGCUGUUAUAGAAUAUAAGUGCAGACUCGAAAUAUAAAUAUUUGUCUAAUAUAUAUUCGUCAGUUCGGUCUAAAAAUCAUUUAAUUCUAGAACAACAAAACAUAUAACUUAUUUUAUUAACCUACGCUUUUGAGGUUUAGUUACUUAAGGGUAUAUUGAUAAAUAUAAUACUUUACCAUUCUANNNNNNNNNNNNNNNNNNNNNNNNNNNNNNNNNNNNNNNNNNNNNNNNNNNNNNNNNNNNNNNNNNNNNNNNNNNNNNNNNNNNNNNNNNNNNNNNNNNNNNNNNNNNNNNNNNNNNNNNNNNNNNNNNAGACAUCACUCACCGAGACAGUUUUAGCCGCUGCAUGCACGAAUUUGACACCUGAACCAUCGCAUUCUACGAAAAAUAUCACAUGUUUAUCAUUUACCUGAAUGCGCCGGGAGUUCGAAUCCUCUUGCUGAAUCUCGCAUCGGAUCGAUCCUUCCACGACGUGGAGUCUGCCGAAACAGAUCUUAUCGGACUGAAGCCAUUCGCUAUGCUUUUAUCUCACGGAGACCUCACGUACCACCACGAGAAAUGUAUGCUCGAAUGUCUCCUCUCCUCUUCUUCUUCCUCGAUAUUGGAGGAAGACGUGUCUGAAGCGCUUUUACCAUUUUUUAUAUUAAUUUUUAUAUAAAAUUAAUAACAAAUUCCAAUAUAUUUUUUUGUUAAUUUUUACAAUUGUACAAGAAGAAAAGGAGAUGAAGAUACAUGUAUCAAUAUUUGUUAUUUAUAUUUAUUUAUGACAAAUACAUAGUAUUAUUAUAAAUAUUAUUCGAGUUUUAAUGUAUAUAAAAAAUCAGUUAGCGCAGUCAAUCUCACAUUGGCAUCCGUAAUUUAUUCUAAGGCAUUUACUUAUCAGUGCUUUUUUCUUUGUGAAACAUAAGGCUUUACAGCUAUCGGGAGUACAUCUUGGAGGGUUUGGAUUUUUUGAUGAUGGUACAGGUGUUAAAGUUGUGUGACACCACCUAUUUUCUCCUAUCCGAGCAAUAGCCCUUUCUCCUGUUAUUAAUAAUUAAAACAUAACUUUAUUUUUCAUAUUUAAAGUAAAAAAAAAAAUCAUUUCUCGUAAAAAAUAUGUUUAAGGAGUAUUCUGCAUUUUUUUUAAACGGAAAGUUUAUUCAUCUUUUGUUUAUCACUGAUUAUUCUUAGAAAAUCAUUAAACUCAAUAAUAUAAAAUUAAAUAUGUAACCUAUGUAGGUAUAUAAAAUAAAUGGCAUCAAAUAAAAUUUAUUUUUGAAUGAUUAUAAAAUACAUUAAUAAAGCUGUAAAUGUAAACACAAACCAAACAGAAGAAUUGCGAGCAUAACGAAACCAAUAAACCAAGGUUUGAAAGCAACUUUCAUUUUUGAUAAUGAAAUAAUGGUGUUUUAAAAAUUAGAACGACAUAGAAGUACAUUUAUAGAUGAAUCACAAAUUGAAACAAGUCUAAUUUAAGCUAUACAUCUUUUCAAAUUCCAAUAUAAACGGAUCUAGUUUGACAAAAACAAAAAAUCACAACCACUUGUUUUUAAAUUUAUUAAAUAAAAAUAGCCUUUUUAUAUUUAAUUUAAAGUAUUUUUGAUAUGCAUAAACAAUAAUUCGAUUAAGUCACAGAUUCAGAAUUUAUAUAAUAUAUAUAGUCUAUUAUAUAUGUUUGGAGUCUAUUUUAGAGUCAUUUCAGGUUCACAUACGUUUGAGGAACUUUGUUGAUUUCAGAAUUAUUUGAGUUGCAGAACUGUAAAGACGUGUCCAAAAUUUGGCGAUGGACGGAGACCUUCCCACGCUGGGAUUGAGCUCAUAUUUUGACACAAGAUAUAUAUUUGAGUUACCUUUCCUAUUCCAUCGGUUUGAGGUCCAUCUGAAGGUUAAAUAUAGAGUUAUGAUCAUUUCACUGAAGAAUGGUAUGUCAAACUCGCGAGAGGAAACUGUCGAAGAAAUGAAGGAGUGUCGAUCAAUAAUGACCCUUUGGUGUCGAUCGACACUGAUGAAAGUAGAUGGCCGAGUCUAUUUCAAGACCGACUGAGACCCAGAAGUCACCACAAAUUAACAGGAUGCCUUUGGCCAACUCAAAAUUCUAUUUAUGUGUUUUAUUAGUUGUUGUUUAGGGUAUUCUUUCUUUUAUGAUUUAUAUUAUUUUAUUUUAGGUUUUCUCUUAGGUUAAAAAAAUAUAAAAGAAUUCCUUCAGAAUCUUCUUGGAACUCCUUUGGUUUUUGUAUUGAUUUCUAUUUUAUAUAUUGGAUUGAUCGAUGGAUGUCGAGAAGGAUGCCAAUGACAAUCUAUAAUGCCCUGCCCUACAUGUUUCUUAGAUGGUUUUUUUUUUAAGAUCAGAAUAAUUUUUCAAUGAAAAUUUAGAAAUCAACAUAUUUAUAUAUUUUUAUAUAGUAUAUAAUUUUAUUUAAAUGAUAUUAAUAUAUAUAUAUAUAUUAAUGAGACUUCAUAUUCAUACAAUUUAUGAUCAUGUGUAUCUUGUUUGAACAAAAAAAUUAAAUCAUUGAUCACAAAAUUUUUCCUUGUGAGACGUUUACCUUUUUUUAUUAAUUUAUAGUCGUUUUAAAAAUUCAAAAUAUAACAUAUAAGAAAAUAUCUAUUAUUGAUAAUCAUUAAUUUUCAUAUAUAUAUUAAUCAUAUAAGGUAAUUUCAUAGCUUUUAUUUAAGGAAAAAUUAAGAAUAUUCUUUUGUACACUAAUAAUCAAUUUGAUAGUUAGUUUAACAAAAGUAUAAUAUGUAUUUAUGUGGACCGACUUAUCUAAAGAAUGCUAUUUCCUCGUUAAGCCACGUCAGCACGAAGGGGUGGGCAAAUAAUAUGUUACCGGUGAUGUGUGUCUAUGCUGCAUAUAAAAAAAAGUAUUUCUGGUUUUCAUGGAAUUACGGUGACGUGAGCAAUUUGGUGUUUCGAAAAGCAUGGCAACAAGACACAGAUGUGAUCCACAAUGAAAGGAGUAACGAAUAGAGAUUUUUCUUUGAUAAUUUAUGAUUUUUGUUGGUAUGUGAUCUGACUUUCGUUCCAUGUAGAUUGAUAGUUGUUUCACCGCUUCAAGUGAAUCGAAGCAUAGAUUUGAAAAAAAUUUCAUUGACGUACGGGAUGGAGUCUAUCACUUGGGCAGGAAAGGAUUAUCUUGGUCUUUUUAAUACUAGGAGAAAAAAGAGUGAGCUUUGCUUCGUAUGGAGUUUGAUCUUCAGCCGUGUGAUAGUUCUUGUUGGGGCAAUAGUGGACUUGUUGGAAGUGGAGUCUACAGCAGGAAAACAAAUAUUUUUGUCAGAUCGCUUUUCCUAAGUGCAAGGUUCAUCCAUUUUUCUCUGUGGGAUCAUUGUCACGUGGGAUGUGGAGGAGUCUGAGUUUGUAUAUCAAAUAUUAGAUCAUAGUUUAUCUUCCAUCAUUACAUGUUUAUGAUACACGGUAUGGUAUCAUAUACAAAAGAAAGAAGAUUCAAAAGUAAUAUUUCCUUAAAGCAUUAAGAAUAGAGUUUUGGUAUUUUUCCUUUUAAGAUACUUUAAGCAGUUUUUCAAAUAUUCGUAGGGUUAUGAUUUGUAUAACCCUAUAUAAAAAGAGAUCUAAUCUUAUUAUACAAAGCUUAGUUUUUCAAAGUUGUUAAUUAACAUGACGAUGACACAUGACAAUUAAAAAUUUAAGAUGAUGAUAUGUGUUAAAAUUUAUCAUAUUUGUAAAUAUAAUAAGAAAAUAACACAAAAGAAUUAUUUAAUCGUAGUUUUCCUUUCUAAAUACUAAACAAAGAUAAUAAUAGCAAAAUAUUAUUUGAUGGUUUUUACUUGACAAUAAUUUCCUUUUUCUAAUUUUUUUUUCCUUUUUACAAUUCCUAAACAAAAAAUAUGUAUAAUAAUUUACUUAACAGUAAUUUUUCGUUUUGUAAAAUCAUUUUUUAAAAUACUAAAUAAAGAUAACAUCAAAAGAUUAUUUGAUAGUUUUUUUAGUUGACAAUAAUUUCAUUUUUCUAUUUUUUUCCUUUUUACAAUUCCUAAAAAAAUAUGUAUAAUAAUUUACUUAAUACUAAUUUUCGUUUUCUAAAAUAAAAAAAAUAUAAAUUUAAAAAUUUGUUUGAUAGUAAUUAUCCCUUUAUAAAUUUUUCUACAAAAUGAAAUUGGUUAAAAAGUAUUUAAUUGUAUUUUUCUUUUUUUUUUUCAAAUCUAAAAAAUGUAAAAUAGGUAUUUCAAAUAUUUUCAUAUAAUAAUAGACUCUAUUAUUUAAAUGCUAAAUUUAUGUUUAAGAAAUCAUAAUCCAAAAAGGAUUACAUUAUUUUUUUGUAACUGAAAGGAUUACAAUUAUUCACAUCUAUAUAUAAGAUUAAACUCUCCUAUAUUUUGUGACCAAACAUAAUUGCUUAAUAUAUCAUAAUUAACCAUAUAAAUAUAAUAAUAUAAUAACACAAAAAUUAUUAAUAGUAAUUUUCCUUUUUAAAAUCCUAAACAAAGGUAAUAGCAAAACAUAAUUUGAUAGUUUUUAGUUGACAAUAAUUUCCAUUUUCUGAUUUUUUUUUUCUUUUUUACAAUUCUUUAAAAAAUGUAUAGUAAUUUACUUAAUAAUAAUUUUCGUUUUCUAAAAUCAUAAAGAAAAUAUAAUUGUAAAAAUUUGUUUGAUAGUAAUUAUCCUUUUAUAAAAUCUUCUACAAAAAAAAUUGUUAAAGACUGUUUAAUUGUAGUUUUCUUUUUUCUUCAAAUCUAAACAAAAAAUGUAAAACAAGUAUUUCAAAUAUUUCCAUAUAAUAAUAAACUUUCUUAUUUAAAUAGUAAAUUUUAUGUUUAAGAAAUCAUAAUCCAAAAAGGAUUACAAUAUUCUUUUCUUUUUUUUUGUAACUGAAGGGAUUAGAAUAAUUCACAUCUAUAUAUAAGAUAAAACUCUACUAUAUUUUGUCACCAAACAUAAUUGAUUAAAAUCAGAACUCUCUCAUAUAAGAAAAACAUUAGGUGCACUUUUUUUUGAUAUAACUUUAUAAUUAUCAUAAAAUAUGAUGUUGUUGUGCGUAAGUUAUUGACACAAUUAUGUGUGUUAGUUCUUAUAGUCGAUAUAAAAUUGGUUAUUUUGUCAUAGUAAGUCAAUGUCAACAUCAAUUUAUUAUGUUACGUCAGUAACGAUUGAUCAAUUCAGUAUAAACGGUUUAUUAUGGUUAUGUGAGUUAGAUAAUAAUUUUAAAUACUUGAACAAGAAGAAAAGGAGAUGAAGAUACAUGUAUCAAUAUUUGUUAUUUAUAUUUAUUUAUGACAAAUACAUAGUAUUAUUAUAAAUAUUAUUCGAGUUUUAAUGUAUAUAAAAAAUCAGUUAGCGCAGUCAAUCCGACACAUGCAUCCGUAAUUUAUUCUAAGGCAUUUACUUAUCAGUGCUUUUUUCUUUUUGAGACAUAAGGCUUCACAGCUAUCGGGAGUACAUCUUGGAGGGUUGGGAUUUUUUGAUGAUGGUAUAGGUGUUAAAGUUGUGAAACACCACCUAUUUUCUCCUGUCCGAGCAAUAGCCCUUUCUCCUGUUAUUAAUAAUUAAAACAUAACUUUAUUUUUCAUAUUUAAAGUAAAAAAACAAUCAUUUCUCGUAAAACAUAUGUUUAAGGAGUAUUCUGCAUUUUUUUUAAACGGAAAGUUUAUUAAUCUUUUGUUUAUCACUGAUUAUUCUUAGAAAAUCAUUAAACUCAAUAAUAUAAAAUUAAAUAUGUAACCUAUGUAGGUAUAUAAAAUAAAUGGCAUCAAAUAAAAUUUAUUUUUGAAUGAUUAUAAAAUACAUUAAUAAAGCUGUAAAUGUAAACACAAACCAAACAGAAGAAUUGCGAGCAUAACGAAACCAAUAAACCAAGGUUUGAAAGCAACUUUCAUUUUUGAUAAUGAAAUAAUGGUGUUUUAAAAAUUAGAACGACAUAGAAGUACAUUUAUAGAUGAAUCACAAAUUGAAACAAGUCUAAUUUAAGCUAUACAUCUUUUCAAAUUCCAAUAUAAACGGAUCUAGUUUGACAAAAACAAAAAAUCACAACCACUUGUUUUUAAAUUUAUUAAAUAAAAAUAGCCUUUUUAUAUUUAAUUUAAAGUAUUUUUGAUAUGCAUAAACAAUAAUUCGAUUAAGUCACAGAUUCAGAAUUUAUAUAAUAUAUAUAGUCUAUUAUAUAUGUUUGGAGUCUAUUUUAGAGUCAUUUCAGGUUCACAUACGUUUGAGGAACUUUGUUGAUUUCAGAAUUAUUUGAGUUGCAGAACUGUAAAGACGUGUCCAAAAUUUGGCGAUGGACGGAGACCUUCCCACGCUGGGAUUGAGCUCAUAUUUUGACACAAGAUAUAUAUUUGAGUUACCUUUCCUAUUCCAUCGGUUUGAGGUCCAUCUGAAGGUUAAAUAUAGAGUUAUGAUCAUUUCACUGAAGAAUGGUAUGUCAAACUCGCGAGAGGAAACUGUCGAAGAAAUGAAGGAGUGUCGAUCAAUAAUGACCCUUUGGUGUCGAUCGACACUGAUGAAAGUAGAUGGCCGAGUCUAUUUCAAGAACAUCGCUUUCUUCAGCCGCACUUUAGCAGCCGCCAUGUCAAGCUGACUGCAUACGAACGAGAAUUGAUUGGGUUAGCUAAAGCAAUGAUUCAUUGGAGACCGUAUUUGUGGGGAAGACGUUUUCUUAUACGUACAGAUCACUACAGCCUUAAGUAUUUAUUGGAACAACGUCUCUCGACAUCUCCACAAGUACACUGGAUCAGUAAGCUACUUGGGUUUAAUUUCUCAGUCGAGUAUCGUUCCGGGAUGACAAAUAAGGUUGCUGGUGCUUUGUCUAGAUGUCAUGAGAACGAUUCAGAUGAGGAUAAGGAAUUACAUGCCAUCAAUGUUUCUGAGGAUGGUAUUUUGGCUCGAGUUCGCAGAGAAAUUCUGAACGACGAUAAGCUAGGAGAACUCAGAGAUAAAAUCAUUCGGGGCGAGGAAUAAGAGAUAUGGGAAGCAAAGGAUGGUCUUAUUUUUCGCAAAGGGGUAGUUUAUAUGGAUUCAAAUUCAGAUUUAGUCCGAGAUGUUAUGACUGGUUUUCAUAAUUCUGGCCAUGAGGGUAGCCAAAAAACUAUGGAACGGAUCCGUCGGAAUUUUUAUUGGAGAGGUUGGAAGAAAAGUGUUCAAGAAUUUGUGAGCACUUGUCAGAUAUGUCAGAAGAAUAAAUGGGAAACGCUGCAGCCCGCGGGAUUGAUGCACCACUAUCGGUUCCAACGAAGAUAUGGGCUGAUAUCUCGAUGGAUUUCGUCGAUGCAUUGCCAAAAGUUUCAGGGAAAACAGUCAUCUUAGUGGUGGUUGAUCGCUUCUCAAAGUAUGUGCAUUCUAUCGCUUUAAGUCAUCCUUAUACUGCUGUCUUUGGGCCAAUUUUUUUUGAGACAUUGUCCGAUUGCAUGGUAUCCCACAGACAAUUGUAUCAGACAGAGAUAAGGUUUUCGCAGCAUUUUCUGGCGGGACCUCUUUCGACUUAUGGGUACCAACUUGUGUUUUAUAACAGCCUAUCGGCUACAAUCCGAUGGUCAGACUGAGGUGGUCAAUCAGACUCUAGAGAUGUAUCUUCGGUGUGUCACGGGGGAUGAACCACGAAAAUGGCUUACAUGGCUUCCUUGGAUUGAGUAUUGCUAUAACACAUCCUAUCACAUUAGUCUAAAGGAUACGCCAUUUAGGAUGGUUUAUGGAAGAGAGCCACCUCGUCUUUUAGACUAUACUACUGGAAGUUCGAAAGUAGAAGCUGUUGAUGUUGCAUUGGAAGAGAGAGAUGAGUUUUUAGCAUCAGCAAGAGAACGUUUACUAAACGCUCAGAACAGAAUGAAAGCAUCCUAUGAUAAACAUCAUCGCUCAGUCGAGUUUGGCAUAGGGGAAUGGGUUUUGUUGAAGUUACAUCCGUACAGACAGAUCACUAUUCCUAAGAAAGCUUUCACAAAGCUUUCCCCAAAGUUUUAUGGACCAUUUGAAGUACUAGCUCGCGUGGGAACAGUUUCCUACCGUCUUCGUCUUCCAGAUCGUGCUCAAAUCCAUGACGUUUUCCACAUCUCACUACUGAAACCGCACAAAGGAGACAAGCCCGAUACAAGUCAUGUGUUACCACCGGUUUUACAAGGACGAGUGUUACCAGCUAAACCAGUGAAGUUUCUUCGAGCCCGUACUCAUGGUGGAGUUCGUCAGGUUCUGGUGAAGUGGACUGAUGAGGAAACAGAGACUGCUACUAGGGAAGAUGCCCAGAAGUUAAAAGAAGCAUUUCCAAAAAUAGAGCUUGAGGACAAGCUCCUUGUCGAGGAGAGGAGUAAUGAUACACGCUAUGGUAUCACAUACAAAAGAAAGAAGAUUCAAAAGUAAUAUUUCCUUAAAGCAUUAAGAAUAGAGUUUUGGUAUUUUUCCUUUUAAGAUACUUUAAGUAGUUUUCCUAAUAUUCAUAGGGUUAUGAUUUUUAUAAUCCUAUAUAAAUAGAGAUCUAAUUAUCAAUAAGAACUAUCUUCAGCAUUAACCUUAUUCUCAAGAGUCAAUCUUGGGUUCCCACGUGGCGAUGGGACCUGCGCACAGUAACGAAUCUGUGGAAGAUUAGUCUUUAGCUAAGGAUUAAUUUGGCACAUAUUCUUAAAUUUAAAGGGUCCCGCAAAUUAUUAUAAUAACUUUAAUGGUAAGAAUGUUGUUAAAAAUCAGCAUUGGAGGUGGUCUAAAAAGCUUUUAAAAAAAAAAAUUCUUAGUCAGAUCCAACAAUUCUGAUUAAUUUAUUUGUAUAAUUGUUUGUCAAUAGAAAGAAAAGUUUUUUUUUUCACUGGUAAUAUUAUUAAACAAAGUUUACAACGUGGGACAAGGUCCAUCAUGCCCAUCUAAACUUAAAGCCCGAAGGCUACACAAUAAUUACAUAAGAGGGCCAACAUAAGGCCAGACAACAGCCCAAUAGAGAACUCGGAAACUAUCCGACUCGACACCACGUGUACGAAGAGGAGACACGCGUCAAGAAAGGAAAACACCAACUCCGUUCACUGACUUGAAGGUCGUCGCCGGAAAUCAAUCGGCAGCCACCGGAAACCAACCGGAACAUGAUGCACAGAUGAUUUCAACCAAUAACGAUGCAAGCAGGAAUUAGAGCGAGAACCACCAUCGCUUGAAGGAAGAAAAAGAUUCAGCCACAUGCAAUCGAUCAGAUUCAACAAAUACAGAAAACGAUAAAAGAAAUAUAAAAGCCGGAUUAACCAGCGAGGAGCCAGCUGUCAACCCCUCUGACGCCGGAGACCAAAGCCGGACAAGCGACGCUGGAGGAGCCAUCGUUUCCGGAGACAAAGCCCAUUCACACGGGAGUCGUAACGCCGACUGAAGUUACGAUUGAUAACAAACCGUCUCUCUCUCUAAAAGAUUUUGAAGAGAUAAGAGAGAGAACUCGACUAUAGUGUGUGUAGACACCACUUCUUGUAUUUUUGAGCUAUAGUAUAUGAAAAUAUUAAAUUUGUUUUCGUGAUCUUAGUCCAUGAAUGUUAGCACAAUUAUCGCAGGCUCUUAGUGGGCUUCUAAUAGGCCUGGGCAUUCGGGUCGUCGGAUCGGAUUCGGGUCGGGUAUUUUCGGGUCUAAGAGUUUAGGACCCGAUAGGGUAAUUUCAUAUUUUGUGUUUUUAUGGAUACCGUUCUUACUCGAAGGGUAUUUUGGUCUUCUUGCAGAUUUCUCGUCAACAUGGCUCUGAUACCAAUUAAAGUUGCAAGAACAUAGAAGAUUACAAGAACUAACUCUUUUUAUUAGACUUAGAAACUCUCUUAAAACUAAAUCAAUGUGUUUUUCUUUUUAUGCGUUCUUCGAAAGCCUUCAAUCUUCCAACAAUGUCUUUGAAUCCCGUUGAAUUUAGAUGUAACACUUGUUAUAACGAAGAUACGAUGUGAAUGAACUUUUUUCUUGGAAGUCCCUUCAAAAACUUUUUUACCAUCUUCGAUUCUUCCAUUAUCUCUCCUAACGCGGCUGCUCUCGAUGCUAAGCCUGAAAGUUUCCUACAUAGUCAUCCACUGUGUCUUUGUCUGCCAUCUUCAAUUUGUUGAACUCAGACAUCAAAUUCUGUAACCUUGCUUCUCCAUGCGAUCAGCACCUAGGUUAUAGGAUUUGAUAGCUUCCCAAAUCUUCUUUGAUGUAUCAUGUUCACCUAUCUUAAGUAUUAACGCCCCCGAGACUGAUUGAAAGAGUAGAGCAAUCGCCAUAUUGUUCUUCUUUGCAUCAUCACUCCCUGGAUCAAUCGUAUCCCAAACUUCGUAUAAAUUGUGUGUCCUUUUUCAUCUCAAACUUUAUCACGGGCUUGAGAAUUUUUAUCGUCUCAUGUUUUGAUCGAAUUAUAACUCCUCUUGUAAACGAUUUUUGAACCAUGGAGCUCUGAUACCAAUUGUUGGGAUUUAUUAAAUCCAUGUCCAACUUUAUAUUGUUUGUUUAGACGAUAUUGUCCAAUUUGGACCUUAGGCAAGCCCGUAUGGUUUUACUUUUGGUUUCCUUCCCAAAAAUCCUCGUACUAAUUAGAGUUGGACAUCGCUUUUAUAUAUUAGACACUCUUUGUCUAAUUCUCCAAUGUGAGAGUUAGUUUGAUAUUUCACAACAUUGUAGCUUUGCUUCUCGUUUUUCUUGCUGAACAUUAGUCUCUUUGGCUCUGUCACAAUGUUUAUCCCUUCAAGCCUCUCAUUCUCACGCUAUAGCUUAUCUUUGCUUCCCCCACGUUUGUCAACAUUCUUUGAAUAAUCUUGGGACCUUGUGAUACAGAUCACGAAAACCAAUCUAGAUAGGCAACAUCGUUGUAAAAUGACGAAAGGGGAUUUGGUUUUCUGCUAUCGAUUUGUAUACUAUUGACUCUCCAUAAAUGAUUUCACUUUCUACCUCUAUAAAAUUGUGCUUUCGUUUCGUUUCUAUUUCACUGAUAUGGGUUUUGUUUCUUGUUUUUAAAUUCUUCUAUGAAUUCGAUGAAUUACAUAAGUGUCAAUUUAAAAAGAUGAACAUCUUUAAAAAUUAGUUUCACUCCAGAUGCAUAUCUAAGUGCAUAUCUAAGAAUCAAUUUUUUUUUAGAAAAUCACCGGCAAACUCUAUUCACAUGUUAGUGUUCAAAUCUAAUAUAUCAAGCUAUUAUAGAAUAUAAGUGCAGACUCGAAAUAUAAAUAUUUGUCUAAUAUAUAUUCGCCAGUUUGGUCUAAAAAUCAUUUAAUUCUAGAACAACAAAACAUAUAACUUAUUUUAUUAACCUACACUUUUGAGGUUUAGUUACUUAAGGGUAUAUUGAUAAAUAUAAUACUUUACCAUUCUAGUAUAUGUAAACUAUUUAUAAACUAAGAAAUGUUUGAUUUAUUAAAUUAUAAACAAGAAAACUUAUAAUAAAUAGUUCAAAUAUCGCAUUCUUACAAUUAUAAUAGCUAGAUAUGAUAUUAAGAAGAAACACAUAUUAGACGAAUGAUCAAAUCUCUCAUUAUUCGAACAAACUCAAAAGGAGGUGAUUAGAAUCUUGUCAUGAUAUUUCAUUAAAAACUUUUUAGAAAUAAAAAAACAAGACCAAAUAUUUAAUUUGAAUGAAUUAAUAUAUAUAUAUUUUUUUAAAAUCACUUCGAUUUGAAGAAGUAUAUUUUUAGGUUUGUCAGGAUCAAAUAACAUUUUAGAAACCACCUAUUAAAAAAUAAUUUUCAUUCAUAAAAGUAUAUACAUUAGAGUAAAGACAUGAAUAAAAACCAAUACCUUUUUUUUAUUUACAAUCAUGUUUUUGGCAGAGUCUACAUGAGUCUGCUUUGUUUGCUGACAAAAAAAAAUAAAAAUACAAUCAUGUUUUUGCUAAGUAAAUCAAAACAAUCAUGUUAUUUACUUUACAUGGUAUAUAGUUAAAUUUUAGUGAUAUUGACAUAUAUAUAUAUAUAUAUAUAUAGUAUACUUUAAUAUAAAUAUUUAUUAUUGACACUUCCUAGUCAUAUAGUUUAAUCAACAUUUGUAUAUUUGCUGUAACAAAAAAAUAAACCAUUAAUCACAAAACUUUUAAUGUGAGAUUUAUUAAUACAAUUUUCAAAAUUAAACUAUUAAGAUCUGAAUAAUUUUUCAAUGAAAAUUUAGAAAUCAACAUAUUUAUAUAUUUUUAUAUAGUAUAUAAUUUUAUUUAAAUGAUAUUAAUAUAUAUAUAUAUAUUAAUGAGACUUCAUAUUCAUACAAUUUAUGAUCAUGUGUAUCUUGUUUGAACAAAAAAAUUAAAUCAUUGAUCACAAAAUUUUUCCUUGUGAGACGUUUACCUUUUUUUAUUAAUUUAUAGUCGUUUUAAAAAUUCAAAAUAUAACAUAUAAGAAAAUAUCUAUUAUUGAUAAUCAUUAAUUUUCAUAUAUAUAUUAAUCAUAUAAGGUAAUUUCAUAGCUUUUAUUUAAGGAAAAAUUAAGAAUAUUCUUUUGUACACUAAUAAUCAAUUUGAUAGUUAGUUUAACAAAAGUAUAAUAUGUAUUUAUGUGGACCGACUUAUCUAAAGAUUCUAAGAAUCAUUAUAGUGAUGACAUGUGGUUACGAAAACAUGUUGUAAUGUUCAAGAAUUAAUAUAUGGGGGAUAAUUGAUUUUGUACUUUAAUAUAUAAAAGUGAUAGUAAUAAUAAUAAUCAGAUUUCUUACCCAAAAUAAAAAUGCAGUUUUGGAUAUUUUAUUAAACUUUUUUAAUAAUAUAAGCUUAGUAUAGAGCUGGAUGGGUGGAAAAUCAGUAAAUGAACGGUUGAAAAGUAAGAGUACUUAUAAUAUAGGAUACUGAUUAGGCCCGGGCGUUUGGGUCUUCGGGUCGGGUUCAAGCCGCUUUCUUUUGGGUCUGUGUCUUUCGAAUCCUAGACAUUUAUACUCAAUAGGUACUUGUAAAAUUUCAGUUCGGAUUCGGGUCGGUUCUUCUCGGGUCUGAGUCGGUUUAGGUCUAUAAUUAAAUUACAUAUAAAAUACAUAUAAUUUUUGUAUCCCUAUCGAGUCCGGAUCAGAUUCGGAUAUUUAAGAUCUGAAAAGGACAUGAAAUAUCUAAAAUCCAUAAUUUAGUUUAUAUUUGUCAUAUAUAUCUAAAGUUUUAAAAAAUAAUUUUAAACUCAAAUUUUUAGACUUUAAAGCUUCAUAUUACUUAAAAUGUUACAAAAUAAUAAAAAAAUAUUAUUGACAAAAGAUAUUUUAACUAAAUCAUAAAAUAAUAUAAAUAAAAUAGAACAUAAAAAAUCAUAGUUUUGGAUAUACAUGUUUUUAAGUCGGGUACAAAUUGGUUCUUAUCGGAUCGGUUUUUCUGGUCUGGAUCUAUUCAGGUCGGUUCUUUUCGGGUCCAGGUCUAUUCGAGUUGGUUUCUAUCGGUUCCGAUUUUUUGGUUAAAAAAAUUUUUAGACCUAAAAGGUAUUUGUAAAAUUUUGGUUUGGUUUCGGGUCGAUAUUUUUAGGUUGGUUCCGGUUCGAGUUUUCAGGUUCAAGUUAAAAUGCCCACGUCUACUGAUAGUUAUAAGUUUUCCUUUUUAUUUAUUAUGACUAAACAUGAAAAAAGGCAAUCAUUUCAAAAGUAAGGUCUUGCAAGAGUUUCACCAUUUUUCGACAAAUUACAAUAAAAAGUUAUUGUUUUCCACCAGUAAAGUUUGUCUCGUGGAAGGUGAUAAUAGACGACAUACAUUUUGGUAGAAUUUUUUUUUGUUUAUUUUAUUGAAUAAAACUUCCAUAUUGUCCAUUUGAAAUGACUCUGAUUCAGUUUCUCAAACCAUGAAUGAUAUCUUGAUUUUCAGAAUCUUACGGUUCGGUCAAAGAAAGCAGGCCAGCCACAACCAGAGUUCGAAUUUGGUGGCGGAUUUGUAUAGAGGAGUUUGUUGUAUACAUAGAUACCGUCUGCGAACAGUUGCAUGGUUGUAUUCCCAUGUCCUUGGAUAUUUACAUUUACAUGUGUAGACUACUGAUAUAUAGUGUUUUUGUACAUUAUUAAGCAUUCUUUUUGGUCAUUUUAAGUGUUUAAAUAUUGCAUUUAGGUGUAUUAUUAGAAGUUGCAUAUGUACAUUUUGCAUAUACAGGUGCUUGGAUAACAUAAUCGGAAGUUUUGGAGCAAAAACGAGGAAGAUGUGCACCAAAUGAAAGUUCUGGGGGACAAAGCCGAAGACUCUCAAACAGCGGGGACCAAAUGUGAAAAAAGGGAAAAGACUAUUCUUGAGCCAUCGAGGAUGGUGAAUAUUGAGACCGGUUAAGUUCGGUCUGAUCUGGUUUGAUAUACGUUCUAGAAGUGGUGAGUGAUAAGGCCGAGUUGGUAUGAAGAUAUGCUUGAUAGAUUGAGAUAAGGCUUUGGUAGAUUGUGUUUGUUAGAGAUUACUAUCGAUCUUGUUUGAGAAUAUCUUUGUGUAACGUGAGUAUAUAUAUAUGUACGUGACAUGAGUACUCAAUAAACAUACAGUUCAAUCUAUACAUUCUCUCUUAGUUUACAGUGAAUCGCUCGCCUACGACGACCCGAUCUCUCGGUCUGACGAGCUCGAACCAGCCUUCAGUCCUUCGAUCCGAGCUGGACGAAUCGACCGAUAUGGACAUGAGCCGGUCUGCUCGAUGUGGUGCUCUCGGCCUAAGCCUCACCUCGUGAGCCUCCAAUCGAUAGAUGGAGAUGUGAUGGCGUCGAGAAAAGAAGACGCAGACACGACGGCGCUCCGGUGGUCGCAGUUACGGAGACGACACAGCGGCGAGAAUAUCUGACAAUUCUGUAAAGGUGCGGCGACGGUCACGUUGAGAAGCUUGAGUCACAUACUCACGGAGGUGAAGAAGAAGAUGAUGAAACACAAAGGCAUUUUUACAAGUCGCUGCGUUUUCAUUAAAACAAGAGUCAAAAUCACUGAUGACUAAGGAAGCGCCUUUGUAGCUCGGAGACAACAAAACUUCAAGGCGAAAAACAAAGGGAGGUUCAAGACACAAUGAUGGAAGUGAAAGAUCUUACAUAGAUAAAAAAAAUUUAAGUGCUACAGGUGUGGAAAGCUUGGGUAUUUCAAAAGGGAUUGUCGAGUCAAGUUGAAGGAAACAAAUAUGGUGGAGUCAAAAACUCACAUUGAAGACGAAGAAUGGGGGAAAUGUUUCACAGUGGAGGCUAUACAUCCAGAUACACCCACAACUAAGAACUUGAGAAAUGACUGGAUCGUAGAUUCCGGUUGUAGCCAUCAUAUUACCGAAGACGAGAAGUUAUUUUCUAGUCUUCAACGUCAUGACGGGAAAUAAGCCAUUAUUACCGCUGAUAAUUCAAUCCAUCGAGUUGAGAAGGAAGGGACUGUUGUCACUAAAGGAGAUGAUGAAGAGCCGAUCACCUUCAAGAAUGUGUACCAUGUCCCUAUAGUAAAGAAGAAUCUUCUUUCGGUGGUGAAGACUAAAGACCAAAAGACGUUAAGUUCUUAAGGAAUAUUAAAGAAUUAAAGGCGGAUGUUGUUCACACUAGAGCACGCGGAAAAGAUUUAUAUGUUUUAUCGGCCUCACACGCCUAUGUGGAGAAGAUGAGUAUGAAUGACAAUGCUUCCAUCUGGCAUGCAAGACUUGGCCAUAUAAAUAUGACCAAGCUUAAGGUUAUGGUGAAUAAAGACUUGGUUCAUGGGCUUCCAAAGUUGAAGAUUCAAGAUGGAGGAAAAAAUUGUGAAGGUUGUCAAUAUGGAAAGUCACAUAGACUUACAUUUGAUCAUUCAGCUUCAAGAUGCAGCAGUCCAUUGGAGAAGGUCCAUAGUGAUUUGAUGGGUCCAACAAGAACAUCUUCUUAUUCCGGGUUUCGCUACAUGUUGUUGUUCGUAGAUGAUUUCUCACGGUACACUUGGGUAUACUUUGUGAAGGAAAAAUCAGAAGUGUUUCAAAGAUUCCAAGAAUUCAAGGUUACCGUGGAAGGAGAGUUUGGUCGGAAGCUGAAGACUCUAAGGACGGAUAAUGGAGGAGAAUUCAUGUCAAAGGAGUUUCUCUCUUUUUGCCAAAAGAAUGGUAUUAAGAGAGAAUACACAUGUCCGUAUACACCUCAACAAAAUGGAGUAGCAGAAAGAAAAAUUAGACAUCUAACCGAGACGUGCAAAAGCUGACUACAUGAUAAGAAUUUGCCAAAGGCCUUAUGGGCAGAAGGCAUGAGACGCGCAGCCUAUGUCAUCAACCAGAUGCCACUCAAUCCAAACAACAUGAAGUCGUCUUACGAGAUGAUUCACGGGAAGAAGCCGACGGUGAAGCAUCUCAGGAUAUUUGGAUCAGUCUGCUCCGUCCAUGUGUUCGACUCCGAAAGAACAAAGUUGGAAGCAAAGGCAAAGAAGUGCAUCUUUGUCGGUUACGAUGAAAAACAAAAGGGCUGGAGGUGUAUGGAUCCAGAGACACAUAAAUACACAGUGUCUUGUGAUGUUGUCUUUGACCAAGUUUUAUCCUAUUAUGGACCACAUCAAGUCUUAGAUGAGCAAGAUGGUUCAGGUUCCUCUAAGAAUGAUGAACAAAUUAUUCAAAUUCCAAGUGAUAAUGAAAGCUUUGAGAAGGAGGCUCAAGGUGAAAGGGGGAAGCGUUGACCAAGAUGAAGAAGAGGAGCAUGAUCAUGGUUCUGUCGCCAAUCAACGACCAAAAUGGAACAUUGUCAAACCUGCUCGGUUCAGAGAUGAAAGGUUCGUCACCACUUACUCUUGUUACUUUGCAGCUCCUCUAGAUGAAGAUGAACAAUCAUCUUAUGAAGAAGCAGAAGGAGUUUAGGAAUGGAUGACCGCAAUGAAGGAGGAGAUUAAUGCUCUCAUGAAAAAUGAAACUUGGAAUUUGGUUCUGAAACCCAAGGAUGCUCAGCCUGUUUCUUGUAAAUGGGUGUAUCGACUAAAGCGAAAAGCAGAUGGGAGCAUUGAUAGAUACAAAGCAAGGUUGGUUGCUCGAGGGUUCUCUCAGAAGUACAGAGAAGAUUAUGAUGAGACCUUCAGUCCAGUAGCAAAGAUGACUACGAUACGCUCACUCUUAUCUUUAGCUGCAAGCUUUGGAUGGAAAUUAUGGCAGUUAGAUGUGAAGAAUGCUUUUCUAUAUGGUGAGCUUGAUAAAGAAAUAUUUAUGAAGCAACCACCUGGUUUUGAAUCACAAGAGUAUCCUAACCAUGUGUGCAAGCUAAAGAAGGCCUUGUACGGGUUAAAACAAGCUCCACGAGCUUAGUAUGGAAUGCUUGCUCAAUUCCUUCAGUUUUGCGGUUAUAUUGCAUCAAGUGCUGAUCCACGCCUAUUCUUCAAAAGAAGUGGAAGAGCUCAUGUAGUAGUUCUCCUCUACGUGGAUGAUAUGAUCAUUACUGGAAAUGACGAUGCUGAAAUUGCUCGUCUACAAGAGGAUAUGUCGGUGAGGUUUGAGAUGAAGAAGUUAGGCGAGCUGAAUCACUUUCUUGGUCUAGAGGCCGAGAGGGUAAAGGAUGGAAUAUUCAUCGGCCAACAAGGUUAUGCAAAAAGGAUUGUUGACAGGUUUGGAGUACACCAAGGAAAGGUACGUUCUACUCCACUAGAUACUAACAUAAGGCUCAAACGCGAUGAAGGAUCCUUGUUAGCCAAUCCUCGGCCUUAUCGCUCUCUUGUUGGAAGUCUUCUAUACUUAACCAUUACAAGACCAGAUAUUGCCUUUGCGAUUGGUCUUAUAAGCCGGUUCAUGCAGGAACCAAGGAAGCCACAUCUAGAAGCGGCAAAGAAGAUACAUAAGUAUGUGAAGAGAACUCUUGGCAUGGGACUGAUGUACAAGUAUAAUGCCAAGGUUUCUCUUCAUGGUUUCACAAAUACUGACUUUGGUGGAGAUUUAGAUGAUCGAAAAUCAACUUUGGGUUUUGUGUUCUUAUGUGGAGACACAAGCAUUUCAUGGUGCAGUAAGAAGCAAGCAACGGUGUCGUUGUCUACUACCGAAGAAGAGUAUAAAGCUUCAACACUCGCAGCCCAAGAAUGUAUAUGGCUUCGAAGACUCUUUGAAGACUUGUUCGAGCCAAUCAAUAAAUCGAUUACCAUCUAUGGAGAUAAUCAAAGUGCUAUCAGGCUGGCCAAUAAUCUAGUGUUCCAUGGAAGAACGAAACACAUUGAAUUGGAACAUCAUUUCAUAAGAGAGAAGGUGCUUGAUGGAACAAUUGAAGCAUUGGAGGUUCGAAGCGAGGACAACAUUGCUGAUAUCUUCACCAAGUCGUUACCUAAAGGUCAGUUUGAGAUACUCCACUCCAAGCUCGGAAUGGUGGACAAAAUCAAGUUUAAGGGGGAGUAUUGAAGUUAAACUUGAUUUUUGGCUAUGCUUAAUUAUGGGCCAAUAAACUCUUAUUGGACUAAACCCAAAAUUAAACUCAAGUUCUAGAAUCUUCUAGAACUAUCAUCACCUCCUCAAGAAGAAAAAAUCUAGAUAUUGUAGUAGAAAAAUCUAGAGAAUAUGAAAAAAAAAAAAAAUCUAGGAAGUAAGGAGGUUAUAGUAGAAUAAUCUAGAUAUUUGUAAGAUAGUUUAGAAGGCUAUAAAUACCUCUUCGUCCUUUCAUUUGUAACAACACAAGAAGUUGAACAAGUGUAAUAAUAAGAAAAUUUCUUAAAGAAAGAAAGAGUGCUCUACUCGAAGUUCUCUAGAUAUUUUUGAGAAUUCUUCCAUAAAAAGAGUGUUCUACUCGAAGUUCUCUAAAUCGUUUUGAGAAUUCUUCCAUUUUAUUCUUCAUACUUAGAAAUACUCUUGGUUCUUUCGGGUUCUCGGGUAUUACGGUCUUGGGCUAGUGUUAAGCACUAUCAAGGGUGGUUUCUUUACAUCACAUUACCUAGCGUCUAUAAUCGACAUGGUGAUCUGGUUCACUGUGCAAGAUUCACGGUCUCGCUGUUUACUCCAAGUCGAAUAAUUUCCUAUGACGCAAUAACCUGGCGGUUUAGGUUGAGGAAUAUCUGCUGCUUCGCUUUCCAGCAUGAAAACAACAGCCGACAUAAUUGGUCUAUCAUCUGGACGGGCUUGAACACACAAGAGGCCAAUUUGUAAACACCUUUGGAUAUCACGUGGCCUGAACGUUGGUGAUGAAGAAUCUAUGAUGACCGUGUCUACAAUCUCUAGACCUUGACCUUCUUUCCAAUUCCUCCACACCUGGUGCAUAAACGUUUAAUCUAUUCUUAAGUGAUAUCUUCAGAUAUUUUGAGUGUGCGUGCAACACAAUCAAGUUAAAGAGGUUUCAAGCUUACACAAUCGAGAAGAUUGUUGUCACGGCCCGAGUUGUUGAAUCCUUUAUUCCUCUUGCCACUUAUAAUUUCAAGAAGCAAGACUCCAAAACUAAAGACAUCUGACUUCAUAGAGAAUAUCCCUUCCAUAGCGUAUUCUGGGGACAUGUAGCCGCUGCGUAGAAAAUAUAGCUAUCAGGUUUUAAGCUGUGUUUGGGUAGCUCUUAAUUGCUUCAAAAAUGUGAUGAUGUUUUUUUUUAACUACUUACUAAGUUCCGACCACCUUCCUUGUGUUAGCUUCCGUCUCAUCUCGUCCAAAGAUCCUAGCCAUUCCGAAGUCCGAAAUUUUUGGAGUCAUAUCUUUGUCAAGCAAGACGUUGCUUGCUUUCAAAUCCCUAUGGAUGAUUCGAAUGGAUGAAUCUCGAUCGGUGAAGAUAGAGAAUUCCUCGAGCAAUACCAUUGAUGAUAUCAAAUCUCAUUUGCCAAUUUAGCAUACUGCUUCUGGUUAAACCUACACAUCGUACGUUAACAACAUAAACUUAUUAAUGUAUUGACUCUUGUGGAGACUUGAGGCACUAACCAAAGAGAUGAGAAUCGAGGCUUAGAUUCUCCAAGUACUCGUAGAUCAAGAUCUUCUCUCCCUCAUCAACGCAACAUCCAAGAAGCCGUACAAGGUUUAUGUGCUGAAGCCUUGCAAUUAGCCUGACUUCAUUCAUGAAUUCAUUGGUACCUUGAGCUGACAUUUCUGAUAGUCUCUUCACCGCAAUUUCUUGCCCGUCAAGUAACCUUCCCUGGUUACACAUAUUACAUCAAUAAAAUUAGAAACAAUGAUCGUGACAAAAAAAAAAAAAAAAUUAGAAACAAUGACUUAAGCAUUUGAUUUCAAAUAAAACUUUGUAGCAUGUUUACAGAUAUCUUUAUUUUAUAUGGUGUCAAGGUUUUUUUACAGCUUUCCAAAAAAUUCUAAGUUAACUGUGUUUUCUAGCAGAAAUUUAGAAAAUGCACCAAGAAGCUACGGAAUGAGAAAUUUAGCUAUUUGUAUGUAAAUUGUGGUAAAAAAAUUACAGAAAAAAAAUAUCAUAAAAUAAAAUAUGACUAAAAAUAUUCACAAUUAUGCCACAAAUAUUUCUUGACAAAACAAAACUACAAUAAAAUAAGUGGCUAAAAUAACAAAAUAGGGAUUAGCGGCUAUAAAUCUACCUUGUAAACAGCGCCGAAGCCACCUUCUCCAACUUUGUUACAGUCAGAGAAAUGUUCGGUAGCUGUGAGAACAGCUUCAAACUCCAUCAAUGGAAGUUCCAAAUCUUCUACCGCGUUGUCUGAAGAGAACGCUUCAGACAAGUUUCUCCGGGGUGGUAUUUGUCUUGGUAAUACCACCCCGUAAAUUAGAACUUGAUUUUGAACUUAACAUUUGAACAGAUAAAGGAUUAGAAAAUAAAAUUAAAAUUACUGGAAAUUAAAUAAAAUAUAAAAGUGAAGGUUAUUACUGAUUUACCUUAUAGGUGUUUUUUAAAAAAAAAGCCUUAUUUACCUAUAAGUUUUUUUUUUGAAAGCUGGUUUGUUUACCUAUAGGUGUUGCAGCUGCUUUUGCUUUCUUCCGUCUCCUUUUCCAAAAGCAGAACACGAUAACACUCAGAAUAAGCAUUAAGCUAACUCCUACACUCCAACCUAUUUUUUUUCCAUUUCUGUCUCUCUCCUCGUCCGAGGAAAAAACUGCAUAUACAGAAUUAGUAAUCAUAAAUACUUUAUAGAAUUUAUUUAUACUCCUAUUCAUUUAUUUAAAUAUAUUUAGGUGGCAAUAGAUAUGUCAGUCUUAUAAAGAAAUUUUGAUAUCAAUUGUUACCUAAAUAUAUUGGUACCACAGGAUAUCCUGAUGUAUAAAGAAAUAGAGCUAACCUAUAUCAGCAGGAGCCAAUUUGACAUAGAGAUCUUGACCACCGAUGGAGUAAGUCCGGGUAUCAUUAAGCUGCCUGGUCCACAUCACACAACCCGUUCCGCCAUUUCGAACAUCCGCAGCCGCGAACGAAGUACAGGUACAAUCCCUAAGGCACCUCUCUUCACAUUUCUUCAAGUUAAUUCUCCGAUCAAAACUAGCCAUCUUGGUAUCUGGAAGUUUCGUCUUCUUAAGCAAUAAAAACCUAUUUCCGCUGCAACUCAGCGGUGUCCUCCUCACACACCCUUCUGAUCGUUCUGUCCCGCUCCACUGCCGCGGGUUCAUGCGGUGGAACCCUUCCAAACAGUUACAUGUAUUGUUUAACUUACAAUAAGCAUUGGGUCCACAGUGAUUAUAAUAAUCGCAUUCUGCCGUUGGUAAAGCAUCGAAAUCCCUCCAUCCAGAUGAUGGCGGGAUCCACGUGGAUAGAUAGAGGGACCCAUAGUAAACGAUGGUAAAUCUAGAGUAGAUGCUUUGGUUGGCACUAAGGAACGUGUACGUGACCUCCUCACUGUUAUCCGUGUAAUUGUAAUAUAGUUCUUGAUCCUUAGGCUUCGGUAUGCCACUAAACUCGAUUCCAUUCCACGGACCGCCCCGAUACUGUUCAAUAUCGUUAUACAUCACAAAGAAUUCGGGCAAGCCCCUUCGAGUGUCGAGUUCGUACGUGAAAUACCCGCUUGAGGGAUCAUCAGAACUUCUCCAUGAUGUGAGGAACCUGCUGCGCCCUGUUUUGCGAUGGUAACCUAGUUUCAUCCCCGGAAGUAAAGUAUCCGUCGGAAAAUCGAAACUCUGCCACAAGAAUCCACUUGGAGUGUCGUUGUUGGAGUAUCUCAUUACAAAAUUACCGUUGGGAAGAAGCUCUGCUACCACCGGAGAACUAACAUUUCCUCUGGUAAGAUUCGAGGACCACAAAACAGAGUGACCUAGCAGGACAAGAUUGUUGCCAGAGAUUUUGAGGGUUCCAAUGGAAUUUGACUGAGGGUUGUCUCGGUUGGCGACCCAUGCGUAGGUUUUCUGAUCAAAGACUUUUCUAUACCAUAUUCCCAAAUACCAACGCUGGAGCGCCGAUGGUUUGAAGAAACCAAGCUCGAAGACUCCGCCGGGAGAAACAAGUGUUCUGUUGCUUGAGAUUGUAAGAGAUUCUGUGGACGACAAAGUGUUGACAUCGACCGAAACGGUAGGAUGAUGAAAUAGUAGAAUCGAGACGAGCAAUAACGACAAGGUGUAAGAAUGGUGGCAUGUGCUCUGUGCACCUUUCAUCUUUCUUCUUCUUCUUUUUUUUUUUCCGUUUAUGUUUGAACUUUUCUUGACGCACGAUUGAUGAAAGUAACUUGCAUGUGUUCCUAUUCAUAUAUUAAUCUUUAGUUACUUUCGCAAGAAAAUUCAAACUUAACUAAUUAAUUAUCAUCACUAACCUACCAGACAAGCAAAAGGUUGUGUUUCCUUUUCCAUGACUUUCUCACCCUUUCAAUCAAUCCAUUUCCACAAACCUUACACACUGAAACCUCUAUAAAUUAAUAAUGUUGAGACUACACCAAGACUAUAAUCUUUUUAUUAAUUUAUAGAGAUAUUAAUUUAUAGAUAUGCUAAUUAAACCAAAAACUCAAUUUGAGACUAUAAAAUUAUAUUAUUUUAUAGAUUUUUAGUGUAUAUUAAUUUAUAGAGUAUUAAUUUAAAGAGGUUAUAUUGUAUAUCAUUAGUCUACAUUUUUCAAAUUAUUAGUUCUCACGCUGCCAACAUGUCGUCUAUGUUGUUCGGCAAGUAUAGCAUUCUUUUUUUUUUGAAACAGUCACAAAAAUACUCUAAACCGUUUGGUGUUCGGCAAGUAUGGCGUCCCUAAGAGCAUCAUACGAUCCAGUAGAGUUUGUGGUUGCAUCCGGAUGAAUGUGGAUAAAUAAAUGUAAAAUAUUUUAAAAUUGAAAUAUCAUAAAUACAAAUUAUAAACUAUAUUUAUACUCACAAACAAUAUUAUAAAAACUUUAAAACAAAAAUAUUCCCUAUAAUUUUUAAAUAUUACUAUAUAUACAUGUAUACAUUUAUAUAAAUUAUAUUUCAGUGAGAAGAAGAAAAAUGAGAGCAGCUGAAGAAGGGGAAGGACAAACUGCUCAUGCAUGCAUGGUGGUACUGGUAGCCUGGUAGGGCAAUGAGUACGGAGUACCAUUAGUUGGCUGUAAAGUAUAACCUUCCAUGUGUUACCGUUUGGUUGCUCUUGCAGGAAAUGAACUUGGAGUUCUCAUGUCAAACUUAAAGACAUAUGACCAAGUCAUCACUAAUGCUAUAGUUAACUAACAUAUAUGUGGUUGUAACGAAUAAACUAGGAAACUUCACGGUUUUCUCUAUACGUGUGUUUGUUUGUUGUAUAAGAGAUUCUAAAUUUUUGGUGAUUUCACCUUUCUAAUUAGUAAAGAUAUUUAUUCGACACAGUUGGAAUUGAGAUUUGCAACAAACUACUUAAGAACAAAGACCAUGAGCAUCAUACAGCUCUUUUAAAUACAUUGAAUCGAUCGAAAUAGCUUAUUGUCCAGAUAAUUUUUGAGUUUCUUUGUUAAGCCUUGAUCUUGAUCUGUCUGAACAGAGACAUGGAUCUUAACAUCAUGGACACCAUCAGUCUGUCCAUGUCAAGCUUCCAAACAAGUGGCCACACGAUAAAUAUUAAGGACAUACAAUCUCCCUAUCAAUCUAACUCUAAGCACACAGUCAAGCUAUUAACUCUUUCUUGAAAAGUGAAUUUCUCGAGAACUUGCAAGGCGUCUUUGAUAUUAGGCCUUCUCUGUGGCAUUGGAGAAGCACAUGCCUAUUUUCAAACAGGCUAACACAGCUUCGUCUUUGCCCUCUAAGUCUCUUAACUUUACUCACCUCUUAUAGCCAUAUCUAAUUCAAAGAGGAUAUUAAUAGGCUUGAGAAUAUUACCAUGCACGUGCUUCUUGUCGUGUAACUUUACUGACCUCAUAUGUAAGUUAGCCCACGUGUAUGUAAGUAAACACAGCUUCUUCUUUGCUAUUUUUUAUAAUUAAAUUCUUGACUGUGCAGAAAAAAUAUUUGGUAACUAAAUUAUUUUCUGUGUAAAUUGCACGUAAUGUGAUAACAAAUGUACUAAAACUAAAACUAAAACUAAACCAAGCGCUCGUAGCUUGGUGGUAAAGGAGGUACAGCUGUACUGCCCGUCACCCGGGUUCGAGCCUUGGCCACAACGGAUUUAACAUCCCUUCUGUUGGGGCGCUGGACUUCUUUUAGGAGAUAGUUGGGAACGUGACUGACCAAAUACCAGAGUUAUCAAAAAGAAAUGUACUAAAACUAUCCCGACGUCGCUUCUGUCGUUUCUUACGUUUAUAAUCAACGUGAACCAACCAUCAUUAUUAAUUGUUUUUUCAAAGAACGUAACAAAAGCAUAUGAAUCUGGAUAUGUAGAUAUCUUUGCUAGAGUAUAAAAUAUUAUCUAUGUAUUUCUUUUGAUUGUGCGAUGUUCCGAAAAAAAAUGUGACGUCGGAUGAUUCAUGACGUGUGUGAAUACUAAUCAGUUAAUUAAUAUUGAAGAAACAUGACCAGAUGGGAGAGAAUGGUAUCUUUCAUAUAAGACAUUCAGAUAAGUUUGAAGUUUUACAGGCCCCUCCAGAAGCGUGCUUACCCUUGUUAUGAGAAAGAUAAUUACCUUAGACCCCAAUUUGUAUAACACAUUUUAGGGGUUCCAUUUUAAUUUCACUUUAAAUUGGUUAUAUUGUAUAUAUAAACUUCUCUUAGUUUUGGAUUUAAACAAUAAUUUAUUUAUGCUAUUUAGACUUAUUUUAUUCUAUUUUACACUUUUAAAUUUAAUUUAUCAUCUACCUUCAUAAAACUAUGACUUUAUUUAUUUAAUUUUUAGACUUUAAAUUAUAAUUUUUUAGCCUGUAUAAUUUUAUUUUAACUAUUGUAGUAAUACAUUUAUAAGAUUACCAUUUAACAUAUCUAAAUAAGCACAUAUCUAAAUAAGCACACCGAAUUCCGACGGACACCAAUGUCGUCGGACAUUUGUGACGGAAUACUGACAAAUUUCCGACCAAAUCCAAAAAAAUUAAGUCGUCGGAAUUCCGUCGGCCGUUUCCGACGGAAUUCCGACGAAACAUGGUUCGCCAGAAUUUUCCGACGACUUUUCGACGAAAUUCCGAUAAAAAAUGUAACCGUUGUAGUCGUCGGAAGUUCGUCGGUAUAUUCCGACGAAUUUCCGACGAACUUCCGAUUAACAGUAAAGUCGUCGGAAUUCCGUCGGUAUUUUCCGACGAAUUUCCGACGAACCAUGUGACCGUUGCCGACAAAUAUAUAUGACCGUUGUAUAGCCGUUUGAGAUUGGACAAUACCGACGGAAUUCCGACGGACUGCUGUACAUCCGUCGGAAUUUCGUCGGAAAGUCGUCGGAGGUCCGUAAGCAAUUUCCUAUAAAUACAACCCCUCCUCAUUCAACUCAUUCACACUUCAUUCUCUCUUCAUUCUCUUUAGUCAUAACAAUUCCGUGAAAAUCAUGUCUUCAGAAGUUUAUUAUCGUCCGUGGAUGGAUAAACCUCAUUUGGAUCCGAACACCAAUUUGCUUACGGAAGAAUACGUUCAAGGGAUUGGAGAAUUCAUGAGGCUUGUUCAACAGCAACCGGAUGCAAAAAGUGGUAUGUUAAGAUGUUUCUGCUCUUCUUGCAAUAAUAAUAAGGUUAUAAAAGAAUUUGAUGUUUGGACUCAUUUGUAUAUGAAAGGGUUUUCACGUAAUUAUAAAGUUGGGUACCUUCAUGGGGAAACUGGUUAUGAAUAUGGUAGUACUAGCGAACCUUAGCCUGUUAGUGAACUUCAGCCUGAUAUUAGGUUAGAAGAAUCUAGAACGGAUAUAGAUUAUGGUGUAGGUACUGAGCAGAUGGUACAUGAUCAUUAUAGAGGGGAAGAACCAAACCCCGAAUCUAGGAGAUUUUUUGACAUGUUGGAUGCAGGAAAACAACCUUUGUAUCAAAAUUGUAGAGAUGGUCAUUCAGUCUUAUCAUCUGCAACUAGAUUAAUGGGUAUUAAGACAGACUAUAAUUUGGCUGAAGAAUGUAUGGAUGCGAUUACUGAUUUUGUCAAAGGUAUUCUACCUGAGGAUAACCUUGCACCGGGUUCAUACUACGAGGUUCAGAAACUUGUUGCAGGUCUUCAACUACCGUUUGAAGUGAUAGAUGUAUGUAUUGACAACUGCAUGAUCUACUGGAGAGCAGAUGAGACACGGAAUGUAUGCAAAUUUUGUGGGAAACCUCGUUAUCAGGAGACGAGGGGAAGAGUUCCGAUCCCAUUCAAAAGAAUGUGGUAUUUGCCUUUGACGGAAAGAUUGAAGAGGUUGUAUCAGUGUGAGCGCACAUCAAAAGCAAUGAGAUGGCAUGCAGAGCAUUCCACAAAUGGUGAGAUUAGACAUCCUUCAGAUGCAAAGGCUUGGAAACAUUUCCAGUCAACAUAUCCAGAAUUUGCGGAAGAGAGAAGAAAUGUUUAUCUUGGAUUAUCUACUGAUGGUUUCAGCCCAUUUGGAAAGCAUGGAAGACAAUAUUCUCUAUGGCCAGUUAUUGUGACACCGUACAACUUACGGCCGCGCUUGUGCAUGCGACGAGAGUUUUUGUUUCUCUCAAUUCUCGUCCCCGGGCCAGAUCAUCCUAAAAGAUCACUAGAUGUGCUUCUUCAACCACUAAUAUAUGAGUUGCAACAACUAUGGGCGCAUGGUUUUGAGACAUACGAUGUUUCGCGCAAAGAAAACUUUCAGAUGCGGGCAGUACUUAUGUGGAAAAUAAGUGACUUUCCAGCAUAUGGUAUGUUAUCUGGAUGGACAACACAUGGGAAGCUAUCAUGUCCAUAUUGUCAAGAUGACACAGAUGCUUUCCAACUAAAGAACGGAAGGAAAACGUGUUGGUUUGACUGUCACAGACGAUUUCUACCACCUGAUCAUCCAUACCGCAGGAGUAAGACUUCGUUUACGAAGAACAAGCAGGUGUUUGAUGGUCCACCUGAGGAAGUUAGUGGGAAAGAUUUGUUGAAGCAGUUUAGGUAUUUUGAUGCAGAAAGGACGCCAGAUGUAGGUGGACAUGAAAGCAUUCGAGUCAAUGCGGUUGGAGAGCUACAUAACUGGCACAAAAAGAGUAUUUUCUGGGAUCUGCCAUAUUGAGAGAGUCAUCUAUUGCGGCAUAAUUUAGAUGUCAUGCAUAUUGAGAAGAACUUUUUCGAUAAUCUGAUGAACACAGUCCUUAACAUCCAAGGUAAAACGAAGGAUAAUUUGAAGUCAAUGUUGGAUUUAGUCGAUAUUUGUGAUCGUUCUGAACUUCACGUUGAUGAGAAUGGUAUGGCCCCUUUUCCCAUUUAUCGGCUGGAUGGUGCUAGAAAAGAAGAGUUCUUUGAUUGGAUUACAGAUAAAGUAAAAUUUCCUGACGGAUAUGCAUCAAAUUUGGGGAACUGCGUUGAUAGAAGCGAAUGAAAGUUUACUGGCUUGAAGAGUCAUGAUUGUCAUGUAAUUAUGCAGCGCCUCCUUCCGUAUGCUUUUUCAGCAUUAUUGCCACGUAAUGUUCAUGAAGCAAUUGCAGGUAUAUUAUAUUUUUACAAUUUAAUUUAUUUUUAUAUUUAACAAUUAUGCUUAUAAAAACUUAAUACUUACGAAAAUUAUGUUUUUUAUCUAUGUAGGGAUUAGUGUUUUCUUCCGCGACUUAUGCAGCAGAGUAGUGACUGAAGAGGGUAUUAAUAAUUUGAAGACAAACGCACCAGUCAGCAUGUGCAACCUUGAGAAGAUAUUUCCUCCAUCAUUCUUUGAUGUAAUGGAACAUCUUGCUAUUCAUCUCGCAAGAGAAUUGGAACUUGGUGGUCCUGUGCAGUACAGAUGGAUGUAUAUUUUUGAGUGUUAUAUGCAUCAUCUGAAGAAGAUGGUCAAAAAUCAAAGCAGGGUGGAAGGAUCUAUAGUGGCACAGGUGAUCAAUGAAAAAACUGCAAUCUUUGCUGAAAAUUAUUUUCCACCAGAAGUGCAUACAAAACACCGAAGACCUGCUCGGCAUGAUGAUAGAGGGGAGAUAGCAACAUAUCAUGUUACUGUCUCAAGCAUGUUCAAGGAAAUAGGACGACUUAGUGGAAAAUUCAUGAAGCGGAGACUUACGGACACUGAGCACGCUCAUUUGCAAACAUAUUUGCUCACCAACUGUGAAGAUGUUCUACAAUAUGAGAGGUAAAAAUAUUUAUUCAUUUAUUGUUAGAUUAAUAUUCAAUAAAUUUAUUUCAUAUUGAUAAUAUUUUUGUAUAUAGUGUAUAUAUGGCGGAGUUGCGUAUGACUCACAGGCAUGCAACAGAAGAUGAGCUUCGACAACUUAGAGAUAACGGAUUUGCUGCGUGGCUUCGUAGUUAUGUGAGUCAUAUAUCAUAUUACCCUAUGCAAAUGAUUAGUUUAAAUUUAAUAUAUAUAAAUUAAUUAACUUUUCAAUAAUAUAUGUUUUUAAUUUAUAGGUGAAUGAUGGUUUGGCCAGAGGUCUUGUGUUCGAUGAUUGGAUACGCGAAUUUGUGGAGGGGCCAAACUAUGUGGUCAAAUCAUAUCCUAAAUUUUGUACGCGAGGAUAUGCAUUCACAAGGAAAGGUCAUUCUAAGACAACAUAUGAUGCUGGUGUUUCAUCUUCUUCUGGUGACGAUGUCUACUACGGCAACAUAAAAGAAAUAUUGGAAAUCCAAUUUCCUGGAAUGGUUGGAUUGCGUUGUGUAGUAUUCUAUUGUGAUUGGUAUGACACCACCCCAGAUAGAGGAGUGAAGAUUGAUGCGUUUGGUGUUACAUCAGUUCAUUCGCGGCGGAAACUUCAAUAUUAUGAUCCCUUCAUUCUUGGUUCGCAAGCUGAUCAGGUAUGUCAAUCUAUUAAUAAUUUUUUACCAAUAUAAUUAAUUAAUGUUAUAUAUUUUACUAAUACUUGUAUAAUUGAUAUGUAUAGGUGUGCUAUAUCAGUUACCCUCGGGUGACGUACAGAGACGAUCCAUGGGUUACUGUAACGCAAAUCAACCCAAGAGGACGAGUGGAUGGAACUUCUGAUGAUGAUGAACCAUUGCAACCAGAGUCUACCAGCAACGCCCAGGCAGUUGAAGAUUUGGAAAAUGUUCAACUCGUUGAGAAUUUGACUGUGUUUGGACAUGAUGCUGUCGUACAUUCAGAGCCAGAAGCCGAGGUUGGGGAGUUUGAUGAAGAUUCAGAAGAUUCUGAUUAGUUUUUUUUUUUUUUUUUAAUUGGUCCGUCGGAAAUCCCUCGCAAUAUACCGACAACAUAGCGACGACAUUGGGUUUCAUUGAAAUUUGGAAAGAUCGUCGGUAUUUCGUCGGAAUAUACCGAUGACAUUCCGACGAACUGGACACGAAUUACCGACGACAUGUGUUUCUAUAAAAUUUCAAUCAUAAAAAUCUAUAAAUUUAGAUACCAAAACUAUGAAAAUAACACAUAAUAAGUGUUUAAUAUAGUAUUAGAUCGCAACCGUUCAAAUAUAACAACUCAUUAAAAUGUUUAUGUAUGCAUAUCAUUGUUUUCAUAACAUCUCAUCUUAACAUUAUAUACUUAUACAAUCAUAUUUAUAUAAGAUUACACUACAAAAAAUGUUGUUGUGUAAAAUCGUGUUAUAAAACAUUUUUAUUGUUAAAUCUUUAUGCAAAUACUAUAUAUAUAUUAUCAAAGAUUUGGAUUUUGCAUUUAGAAACUUGAAAUCAACACCCUAAACACUAAGUCGUCGGAAUUCCGUCGGAAUAUAUCGACGGAAUGUGUCCGUCGGAAUAUACUGACGGACACAUUCCGUCGGAAUUUCAAUUUGCCCGGGAGAACCAAACCGCUUGAAAAUUUUCGCGAAUCGGCAUUUGGUAUAUUUUAAUUAUACCGACGGAAUACCGAUGAACCCGUGUCCGUCGGAAUCCUCGGAUAUAAUAACCCUCCUUCUUCCUUNNNNNNNNNNNNNNNNNNNNNNNNNNNNNNNNNNNNNNNNNNNNNNNNNNNNNNNNNNNNNNNNNNNNNNNNNNNNNNNAUCGUCUCAUGACUCGGUUCCCGCAUAUAUUCCCGCUCCAGCUCCCUCUGCCUCUCACGCUGCCCCUCACGCUGCUGCUCAACAGGAUCCGGGGGUCAUGCCGGUUCAUCUAUUGGUUCAACAACCAGGUCGAGAGCAUCUCCCGUUUCUCCAACUCAACCCACGACGAGGCCAUAGCACUUGGUUAGUAUUUUUUUUUAUUUGUACCGUUAUAUUUUUUGCUUUAAUUAACUUGCUAACUUGUAUUUUUUUUAAAGGUUCACCAAGUCGAAAAAUGGCAUUAGCCGGAGCAUCAACCAGAUGAUGUACUCCAUGCUCCGUUUUGGAUAUCCAAAGUGGAGUGUGAUCCCUUCCGACGAACGAGAGUUGUGGUUUCGUCAGUUUGCGGUAUAGUAACUCUUCAUUUUUUUAAAGUUUUUACAUUUUUUUAAAUAUAUUUACUUAUUAAAUUGUGUUUGUUUUGUAGCAAGAAUUCAACUGGCACUCCGAUCUUACGGAAACAGUCCGUAAGAAAUUCAACGAAAAGGCCAUGGACUCUUAUACAAAGCAGAUAAACGCGUGGAAGACAGUUUGGCAGAAGAACAAGAAGCCACGGUUCAUCAACGGGACGGUGUGGGAGCAGUUGAUAGCUCAUUGGGAGAAGGAAGAAACUGCAGAGACGUCUUCUAGGAACUCCAGGAACCGGAAGAGCGAUCGUGGCGGGAAAGGUAUGUAUGUGCACAACCUCGGCGCUUGCUCUAUGUCAGACCUGGAAGAGCGAUCGUGGCGGGAAAGGUAUGUAUGUGCACAACCUCGGCGCUUGCUCUAUGUCUACUAAGGAGGAUGAACUUGUAAGUUUUUUAUUAUUAUUUAUCUUUAUAUUUUUUAAAUAAAUAUUUUAUAUAUUCCUUGGCUAAUAAUGGCGGGGUUUUUAGAUCGAAGCAAAUGACGGUAAUCCCGUUGAUCGUCUCCAACUCAUUAAGGUGGCUCACACUAACAAGACGACGGGUCAAAUUCAGGACCCCAUGAUCAAAGGUGUAGUUGAUUUGGUGGAAGCUGAAAUAGUUUCUCAAUCUCAGCCUCUCUCUGAUGACGGCGACUCUACGGGAGCUUCAACCAACCUGUCUCUAUUGCAAAUAAAUGAGAUGGUUGAAAAGGUAAUUUUUUUUAUUAAUAUAUUUUUUUUAUAAUGUCGAUUACUUACUUGUCCCUAUUUACUUACUUUAAAUAUUUUUGUAGGCGGUUCCUAAAAGGAAAGGAGGCCGUUUAGUUGGGUUGGCCCGUCGUGCUUCUUCGUAUCCGGCAUCUUCUUCGCAAGCUCCGUAUGCCGAUCCCAUGAUUCUCGAGGAGCUACAUGACAAAGAUGAACGGAUUGGGGUAUUGGAGGAGCAGAACACCACUAUCCUUUCGGAGAAUGCCACUAUCCGUUCAGAGAAUGCCACUAUCCUUUCGGAGAAUGCCACUAUCCGUUCGGAGAAUGCCACUAUCCUUGCUGAGUUGGCAUCCCAGAAGAAGUUCAACACCGAGAUUAUGCAGAAGCUAGAUCGUUUGAUGUCUUCGAGUUCAUCUUAGUUUAUUUCGGCUUUUUAAAACUUUCGGAAUGUUUUUUUUUCUAUUUCGGUUUGUAUGAAUUUUAAACUUUCUGAAUGUUUUUUUCCUAUUUCGGUUUGUAUGAAUUUAAAUUAUAUAAUAUUAUUAGUUUUAAAUUUAUGAUUUUUUUUAAUUUAUUAAUAUCAAAAAAUAUAUAAAAAUACAAAAAUAAUUCAUUUUUAAAAUUGGUAUAUACCGAUGGACAAUGGUCGUCAGAAUAUACCGACGGACAUAUAUCCGUCGGAAUGUACCGACGAACCGCAUUUCGUCGGAAUAUACCGACGAACACGUUUACGUCGGAAUUGUCCGAGGAACGUUCUCCGUUGGUACGUAGUUUUUCGAUGAACUCUGGUCUCGUGUGUCCGCAUCGUAAUAUCGUCGGAAGUUCGUUAGAAUGACGUUUCUCGGUAUUCGUCAGAAAGUCGUCGGAAGUUCUGACGAAAUUCCGACGAAUUUUUUUUUUCCAACGAAACAAUACCGACGGACAGGUUCGUCGGAAAUUCGUCGGAAUCGGUCUAUUCCGACGAAUUUCCGACGAUUUCGGCCAUCAGAAUCCUUCUGUUUUCUUGUAGUGCAAACACCUAGGCACGACACUGGGUCCCUCGCUAGUUACUAAGUGAUUUACUAAACAUAAUCAUAUACGUAAAAGACCUGAAAAUUUCGAUAUGAAUAUGUGUACAUAUGUCAUAGCAAUAAAUAAUCAAUUAGAGAAUGACUACUAGUUUGGUGGUGGACAAGUGCCUAAGAAAUGCAUGGCGUGUUCUACUUAACAUUUUGCAAAGCUUCAAACACUAUCGCCUUGUAAAAUUACACCCAAUUCGAUAGUUUUUCAAACAGUGAACAUACAAUAAUAAUAGAGCCAUUGAUCAAUGUCACUUGAUCGGUCGGGUGUUUUUCUCUUUUUGGAUAUGUUAUGAUAUCUGCUACGACUUUGUAUUUCUUUGGUUCUCAACAAAACGAUUUAGUAACAACAAAAUAGAAGAUUUCAAGGGUCAAUGAAUAACAAUACCAAUGAUAUUUAUAUUUGUUUUAUAUGUCUAUCAAGUGAUGAAUGAACACAUCGAAGCCAUUUAGUAGUAAGCUACUUUCCGGUAGUUUUUAACAACGACGUCAAUGAUUAAGUGAAAUGGACCAUAGUUUAUUUUAUAGAUAAGUUAAGGAAACAAAUUUCGAUAUAAAAAAAAGAAGACAAAAGCUUAAACUCCCUUUUUGCUUUGUUAAUGAUGUGACGGAACUAAUAUGCGAUGUUUUGUACCCGCUAGAUAUCAUAGUUCUUUACAUAUCAAACGCUCUUGAAGGAUGAUAUAACUAUAAAAUAUACACAACUAGGAUCAGCCGCUCUACGCGCUGAAUAUUUGUCAUUUGUCUAAUUAGUGACUGAUCGUAUUUUACAACGUUAAUUUUUGGAUGAAAAAUGUGGAUUGGAUUGUAAUAGCAUGUGUUUGUUAUUAUAUACCUUCGGAGGCGUCUCUGAGCAGAGCAAGCUUAGGCCUAUGCCUUAUUUUAUUUUAAAUGUUAUAUAAUUAAAGUAGAAAUGCUUCUCUGUAUAUUGAAUUGAAAAGAAAAAGAAAAAAGCACUAAUAAAAAUUCAUAAUUAUCAUACUUAUAUUUUAGUUUCAAAAAUUAAAUUGGGCUUUUGGCGUGUUAGGAAUUUUGUUGGCGUUUGUCUUUAUAUAAAUGAAGUUCUUGUUGAUUUUAUCUUACAAUUACGAAAAUUAUGACAUGUUUACCGUAAAAAUAUGUAUUGAAAUAAUAUGCUAUGCAUUGUAGUGGUAAGUGGCCCUAGAGUUUAUAACAGGUGACGUGGCCAGAGUUUUGUUUGUGGUGGUAUACGGAACUAACAGCUCUCGGAGAAAGAGCUAUGUCCGCAAAUAAUGUAAGCUCGGUAAAGUAGGUAACCUACCCAAAGUCUACCAAUAUGUUCAAGCGUCAUAUCUUCAUUCAAAAGGUAUAUUUUCAUCUUCUCAUCUCGGAGUCUCUUUGAUCAGUUGAAGUAGCUAGUUAUGUAUUUCUAAAAAGGUAACGUGAGGGUUAGAUCAUUAAUUUUAUUUUAUUUUAUUUUACUGUUUAUCAACCGCUGGUUUUGAUUAUUGUUCCAUGGAUAUCAAUGGAUUGGUUUGAUCCGUUUUGCCUUAUUUUCCAUUAAUAAGAGCAUCAACUUGAGAUACAAGUUAGAACACAAGCCCAUGCGGCCAUGCAGUUUUCAGGUAAACAAGGAUUUUACCGGUCCAUCUCUAACCGCAAUCGGUUUACCCCAACCAAAAUCGUUUCCAAACAUAUUGAACCGUGGAGAGCUAGCAACAAGGACCGAAUUGUUCACCACCAAACCAUUCGGUAUUUUCGGAUCCUUCACCUAAUUGUCAGCAACUCGUUUGAAUUCUUCAUUUGUGACCCCACAGUUUUGUUUAGUUUCAAAGCAGCUCAGCCCAGUCCAUUGUUAAGCAUUUCUCCAGCGGUUGUGGUGGCUGUCGCCAGUCCGAUUGGAGGGUUUAGUCUCUGUCUCAUAUUGCAAUGAGUCACUUCUUCCGGGUUGAGCCCACUCUUUCUGAUUAUCGAUCGCCACAUAUGGGCCAACACAGCUUGAAACGAAGAGAUUUUCAGAUCCACAUCAGAACCAGCAACCUCGCUGUUGGCUUUCGCUUUGAGCUCAGAUAUAUGUCUACUCGUGAACCGAAAUAUCAUCUUUUGUAGAUCCGCCAACGAUAAGAAACAACCUCAACAGGUGAUGAUAUAAUAAACCCGCCACGAGGAGGCAAAGGAGGAAAUGUUUUCAGGUCAAAACCGGUAGAGCAAAUCUCAGUCCAUAUUUAAAAAAAAAACUCCAAAAGGAAGUUCCGUCAGAAACCAAAUGGUUAACGCCAUAUCCGAUGAACACUCCAUCUUUCAACUCUGUUACUUGGACCGCAAGCAAAGACUCUGAGACCUCUUACUAGCUUUCAACUCUGGAAAAAAACUCAGUCCAGUAAGCAUUGUCCGAUCUAAGACAUCACUCACCGAGACAGUUUUAGCCGCUGCAUGCACGAAUUUGACACCUGAACCAUCGCAUUCUACGAAAAAUAUCACAUGUUUAUCAUUUACCUGAAUGCGCCAGGAGUUCGAAUCCUCUUGCUGAAUCUCGCAUCGGAUCGAUCCUUCCACGACGUGGAGUCUGCCGAAACAGAUCUUAUCGGACUGAAGCCAUUCGCUAUACUUUUAUCCCACGGAUGUGGUUAAAUCACGGAGAUCUCACGUACCACCACGAGAAAUGUAUGCUCGAAUGUCUCCUCUCCUCUUCUUCUUCCUCGAUAUUGGAGGAAGACGUGUCUGAAGCGCUUUUACCAUUUUUUAUAUUAAUUUUUAUAUAAAAUUAAUAACAAAUUCCAAUAUAUUUUUUUGUUAAUUUUUACAAUUGUACAAGAAGAAAAGGAGAUGAAGAUACAUGCACUACAAGAAAACAACAAGGAUUCUGAGGGAAAAAAUCGUCGGAAUUUCGUAGGAAUAUCGUUAUUCCGACGACAUACCGACGAAACAAGUCGUCGGAAAUAAUUCCUCGGAAUUUCUUCUUUCCUCGGAAAUUCCUCGGAAUUUUCCGACGGAAUUCCGAGGAAAUAAACUUCCGAGGAAAUUCCGAGGAUCACUAGUUUGUCGGAAAGGUCCUCGGAAUAUACCGAGGGAGAACUUCGUCGGGAUACUUCCUCGGACGUUCAUCGAUCGAUGCGUUUUUAGGCAUAUAUACAUCGAUCGAUAGGAAUAUACCGAGGGACAUAUUCCUCGGAAAAUUCCGAGGAAUGUGUCCCUCGGUAUAUUCCGAGGGAUCUGUCCCUCGGAAUAUUCCGAGGGAAAUGUCCCUCGGUAUAUACCGAGGAACCGUUCCCUCGGUAUAUUCCGAGGAAAGGUUUCCCUCGGUAUAUUCCGAACGUUUUUUUAUAAACAGAUCGAUCGAUGGAUUUAUGUCCAAAAACGCAUCGAUCGAUCGAGUAAAAAAUAUAAUUAAUUUCCUCGGAAUGUAAAAAAUAUUAUUUAAAAAAAAAAAAAAAUUUCUGAAAUUUAAAUUCGAAAAUAUGAAAUUAAAAUUAAAAUUGAAAUCAUAUUAAUUAAUAUUCAAAGUUUCACAAUUAAAAAUAAAACAUUCCGAGUUUUUGGAAAAAAAAAAAAAAACUACGGGUCUGGCACGUCCGGGAAGACCUCGUUCGGGUACAUCCUUUGCAUCAUCUCCAUCAUUUGCUGGUUCAGCCUCCUCUGUGCCUCAUAGCCCGCCUGUUGAGCCGCCAUCUGGGUCUCCAACAAAGAUAUACGAUCAUCUUUGUCCUUCAACUGAGCCGUAAGCACUUCUGGAUCAACAAAGGGCGGUGGUGCAGAAGAAGGAGGAACCGACCGGGUGCGACGACCCAAACCGACCAAACGUCCCUUCUUCUUUGGAACCGACUGAAUAGAAAAUAGCCAAAUUUACAAAUUUAAACCAAGAAAUAAAUGAAUUGAACUUAAAAAAAAAAAAGAACUUACGGAUUCAACGAUUUCGUUGAUUCGAAACCGGGACAAGUUGGUCGAAGCCGUCGAAGCGUCAUCCUCGGUUUGAAGCUGAGACACUUCGUCUACCACCUGAGUUUGGACCAGGUCGACCACGUCCCUCACAAGACCGUCAUCAAUCUGGUCGGUCUUCUUGUUGGUAUACGCCCUCCUCAUUAGGGCGAGAUCAUCGACCGGCUCGCCAUCAUUUUCUUCCGCCUUGAAAAAAAACAUAAAAUUAAAGAAACAUUAGAAAUUAGAAGAAAUGCACAAUUAAUUUAAAUUCUGAAACUCAAAUAAUUGAAGAAAAAAAAUAUUUGCCCGGUAAAAUGAAAAUAUUCCGAGGAAAUUCCGACAGAGAGUAAAAUAUCCGUCGCAAUUUCCUCGGAAUAUUCCGAGGAAAUACCGAGGAACUAGUGUUUGGGGUUUCAAAACAUCAAUUUUUUUGCCGUAUUUCAUUUCUUAUACAAUUGUAAUGCAUACCAUUGAGGAUUCUUUGUAUACAUGAGCAUAAACCAUGAAAUAACAAAUUUCAAAACUAAUUGAAAGUAUUCCCUUUACCGUUCAUUAAAAGGUAUAAGUGUUUCUCUUAUGUUGCGAGAUUUCGUUCAUACAAUCGGAAAAGUGUUAAUUAUACGGUAAGGAACAAAUUUUUGACUUCAUAAUGAACGUAAGACACUUAAUAAGGGUUAUAUAGGUGUUAUUCAAACGGCAAAACGUUGUUUUCGGUUUAAAAACCCUAUUUCCUCGGAAUUUCCUCGGAUUAUUCCGAGGGAACUCCGAGGAAACCCUCUUCUUCCUCGAAAUUUCCUCGGAAUAUUCCGAGGAAAUUCCGACGAACUAGUGUUUGGGGUUUCAAAACGUAAUUUUUUUUAAAAAAACGCAUCGAUCGAUGCGUUUUUGAACAAAAACAAAUCGAUCGAUUACUAAGAUGGCCCGGGCCGUAAGAUUGUGAUCGAUCGAUGAGAGUAUCCCAUCGAUCUAUCGACAAUCUGAAUUGUUCCUCGGAAUUUCCUCGGAAAAUCUUGUAUGUUUUUUUAAAAAUGCAUCGAUCGAUGCGUUAUAGAACAAAACCGCAUCGAUCGAUUACUAGGAUGGCCCGGGCCGUAAGAUUGUGAUCGAUCGAUGAGAGUAUCCCAUCGAUCUAUCGACAAUCUGAAUUGUUCCUCGGAAUUUCCUCGGAAAAUCUUGUAUGUUUUUUUAAAAAUGCAUCGAUCGAUGCGUUAUAGAACAAAAACGCAUCGAUCGAUUACCAAGAUGGCCCGGGCCGUAAGAAUGUGAUCGAUCGAUGCGUUAUAGAAAAAAAACGCAUCGAUCGAUGCGUGUUCGGAAAACAGAAUUAUAAGGCAAAACCCGACCUUUUUUGGAUCUAAACCUUAGAACUCUCAUCCCCUCCGAUUUCCCCUAUAAUUCGCCCCCCCCCCCCCUUUCUCUCUCUAUAAUCAUCCGAUUUGAACAAUUUUGGGCUCUAUUCCACUUGAUUUUUCGAGCUCUACCUGAUUCCUACACUCGUCUUCACCCUAAGACAGGUAUACUCCGCGAAUCUCCACAUUCUGAAAUCGUGUUCUUGAGCAAUUUUUUGGGUUUUGUGAAUUUCUUAUUUCCGUGUUGAUUCCUUGAUCAAAUAUGCAUGAAACAGAUGUUUAAACAUGGAAUAGAACACAAUUGUCUGUGAUCAACGAGUUUGAAACAUGAUUUGAGAUGAUUUAGGGAUAGAGAAUUUUUUUCAAUUUCGUUUUUUUUUAUCACAACUCGAUUUCGCUUUUCAUUUUCAUGUUGCUUUGAGUUCUUAAUUGAUUAUAACCAUGUUGAGAGCAAUGAUUCUAUUUUGUAGAGAAUGAAGCGCACGAAAACAUCAGCAAAGAAAAACACACAAAAAGAGGGUUCGUCACAGCUGGAGAAGCAAAGGCCAAAGAAGUGGGAUAAGUCUGAUACCACCCACUACAACAACAUGAAGAAGGUAGCCGUUCAGGCUACACAACUAGCAUGUCCUGAGACGAUGAAAAUAUUGGGAAUCAAAGCAGACAUUGAAGGACUGUUCCAGAACAUGGGUCUAGGCCAACUAUGCAACCUCAAGGAACCCACUUAUCCGGAGUUGGUACGCCAGUUCAUAGCAUCCGCAUACGUCACCCGUCCCGAUGAUAGCCAUCAGGAAGGUUUUCUGGCAUUCGUAGUGCAGAAAGUAUACUAUGAGGUAUCUUUCACAGACCUCUGCGGACUAUUUGGAUUGAGUGCGGGGGAGAGGACAUAUGGUCUUUAUUGGACUUCAGAGCUGUUGAACUUCUGGGAAACGAUUGGCACAGGGGUUUAUAGAUGUUCUCAGGCAAAGGAGUCACUUAUCCGGAGCCCAGUACUGAGACAUGCGACACGCCUCAUUGGCUCAUUGCUAUACGGGACAACCACAGCCGCAUCAGUCACGCAAUGGGAGUUGUGCCUCCUGUACCAAGGUGUGAGGCAUUUGCUACCGGCAUUUGGAAACUCUACAUUCCCACCUGCUACUGCCUUCAACAUGGGAGCGGUGCUGGCCGCAAACUUAGCAGGAUACAAGGGGAAAGUAACCAAAUCCAAGAGCAAUGCAUGUGGAUUUGGUGCAGUGAUUACUCGGAUCCUUAGACAUGUGGGUGUAGACUGCGAGAACCAGCAGGUAGCACUGGACAGAUCGAACAACAUUGCUUGGAACUACCUGGAUGUCAUUUCUCUAGUAAGUAAGGAGUUCAUAGCUGGUCCCCACUCGAGGAUCCAUCGGGAUGGUCCUUACGUCUACGUAUUCCAGGACCGAGCGAAGAAAACACUCUACUGCCACCUGCCUCAGAUCGGCCUGACUUCUCUACUUUCAGAGGCUGCAGUUGAGUUCCUACCCCCUGCUACCGCACUAGUAGACAAGCCAUCCUUCUUCACGCCAAAAUAUCAGACCAAAGGCAAGGGCGUGGUUGAUGAAGAAGGACAAGAUGAGGCUGCACAAGCCAUUCCAGAUGAUUCACAACCCCAUCAGCUACUCCCAUCAGACUCCAGCCAGUACAAGCUGCAAGAGCUUCCACCGAACGCCACUUCGCGCCAGCAACAACAUUGGAGAGAUCAGAGCAUAAAGACAAACAACGACAUGCUACACAAGAUCUGGGCUGCCAUUUCACGUAUCAGGCCGUGUCGUUGCCAAAAGGAUGAUGUAGUUCAUCGGGACAACUCUCCAUCCAGCUCUGGUUCGGGUUCGAGUGGUACACACAGGGUAAGAAAGAGGUCCAAGAGACCCAACGAUGCAGGAACAUCUGAAGCAGGAGACGAGGAGUAGGAGCUAUCACCGGCUAUUUUAUUUUCUUUUCUAUUCUAACGUUUUAUGGUCUUAUUUUCUGUUAAUUUUGAACUGAGUUUUUUUUUAGGUUUCUUAAUUAUGAGUUCGUAUUUCUUUUACAUGGUUUCUUUGUUUUAUUUAGUUGUGUUUUGUGUAGCUUUUAAUUCGUAUUCAGCUUUGCCUUGCUAGAUAAACCAAAUAACUAUUAUCCGAGGAAAGAGGUUAUAUCAAGUGUUCCUCGGAAUUUCCUCGGUAUUUCUUAAAAAAAAAAAAAAAUAAGUUCAAUGGUAGUCUGUUUCCGAGUCAUCAUCACCAGAUGAAUCUGAAUCUGGAUCUUGGUGAAACUCUCCAAUCACUGGUUCAUCCUCUACGUGAACGACGGCUUCCUCUCCAAAGUCGGUUAAAUCGACUACAAGGUCAACUCCAGCUAAAUCUUCUGCUGCACUACAGUUGCCGGAUGUGCUUGGUUGUAGUGGGUCUUCCAGCUCAGAACUUCCCUGAACUCGGCCUCUCGGGUUGAGUCUUGUAACAGUAACCCAUGGAUCAUCUCUGUUCCUUACCCGGGGGUACUUGAUAUAAAAAACCUGUAACAUUUAGAAAAAUUAUAAAUUAAUACACAUGAUGAUGAAUCAUUCUGAAUAAUUAACAUUUAAUUACCUGAUCGGCCUGGGAAGCAAGAAUGAAAGGAUCAUAAUAUUGCAGCUUUCGCCUCGAAUUUACUGAUGUAACACCAAAUGCAUCUGUUCUCACACCUCGAUCUGGGGUGUUGUCGUGCCAAUCACAAUAGAAAACAGUACAACGCAAUCCAACCAUGCCCAAAUACUUGAUUUCCAAAAUCUCAUGUAUGUGUCCGUAGUAUACAUCAUCUCCUGAUGCAGAACAAACGCCAGCAUCAUAAGUCGUACUCGAACGUCUCCUCUUCUGAGUUAUGAAUGCAUAUCCUCGAGUACAAAAUCUCGGAUAUGACUUCACAACAAAGUUUGGUCCAACGACCAUCUCACGUAUCCAAUCGUCAAAUGUUUCACCUCUGGCCAAACCAGCAGACACCUAUUAAUAGCACAUAUAUAUAUAUUAUAUCAGUAAAUGUGAAUUAGUAUAAAUAUGUGAUAAAAUAUAUUUUAAUUUGUUUAAAGCACUCACAUAAGUAAACAUCCAUCCAGUAAAUUCUCUCUGUUUCAUUUCUUCUAGUUCGUCCUCUGUGGCGUAUCUAUACUCGAACCGCUUUUCUGCCAUGAAAAUCCUGUAUAUGAUGACAAUAAUGUAAUUAAUUAAGAUUUAAAUUUCAACUUGUUAAAAUAAAAAUUUGUAAGCUCAUUUAUUUACCUCUCAUAUUGAAGAACGUCUUCGCAGUUGGUGAGCAAAUAUGUUUGCAAAUGACUGCGCUCCUGCUCAGUAAGUCGACGGUCCAUUGGUUUUCCGCUAAGUCGUCCAACGUCUGUGAAAAUGUCUGGAACCGUAACAUGAUAUGUUGCCCGUUCGCCUCUAUCAUCAUGCCGAGCAGGUCUUCUGUUUUUGGUCUGAACUUCUGCUGGAAAGUAGUACUCGGCAAAGUUUGAAGUUUCUUCAUUGAUCAUCUGUGCGACUAUAGAACCUUCCACCCUACUUAAAUUUUUCACCAUCUUCUUCAAAUGGAACAUAUACCGCUCAUACAGAUACAUCCAUCUAUACUGCACAGGACCACCAAGUUCCAAUUCUCUUGCCAGGUGAAUAACAAGAUGCUCCAUAACAUCAAAAAAUGAGGGAGGAAAUAUCUUCUCAAGGUUGCACUGAAUCACGGCUAUGUUAGUCUUCAAAUUUUCAAUACCUUCAAGAGUCACUGAUCUCGUGCAUAAAUCGCGGAAGAAACCACUUAUCCCUGCAAUUGCUUCAUGAACAUUUCGUGGUAAUAGUUCCUUGAAGGCGAACGGAAGGAGGCGCUGCAUCAUUACAUGGCAAUCGUGGCUUUUCAAGCCAGUAAACUUUCCUUCCUUUCUGUCGAUACAGUUACGCAAAUUUGAUGCGUAACCGUCUGGAAAUUCCACAUCGUUUGAAAUCCAAUCAAAGAACGCAUCUUUUCCCGCUGCAUCAAGUCGGUAUAUGGGAAAAGGAGCCCUACCAUUCUCAUCAACAUGAAGUUCUGAACGAGCACAUAUAUCGACUAAAUCCAGUCUUGACUUCAAAUUAUCCUUUGUUUUACCUUGAACAUUAAGGAUCGUGUUCAUGAGAUUAUCCUUUGUUUUACAAUUGUACAAGAAGAAAAGGAGAUGAAGAUACAUGUAUCAAUAUUUGUUAUUUAUAUUUAUUUAUGACAAAUACAUAGUAUUAUUAUAAAUAUUAAUCGAGUUUUAAUGUAUAUAAAAAAUCAGUUAGCGCAGUCAAUCUCACACUGGCAUCCGAAAUUUCUAGUAAGGCAUUUACUUAUCAGUAGUUUUUUCUUUGUGAAACAUAAGGCUUUACAGCUAUCGGGAGUACAUCUUGGAGGGUUGGGAUUUUUUGAUGACGGUACAGGUGUUAAAGUUGUGUAACACCAUGUUCGCCUAUUUUCUCCAGUCCGAGCAAUAGCCCUUUCUCCUAUUAUUAAUAAUUAAAACAUAACUUUAUUUUUCAUAUUUAAAGUAAAAUAAUCAUUUCUCGUAAAACAUAUGUUUAAGGAGUAUUCUGCAUUUUGUUUUAAACGGAAAGUUUAUUCAUCUUUUGUUUAUCACUGAUUAUUCUUAGAAAAUCAUUAAACUCAAUAAUAUAAAAUUAAAUAUGUAACCUAUGUAGGUAUAUAAAAUAAAUGGCAUCAAAUAAAAUUUAUUUUUGAAUGAUUAUAAAAUACAUUAAUAAAGCUGUAAAUGUAAACACCAACCAAAUAAAAGAAUUGCGAGCAUAACGAAACCAAUAAACCAAGGUUUGAAAGCAACUUUCAUUUUUGAUAAUGAAAUAAUGGUGUUUUAAAAAUUAGAACGACAUAGAAGUACAUUUAUAGAUGAAUCACAAAUUGAAACAAGUCUAAUUUAAGCUAUACAUCUUUUCAAAUUCCAAUAUAAACGGAUCUAGUUUGACAAAAACAAAAAAUCACAACCACUUGUUUUUAAUUUAUUAAAUAAAAAUAGCCUUUUUAUAUUUAAUUUAAAGUAUUUUUGAUAUGCAUAAACAAUAAUUCGAUUAAGUCACAGAUUCAGAAUUUAUAUAAUAUAUAUAUAGUAUAUAUAGUCUAUUUUAGAGUCAUUUCAGGUUCACAUACGUUUGAGGAACUUUGUUGAUUUCAGAAUUAUUUGAGUUGCAGAACUGUAAAGACGUGUCCGAAAUUUGGCGAUGGACGGAGACCUUCUCACGCUGGGAUUGAGCUCAUAUUUUGACACAAGAUAGAGAUUUGAGUUACCUUUCCUAUUCCAUCGGUUUGAGGUCCAUCUGAAGGUUAAAUAUAGAGUUAUGAUCAUUUCACUGAAGAAUGGUAUGUCAAACUCGCGAGAGAAAACUGUCGAAGAAAUGAAGGAGUGUCGAUCAAUAAUGACCCUUUGGUGUCGAUCGACACUGAUGAAAGUAGAUGGUCGAGUCUAUUUCAAGACCGACUGAGACCCAGAAGUCACCACAAAUUAACAGGAUGCCUUUGGCCGACUCAAAAUUCUAUUUAUGUGUUUUAUUAGUUGUUGUUUAGGCUAUUCUUUCUUUUAUGAUUUAUAUUAUUUUAUUUUAGGUUUUCUCUUAGGUUAAAAAAGUAUAAAAGAAUUCCUUCAGAAUCUUCUUGGAACUCCUUUGGUUUUUGUAUUGAUUUCUAUUUUAUAUAUUGGAUUGAUCGAUGGAUGUCGAGAAGGAUGCCAAUGACAAUCUAUAAUGCCCUGCCCUACAUGUUUCUUAGAUGGUUUUUUUGCAGCGUAUUAUAAAACUGUUUUGCAUGUUAAGUUCUUCCCUGCUAUUAUCAGAAAUUACAGUUUCAUAAAAUACAUUUGUAACCAUAUCAUAAUAUAAAUUUCUCUGAUGCUCAUCAUACACAUCACCCACGUUAUUUCCAAAUAUAUAAUGUACUUGGUCCUCGUAAUAAAUAGCAUUGCACUAUAAGUUGGUUUUUCGAACUGUUUUGUUCACAAAAGUAGGCACGUUUUUACCACCAAAUAAAAUAAUGCCAAAACGUGUAUCUAUCUAUAUUAUUAAAAUUAAUAUAAUUUUGGUAUUGUUUGGAAAUAUGGAUAACAUAAUAAAUGAGAAUUGUUUGGAGACACAUGUAGUAGAUUAAAUAUUUAUUUUUAUUUACACAUUUAGUCAAUGUUUUUAUAAUAAAUUAAAUACUUCAGUUUUGUAUUUUGUUUUUAUUUACACAUUUCAUCACUGUAUUUUUAAUCAAUUUAAGUUAAUUAAUUACAAUGUUGUUGUUUCUUUGUGGUGAAAAUAAAAACUAAAACUAAAAUAUAUAGUAUAUAUAUAUUAUGUAAAACAAUUUUUAAAUAUAGUAUUACUUUGUUUAGUUUAGUCAAAUAUUAAAAAAAUUGAGAAUUCAGUUUUCAAAAGAACAAAAUAUCAUAAAAUCUAUAAUAAUAAAGUUGGGUAUGCUAUUUCCUCAUUAAGCCACAUCAGCACGAAGGGGUGGGCAAAUAAUAUGUUACCGGUGAUGUGUGUCUAUGCUGCAUAUAAAAAAAAAGUAUUUCUGGUUUUCAUGGAAUUACGGUGACGUGAGCAAUUUGGUGUUUCGAAAAGCAUGGCAACAAGACACAGAUGUGAUCCACAAUGAAAGGAGUAACGAAUAGAGAUUUUUCUUUGAUAAUUUAUGAUUUUUGUUGGUAUGUGAUCUGACUUUCUCUCCAUGUAGAUUGAUCGUUGUUUCACCGCUUCAAGUGAAUCGAAGCAUAGAUUUGAAAAAAAUUUCAUUGACGUACGGGAUGGAGUCUAUCACUUGGGCAGGAAAGGAUUAUCUUGGUCUUUUUAAUACUAGGAGAAAAAAGAGUGAGCUUUGCUUCGUAUGGAGUUUGAUCUUCAGCCGUGUGAUACUUCUUGUUGGGGCAAUAGUGGACUUGUUGGAAGUGGAGUCUACAGCAGGAAAACAAAUAUUUUUGUCAGAUCGCUUUUCCUAAGUGCAAGGUUCAUCCAUUUUUCUCUUGUGGGAUCAUUGUCACGUGGGAUGUGGAGGAGUCUGAGUUUAUAUAUCAAAUAUUAGAUCAUAGUUUAUCUUCCAUCAUUACAUGUUUAUGAUACACGCUAUGGUAUCACAUAUAAAAGAAAGAAGAUUCAAAAGUAAUAUUUCCUUAAAGCAUUAAGAAUAGAGUUUUGGUAUUUUUUCUUUUAAGAUACUUUAAGCAGUUUUUCAAAUAUUCGUAGGGUUAUGAUUUGUAUAACCCUAUAUAAAAAAAGAUCUAAUCUUAUUAUAUAAAGUUUAGCUCUUCAAAGUUGUUAAUUAAGAUGAUGAUGACACAUGACAAUUAAAAAUUUAAGAUGAUGACAUAUGUUAAAAUUUAUCAUAUUUAAUAAUAUAAAUAUAAUAAGAUAAUAACACAAAAGAAUUAUUUAAUCGUAGUUUUCCUUUUUAAAUAUUAAACAAAGAUAAUAAUAGCAAAACAUUAUUUGAUGGUUUUUACUUGACAGUAAUUUCCUUUUUGUAAUUUGUUUUUCCUUUUUACAAUUCCUAAACAAAAAAUAUGUAUAAUAAUUUACUUAAUAGUAAUUUUUCGUUUUGUAAAAUAUUUUUUUAAAAAUACUAAAUAAAGAUAACAUCAAAAGAUUAUUUGAUAGUUUUUUUAGUUGACAAUAAUUUCAUUUUUAUAUUUUUUUUCCUUUUUACAAUUCCUAAAAAAAAUAUGUAUAAUAAUUUACUUAAUACUAAUUUUCGUUUUCUAAAAUAAAAAAAAUAUAAAUUUGAAAAUUUGGUUGAUAGUAAUUAUCCCUUUAUAAAAUUUUCUACAAAAUGAAAUUGGUUAAAAAGAGUUUAAUUGUAGUUUUCUUUUUUUUCAAAUCUAAAAAAAUGUAAAAUAAGUAUUUCAAAUAUUUUCAUAUAAUAAUAGACUAUAUUAUUUAAAUACUAAAUUUAUGUUUAAGAAAUCAUAAUCCAAAAAGGAUUACAUUAUUUUUUUGUAACUGAAAGGAUUACAAUUAUUCACAUCUAUAGAUAAGAUUAAACUCUCCUAUAUUUUGUGACCAAACAUAAUUGCUUAAUAUAUCAUAAUUAAUCAUAUAAAUAUAAUAAGAUAAUAACACAAAAAUUAUUUAAUAGUAAUUUUCCUUUUUAAAAUCCUAAACAAAGAUAAUAGCAAAACAUAAUUUGAUAGUUUUUAGUUGACAAUAAUUUCCAUUUUCUGAUUUUUUUCUUUUUUACAAUUCUUAAAAAAAUGUAUCGUAAUUUACUUAAUAAUAAUUUUCGUUUUCUAAAAUCAUAAAGAAAAUAUAAUUGUAAAAAUUUGUUUGAUAGUAAUUAUCCUUUUAUAAAAUCUUCUACAAAAUAAAAUUGUUAAAGACUGUUUAAUUGUAGGUUUCUUUUUUCUUCAAAUCUAAACAAAAAAUGUAAAACAAGUAUUUCAAAUAUUUCCAUAUAAUAAUAAACUUUCUUAUUUAAAUAGUAAAUUUUAUGUUUAAGAAAUCAUAAUCCAAAAAUGAUUACAAUAUUCUUUUCUUUUUUUGUAACUGAAGGGAUUAGAAUAAUUCACAUCUAUAUAUAAGAUAAAACUCUCCUAUAUUUUGUCACCAAACAUAAUUGAUUAAAAUCAGAACUCUCUCAUAUAAGAAAAACAUUAGGUGCACUUUUUUUUAUAUAACUUUAUAAUUAUCAUAAAAUAUGAUGUUGUUGUGCGUAAGUUAUUGACACAAUUAUGUGUGUUAGUUCUUAUAGUCGAUAUAAAAUUGGUUAUUUUGUCAUAGUAAGUCAAUGUCAACAUCAAUUUAUUAUGUUACGUCAGUAACGAUUGAUCAAUGCAGUAUAAACGGUUUAUUAUGGUUAUGUGAGUUAGAUAAUAAUUUUAAAUACUUGAACAAUUGUUAUGAUUUUGAUUGUCAUCAGGGUUUAGUUAAAAGGUUAACCACACACUUCUUACAAUAAGACUAUGUUUGAAAAUUUUUUUUACUAUUUUCUAAAUGAAAUUGUUAUUUAAUUUGCUAUCAUGCAUUAUCAAGGAAACAAUGAAUUCAUAAGGUUAUUUAACACUAAAUCAGUUAAAAUAUUAAAAGAUAAGAAAUUUGAAAAAAGAAUAAUGAACUUACAGGAAGGAAUAUCUCAUACUUAAUAAACGUAAUUUAAAAAAAAAAAUCUUUUAAACUUUUUAUUCAAAUUGAUUUUUUAUUAUAUAGGAAAAUACAAUCAAGGUUGUGUGCAUCAUUCUCUUCUUGAAAAGCUUGGAGAUGAACUAUGUGUAGAAAUUAUUAUCGACAUCUUCUAUUUAUAAUGUGCAAGAUUGCAGUAAGAACUAUAAAGUCUCCGAUCAUAAAUUUCAGAUAAGAGUGAUUGAGAGGACAACAACUGUAUAUGUGUGAAACAAUUACCUCAAAUACUCUGUGAAAAAACAUUUGAUUUCAACUACAAUGAUUUUGCUCAACUUAAAGAUACAAGAAACUAUUAGUUAGAUGAUAACUUUCAUGCAUAUAUAUAUAUAUAUAUAUAUAUAUAUAACUGUUUUUUGUUACAGACAGGAAAAUCAUGGAGGGAAAUCAAAGACCACGAAGCCAGGAGUGAAAAAACCAACGCCACAGAAGAAGUUUUGGAAAAAAAUAACACCGGCAGAGAUGGCGGACACUGGCAGAGAUGGCGGACACUGGCAGAGAUGGCGGACAGAAGAGCAAAAGGACUAUGUUUUAAUUGUGAAGAAUUAUACGUACAUGGUCAUGUGUGUAGUCCUGUUCUUUUCUAUAUCAUGCCAGUCGCGGAGGGAGACAACCAUGAAGAUGAGUGGAUUGAAGAAGAUGAGUUAGAAAUCUCACUCAAUGCCAUGAAUGGGGAACAAACCGAGGAAACCUUCUAAGUGCAAGCUAAUUUUGCCACAGGAACAAGAUGGUUGUUACUAGAUACGGGGAGCACGCACAACUUUAUCAAGAGUAGUUUGGUGGAGGAUCUGGGAAUUCCGAUACACCGGAAAUCCAGGUGGUUUGUCGCUCUUCCUGAUGGUGGAAAAUGUCCGAUUCAGGGGUUUUGCCAAGGAAUGGUAAUGUCUGUACAAGGGCACCAAUUCAAAGCCGGCUGUUUUGCGAUUCCGUUAAAAGGUUUUUAUGUGGUUCUCAGGAUCAGAUGGUUGAAUGCUUUAGGGAGAGUGAUCUGGGAUGGACUGAAUAAGACUAUUGAGUUCCAUCACAGCUCUACACCGGUGGUAUGGCACGGUGAAUCCAAAGCACGUGGGAAACCACAAGUAUCCCUUCAUGCACUAGAGUGUGAUGGUGAGCCAUUGGACAACUGGUUCUCUGAUGAAGAAGAAGUGUUCACCACACCGGGGUUUGCUAUAUCACCCAUAGCACAUGCGCCAAAACAAAGCAUCUGGGCCUUGGCUCAAGUGCCAACAUCGGACUUGCUCGAUAACAUAAUCAACAAGUUCAGUAUGGUCUUUUCAAAACCCAUCGGCCUGCCCCCUAAACGAGAAUGCGAUCACCGGAUCAGAUUACUUCAAGGAUCCAAUCCAGUAGCAGUAUGUCCGUACCGCUACCCUCACCUCCUUAAAGAUGAAAUAGAAAGGCAGUGUACAGAGAUGCUUCGCAACGGGGUCAUUCGUCCGAGUAGUUCUCCGUUCUCCUCUCCGGUAUUGUUGGUGAAGAAAUCUGAUAACACUUGGAGAUUUUGUAUUGAUUAUAGAGAUAUCAACAAAAUUACAGUGAAAGACAAGUUUCCGAUUCCGGUCGUCGAUGAAUUACUUGAUGAAUUACAUGGAGCUCGAUUUUUUACAAAACUCGACUUAACAUCAGGGUAUCAUCAGGUUCGCAUGUUCGAAGCUGACAUUGAGAAAACAGCUUUUCGCACCCAUCAUGGUCACUACAAAUUCUUGGUAAUGCCGUUUGGUCUUGUCAAUGUCCCAUCCAACUUUCAAAGCCUAAUGAAUUCGGUGUUUACUGAGGUUCUUCGCAAGUUUGUCUUAGUAUUCUUUGAUGACAUCUUGAUCUAUAGUAAGACGUGGACGAAUCAUGUACGACACGUUGAGUAUGUGUUAGAGGUGUUACGAACACAUCAGUUGCUGUUAAAAAGGGUCAAGUGUUCUUUUGGAACGCAGGAAGUGGGCUAUUUGGGACAUAUUAUCUCAGAGAAGGGUGUACAAGUUGAUAAAAAAAUUUGAAGCUAUUACUAAAUGGCCUCAACCAGCAUCAUGAGGCACUCUCUGAAUCUCCAGUAUUGGCGCUCCCAGACUUCACCAAAGAAUUUGUUGUAGAAUGUGACGCUUCAGGAAGUGGGAUUGGUGCGGUUCUCCAGCAGGAAGGUCACCCCAUCGCUUUCUUCAGCCGCACGUUAGCAGCUCGCCAUGUCAAGCUGGCUGCAUACGAACGAGAAUUGAUUGGGUUAGCUAAAGCAAUGAUUCAUUGGAGACCGUAUUUGUGGGGAAGACGUUUUCUCAUACGUACAGAUCACUACAGCCUUAAGUAUUUAUUGGAACAACGUCUCUCGACAUCUCCACAAGUACACUGGAUCAGUAAGCUACUUGGGUUUGAUUUCUCAGUCGAGUAUCGUUCCGGGAUGACAAAUAAGGUUGCUGGUGCUUUGUUUAGAUGUCAUGAGAACGAUUCAGAUGAGGAUAAGGAAUUACAUGCCAUCAAUGUUUCUGAGGAUGGUAUUUUGGCUCGAGUUCGCAGAGAAAUUCAGAACGACGAUAAGCUAGGCGAACUCAGAGAUAAAAUCAUUCGGGGCGAGGAAUCAGAGAUAUGGGAAGCAAAGGAUGGUCUUAUUUUUCGCAAAGGGGUAGUUUAUAUGGAUUCAAAUUCAGAUUUAGUCCGAGAUGUUAUGACUGGUUUUCAUAAUUUUGGCCAUGAGGGUAGCCAAAAAACUAUGGAAUGGAUCCGUUGGAAUUUUUAUUGGAGAGGUUGGAAGAAAAGUGUUCAAGAAUUUGUGAGCACUUGUCAGAUAUGUCAGAAGAAUAAAUGGGAAACGCUGCAGCCCGCGGGAUUGAUGCAGCCACUAUCGGUUCCAACGAAGAUAUGGGCUGAUAUCUCGAUGGAUUUCGUCGAGGCAUUGCCAAAAGUUUCAGGGAAAACAGUCAUCUUAGUGGUGGUUGAUCGCUUCUCAAAGUAUGUGCAUUCUAUCGCUAUAAAUCAUCCUUAUACUGCUGUCUCUGUGGUCCAAGAUUUUUUUCGAGACAUUGUCCGAUUGCAUGGUAUCCCAGAGACAAUUGUAUCAGACAGAGAUAAGGUUUUCGCAGCAUUUUCUGGCGGGACCUCUUUCGACUUAUGGGUACCAACUUGUGUUUUACAACAGCCUAUCGGCUACAAUCCGAUGGUCAGACUGAGGUGGUCAAUCGGACUCUAGAGAUGUAUCUUCGGUGUGUCACGGGGGAUGAACCACGAAAAUGGCUUACAUGGCUUCCUUGGAUUGAGUAUUGCUAUAACACAUCCUAUCACAUUAGUCUAAAGGAUACGCCAUUUAGGAUGGUUUAUGGAAGAGAGCCACCUCGUCUUUUAGACUAUACUACUGGAAGUUCGAAAGUAGAAGCUGUUGAUGUUGCAUUGGAAGAGAGAGAUGAGUUUUUAGCAUCAGCAAGAGAACGUUUACUAAACGCUCAGAACAGAUUGAAAGCAUCCUAUGAUAAACAUCAUCACUCAGUCGAGUUUGGCAUAGGGGAAUGGGUUUUGUUGAAGUUACAUCCGUACAGACAGAUCACUAUUCCUAAGAAAGCUUUCACAAAGCUUUCCCCAAAGUUUUAUGGACCAUUUGAAGUACUACCUCGCGUGGGAACUGUUUCCUACCGUCUUCGUCUUCCAGAUCGUGCUCAAAUCCAUGAUGUUUUCCACAUCUCACUACUGAAACCACACAAAGGAGACAAGCCCGACACAAGUCAUGUGUUACCACCGGUUUUACAAGGACGAGUGUUACCAGCUAAACCAGUGAAGUUUCUUCGAGCCCGUACUCAUGGUGAAGUUCGUCAGGUUCUGGUGAAGUGGACUGUUGAGGAAACAGAGACUGCUACUUGGGAAGAUGCCCAGAAGUUAACAGAAGCAUUUCCAGAAAUAGAGCUGGAGGACAAGCUCUUUGUCGAGGAGAGGAGUAAUGAUACACGCUAUGGUAUCACAUACAAAAGAAAGAAGAUUCAAAAGUAAUAUUUCCUUAAAGCAUUAAGAAUAGAGUUUUGGUAUUUUUCCUUUCAAGAUACUGUAAGUAGUUUUCCUAAUAUUCAUAGGGUUAUGAUUUGUAUAACCCUAUAUAAAUAGAGAUCUAAUUAUCAAUAAGAACUAUCUUCAGCAUUAACCUUAUUCUCAAGAGAGACUAGGGUUAAAGGAAGCUUUUGCAAACAAGUUCUUUGUUUCUUACUUACAAGCUACGGCUCCGGUUACUCGAGCUCAGGCUAGGCGACAGGCUCAUAUCAGUUUACAACUGUUCUAAGAGAGUUCGAUCGUGUAUGUCGUUGGAUUGCAUUGGCGUCCUUAUCAAGAGUGGCUAAAAUUCAUGUGUCUGAUAACACUGAAAUCAUCCGGUGAUGAGCCAGACUUUCUUACUACCGAGGUGUCACAGUUUGUUAGACCUAUAUGGCUCAUGCAUGGUGAUUUCGCGUUUCUCACCAUUGCUCUUACGGCGACUACAUUAUUGUUCAUUUCAACAUUUUAUGUCUAGUAUAAGUCUCGUGAAGGUGCUUAUAUGUACAGAAGCGAAGCUGUGUGCUAUCCACAUUGGGAGUAUACAGAGGCGGAUGUACAUGGACCAAUAGGGUGUCACUUGACACACCCGUAAUUUAAAAAAUCAGUUAUGGUUAUGUGUUUUUAUGAAAAUGAACCCCCUUAAGUUUGACAUUUGACAUCUGAUUAAUGUAAGCUCAAUCCUUUUGUAUGGAAAAUAUUAAAAGUCCACUCCAGCAUAAAUAAUCAGUACUAGAUUUUGACCCGCGCUUGAAAAGCGCGGGUUUGUUUUUGUAAUUAAAUAUAUUUUAAACAAAUUUCUAUAUAAGAUAAUGUAUAAGUUUGAGCACAUUUAUCCAAAAACAUAGACCAAUCCGUACUAAACUGAAAAACCAAAAUUGAACUGAAUUGCAUAAAUAAUAGAGCAAACCAUAUAUCUAUGACUGAAAAAUUGAAACCAAACCGAGAACCAAAUGAGUGCCUGAAUUUUCAAAUAAAAAUUAUAUAUUUAAAAAUAUUAAUUACAUUCAAUUUUAAAUAACCAAAUAUCAUACAAAUUCUAUUUAUAAACCGGAUAACCCGAAAACUUGAAUUACCUGAAUAUUUUUAUUUGGUUGAUAAAUAAUUUAGUUAACCAAAAGUAUAAAUUAUGUAUAUAAUUAUUUAUUUAAAAUAUAUAUAUAACUAUGUUUAAUAUAACACAUAGUAUCAAAACUAUUUUCAAAAUAAUAUUAUGUUUUAAUAUAAGUAAAUUUUGUUCUAAAACACAAUUCUACUGCUAACCUAUUUUAAAGUAUCGAUAUAGUGUUAAUACAUAACUAUGUGUUUUCAAAGUUUUUAGAAGUUAUCACUAACCGAUUUAUAAUUAGUUAGACUAAAUAUUUAACAGAACCAAAGAUAAAUAGCAAUUUUCUGAAAAUAUAGCAGAUGGAAAGAUUGAACCGGUUUUAUGUAGACCAUAAUCAUAUAUAUGGAUUCGUAUAAGAACUAGUUUGGUAUUAAAUAAUACAACCAAUUUGGAAUAUUAAGUUGUGACAAACAUCCUUUAGUUUGUGAAAGAUAAUGCUGAAGUGUUCAUAUAUAUAACAUGGUUAAUGAGAUCAGUUUAGUUAAUAAGGUUGGUCUAAAAUAAUGGUUGAUCUCUGUAAAAAAAUUUUUUACAAUGGAUAUUGUAUUAUGUUUAUAGUCUCCAAAGAUAUUUACUAUUAAAUAAAUCACAAGUAACCAUUAUAAAUAUAGGGUGGACAUUAUUUAAUAAUAACACAAAAUAAUUAUGAUGGAAUAAUGUGUAUAUAGUAAAUGUAUAUGUAGAGAAUUAGGUUAGUAUCAUUUUUUAUGACUAAUUUAUCUUUAGUGAAGAAUAAUGAAGUAAGUUAGUAGUAUGAGAAAUAAUAGAAAUUCUAGUUAAAUGAAAUGGUCCAACUAUGACUUGUUUUAAGUAGAUUUUUAGGACUCCUUCCCUUUUAAUAGUAUUGAUUUCUUUAGCACAAAUUUGAAAAAUAGAAAAAAACAACUUGUUGAUCAAAAGAAAAAAAAAACAGGCUUAAAUAAAUAAUUACAUCAAACGUAAAGCCUAAUAAACCUUUAAACGGAAUUGGAAACGUCUCACAUCCAAAACUUUCGUCAUCUUCCCUAGCAACUUAUAAAAAAUCACACAUAUUUUUUUCUCUUAAUUUCCAUUAGUAACUUGUAAGUUUAUAUUUAUAUUUAUAAUUGGAGAAAAUUACAAACAAAAUUAUAAUGAAAAUAUUUCGUGAUAUACAAGAUCGUACAAUGAUUUUGUAGAACAUUGUUAUAUUUUAUAAAAAAAAAAAUUAAUAUUCAGAAUUUUAGCUAUGCAUUAACACCGAUUAAAAAAAAUCAUGGGUCCACCACUGGGAAUAUAUGUUUCCAGCCAAGGCCGAUAUAUGUUGUUGUGUGGCACUGUGCAACUGUUUUAAAAAGGGACGAGCUUAUUUGGAUCAUUUUUCAUAAUGAACCUCUGUGUUUUCUACAGACGAAAAUGACGGGUUAUUGAAAAGAAACAAGGGUUGCGCGCAAGUGGAACCAUUAUGAGUCAUCUUCAAGUGUAUUCGAGCAUAUUGGUGAUCUUCGCAAUAUUUUGUCUACAUGUCUUGCAUUGUGGAGUUUGUAUGCUGAGAAAAGAAGCUUUUCCUAGUCAACGGCUUGGUUUCAGUUAUACAUCCAUAACCUUGAGUUACGUUACUUGUGCAUCAAGCAACUACUCGGGGGAGUCCUUUAGUUGUGUUUCAAUGUUCAUUGUCACGCCCCUGUUUUUCUACUACCAUCGUCAAUUGGUUUGUCUGCGUAAAAUUUAGUACAUUAUUUUGAAAGGGAGAGAGUAUAACAUAAACCAAUACUAUACAAAUAGCCUAAUUAUAAAUAGGCAAGGUACAGCUACAUCGCAUUAUGCUUAAAAUCUUUUCAUGUUAAUCAAAUGUCCAUUCUCAUCUAAGGACAGUCUUAAAAAGUAAGAAUUUACUUAUAUGAUAAAAGAAAUAACUUCUGUGGGGUGUUGUUGCCCAUCUUAAAUGUUUGCCAAGAGUAUUGCUGUUAUUAGUUUUGUGAGCAUCUCGUCUUGUUGAUACAGAAAGCAUAAACUUAUUAAACAAUAAACACAAUACUUAAAAAGAAAGUUUUAUUUCAUCAAAAAAAAAAGUUUUAUAUUCAAACAAAACUUAAAAACAAUACUUAAAAAGAAAGUUUAUUGUUAAAUAAACGUUGGAGGAAGGAUAGGGAGAAAGUGUGCAACGGCGGUGGGGAGCGUGCGGCUUAACAAGAGAAUCUGACGUUUUCCGACCAAACUCGUACCGUACAUAUCAAGAAAACGUCAGCUUCUGUACUGGCUUUAUUUUCGCGGAAUAAAUCACAUAUAUCUUUUUUUUUUUGAAACACAAAUCACAUAUAUCUAUUUUCAGGAAAUAAAGGCAGUAUGAUUUUGCGUUCCAGUGCGGCAACCUAUCUUGUCGUUUUCUUCCACGUCACCAACGUCUAUCUAUCUUUUUUGACAGCCGCCCAUUUACAUCACGUUUCUUAAACUCGAACAUUUAAUAUCUCAACUAUAUUUCUCAUAAAUUUCCGAUAGUAUCUCUCGCAACAAAUAUAGAAAAACCUCUAUAAACUAAUACUCGAUAAAUUAUUAAUUUCUAUAAAUUAAUAAAUUUCUUCGGUCACAACUUGGACCGAUGUAAAAUAUGACACCAAUCAAUAAAAUAAUAAAAUAAUAAUAUUUUUUAAAUUCACAUGUAAAUAUAUAGUCUCAUUAAAAUCAUAAAUUAAUAAUAUAUCUCUAUAUAUAUUUUAUAUAAGUACAAACUAAACAUUAUAUUAUAUUGUUGGUUUUAUAUUCACAAUGAAAAUACUUUUAUUUUUCUUAAUAUUUUAGUAUAUUUUAAUAAUAUUUAGUAAAAUUAUAUCGAAAACCACAUAACAAUUCUAUAAAGCAUAACAAUAUACACCAAAUAAGAUAAUAAAAUAAUAUGAAAGUCAAUUUUCUAAAAUUUAAAUAAUUUGUAUAUGGUAAAAUCAAGUAUUUUUUAUUUUUAUAAUAAAAAAUAAAAAAAUAGAAAAAUCUAAAAAAUGAAAUUUUUGUAAAUUAAUAUCUCUAUAAAUUAAUAAAAUUUUAAAGUCUCUCUAUUAUUAAUUUAUAGAGGUUCUACUAUAUACUGAACAAUAAGUACACUGAAAUCUCUAUAUAUUAAUAAUGUUGGGACUACACCAAAACUAUAAUUUUUUUUAUUAAUUUAUAGAGAUAUUAAUUUAUCUAUAUACUAACUGAACCAAAAACUCAAUUUGGAACUAUAAAAUUAUAUUAUUUUAUAAAGAUUUUUAGUGUAUAUUAAUUUUUUUUUACAGCAAAAAGAUUACAGACUCAUAUAGACCCUGUAAACCAAGAUGGUAACUCUGAAUUCAUGUGUAUGACGAAAGACGGUUGUUGCCGAGCACUACGUGCCAAACUAUCUGCCCUUGUAUUCUCCGUCCUAGGUACAUGAACAAUAUCUGAGUUGACGAAACUUCUUCUCAGCAGCUUAAUAUCUUUCAGGUAGCUUCAAAUGCUGGUCAUGGAUGCUUUUCUACCUCUGGUUAGUGAGUUCUGGUCUACUACCCCGAGACUAUUUCAUUCGACUUCUGCUUUGUUCAGGUUUUCCAAAAAGCUAAAGAAUCUUAAGCCACUCAUUAGGGAGUUGGGUAAGAUGAAGCUGGGAAAUCUAACAAAGAAAGCUAAAGAAGCUCAUGAAGUCUUGUGUGAGAAACAAAAGAACACCUUAUCAAUCCCGAGUGAAGUCUCUAUUCAAGAGGAAGCGGUGGCUUAUGAGAGGUGGAUUUAUGUUGCUAGUUUGGAAGAGGAUUUCUUAAAGCAACGCGCGAAACUCCAUUGGUUGGAUGUGGGGGAUCAGAAUAAUAAAACAUUCCACAAUGCCAUCAAAUCAAGACAGGCGCAAAACACUAUAAGAGAGAUAAGGUGUCAGAAUGGCUCUACUGUCACCCAGCAACAGGAUAUUAAGGAGGAAGCAGUCAGAUUCUUUUCUGAGUUUCUCAAUCAGAUUCCUGAGGAUUAUUCUGGUGCUACUAUGGAAGAGCUGAGAGAGUUAAUAGGAUUUCAGUGCUCUGUGGAGGAGUGUAAUCUGUUGGAAGAGGAAGUCACGGGGGAGGAAAUAACUAAAGUUCUAUUUGCUAUGCCAGCUAAUAAGUCACCUGGUCCUGAUGGAUAUCCAAGUGAAUUAUUCAAGACAGCCUGGUCUAUUAUAUCCCAGGACUUCAUUAUAUCUGUUCAAUCAGUAUUCAGGUAUGGGUUUCUACCUAAGGGGGUGAACUCAACUAUUCUGGCUUUGGUUCCUAAAAAAUCUGACUCAUUAGAGAUGAGAGAUUUCAGACCAAUAGCAUGUUGCAAUGUGAUCUACAAGGUGGUUUCGAAGAUCAUAGCAAAUAGACUGAAGAGGAUUCUUCCGCGUAUAAUCUCUGCAAAUCAGUCUGCUUUUAUUAAAGGGAGACUAUUGUUGGAGAAUGUAUUGCUGGCUUCAGAGUUGGUUAAGGAUUAUCAUAAGGAUGGAGUCUCGCCUAGAUGUGUGAUGAAGAUCGAUAUUUCGAAGGCGUUUGAUUCGGUUCAGUGGAAUUUUGUUCUUCAGAGUCUUGAGGCUAUGGGUUUUCCAAUGAGAUUCAUUCAUUGGAUCAAACUCUGCAUAACUACCCCUUCUUUCUCUGUUCAAGUGAAUGGUGAGCUUGCAGGGUACUUCCAAAGUAGGAGAGGGUUGAGACAGGGUUGUUCUCUCUCGCCGUACCUCUUUGUAUUGUGCAUGAAUAUAUUGUCUCUCAAGAUAGACCAGGCGGUGAGUAUGAAGAAAUUCAAGCUGCAUCCUAGGUGCAAAGCUCUAUCUCUCACUCAUUUAUGCUUUGCGGAUGAUUUGAUGGUUUUUGUGGAGGGUACGAAAGAAUCCAUUGAGGGUGCUCUGUAUGUUUUUGGGGAGUUUGCAAAGUGGUCGGGGUUGAAAAUUAGUAUUGAGAAAUCUACAGUUUAUAUGGCUGGAGUUGAUGAUGAGGAAAAAAGAAGAAUUUUGGUUAAUUUUCCAUUUGCAGAGGGUACAUUACCUAUCAGGUAUUUGGGUCUACCGUUAAUGACCCAGGCUAUGAGAAGGCCAGAUUAUCUUCCUUUGAUUGAGAGAGUGAGAAGUAGAGUUGGAACCUGGACAUGUCGUCAUUUAUCUUACGCUGGCCGACUCCAGUUGAUCAAAUCUGUGCUGGUUAGUAUGAUUAAUUUUUGGGCAUCGGUGUUUAGACUCCCAAGCAAGUGUGUUAAAGAGUUGAAGCAGAUCUGUGCCUCGUUUCUAUGGUCAGGUCCAGUGUUAAAGUCCUCGGGUGCUAAGGUAUCAUGGAAUGAGAUUUGUAAGCUAAAGAGUGAGGGAGGUCUGGGUUUGCGCUCUCUGAAAGAGGUUAAUAUUGUCUACGGAUUGAAGCUUAUAUGGAGAAUGCUUUCUGGUGAUUCCCUGUGGGGGAGUUGGGUAAAAACAAAUUUACUAAAGGAAAAGAGUUUCUGGGAAGUAAAAGCUAAUAUGCAAGUUGGAUCUUGGAUGUGGAGGAAGAUGCUUAAGCUCAGGCCUCUAGCAAAGUCCUUCUAUAAGGUUUAGAUUGGGAAUGGCCGUCACAUUUCCUUUUGGUAUGAUAACUGGUCCUUAAAGGGUGGGCUAAUGGAUUUGUUGGGUGAUAGGGGUAUCAUUGAUAUGGGUAUCAGGAAGGAUGCUACUCUUGCUGAAGCUGCUCUAAAUAUGAGAAGGAGACGUAACCAUCGUUCUGGUAUUUCAAAGGAAGUUGAAGCUGAGUUGGAUUCUGCUAGGGUUUGCAUUCAGAGAGAAGUGGAUGAUGUUAGUCUCUGGAAAGGAAGCUCUGGGCAUAAAGAAACGUUCUCAACAAACGAUACUUGGCGAAUGAUAAGAGGGUCCAAUGAGCAAUUCAAUUGGGCGCGGGGGGUUUGGUUCUCUAUGGCUACUCCGAAGUUUGCAUUUGUAUCUUGGUUAGCUAUGCUGGACAGGCUCUCUACUAUGGACAGGAUAUCAAAGUGGUGCAGGGGAGCUGAUACUAUCUGUGUGUUAUGUAAGGCUGCUGCAGAAACCCGUAAUCAUUUAUUCUUUGAAUGUGAAUUUUCAUCGCAGUUGUGGAGUCAUCUCAGCAGUGGAAUUCUAAUGAAUUCUUAUACUAACGUUUGGCCUUCACUUGUGCUGAUGAUUUCAAACAGUAGAGGUGAUAAGAAGAGGUUAUUUUGUAUUAGAUAUGCAUUUCAAGCUGCAGUCUAUGCAAUUUGGAGAGAAAGAAAUAGGAUCAGACAUGGAGAAAAACCAAUGCCGCUGUCUAUGAUUAAGAAGCUCACAGAUAAGGGUGUUAGAAACAGGCUCAGCCUGAUGAGAAGGAAUGGAGGAAGGGGUAUGGUGGGAGCUCUUCAAUUUUGGUUCCAAACAAGAGUAUAGGAAUUAUAUGAGUUAAGGUUGCUGGAAAUUUGUAUUAACCAGGUCCACACUUAGUUGUAACAAGGCUUUUUGAUUGAAUAAAAAUUUAACAUUCUUUCAAAAAAAAAAAAUGCUGUCAUUCCUUUGGUUCUGAAACCAUCUUCACCAAUUGAAAAUAAUCCGUUGUAAACGUAACCUGAAACCGUCUUAAGUUUCUCAUGCAUUCCAUUGCCCAAAUUAAUGUCUCCAUCUCUGCAUGAAGCGGUAAAAGACAUGCCCUUACAUUCCUUGCUCCUAGUAAACCAUCAAACCUGGUAUUGUACUGAGCCAACAUUGCCCUGAAAAUAGAUUUUUAUCUUUCCAAGAACCAUCUGUGAAACACCAUCUUCCUAUGGUUCAUACGUUAGGCCUAACAUGUACUUCAUGUGCACACCUGUUGUUACUAACAUGUGCCUCAGUCCAAAGUGUUGAUUCGACUUCUGCUAAUCGAAGUGUUUCCCUCGGAUCAAUAUCAAGAUUACUGAAAACUUUAUUGUUCCGACUUUUCCAAAUGUACCAUAGUAUUCAUGCAAACUGAUGAUCCUCCAUCUUUGGAUUAAUUCUCCAAAAUAGAUAGUCCAUAUUAGCAAAGCCAAUAGAAAAAAAAAAAUUUAUUGUUAUUGUUUAAUUUAUAGAGUAUUAAUAGAGGUUAUACUGUAUUUGGUUUUUUUUUUUUUGGCAACUACUGUAUUUAGUUUUAGAUUCAGUUUACUCAGUUAAACUAGAUUGUAACUUGUUUGAUUUACUCAGUUAAAACAAGGUUAACAUUAGUCUUGCCAAGAACAUGAUUACAUACAUGGAUUAGGUAUGUUGUGUGUUUGCCUAUUAAUAUUUUUUUCCCUUUUUAAUGACAAUUUGCUUCUUUCUAUACAGUUUCGUAGACAAUUUGAUUAGUUUUUCCACCCGGAAAACCGGUUAUGUAAAGUAGAUAUUAUAGAAAGUUUGUGGAGGUGGUUUGUCUUCUGCUAUUCUAAAGUCGGACUAAACAUAAAAAACUGUCCUUACCCGAACCUAACCGUUAUCGUCUUUUUUUUUUAAUUUAAUUUAAAUUCAACUCAAAAUGUGCGAAUAUUAUCAUAGCUUUGCUAGUUGGGUUUCGAGAUUUUGUCUCUUUAACGACCCACUUUCACCACUCUCUUUUUAUGCGCGUACAGCAACAAGCCUAGCAAAUUGACUUUGAUUGAUCCCCACGCUCCUCUAUACCUUUUUUUUCCACUGAAAAUAUAUUAUUAGCUCGAACCCAGUUCACAAGAAAACAUACGGCCCAAAAAACCGAGCCAAACUAAAACAACAAAACAACAAGAGGCAUAAAAGCCCAAGAUCAAAAGAGCCCAAUAGAGUCGAUGACUCGAUCUACAACACGCAACACGUGUUGAACACGGAGCGAACGAGAAACACGUGUUGACCAAACCAUCGACACCACGACUGGAGAGUCAUCGCCGGAACAACUCGCCGCCGAUCCACCGGACACACCGGAAACAGGACGUCGAAGAGAAGAAGCCGUCGAGAUGACUCUGGCAAUAACCAAGCCACAACUCCAAGUCUUUUGUCGCAGUAAUACCAUAAGUCGGUGAGCAUCAAUCGACCCUAGUCGAGAGCAAACCAUAGCAUUCGAAACACCAAAAACGCCAAAAGAUCGAGUCAAGAGUUCUUGCUUCACAAAUAAAGAUUUCAAUCAAAAUCAACCGCUUCCAACCAAUCGAUUUUCCUGCAUGUAGCUACAGACACCUUUAAUGAUUGAAGAAAGCCCGAAGAUGCAUCAGCCUUAACCAAGGAAGGAAAAAGCAAUCUUUGGAGAACCGCUUGCGUGGAAGAAGCGUUGCCCAGACUAAACCGGUUUCCGGUUAAACUAUUUCCUUAGAACUGCUGUAUAAAUAGUUUUGUCCUCGAACUUCUUGUGUUAAACAUCUCUCUCAAUCAACAAUUACAGAGAGAAAAUCACUAUAAAUUCCGAAAUAAAUCUUUAUUUUAGAAAAAAAAAAUCAAUGGCGGAUCGGAUUAAAGGUCCAUGGAGUCCUGAAGAAGACGAGCAGCUUCGCAGGCUCGUGGUUAAAUACGGUCCAAGAAACUGGACGGUGAUUAGCAAAUAUAUUCCCGGUAGAUCAGGAAAAUCAUGUCGGUUACGGUGGUGCAACCAGCUUUCGCCGCAGGUCGACCGCACGAGCAGUUCGGUAACAAAUGGGUGACGAUUGCUCGUCUUCUCAACGGUCGUACGGCUCCGUAAAGAAUCACUGGAACUCGACGCUCAAGAGGAAAUGCGGUGGUUUUGACCGCCGAAGAGAUCGGUGAGCGACGGCGGCCCACCUGUUGCUAAUGGGCUUUACAUGAGCCCAGGAAGCCCAACUGGAUCUGAUGUCAGCGAUUCGAGUACAAUACCGGUUUUGCCCUCUGUUGGGCUUUUCAGGCCCGUUCCACGCGCGGGUGGUCCGCUUCUAGGGCUGUCAAUUGGUUGGGUGUCCAUGGGUCUGACCCAGUCCAGACUGUGUUGGGUGGGUGUUGGGUGAACCCAUAACUUAAUGGUCCAGUUGGGCUACAAAACCGAAUUUGCCACUGGGUUAACCCAAUACAUUAAAAAAUUAGGUUUUUUAAUUUUGGGGAAAAUCAGAUUUUUCCAUUUUACGAUUCCCUGAUGAAAAAUCUUCUUCUCGCGAUGAAAGAUCCUUGAGGCUUCUCUUCAUCUCGAUUCGUCUUCUCCAACCAUGAUUUCUCUGGUUUAUCUCUUCAUCCAUCUCGGUUUAUCUCUUCAUCCUUCGAUUUUUAUCUCUUCAUCCUUGAAUGCUUUCUCUGGUGAUUAUUGAUUCUUCUUUAGCUUUAUUUGAUUGGGUUUCUGUUUAUAGUUUUGCGAAAAGACUUUGAAGAAUCUAGGUGGUAAUGCAAAAAUAGGUUAAUAAUCCAUCUGACACGUGUUUGGAUUUGGUGAACCGUGCUCAUGAGUCAGUCUUUUGAGUUGGCAAAAGGAGGCUUCUUGGAGAAUCAUCUUCGGAGUUGUUGUGUGUCUCAGAGAUUCAAGGUGAGUCUGAGAGCCUUGGAUCUACAAGUAUUGAUUCUUGGGAAACAUUCCUUCCUGUGUUGCUCUUUCUCUUCGCUAACCCAGAGUCGUGCUUGUGCUAUCUUCGUCCUAUUUCCCUUGAUCAUGCAACUCCUAAACCUUCUCUGUUUAUUAUCUAAAGUGAAGUGGAUCCUGGUUGCUCACUAUUUUUUUUGUAGCCUUGUCUGUCUUCACCUUGAGUUUCCCUUAGAGCAUUUGGAGCUUGAGAACUUAGUAGAAUGUUCUCGUGUCUUUUUAGUUCCUUUGGUUGCUGGUACAUCCUUCAGGCCAGAUUCAAAGAUGGAUAACUAAAGAGUACUCUUCAGGCUUUUAAUUCCUUUAGUAAAAAAUUCUGAUUCAUACUGAAGUAACAUUGGUGCAGAGAGGCAAUGGGAGGUAGGUCUGUCCUCUUUGGACACCGACCCAUCUUUUUUAACCCGGUUAUUCCAAUUUUUUACGUCAGUCCCAAACGUUGUUUGAUAGUCUUUACCUUGCUUUUACGAUAGGUUGGGGAUAUCCGGUUUAAACCGGAUAUGUUUUCCCAGAUUUCAAGAACUGAAGUGAGCGAAGCUUUUCUUUCUGUACGAAGGCUCCAUCAACCAAGAGGGCCGUGUUUAGUUUUUAUAAUUUGUAAAUCUUCUUGUUUUGAUGUUACUUGCCUCUUGGAGAAAGCUUAUUGGAGUCGUUUCAUAACUGGAUUGUCUUGGUGAUGAUUGGAUUGGUCUAUUGCAGGUUACAUAAGCUUUUCCAUCAGUUCGUAAUGGAGGGGGUACAUUUCAACCUUCGAUCUCGGUUUAUCUCUUCAUCCAUCUCGAGUUUUAGCUUCAAAUUCAUUUUUUGGUUUUUUUCUUAAAAUCACUUCAAAAGCUUCGUUCUGAUUUAGUUUUUUUUUCUCUAGUUCUGAUGAUAAUGGUAUGAUUUCUCUGAUGAUAAUGGUAUGAUGUGAUUUAUUCCUCUCCAGCUUGCUUUAGUUCACGACCGUUGUUCCUUCUCAAGGCGUUGAGAACGUUGGAGUAUCAACGUUGGAGUUUUGGAGUUUUGAGAAGUUGCUGAAUCAGACCCUCUUAAGCUCUCUCUCUCUCUGGAGGUAUGAUGUUUCCUUUUUAUGAUGAUGAGCCUCGUUUGCAUAACUGAGUAGUCUCGUUAUGUGUUGUGGCCUUGUGGGUUUUGUGUGUUCAUGUUUCUGAGAUUCUACUCAACUUUUAUUCUCUUAACUUGAGUCAGUCUCGUUAUUGUUGUGGGUUUUCUAUGUUCAUGUUUCUGUGUUCACAGUUUGCUAGUAUUAUUAUGUGUAUCUUUUAUAGAUUGUCUUCACUUGCUAGUAGAUAAUGUACUGCUCCUUUCUCAUUUAAAUAUUUUGCUGUUUCAGAAAAUGGAAGCGAUAGACUUGAAUGAUGAUGGUCAGAAUGAUUUGAUGGAUGAAGAUAUAGAAGAUCAUGAAGUUAUUGAGAUUUCAGAGGCUAACAGAGGCACGCCACCAAGACAUGCUCAGUCACGCCGUAGAGCUAGGUUGUGGUUAAAGUUUACUAUAAUUGGAGGACAGCGGCCUGAUGGUAAAACCAAGAUCAGAUGCAACCUUUGUAAAAGGUUCUACUUCAUUAAGCUUCGCAAAAAUGGAACCUCAACCAUGUCUCGUCAUUUGAAGGUAUGUCCAAAAGCUGUUGGAACACCUGGAACACCUAGAAGUAGUUCUAGGAAGGUGGAUAUGAUGGUGUUCCGUGAGAUGAUAGCAAUGGCCAUUAUAGAGCAUGAUCUGCCUUAUAGGUUUGUAGAGUAUAAGAGGAUUAGAAUGGCUUUUACUUAUGCUAAUUCCAGUAUUGAGUAUUGGAGUAGAAACACAGCAGCUUCUGAUGUGUUGAAGAUUUAUGAACAGGAAAAGCAUGUGUCUUCUUUUGUGAAAGAUACAACCGAUCAUCCAAGACAUCACCCAAUCCCUUCAGAAGAACCGGAGCUACAGAGUAGAGUUUUUCUAUAGAGACGGUAACAAAAUGGCAGAUAGGAUAGCAAAGGAAGCUUUUUCUCUUUUGAAUCAUGUUCCUAAGUUGUAUUCUAUGGUGCCAAGUUGAUUGAAACCAGUGUUAGAGGCUGAUAUGCCUUCUGUAGGACUGAACUAUGAUGUAGGUCUGAACAAUAUUGGUUAAUGGAAAGUUUGUUGUUGAGCCAAAAAAAAAAAAGAAUCUUAUGCUACCAGAAUAAAAACAAAGGACAAGCUGCACAAAGUUGGUCUCCUACGUACUUCUAUCUCCCGCCGAUAAUGUCCUUAUCAUUUUUAUCUCUCUUUUUUUUUUUAAUUUUCUACUUUGAUUUUCCAUGAGCUCCUUUUUUAACUUUUAUCUACAUACAACAAUCGUAUGCUUUCAUGUGUCUUCUUUUGUGUUAAACAUGUGUUGCUUUAGUAGGUUGAACCGUAGAUGUUGAACCUUAUUUUUUUCCUUUUUGCAGGCUGAGGACAAGUAGAGAAGCUGGAAGCUGAGAAGAAGUGAAUCAAUAAAUCAGAGAGUUAUAUUUUUUUUUUACAUAAAAGUAUAAAACAGAGCUAUCAAAACCUUAAAAUUGUAUCCACAUUUGAGAGAUAAUUUGUAUUCAGAAUUUGAGAGAUAAUGAGUUCAAAACCUUAAAAUUGUAUCCACAUUUUUUUACAUCAUAUUUGUAUUAGAGGUGAACAAAUACAAAUUAAACAUUCAGCAGAUUUGAGAGAUAAUUUUUUGACAUUAAAUUGGGCUUAAACAGAGUUGCUAAUCAUGGGAAAGCUUGGGUUGGUCAUAUGGGUGUUGGGUUAAGUUGGGUGUGGGCUAGACAGGGUGUGGGCUAGAUGUGGGUGUGGGUGUCUUGAGACCAGGAAAAACAAAUACCCAUUGGGCGUACCCAUUUGGGUGUGGUCCAACCCAACUGACACCCCUGUCCGCUUCCCACCGAAACGUCGUCGUCUUCUGGUGACCCAGCGACUUCCCUGAGCUUGUCGCUUCCUGGUGCUGACGUUAGCGAGGACUCAACUAAUAUCAACACUUUAAGCCGCCGCCAAAACAAAAACGCAGAAUCGUUCCUACCGUUUUCCGGUGGAUUCCGAGGUGCGAUUGAGGAAAUGGGGAAGUCGUUUGCUGGAGACGGCGGCGAGUUUAUGGUGUUGGUGCAGGAGAUGAUUAAUGCGGAGGUGAGGAGUUACAUGGCGGAGAUGCAGAGAGACCGUAAUGGUAUUGUGGGAUAAUGGAAUGUUUCCGAUUAAGUAAAAUUGGUGUUGGGAGCAGGCCCGUCUCAAUGUUUAAGAAGGCCCAGUGCAUAAAUAAUGUAAAAUAAUUUCAAAAAGGGCCCUAAAUUUUAAAAAACGGGCCCUAAAUUAUAACUAAAACUAGGUAAAAAUUUUGGGGUCCAGUGCAAAUGCACUUUGGGCACACCCAUAGAACCGAGCCUGGUUGGGAGAAUGGCGUAGACAAGUGAGAGCUUAGAAACUGUUACAAUGAAUAUUACAAAUUCUUUUAAGAAAUGUGUAGAGAAAAUCGAGUGAGCAAUCUCAGUCCAUGAACCUAGAGACGAUGAUAAAAUUUAAUAAAAUACUCGAAAUAAGCUUUUUUCUUUAUAAGAAUGUUAAUGAUCAUCGAUAAAUUAUGUGAAUGAUUCACUAAACUGGUGCCAUUUUUGUAGGAACCUUAUUUUACUACCAUAGCACAAAUGAUAUUUGUAAAGAAUAAUAAGAACAUAUAUUAAAAUUACAAUACCGAAAUAUCAGAGUAAAAACGAAUUGCAGAGUCGAGAUAGUUAAUUUCUUUCCUUAAAUCUUUAAACGUUCCGUAGUGUGACGGAUUCAUGGCGCUCAGAUUCCCAAGAUAAAACUGCAGCAUUGUUUCUGUUUACCAUCACCGAAAAACAGAAUCUAUCGAUCCUAAUUUUGUGUUGUACUUUCAGACUCAAAAUAAAUAAAAAAUAAACAUAAUUAUUCAUAAUGGGAGAUAUUGUUUUUUUUUCUUUGUUGUUGUAUUCAAAAUCACUUGUAAUGAGAAGACCAAUAGCUAUUAUAUUGCCCACAGACCAAACCAUACGUUUGUCAUAAACCACACCUUCAAUGUAAGGUAAUUAAUAUGGAGAUUUGAGAAUUAUUCUCUCAUUAUAAUAUGGAUGUGCAUUUAAGCAGAAGUUACAAAAUUAAAAUCAACUUUGCAUUCAUUCUCUUAAAUCAUGUUGACCAUGUCCAUUAUUAUUAGAAAAGAUAUUUUCCCAUUUCUAUUUUAACUUUUGUCAACCACAAAGUCCAAAAUAAAGACUGAGACCAAGAAGACCAAAACAUGAAAUUUAUUUAUGGUCCAAAUAUCUUUUCUUAUACAAUCAAAGUGUUAAACUUUAAUAUAUUUUCUCCAUUUUAAAUAAAAGAGGAAUUAAACCUCAUAUUUCUAAUAUUGAUAUUUUAUAAAUAAUCCAUUUUAGACAUUCAUUUCUUAUUCAAAACCAACUCCGAUUUUGACAUACAAGUACACUAUUUCAUAGUGUCAAACAUUCGGUUAUUCCAACGAACGUCUUCGUCCGAAAACUUACCGGAAAAUGGUCUAAAACCAUUUCGUAAAAAACGAGUUCCAACAAUUUCAUAUCUCUCCCAAUCAACAUUAAAGCCAAGACUUUGACUUAGUCAACUUGGGCCGUCUCUUACUAUUUGAACUCUGCUGCGCUAGGCAUUGUGUAGUUGGAACCUACGUAUUCACGAGGACUCAUAGCCCUAUUGGCAAAAAAGGGUAUCUAUCAUUUUCGUUCGAGCUAGGAACGUGCACUAUUGGAUUUUGAUAAUAGGUGAAAUGGGUUCAGCCCAAAUGGAUGAAUUUAUUGGAUAGUGAUCGGCCCAUUACAACUAUCUUGUGUUUAGACAUUCAGUUGACAUAGGCCCAUUAAUAAAUCCAACAUCUAUGGGAUUAUGGUUCUGCUCUUAUCAAAAUUUGUUCAGAAAGGACUCCAGUACUCAAUUGUUUUCACCAUUCACGUCUUUCUUUAGAAUUCACAUUAACUUCCAGGUAGACUGGGCAAGCAGCGUCUUUGGCUUUGGAAGAGCAAGAGGCACUGUUUGUAAUUCUCCCGUGACUAACGAGCUCUGAUAGACGUCCUUGUAAGUACGUACGAUCUUGGCCCAGUUUUUAGGACCAUACUUUUUAAAGCCCCCCAAACAUUGUUUGGUCUUCAGCUGAAGAAAACAAACGGGCGUUUCUUAUCAGAGGCUUUGGAAUUUUUACUGGUCAUUGUCAUGUAACGGUCUUUGAUGUUAACUGAGUACAUCUUCGUAAGCACCUCUGAUACUGGACCAGACAUUUAGUGCGAAACUUCUUAAACUCAUCAAGUAUUGCUUGGUCUUCAGUUGGAGUAAAUUCUUCUCUUUCUCUCCUACUAUCGGUGGUCCAGCUACAUUCCCCAAGGAACUAAGGUUCCUCACAGUGAGCUUCCACCCAAGGCCAGGAGCUCUGUCAUGGUCUUCAUCAAAGAUGGUGAUUGAAAAAGUCGUUGCUAUCACCAUGUGGAGGAUGAGAAUAAGGAAGAUUUGAUCCACAGAGCUCACACUUAAUCUUGUCGUGUGGAAAUUCAAAUAAGUAAAAAAAUAAUUAAAUUUUCUACGUAUAUGUAAAGGGUUUAUAUGUGAAAUAAUUAAAAAAAUAGAUUUGUACAAGGUAGAAAGAGAUAGGAAGAAAGGGUAAAGUUUUGAUUAGUUAAUGUAUUGUAGUUUUUUUGGUCAUUUGACCUAAUUUUCCUUUAAAAAAUCUAGAGAGAAAUAAUAAGAUGUUAUUCUAUAUUGAACCCAACAAUAUAAAACCUAUUAUCUUAUACCAUCCUUCAAAAACCCAAUAACCAACCAAAUUCUAGUCAUGACUAUAAGUUCAUAUCUCAGAAAAGAACUUUUGCUUUAACCUAGUAAAUCAAAAUAGUUAUUAUACACUACCAGUUAGUGUGGAUUUGUAGAGACACCCAGCUUAUCCUUGUGGCCGGAGAAUAUUUACUUUUUUGAGAUAGCAAAGAGAAAACAAAGAGCUAUUACAAAGAAGGGCACUACAAGGUCCGUGACUUUAUUCUUUCCAUCAAGCCCUUUAAUUUUGUCUCAAUUUACAACUAUGUCCAGCUAAUCGCUACGGGACUAGCCACCACGUGUUUCCCAUCUGACCAUUCGAUGCUCCCGAAGCUAUUAGACCUAGAUGCCUUGGACGAGUUUACUGUAAACGUCACUGAAUGCGAUUUCUUCUCGUUUAUAUCUUUGAAAUUCAAAACCGCUGGUUCAACCGAAAUCUUCACAUCAGUAGUCUCCGAAUUUACUUUAACCGAGUAAGACCCGGCUCCUCCCACGCUCGUGACAGUGCGCGUGUACUUGAACACGCUGGAUCCGUCAACGUUAACGGCGAACGACGGAUAGUUUAGAUGAGCGACGGAGUAGGAUUUACUCGGAUCGCAAGUGUAAUUGCGUCUCGACACACUUGUGAUCUGCGACGGUGUGUAAUUCAAUGCACAGAGGAAGCCUAAGUAAUCCACCGUCGUUAGAUCGUAAAUAAGUCCCGGAUUGAUCGCCGUCGUCGGCAACACGUGUCCUGCGCCAUGGUCAAACGGCGUUGAAGGUUUCCCUGUCGUGACGUCGAUGAUCGGUUUCCCGUCGUUGUAAGUUUUGUAAGCGGUGGUCAUGAGAGCCGAUCUGAUCGCCGCCGGGCUCCACUCCGGAUGCACGGAGUUGAGAAGCGCAGCUAAACCGCUCACGUGAGGGCAAGACAUGGACGUUCCUGAGAUGAUGUUGAACUCCACGCGUCUAGCAUCGGAAGCUAGACCGGUAGGUCCCUUGGAUCCGGUCCAACCGGCGAGGAUAUUAACUCCCGGUGCGAUUAAAUCCGGUUUAAUAAUAUCGGGUGUGAUCGAAUUAGGUCCUCUCGAGCUAAACGCCGCAACAACCAGACACGGCUGGACGUUAACAACGGUCCCUCGAAUCAAAACCGAAGCGGUUGGAUUCGGAUCGGUUAAGACGUAAUGCCGGAUAAUAUCACCGGCCUUCUCUCAUACCGCGGUGGCAGGUAACAAAUGAGCAUCCGCCACAAGCUACUCUCCGUUCUCCGCCGUGUUAGCGAGAAUCAUCCCGAGUCCGCCGGCAGCCUUCACCACCUCUCCUUUCUGAACCCUAGCGUUCACUCCUCUAUCGCACAUCACGAUCUUCGCCUUAACUUUCUCUGGAAUCAAAGUCCCGGGCCUGUUGACAUGAAGAAUUAAACAAAGGGAAUAAUAGAGGAAGUAGGAGAAGUGGCCAUAUCACUUACCAAAUAGGGAGGAGUGGCUAGUCCAAUACUAGUUAGUGGAGGAAGUGGGAGGAGUGGCCAUAUCACUUACCAAAUGGGGAGGAGUGGCUAGUCCACUACUAGUUAGUGGAGGAAGUGGGAGGAGUGGCCAUAUCACUUACCAAAUGGGGAGGAGUGGCUAGUCCACUACUAGUUAUUUAUUCUUCCACCAUUGAGUGCUUAUUGCUUUUGUUUCCUUUAAAUACACCAUGUAUGUUACACAAUUAAACACACAAUUCAAUACAAACAUUUCUUUCAUUCUCUCAAUCUCACAAAUCCUCUCAUUCUCUUAAAUUCGCAAAUUUCUCUUCUCUCUCAAAUACUUACGGUUACUUCACUCCUUUUUUUUUUACUUUGUUUGUGUGCUUCAUCACGGUUAAAACACUUAGAAGCUCUCAUAAUCCCACAAAUUAUCAUGGUAUCAGAGCAGCAACAAUCUUGAAACCUUUCUAAAUUCCGCAAAAUCAAAACUCUGUUUCUAGUUCUUAAACUUUACCUCUGGCCAAGUAAAUCCUCAAAAUGGAGAACAACAACAAUAACAACAACCGUAUCAGCAUACCUGUGACCCUGAAGGGGAUUAACUACCUCUUGUGGGCCAGGAUGGUGAAGAUUGCCCUUGGAGGAAAGGGUUUGUGGAGUCAUGUCUCAGCAGAAGCAGCUCCAAAACAAACCACCCAAGGAGAAGAUGGACAGGAGAUUGUGGUAGCUACUGAUGAAGACAAAUGGGCUCAGGAAGAUCUCAUGGUUCUCACGGUGCUCCUUAGCUCCCUAGAACCCGCCAUCAUGGAGUCUUACUCCUACUGUGAAACUACCAAGCAGCUGUGGGAUGCACUCUACAAAGUGUAUGGAAAUACCUCCAACCUUACAAGGGUCUUUGAAGUAAAAAGAGCUAUCAAUACCCUCAACCAAGGAGAUAUGGAGUUCCAGCCUCACUUUGGCAAGUUCCGGUCUCUUUGGGCAGAGAUGGAACUACUCAGACCACAUACUACCGACCCCGCCACUCUCUUAACCAGGCGUGAAGAGGACAGAGUGUUUGGACUACUGCUCACGCUUAAUCCAUCUUAUGGGAGCUUAAUCAAGCACAUCCUGAGAGCUGACAAGUUACCUGACCUGGAUGAAGUAUGCGCUCAAAUUCAGAAGGAAGAAGGCUCUGUGGGCUUAUUUGGAGGGCAAGGGAGACUUAAACAUGGCACAUCAAGCUGAACGAGCCGUGUCAAACAAGGCAGCUUACAAGCUAGAUGAGAAGAAAAACUUGACCUGCGAUCACUGCAAGAAGAAGGGCCACAUGAAGGACAAAUGCUGGAUACUACAUCCGCACCUCAAGCCCAACAAAUUUAGGGACAACCGCCCUCAAUACCAAGAUGCAAGAGCCAACUUCUCAACUGAUGGUGCUGAGCCAACAACACCAAUCACCAUGGGUAUAAGCAACCUAGGUGUGGGAAGAGCUACUGCCUCCACAUCAGGCUAUGCCACGCCACGCCAAGAGCCAAUCUAGAUGAGACCAUCAAGAAGUCUGACUUAACCGCUCUCAUCAAGGCUCUCAAGGAAUCUGGUAUAUCUAAAACUCUUGGUAUCUCCCUUAAUGCUUCUCACAAUGCAAAUGGUUCUAUGAAUAAUUUUAAAUCGGCUAAGCCCUUAGUUAUAGACUCUGGUGCUUCUCAUCACAUGAUAAGUGAUUUAAAACUGAUUAAGAACAUAGAACCGGCUUUAGGAAAUGUGAUGAUAGCAAAUGGAGAUAAAAUUCCAAUAAAAGGUGUAGGUGAACUUAGAUUGUUUGAUAAAGAAUCUAAAGCUUUCUAUAUGCCUACAUUUGCCUCAAACCUACUGUCUGUUAAAAAAGUGACUAAUGAUCUCAAUUGUCAAGUUACUUUCACGCCUAACAGUGUAUACUUUCAGGAUAUUGAUUCUAGUAAGUUGCUUGGCAAAGGUGUUACCAAGGGAGACUUGUACUUACUUGAGGACACAAGACCUGUAUCUCAAUUAUCGUGUGUGUUUCAUUCUGUUUCUGAAUCCCCUAAAGAUGAAAUCUGGCAUGCUAGACUAGGACAUCUCCAUUCUCGUGCCUUGAACAUCCUGUUGCCUAGUAUUUCUUUUAAAAAUGAGUGUGAAGCGUGUAUAUUAGGAAAACAUUGCAGAACUGUGUUUCCUAAAUCAAAAACCCAAUAUGAAAACUGCUUUGAUUUGAUUCACUCUGAUGUGUGGACUGCUCCAUGUGUAUCUAGAGAAAAACAUAAAUAUUUUGUGACAUUCAUUGAUGAAAAAUCUAAAUACACAUGGAUCACUUUGUUGCAAUCUAAGGAUAGGGUGCUAGAAGCAUUUAAAAAUUUUCAGAACUAUAUUACUAACCAUUUCAAUGUUAAGAUUAAAAUUCUUAGAUCAGAUAAUGGUGGUGAAUAUACUAGCACAGCCUUCAAACAACAUCUAGCCUCACAUGGAAUCAUUCAACAAACCAGUUGUCCUUACACACCCCAACAAAAUGGUGUGGCUGAAAGAAAGAAUAGACACUUGAUGGAAGUGGCAAGGAGUAUGAUGUUCCAUACAAAUGUACCCAAGCGGUUUUGGGGGGAUGUAGUAGUCACAACCACCUACCUAAUCAACCGCACACCUACAAGAGUCCUCUUUGAUGCCACCCCAUAUGAGGUACUAAACAAAUCUAGACCAUCAAUUGAUCAUUUGCGUGUGUUUGGGUGUGUGUGCUUUGUUUUGAUUCCAGGAGAACUAAGAAACAAACUGGAGGCAAAGAGCACAAAGGCAAUGUUCAUUGGAUACUCUACGCACCAAAAGGGGUACAAAUGCUAUGUACCAGAGACAAGGAGAGUCCUAGUAUCCAGAGAUGUUAAGUUCAUGGAAUCCAAGGCCUAUUAUGAUGAGAAGAGUUGGGAGGAAUUCAAAGAUCUAUCUCAUUCUGCCUCGGACAGAGCUAACAACCUGAAGAUUCUUAUGGAAAGACUCGGCAUUAACCUAGAAAAGGAACCAGAGAAAUGCCGGGAAACUACUCCUUAUAAAGAGACCAUGGUUCAUAACACUGAAGACUCUCAUCCUGACCAUGAAGGGGGAAAUGAAGAUAAUGAAGAUCAACCGGCGCAAGCUCAACCUGAAGAAAACCCAGUAUUAUCUCAUGAUCAAGAUGAGAUGGGACAACCAGACACUGAAGCUCAAGAAGGAGAACCAAGCAGCAGUAAUGAACCUGAGCAGACACAAGUACUAAGGAGAAGUACAAGGAUCAGAAGACCAGCCUCAGAUUGGGUUAAAAAUGAUUUUGUUUACUACAAUGCUCAAGCUGUGGCACAUCCAGAAAGUGGAUUAUGCUCCCUAGCUCACUAUCCAGAAGAACAUCAAGUCUUUAUGAGUUCAUUGGACCUGGAAUGGAUACCAAGAACAUAUGCAGAAGCUAUGGAAGAUGAUGAAUGGAGGAAAUCGGUGGAUGAUGAAAUGAGGGCCAUGGAGAAGAACAACACCUGGUAUGAGACAGAACUUCCAAAAGGAAAGAAAGCCGUGACCAGCAGACUCAUACAUACCAUUAAGUAUCUUGCAAAUGGGAAGCCAGAAAGAAAGAAGACCAGACUGGUGGGAAGAGGAUACACACAAGUGUAUGGAGAGGACUAUCUAGACACCUUUGCACCAGGGGCCAAGCUUCAUACAAUCCAGAUUCUACUCUCAUUAGCAGUGAACCUAGAAUGGGACCUUUGGCAAAUGGAUGUGAAGAAUGCUUUCCUGCAAGGAGAACUAGAAGAUGAAGUGUAUAUGAAACCACCUCCGGGGAUGGAAGAAAUGGUGAAACCAGGGAAUGUCCUUAGACUCAGAAAGGCAAUCUAUGGCUUGAAGCAAUCACCAAGAGCUUGGUACCACAAGCUAAGCACUACAUUGAAUGGAAGGGGAUUUGUGAAGUCUCAAGCGGAUCACACACUCUUCACUCUCACCAGCAAGCAAGGAAUUAUAGUAAUUCUAGUCUAUGUGGAUGACAUCAUCAUCACGGGUAGUGACAAGGAGGGGAUCAGUUUAACCAAGACAUUUCUCAAGGCCGCAUUUGACAUCAAAGACCUGGGAGAACUGAAGUACUUCCUUGGCAUUGAGAUGUGCAGAUCAAAGGAAGGAUUAUUCAUGUCCCAAAGAGAGUAUACCCUGGACAUAUUAAAGGACGCAGGAGAUCUUGGAGGAAGACAUGCCAAGACACCACUUGAAGAAGGUUACAAGGUAUUGCGAGAGGGGGAGUAUGAAGACACUCCAUUUGAAGAUGUCAAGCAGUAUAAACGGAUGGUUGGGAAGCUGAUCUAUCUAACCAUCACUCGGCCAGAUGUGUGUUUCGCAGUUAAUCAAGUGAGCCAGCACAUGCAAACUCCCAAGGUUCAUCACUGGAACAUGGUGGAGAGGAUUCUAAGAUACUUAAGAGAAGUGCCAGGACAAGGUGUAUGGAUGGCUUGCAACAAGAACACUGAGGUGAUAGGAUAUUGUGAUGCAGAUUGGGCUGGAGAUAGAGUAGACAGAAGGUCAACCACCGGUUAUUGUACAUUCAUUGGAGGGAAUCUUGUCACUUGGAAGAGCAAGAAACAGAAAGUAGUAUCUUGUUCAAGCGCAGAAGCAGAGUACAGAUCAAUGAGGAAGCUAACCAGUGAGCUUAUCUGGAUAAAGGGGCUUUUAGGCGACUUGGGAAUUGAGAUCACCUCUCCCAUGACCAUGCACUGUGACAACCAAGCCGCAAUACACAUUGCAUCUAACUCAGUCUUUCAUGAAAGGACAAAGCACAUAGAAGUAGACUGCCACAAGGUCAGACAAGCAGUGGAGCAGCAAGUGAUUCUCCCAUGUUAUACAAGAAGUGCGGAUCAGCUGGCUGACAUCUUCACCAAGGCGGCCAGUAGCAAAGUUUGUGAGUCCAUUCUUCCAAGACUUGGACUCAUAAACCUUCCAUGUCAAUGAUCUCCUCACCGUGGAGUAUUCUACUCUUUUUCCUUUGCUUGGUUUUUAUCCCAAGUGGUUUUUCCAAGAAAAGGUUUUAAUGAGGGAAUACUACAUGGCUUUCCAAGCUUGACACUCACUACUGUCAAGCUUGAGGGGGAGUGUUGACAUGAAGAAUUAAACAAAGGGAAGUAGUGGAGGAAGUAGGAGAAGUGGCCAUAUCACUUACCAAAUGGGGAGGAGUGGCUAGUCCACUACUAGUUAGUGGAGGAAGUGGGAGGAGUGGCCAUAUCACUUACCAAAUGGGGAGGAGUGGCUAGUCCACUACUAGUUAUUUAUUCUUCCACCAUUGAGUGCUUAUUGCUUUUGUUUCCUUUAAAUACAUCAUGUAUGUUACACAAUUAAACACACAAUUCAAUACAAACAUUUCUUUCAUUCUCUCAAUCUCACAAAUCCUCUCAUUCUCUUAAAUUCGCAAAUUUCUCUUCUCUCUCAAAUACUUACGGUUACUUCACUCUAUUUUUUUUUAACUUUGUUCGUGUGUUUCAUCACGGUUAAAACACUUAGAAGCUCUCGUAAUCCCACAAAUUAUCAGGGCCCACAUAGAUUCCCAUUAGCCGCGUUAGUAGCAUUCCCCGCGUAAACAAACGGCAGUGUUUUAUCCGGAAGGGCGUCUCCUUUAAACAACGAAACGCCCGAGUAAUUCUUCCCUUUUCCGAGAACCGCAACCGCUGGAAAAUCGCGAUCUAUCGUACCCACACCAACGGUGGUGAUCCACGGAGCUACGUUUGAUAAAGUUGACGAGCUGGGACCAGAAUUACCGGCGGAGCAGGAGACUAAUAUCCCUCUCUCCAUGGCCGCAAAUGCUCCGAUCGCGACGCUGUCUCUAUAAUAAUCCAACGAUAUCGUCGACAGCUUUAUCGAUCGCAGCUAAAAUAUCGGAGCUGAAACAACCGCCUUCCCAACAAACUUUGUAAACGGCCACGCGAGCGCGUCGCGCCAUCCCGCGGGCUGCCCCGCUAGCGAAUCCCAAAAGGCUAGCUCCUUCCACGACGGAUCCAGCUGCGGUUGACGACGUGUGGGUCCCGUGGCCGUCGUCGUCUCUAGGAGAUCUUGAUUCUUUUGACUCGUCCACUGGUCCCAUCGUGGCUUCGUAGCCGCGGGCGAAGAAUCUAGCUCCGAUUAGUUUGCGGUUACACAGCGAAGCCGUGAAGUUAGUUCCAGCCUCGCAACCGCCUCUCCACGUGGAGGCGACCGGACCUAAUCCAACGUCGGAGAAGCUUUUGCUCUCAGGAUCCACGGGGAGGCGACCGGACCUAAUCCAACGUCGGAGAAGCUUUUGCUCUCAGGCCAAACUCCGGUGUCGAGGACCCGGACGACGACGUCGCUGGAGGAGCCGGUUUCGGGGAAGAGGUCCGCGUUAUGGACAUCGAGGCCGAGGAAGAGUGGAGUGCGAGUGGUGUGUAGCUCGUACCGGUGCUCCGGUAGUACCGAGAUGACACCUGGCAGAGUCAUGAGCGAGUCGGCUUCUUCGGGAGUUAGCCGAGUGGAGAAUCCGUGAAUGGCGUUGGCGUAAGUGUAGAGGAGCUGAGCAGAUUGUGAGACGGAUCUGAGGGAGGAGUCGUACCAUAGAGAGUGGAGGUCGAAGCCCGACGGCAUCUGAGACUGCGCCAUGUGAACGAUGUAAGUUGCAUGUUGAGCUCCAUCCGACACGUGGCAGAAGCCAUGAUGGAGGAGGAGGAAGACAGUGAAGAAAGCAGCGGAGGAGAGAAACGAAGAGUAAGACGUAUCUUUCGGUAUCGCUCUGAAUUUGGACCAAGAGUUUAUUAUAUAUAGUAAGUAGAGAGAGACAGGAGAUGCUAGUGAGAACACACAAAGAGGUUUUCGAUCGCUAGUAACCGCAAGCUUCUGACACUGUCAUAACGUGCCGUUUCUCAGAUCUCUUUGUAUCGGUUUUAUAUUCCCAAACCCGAACCAGAUCUCAACUCCUGCCGUAAAAGACAAAUCUAUAAAGCUAACUCCAAACCAUUCUCAAUUACAACUAACCAAUGAAUCCUUCUUCUAAACGGAAUUAAUUAUCAUCUGUAAACCCAUAUUCUUUAAGUAAGAAAAUAUACAGUCUAUCCGACUACAUAUAUUAAAAGUUACUAACCAUUUUGUUCCACGCAUAAUUAAAUUAUAAUUAUCCGUGGAUUCAAUUAUGACAGUUAGAUGAGCAGCAACAAGUAGAUAUAUUAAUUUGCGACAUGUGACCUUGAUUAUUCUUAAUUAAUCAAACCUGCCUAACACAGCUUUAAUCUGUUUCCUCACUUGUAGAUAACUUCCAAAUAAUAGGAUGUGACAGAUAAAUCGCCUAUUAUUUUUAUUAAACCGACUAAUUAUUGUCUUAGCUCCGGUUCGCUUGAAUACGGUAUGGUCGUGUCCACACUCCACAGUCCACUCCAGCCCAGUUAAAUUCCCCUAAAGAAGGUUACGGUUUUUUUUUGGUCAACUAAAGAAGGUUACGUUACUACCCCACAUUCAAUGGAUUCCAUCGGGGAGUGGAGUCAACAAUUUUCUCUUUACCUCGAACUAAGUGUAUACAAAAGAAUCUAGAUACUCGUGAGUCUUUUAUGUUCGUAUAUGGACAACAGUACAAUAUACUCCUGUCCAUAUUAGUUAUCAAAACGUCUUUAUGUCCACACUAUUUAGAGCCAAACGUCUUUAUGCAAUUACUUCUACACCAAAAUGUAACGGUCCGUGGAUGCCAUAAGAGUGCUUUGUUUCAUUUGGUUUAGCAAUUUACUCUUUGUUUUGCGUACAUUGAUUAUUUGAUUACGCGCAUAAUCAUGAUUUAUGUUUUGAAAACGUACAGAUACAUAAGGAACUACUUUUCAUACUAGAUAUGAAUGGGUUUGGAGAAAGACAUCAUCAACUAACCAAUGCUUUUGAGUUUUGACGGUCGGGAUCCAAAUAAUGUGUGUGGCAAUUAUCGAGACUUUGGUUCGUAUGGUACGACAUGAAGUAACGUGUCUUUACAUCAGAUCAGAAUUCACGAAAACCAUAUCUAAAUAAUUAAGCUACAUUUGAAAAUGUUCAUAUUGUUAUUAGUUUAUGUUUUAUUUUUUAUAAACGAGCAAAUAAGAACAUCAGAAAGCUGGCAGGCUGGUCUAUUUUAUCCGACUCUCAGUAAUAAUGCCACGAUGAGGUAUUGAAUAUUGUCCACGUCCCUGAUUGAUUUCAUAUAGUAUUAAAUUUUGGGAAAAAAUAGUAUGUAUCAGGGUUUUAAUUGGACCAUGCUAUUUAUCUUCUUGUUUUAGAACUUGGUUAAAAUUGAACUGUGUGCCUACAAAAUUCACCUCAUGAACAUUUCUCUUCUUCUUUCAGUUAUAUAAGAAGUUAAAAACUAACGCAAUCUAUCGAAAAGUAAACUGAUGAUUUUAGCCUUUUAACCGUGAAAAGUUAUAUAGGCCGUUAAUCUAAGCCAUUUACAUGAUUAAGUUGGCCAAUUAUAGGCCCACGUAAUCCACAUUUUGUAAAAUAACUGGUACGGUAUUUGGCAAUUAUAGGCAUUUUAAUCAAAACUGAAAGACCACAUAGUGCAUUUGUGUUGCUCUAUACUAGUUUGACAAAGUACUAUUUAACAAGAUCAUCCCAUUUGCAGUAUUGACCACCGGCCAAUGUAGGCCUGGGCAUAUUUCCCGGAUCCGAAGAUCCGAACCGGUAAUUACCCGGAAAAUUGGGUUUCGGAUCGGAUUCGGUUAUCAAAAAUUACCCGGUCGGAUAAGGUUUAUAAUUUGGUUGGGUACCGGGUCGGUUUCGGGUUAUACCCGGGAUCCGUACGGAUAUCCACUUAACCCGAGUUAGCCUAACAGUUAGUAAGUAGUAAUCUAGUUACCCUACACUAGUUAAUGCGCCCACGCGUCCACGCCUUAGACAAGUUCUAUUUCCAAAAUCCAAUCUUCUCUUGAUACUCGUAAUCGCCGUUUCUUCUUCAGAUGGUCUUAAGCUGCUUAUUAAAAGAGCAGACUUGUUGGGGAGAUGAUUAUCGGAAACAAAUCUCAAAUUCAGUCUCUCCCUCUUGCUUCUGAGUCAUCGAGAAACAUAUCUCAAGUAAGAAUUCUUUUUUGCAUGUCGGUUUUGAUCAUUGAACGUAGGAUUGUCUGAUUGUGUUUCUGUUUAGUUCUUAUGAUCAAUUUAGUUUUUGCAUCUCGUUUUUUGAUCAUUGAUUGUAGGAUUGUCAGAUUCUGUUUUUGUUUAGUUCUCGUGAUCAAUUUAGUUUUUGCAUCUCGUUCUUUGAUCACUGAUUGUCAGAUUGUGUUUCUUUAGUCUUUAUCACUUGAAAUCGAUUUGUUGUGUAAAGAUGGGAUUGAAAUCAAUUUAUCUUCUCUUAUUGAUGUUCUUUAUUUUGUUCAACAUCUUAUUGGUGUUCUUUUAUUUGUAGAUGGAUUCUUCACCAUUGCCAGAUAACAAUGACUCUGAGACAGAGAAUGGAGUUCAAGCAACCCAAGAGGAGAUAACACGGCAUGAUAAGAAAGGCAAAAGGAAGGUUCGUUCAGGAGGUAGUUCUCAGCCAACUACAAAAAAGCAGUCAAGCACAAGGUCUGAUGUCUGGGAACACUACACAAGAACAGAGGACGACCGUGACAAGUGCAGAUGCAACCAUUGUCAGCGUAUCUUCGGCUGUGCGUCUUCGCAAGGAACUUCUAACCUUAGGAAGCAUCUACUUUCAUGCAAGUCUCACUUGGCGUGGAAACAGAGCCAAGGUCAUGGUUCAACCGUGAUUACUAAUGACGGAGGUCUGACGAAUGCUAGAGUUUCUGAGGCUGUGUUCAGAGAGGCGACUAAUGAGCUAGUGGUGUUGGGUGAAUUGCCACUAUCUUUCACUGAGAGUGUUGCUUGGAGGCACUUCUGCGAUCGUGCUGGUCUCUACAAACCUCAUUCAAGAAGGACUGCAACUAGGGACAUUGUGCAGAUGUAUGUGAGAAAGAAGGAGGCUCUGAAGAAUUGGUUUAAGCUCAGUAAGCAGAGGGUUUCACUUACCACAUACAUAUGGACAGCACAUGCUACAGGAGCAAGCUACAUGGUGGUUACGGCUCACUUUGUUGAUGAUACUUGGCAGCUAAGGAAGCUUAUCAUCGGGUUCAAGCAUGUAUGUGAUCACAGAGGCCAGAUGAUUGCUAAUGUUCUUCUGGAAUGUUUGGCUGAGUGGGCAAUACAGAAGGUGUUCACCAUCACGGUUGACAACGCAACAGCAAACACAUCUGUACUGAGAAAGUUUCAGAGCGAAUUCAUCUUGCUUGGCGACGAAGCAUUGGUGAUGGAUGGCAACUACAUGCAUAUGCUGUGUGCAGCUCACAUUAUCAACCUGGUUGUGAGAGAUGGUUUGCAGGAUAUUGAUGGAAAUGUGGAAGCAAUUCGUAAUGCGGUGCAGUAUGUGAGGUCUUCUACUAGUUCUAAUUUGAUAUGUUCACUAAGUUCUUAGGCCAAAUCUCGUUGUAUCUAUCAACUUAGCUCGAGAUGAUUUAGUUCAAUUGUUGAACCCAUUUUCACGGUUGUCAACUAUCCUAAAUCAGAUUUCUAAUUAAUUAGUCUAGAAACAAGCAGUCAGAACAAUCUGUGAAGGAUACUAUAUGAUUACACUAACAAUUAUAUAUUUCAAAAGUUCAUCAAAACCCUAAAAAUUCCUAAACCUAACAAGUGCACUACUCAGACAUGAUAUCACUAACCCAAAUUAGACCAGAUAAAUAAAACCAUAGGAAUUCCAAGAAAACUUCCGAAGGAGUUCUUCUCUUCUCUCCCAAUCUUAAAACAAGAUUUAAAAGAAAACACAGUCGUCAACAAUGGUUUAAAAACAUAAUAUAAGAGUUAAGAUACAUUCUGAGCUCUUUUGUAAAUAAGAAAAACUUCUGGGACAAAAUAAAUAUUUUUGGAAAUCGAUAAAAAGUCGUCGGGUUUGAUCAUGAGGAGUGUCGUUCUAUACCCACACUUGGUGUUGUUCGACACUAGGACACAAGCUCGACAUCUUCUACUCGCAUGUCAUGCAAACCACUCUUCAACAAAAUGGAUAUAACUUUUGAUCCAAUUGUCUGAUUGACAUCAAAUCUGUGACAUUAGAAAUCUAACUCAAAGAUCUAUAUGUGUCAAAAUAUGAGCUCAGUUGGAUCAUGGAAAGUCCUCUAUCCAUAGCUAAACUUCUGAUGCAUAUGCACAGUUUUACAUUUCAAAUAAUUUUUUUUUUUGAACAAAAAAAAAAAACAUUUCAAAUAAUUUUAGAACCUUCAGAGUUGUCAAAAACGUAUCUAAACCUGAAAAUACUCUAAAAUAACUCUAAACAUAUAAUAUAAAUUCUAAAUAGGAUUUAUAUCAUAGUCUAAAAGGUGGUAAAAACUAUGGUAUAUCAAGUAUGCAUAUAAUUCGACAAUCAUUUUUUGUUACAAUAGAUCUACUUUUUUUAUUCUUGUUAUACUCUUUCUCUCUUUCCCUUGACUAAAAAAUCAUAAAAAUACACAUGGUUAAAUGGAAAAAAAAAUAUAAAAAAUGAUAAAAGGAUGAAGGAAAAAUUAAGCUGAACGUUGGCAACGGUCGUAGUAAGUGCAAGUUGUGUCUUUCUCAUUAACAGCUUUGAUGCAAUUACCGGCGAUCUUCCAAGGUAAAGCCGGCUGUCGCUGCAGAGGUUUUGGGCUUAUAAAUCUCCUUUGUUGCAGAAUCCUCCUUCUCAGCCGCCGCCAUUAAGCAUUCUCUGACCGUAUCUCCGGGAGCACAUCCAUCAUAUCUCAACUCACUUGUGCCGUUCCAUGCAGAUGCAGCCGUGAGAAGAAGCAAAAGAGAGACUGUGAUGAAGAAGGAGAAAUCUGGUUUGUUCAUGUUUAAAGCUUAAGAAUGCUAGGAGGUGUGGAAUUAUUGAAUGAGAGGAAGAAGAAAAUAACCCUUUUUUCAAUUAUCUUUACAUCCACACAUUAGUUUUACUACUGUCUUUUAAUUAUUUGAUUAUGUCGCAAUUGUUUUGUUUGAUCCCAAAUCUACCAUUUACUGAAAUGUUUAACGUUUAAAAUGUACAAUCACUUCACAUAUUAUAACAGUAUGUGAAUCAUAUAACGUCAUCAAAUACAUUGUUUUUACUUUUGACAACUCAGAGGUCACUGUAGAUUUGUAUCUUUCUUCAUUUCAUUCUUUAUAUUACUUGCAAGUAGGCGUUAAGUAAUUAACAGAAGAAACAAAACAACAUAUACAACAAAUAAAAAGGGAAAAGGAACUAAAACAAAAGUUAGCUAAGUAGCACGUUUGCAUCUGUUGUAGUAAGUGCAUCGUGCGUUUCUCCGGUUAGCUGUUCCAAUACAGUUACCUGCGAUCUUACCAUUACAAGUUGGCUGCUUCUGCAGAGCUUUGUAGCUUAGUUUCCUCCUCUGUUGUUGCAGAAUCCUCCGCACCACCGCCUCAACUCCCUCCUCAUCCUCAACCACCGCCGUUAUGCACUCUCCAACGGUGUCUCCGGAGCCACAUCCACCAUAUCCAAACCCACUUGUCACGUUCCCUGAAGAUGCCGUUGCUGAAGCAGCCGCAAGAAGAAGCAGAAGAGAGACAGUAAAGAACAAGAAGAAGAAAACUGAUCUUGCCACGUCUUAAGCCAAAAAGCUAGGAGAUGUGGAAUGAUGGAAUGAGAACAAGAAGAUGAUAUUACAUCUCUUCUUAUAUUGUCAUGUACACAUUAAUUUACAAUCUUUUAUUCAUUCUUGUUGGUCUAAUAAUUGCUGUUGGUCAUUGACUCCAGUAAAGAUAAACAUAUAUUAUUCAUUUAAAACAACAAAUUAUUCUGAUAUUAUUGAUCAUAUGGCUAAGAGAAGAAGACAAAAAUAGCACUAAAUCAAGUUUUUGUUCCCAAACUAGCACUCAAGGUCAAAAGUCACAAAAAUAGCACUUAAUGUUUUAUCAAAAGUCACAAACUUAGGGUUUAGAGUUAAAGGGUGGGGUUUAGGAUUUAGGGUUUAGGGUUUAGGGUUUAGAGUUUAGAGUUUAGGGUUUAGGGUUUAGGGUUUAGAGUUUAGGGUUUAGGGUUUAGGGUUUAGAGUUGAGAAAUGAGGUUUUGGGGAUAAGAUUUCAAAUUUUGAAAAAUAAAAAAAUUAAAAUUUUCAAAGGAUAAACUUAGAAAUGUGCUAUUUUGGUCAUUUUAGUUUUUGAGUGCUAUUUUUGUGAUAUAAACUUAGAAAGGUGCUAUUUUGGAGAUUUGCCCUAUGGCUAAAAUAAAUAACAUUUUCUAUAAACAUUUUGUUUCUUGUGAAAGCAGAACAACAACAAGAAAGAAAUACAGACAUAACAGUAAGAAAAAAAAGCCAGAAACAAAAUGAAACAAGAAAAAACAAAAUAUAUGUAUGAAGACAUCUAUCUGUGAGAGGCUCUAAUCCUGGCAAUCUCAAGUAAAAAUUUAUGCAAAGCUUGUGGCUUAGAGAAGAAAGGAGCAUGGUCAGCACCUUUUAACCGGUAAACUUUUUCAGGUGGACUACUAUUGAUCAUGUGUUCUUGGAGAGCCAACGGUAUGGCAUUGUCUUCCAGCGUCUCUAUGUAGUACCGUCUCACUGAUCCGUAGUUACCAUCUGAGAGAGAGAGUUUCUCAAGAACCGGCGCAAACGGGAUUGACCUCAUUGACACAGAAGCCAAUGCAACAUCUUUUGAAGGGCUUUGAUUGAACAAAAGGUCUUUAAGAAGUGACUUGUCUAAGUCAAUGGCCGUUGGAGGGUGUUCAUUACCGUUUGUGUAGAUAAAUAUCUGAGCUUUUCUCAUUAAGUCGCUCUGACCUGCCUGCAGCGAGAACAUGUCGAGUGUGCUCUGGCCAUUAGUCAACAUGGCUGCAGAGAGGAACACAGCUUUUGAGAUCUUGGAAGGAAACUGUUCCAUAGCGUAAGAUAUACAUGCUCCACCGAAGUCAUGACCAACCAAGAUCACCUUCUCUCCUGUGGGAAGCUUUUCAAGAACAUCAGUAAGUGGUUUCACGUACUGUGACAAGCUUGCGAUGCUGUUUAUGUUGCACGAGUUGAUACCGCAACCAGCUAAGUCUAUGGCGGUGACUUUGAAACCAUCUUCUUCUAGGAGAGCAAUGGUUUUGUACCAACACCAAGCGCCGAAACCUCCUCCAUGGAUGAGGAUAAAAUGGUUUGUUUCCAAGUCAUCUAGCUUUACACCCUAUUCAAAGACCGGAACAAAAUAUUUCAACUUCCAAAUAAAUAAUGUAUUAAACUGUUUCCUGUUUUGCACUUAGGUAAACAGAAACUGAAUCAUCCACAAAGACAAAGGUGAACAAAUGGUCAAAACAAUAUAUAUAUAAACAGUCCUACAUGGAAGAUAGGUACAACACAUGAAGAGUGUAACUAAACUUCAACAAUGAUGUUUGGCUAAAACUAAAAGGUAAUAAAAAUGAAGUACAAUCUCAAGAUUUAAGAUAAAUACUUCCAACACCAAAAUUAAAAGUAGUAAAAUCUCAAGAUUAAGAUAAAUACUGGCAACAUCAAGACUAAGAUAAAUACUUGCAACAUCAAGAUUAAGGAAGUAAAACAUCAAGAUUCAAGAUUAAGAUAAACAAUUGCAACAUCAAGAUUAAGGAAGUAAAAUCUCAAGAUUAAGAUAAACACUUGCAACAUCAAUAUUCUCAUCCUCCUUUUGUGACUAUAUAUAUUCUCAUUGUCACCACAAUCACACCAUUGUCCAUAGUCAAAGAAAAAUAACUGAUGAAAAUAGAGGCACCAAGGUUUUUCAAGACUCUAACACCAACUUCUAAAGUGGUUGAGCCAACAAAGUACACUAAAGAAUCUACAUUAUACUAGAAUCCAAGGCACUGAAUGCUAAGAAAAGAAACUAAUCAAUGCUCAUUACAUAUCACAUUCUUCCCAUAUCAUAGACUAAGACACUAUACACAAUCAAUUCAAGUUCCGAAGAAUGUCUCUAUUCAAAAUACCAUUGAGACAACUUCCAAGUUCUAGCUUUGAAUUAAGACACGAGUUUGAGGAAUGUCUUUGACUUCGUCAACUAAAGAUUAUUCAAAGUCAAAAAAACCUUGUUAAGAAACUGAUGAGGCUGCAACAGAGGAUCCGUGGAGGAUCUUGACCUCGAGCUGGAGCUCCGAGGCAACUGAUUCUUCUUCGAACCAGAAACAGGAUAACGCUGCGACGUGGACCGAUCAAACGGAAGCGAUCCAGCUUCGCCGCUGUUUUGCUGUCCGAACAAAAUGGUAUCUUCGAGCUUGUUGUCCCUCGUAGAGGAAGAAGAAGACGAUCUGCGCCUGUUCCUAGGACCGGAAGCUGAUCUGGGUACGGAUGGUUGCCGCUUCGUGAUGGGUCGUCUCUUCUUGACGGGCUUAGGCGGAGCAAACAAAGAACAGAGGUUUCCCAUGAAGAAACUUGAGAGAGAGAAACAGAGUAAGAAAGGUUUGGGCUUUAUGGAGUUUUUAGAGAGAGAGAGAGAGAGAGAGAAGGUGGGGGUUCAGGUGAAAGUGGUGGCGAGAAGCUGGCAACUUUUGAACAGCCUUCUCAUCGUGUGCAACGGUGAGUCUAGAGAGGGACCAUGCUAAAGGGGAAAGUGCAUACAAUUUUAUAAUUACAUUCUUUUAUUGUUUUUUUUGUUUUAUAAAAAAGUUUUCUAUUGAAUAUAUUAUUUUUUAUAGGAUUAAUUUGACUAAUAACCAAAAUCAUAAGUGAAAUUAAAUGUAGGACACUCAUGUUGACGGAAUGAAAAAAAUGUCAUUUACCUCUAAGUCAUCCGAUUAUAUCCUUCGUAAAGACAAGUUGCAAGUAUCAAAGGAAAAAAAGAGAUGAAGUCGACGGUUUAUUUACUAACUCACGUCUUUACUGCAUACGUUUUCACUUUAUUUAGUAAAUAAGUGGAUACAAUAUAACACUCUCACAUUAUCUGUUGUAUUCAAUUUGUAUACGCCGUGAGUCUAUUUCCAUUUCAUAAACAAACACAUAAGGAAGAAGAUGAAUGCAUAAAGAAGUUAAUGUUUACCAGAUUGUGCGUGUACUAUUAUAUCUCGGUUUCACAUGUACUAUUUUAUUUCGCUGACAUAGUACAUCACUCAAACCUUCUCUCGGAACUAUAUCUACAAAACCAACCACAUCUGAUAAAUAAUAUACUCAAACUCCUACUUAGUUAAUUUAAACCCUACUCAGAAAACUAUAAACUCAAAUAUAAUUUAUAAAUUGUUUUCUGAUAUUAAACACAUGAAGGCACAUUUACUUGGUUUGCAUGGUUGCAUAUGUUCUAUUCCAUAUAGUCCAAGUAGUAUAGUAAACCAAACCAAACCUAUCUCGGUGACAUAGUACAUCACCCAAACGUUAUGUGGGAACUAUACAUAUAAAGCCAACCACAACCGCUAAAUAAUAUAUCUAACCCCUUAUUUAGUAAAUCUAAACCCUAGUCAGGAAACUAUAAACCCAAAUACAAUCUAUAAAUUGUUUUCCGAUAUUAAGCACAUGAAGGCACAUUUAAUUGGUUUGAAGGGUUGCAUAUGUUCUAUUCCAUAUAGUCCAAUUAGUAUAGUAAACCAAACUUACCGGAGAAACCUACAUAUUAAAGCCUCUCACACCCGCAACUUAUUAUACCUAAACCCCUAAAAAUUAAUCGAUUCAUAACAAUGAUAUGACAUCAAAACAUAACAAAUGUUUAUUCACUGUACAUCCAUAUUUAUAAUAUAUUUUUGUCAAAUAGAAUAGAAAAAUACAAAUAACACAUUGCAACUGAGUGACCGAAUGUGGAGAUAAUGGAGUAAUGAAAGAGAGAAUGACGAGGUGAAUGAGAAGGUAUCAUUUGCAGAAGAGCUGGUACCAGCCGAAGUUGGUGGAGGAAAAAAAAGAAACUAUCACGAAAAGUGGAGAAGAAUAAUAGUCGAUGGGAGAAACUAAAGGGACAUGAGUGGAGACGGCGGUGAAGAGAAGAUGAUGGCAUCGAUAAAACAAUUGGUGAUGGUAGUAGUCCCGGUGCUUAUUUUACAGAUGGAAUACAAACAUAUGUAAUAUAUUUGUGUUUCAUUUCUAUUCGAUAUGUAUAAAUUGUUAUAGAAUAUAAAAAAAUAAAAAUGGUCAUCAUCUUCAAACAUUUUUUACUAAUUGACGGUGACGUGUAUGUGACGGCGUCAAACGAGAAGGUACAUCUCUCCAUACUAUGCGAUCAAAAGGUUUUUGAUUGUACUAUUUUGUUACAAUAUAUGUAGGAUACUCCAAUUACAAAUAGAUCCACAUACUCAUAUGUCGGUUCAUAUUUACAAAUCUAUUUCAUUUACUGAUUCACUCAUUUGGAAUGACCUAGAAAUGGAAUAGAAACAGCCAAACUAUACAAACAGGAAAUCCCCACAACAUUUCGGGGUAUGACAUCCCUAAUGAAUCUCACAUACAACAUAAAAUACUAUACACCACAGCACAAAUAUCUACUCCAGAAUGAGAACUUACAGUUCAAGUUCCUUCUUCAGUCACAGAAUAAUCUCGAACCGGAAGAGUUAUUCACGGAGGCGAUAUGCCGGGCUCGCGGAUUUCGAUUUAGAAGCGGCGAAUCUUGUGUCUCCCGUCUCUGACAGAGGCGUCAUAACCAAGCAUUGUUUAGGGUAGUGUGAGAUGAUGUAUCCAAGGGAGUAAUUAACAUGUAUAUUUGCAACUUCUCAGCUUCGAGGAAGAGAUGGAGAUUUAGAAAAUUCUAAAUAAUAAGUAGCUUUAUGACCCAACUCGUCACAUUUAGCACAUUCGGAGGUAACCAAAAAUAUACUACAUCAACUAUUGUAAUGAACCACUCUUAUCUUCUAAAGUUGUUCUUUGAUAAUUUACUUCUAUUUAAUUUCUUUUUUUGAAUUAUACAUGGCCCCCACCAAAGUGGGCCAUGCUAGUCACGUGUUAGCAGCCUAUGUUAAUUUAACUUCACCUCCACCAAUAUCUUAGUUUCAUCCAUUACGGGUUAAUCAAGCAAAGGCUUGCUUUGUUAGCAUUACUUGUGUAAUACUUUUGUUAGCGUUGUCAUUAUUAUUCAACUUAGUUUUCAAUUGUUUUGGUUGCAUAUCAGUCAACAGACAAGUAGCUUUGAUUCUUAUACCUCUACAAAAAUGGCUAAUCUAAUCCAAAAGCUUAGCAGUUCACGGAAGAUAAAACUAACAAUUUUUUUUAAAAAAAAUUGCAAGUGUGUGUAACUUUCUAGUGGCUAUCAACUUACGAGGACAAAUCACUCUUCCACUUUGAGCUUCAUUAAGAUACAUAAAAGGACUGAUAAAUCACGAUUUGAUCCAAAAUAUGAUCAUCACAGGAUCAACAUUUUGUUUGGACCACCACUAUAUAAUAUAUUAAGGUAACUAGAUUAAGACUGCGCCUUGCGCGGGAUGAACUUUAUAUAUACUAUUUUCCUCUAUUAUAUGUUUUUUACAUAUUUAUGAAAUAAUAAAUAUAUAUUGAAUAAUUAAAAAGUUAGUAACUAUUACAUAUAUAUUUAAAUUGGUUUUAACACAAAGAAUAAAUUUCAUUAUUCCAGACAUUCACUUUUUUCUAUUUUAUAUGGUAUAUAAUUAAAUUUAAAUGACAUGCACGUAUAUAUAUAUAUAUAUAGUGUUAUUUUUAAUAUUGAUAUUUAUAUAUUAAAUGAUUCUUUUUACUCAUAUAGUUUUUUGAUAAUUUGUAUAUUCUUAUAACAAAAACUCUAAAUCACUGAUAACAAAAUUUUCAUUGUGUGAUUAAUAGUUAUAGUAAUUUAUAAUUUUAAAAAAAUUCAAGGCUAAGUUUAAAAUUUAAAUAUAAGUUGUCAAUAUUUUUUUAAAGCUUUUACCAAAAUUUUUUUGUUCAAAGCAAAUUUUGAAAUUAAAAUAUUUAUAUAUUUUAUAUGGUAUAUAGUUUGAUUUAAACGAUAUUAAUAUAUAUAUACAUAUCUUUUACACUUAAUAUUUAUUAAAUGAGACUUAUUACUAAUAUGAUUUUGUAUCAUUUUCAUUUUAUCCUAACAAAAAAUUUAAAUCAUGAAUCACAAAAAAUUGAAUGUGAGACGUUUGACAGUUUUAGUAAUUUACAGUGGUUUAAAAAAAAAUCAAAAUAUAACCAAAAACAGAAAAUCUAAUUUUUUUAUUAAAUGGUUAAUUUAUUUGUUUAAUUUAUUUUAUAAAUUUUAAAUUAAACAAAUAUGAUAGAGAAUACACAAAUUUUCAAAUCUUAAUUAUUCAAAAUCAUUCAUUUUCAUAUAUACUUUAGCCACAUUAGGAAAUUCCAGAAUUUUAUUUAAGGAAAGAAUGAAAAAUAUUAAUAAUGAAUUUAUGGUUAGUUUAAUAAAAAAACUUAUUAUAUAUUUAGAUGAAACAACUUAUUUCUCUAAAGAUUCUAAAAUUCAAUGUGGUGAUGACACAUGACUACCUCAAUUGUUGUAAUGCUUCUCUUUUAAUAUAUUUGAGAUUUCAAGUUUAGGGAAUCAGAUCCCGAGGCAUAUGACUAGAUAGUAGAUGCUAAGCUAUCAUCAUCACAUAGCAUGUGAAUUCUCUGGCAAUGCAAUAUGUAUGCAAUCUAUGAUAAGUACAAGUGUUUUAAAAUUUUAGUAGAAAAUAUUUGACCUUUGCCAUUUUUUUCUCUCUCCUCUCCGCCGGAAGAAGUAACUUCAUAACUUUACCAGUCAUCCACCACCAUGACCAAUUUUAGCGAACAUUGGUUGAAAUUCAAUACAUGAAAAUACAUCUCUCAAAUAUAUUGACGAUUGUGUGUUUUUAACUGAACCUAUUAAUGCAUGAUUGUAUCUAUCUAUAUCUUCAACUUUUUUUUGUCCCAAAAUGCACAUAUGUAUCAUAGACACUUGUUAUCUAGGAGUAUUUGAAUUUAAUACGUAAAGUUCUCAAAAUUGUAUUGAAGGUUAGUGAAAUACACUCAUCUAAGGGAUAAGAUUUUCUUUCUGCGAUUUAAGGGAUACGAUCGUUAGAUAAUUAAUGAAAGGAAAGUAUCUUCUAUUUGAGAUUAGAAAUCUAUGGGUCCAUCGUUUCCAACCCUAAAAUUUGAUUUCCUUUUGGGGUCAACGUAAUUCAAAGCCUUUCAUCUCUUUAUAUAGUAGCUCAUUCUCAACUAAGUUUCUCAUUCCCAACUAAGUUCGUAUCUAACCACUGAACUUCUUCGAUUGUCUCUCCUCAGACAUGUCCUACCCUCAUCCUAUGUCUUUCUCUCUAGUUUAACACGCUGUGGACAAGACAAGUGAGAGCAAGAAACAUGGGAUGGGGAUAGAGUGUGAAAAUGUUGUUUUUGUUCCCUCUCUCAACUUAGUUCUUAUGUUUAGCCUAGUUAUCUACCCCUAAAACAAUCCAUUGGUUGUCUCCUCAGACAAAUUCUGUCUGCAAACUCUAUCCUAAAUCAUGGAUCAAUGGCUCUCACUCGUUUGAGACGUUGUGUAGAGGUUUCACUGGUUGAAAAUUAUCCACAUCCUCUCAGGCAAGUGAGAGGAGAGACAUGAGAGGGAUAAUUGAGCAAUCGUGACAUGCUCUCUUUAUUUUUGAUGUUUUGUCACAGAUCGCACUAAUAUUAUUUUGCUCUUUAGAAAGACCUUUGUUUAAUUUAACUACUAAUAAGUAUAUUUCUAGGGAAACCAUAUUACAUAAGUGAGUAACUGUAUCAACAUUUGGUUAUAUGCAGUUCUGUUUUUUUUUUUGUUCCAGAUUUUUUUCCAAACUAUAAUUUAGGUUAAUUCUUCAUAAAUUUUGAUUAAGAAUCUCAUUGAUUCAUAUGUUUUAUUAGAUAUAAAAGUAUAUUCAUUAACUUUACAAGUCACUGACUCACACCUUUGGAAACAUAUACACUUUAAUUCAACUGAAUAGCUAGACUUCCGGAAACAUAGUUUUGAUAUCAACAAUCUUUUGUGGAUUAUAUUUCGAACUUACACUCAUGAAAGAUUGUUUAUAUCAAAAUAUGUUGUCGUAAAAUCUAGUCAUUCAAUUUUAAUUAAAGAGUAAUGGUGUAGGAGAAUAUUAUAAAGUAACUAAUAAACCAUUUACCGAAACAUAAGAAUAAAUAGGAUCAAUAAUCAAAAUCCAUGAAGAGAUAACACAAAUUAUGAUUUAAAGAAAAAUGUGGGAAAGAGAUGAUUGUCUUUAUCUUUUUAAAAUCAAACUCUAGGAAAAGAGAUGUUAUUUCAAAAUAUCAUUGAAAAUUUUGCUUUAAAGAAUGCUCAUAUAUAGUUUAUUAUGAUCUAUCUUACUUAAAACAUUAUUUGAGAAAAUUAGUGAAUUCUUAAUGAUUGAAAAAUGUGCUUUCAUAUGAUAUAUAAGAUGAAAAACAUUAAUAAUGUAUAUACAAAAAACGUUUAAGGGAUUGUAUAUUGCAUAGAUUUGACAUGAAAUACAAAUAAACCAAUGAAUAAUGUCCAUGCAUGUCAGAAAGAGUUAUGUGCGAGAAGUCUAGCUAGUGAUCAUCUGUAUAAUUGGAAUGCAUAUCCGGGAAGAUUAUGUUUGGAGAAUGAGAACUAUAAUAAUUUGUGUGAAUGUAUCCAUCAAAGAACACUCAAAUAAUAUAAUAUAAGAGGUAUAAAUGUAAGAAUAUUUUUUUGUCACCAUUAAAGUCUUUGUCAUAUAUUUAUAACAUCAAGAAUCAAAGAGAAUGAUCAAAAUGAGUCAUUAACAAUCAUUUCAUCGUAAUGGCGACGUAAGUGUUCUACAAAAUUGUUUCAUAAAAGUAGAUAUGUCCGUCGAAAAUCAUAUUUUUUUCCGGCAGUUUGAAGAUUUUGCAUAUAUAUUUUUUUUAUUUUCAAAAAAUAAUAUUCAAAAGAGUUAUUUCAUCAUACUAGAUUUUGACAUUUCAAAAUUCUCGAGUCAUGUAUUCAUGAGAGCGAGUUAAUGUGUACAAUACUUUUUCAGUUAACCAUAAUUUAUUCAAUGUGGUUUCCUAGUAUACUACACACUGAAGUAUACUUUUAAAUAUAAUCUACUCAAUCUUAUAACUACGCUAAUCUAUAUUAUAAUAGUUGAGUUUUUAAUCACUCCUCAGCGCGUCACGUCAGCGUUUCGUGGGUUCCACUUUUAAAAAGUGUGAAAAAAUGUCAAGCUCAUGGCUCGAACCCGGGUUAUUGAGAUAUAAACACCAACAUUUAUACCACUAAGCUAACUGAUACUUUGUACAUUGAUGGUCGAACCUAAUAUAUAUUUAUGAAAUUCGGAAGCCCUUACUUCUUCGGCUUCCUCUGAGGGACGGGCCUACAAGUGUAUUAUGGGUUUCAUUUUUUAAUGGGAUUCAUCACGUUAUAUGAAAAAAAACUCAAGUUUGCAACAAUUAUGGUUUUCCUAUAUUGUAAACUGUUGUCGUUUAACAUGAGUUCGGAUUCUUUUCAUCAUUGUCUCAAACAAGUCUGAGUUACAGAGUUGCGCCGUGUGUGUUCGUAAUCUAUUUUUUCACCGGUGAACUCUUCAUGUCUCCAUAUUAAAUCGCUUUAUCAUAAAUGUUCCUGAUUUGUAACCCCUUUAUAAACCCUAUAUAUAUAUGAUUCUCAUCUUUGAUGAACCCAAUUUGCAUCUUCUAGAAAAUGUUUCUCUCUGCCUCUCCAGUUUUUCAAACCGGCGUCCCGGCGUCCGUCACUAAACCUUCGAGUCUCUCCGUCUUGGUCGUAGUAGUCAGAGCAUAGCCUUUGGUUUCCCCCGCUUCUGGGAUUCCCUGAACUUCAAGAAAGACAAGGAGUUUGUGGGAAUCACGGUUCUCUUCCUUUAUGAAAAGGUAAGUUAAUCUUCGAUCUAUCACACUUAUUUAACAUAAUUAUUUUAAUUAAUUUCCUAAUUCUUUGUUGAAUAAUAUUAUUUGUAGAUUCCGUGAUUCAUGGGUUUACUCCCGUCAGACGUGCUAAUCAUUACAUGCCAUCUUUGAAAGAAGGUUCCACUGUGAAAGUCGAUCAUUUUGAGGUUGCUAGGUGCUCAAGCAUGUACACGAUAACUGAUCAUCCAUUCCUCAUUCGUUUCAUCUCACUAACCAUUAUUGAUGAAGCCAUCACGGGUGCUCCUAAGAUCAAUCUCCAGUCAAGAUUAGAAUGUUCGACAAUUGCCAAGUGAUUGCGAACACAAACCUAGAAACUGGUAAACAUAGCAUAUUUUGCAGCUCCAAGCAAGAUUACAAUCAGGCAAAUUCAAGUGGAAUGACAUACCAACAACUGAAACUGGUAAUUAGUCAACAGCUUGUCCCAUAUUUUCCUUAUUCCUAAAAAAUCCACUAUGUUUCUGAUCUAUUUUUUCAUCUACACAACUUUAGCCUCUGUCAUGGAUAGCUCUCUCCCAAGGAUUGCAUUGACUAUGGUUUCUGGGAAGAAAAAGACUUGCUCCUGAAAAAAGAUUGUGACAACCUUGUUGUAAUAUUUUAGUUUAUGCUGAACAAAAAACUUUGAUUUCUUUUCUAUUUAGUAUAGUGGUAGUUGUUGACAAUCAUUAGUCAUUUGCCAAUAUGGUUUUUAUGCGGCAUUUCAGAUGGAAGCUAAUUUUUCUGGAAGCUCCUCGACUUCAAGACAGAAUCAGAAGAUAGAUGUUGGUGGGAGGUUGAUCAAGGGAAUACUUCAGAGAAGUAAUACGGCCUAGCCAGACUUCAUCCUUUGUACAUCUUGAGCAAAGAGUGGAACCCACAAAACACGAGAGAAGAAAGACAAAACACGAAAUUAACAUAUUUAGACCUUCUCUCUUGCAUGUCUAACAUCUGGCACCGACGAAAGUCAACACCCACGGCAGACGAAACUGAUGCAAGUAAACCUCUCAUCAAUCAUGCUUAAAAUCAAUCUACGUUUUUCAAUCUCACAAACUAAGAAACAAUUUUACCUACAUGAAUCGGGAAAUUAGUGCCCACAUUCCCAACAUAGAGAAAAAGAGGAGUUGAAGUCCUAACAGUUUUCUCAGUAUCAGACUAAACCACAGAUUCAAGGCCCAACUAUUUUGAAACCCUAACAUUUUAAAGUCAUGCUUUAAAAAAAAUAUAUAUAUUUGGCCAUAUUUCAGACUUUUUUGUCAACCUCAAAUCAUCUAUAACAAAGUCCAGAAAAAAAUAUAAAUAAAAUAAUUUUCUAAGUACGUAAUUCUAAAAAUGUUAUAAGUUUUUUUAAAUAUAUUACAAUUCUAUUUUUUUUUCUUAAAAGAAUUGGUGAAAUAAGAGGAAAAUUUUAUUUUAUUGUUUAUUUAAAUUGUUAAAUCCAAAUUUAUUAUCUGUUUCUAUGCACUAUUUGAUUUAUAUACAAAAAACUUCUUAAGUAAACACUAACAAGUUCCAUCACACUCAACUUUGAACAUAAAAGAUAUAAAAAUAUCAAAAUAUGAUUUCGUCAUUCAUUCUUAUAUCAAAAUCAUCAACCUAUGUAAUUUUCAAUGUUUCAUCCAUCACAUUAUAGACAAAAAACAAACAAACAAUAAAAUCACGUAAACAAAACUAUACAAUGCACUUAUAAUGUAGUCAACCCCGCGCUUGCGCGAAGACUAUGCACCUAGUAAACCUAAGAAUUUCCUUUUACACAGUCACCAACAUCCCAACCCACAAUUUAAUAAUUUUAUGCAAUAUCUGUUAUUUAUCUGCAAUUAUAUUAACUAACACAUCUUCUUUAAUUUUUAUGUACUUACUAAUGUUUCUCUCUCUCUCUCUAACCCUUUUUGUAUUUUGAAUUGUAUACUUUAUUUGUUUAAUAGUUAUGUAUUUACAAGUGAUAUAAAGUAUAAACGUAGAAGAACAAUGUUUUCUGAGAGUUUUUUUAUUAUUUUUUUGAGAAACAGAAGAACAAUGUUUGCUUUUGAUUUUAAUAAUAAUGUAGACAAAUUUGGAAAAAGCAUUUAUGUCCGUUUUCAUUUCUAAGACUUUUAUAAUAAAAAAAUUGGUGUUGGUUUAUGCUACUCGCGAAAUAUGUUCUAAAUAUAGAUGUUUUUUACUUUUUGGAUGUAAAAAUUAUUAUAACUUAAUAUUAUAUUUUAAAAACAUAAGAUGAUAAUAUUAUAACUUCAUUUUGGUUUCACCGUAAAUAAUGUUCUUAAUAAUUUGCAGCUUUUCAGUGGCCUUCUCUCGACGUUUAUAACUUUAAGGGUCCGUCUGGUUCAAACGCAGCAGUUGAAUUUUGAAUUGUAUACUUUAUUUAUUUAAUAGUUAUAAACGUAGAAGAACAAUGUUUUCUGAGAGUUUUUAUUUUAUUUUUUUGAGAAACAGAAGAACAAUGUUUGCUUUUGUUUUUAAUAAUAAUGUAGACAAAUUUGGAAAAAGCAUUUAUGUUCAUUUCCAAGACUUUUAUGAUAAAAAUAUUUGGUGUUGGUUUAUGCUACUCGGGAAAUAUGUUCUAAAUAUUGAUUUUGUUUACUUUUUGGAUGUAAAAAUUAUUAUAACUUAAUAUUAUAUUUUAAAAACAUAAGAUGAUAAUAUUAUAACUUCAUUUUGGUUUCACCGUAAAUAAUGUUCUUAAUAAUUUGCAUCUUUUCAGUGGCCUUCUCUCAACAUCUGUAACUGUAAGGGCCUGUAUGGUUCAAAUGCAGCAGUUACAGUUGCGAGUGCGGGAGUUUGUGGAUGCAGGUGGUUGCAGUUUCAAGUGUUUUUAAGCGUUUUGUAUAACUGGCACAAUGUUUGAAAAUUGUUGUGUUUGCGGAAUAUUUGUGACUGGUUGAUUAUGAGAUAUUACAGUGGUUUAAUAAUAAAUUACCAAUAUAAACAUAUUCGAACAUUAUAAAAUAUAAAAAUAUACUAUUGUGAUCAAAUAUAAUAAUUUUUAAUAUAAUAUGAUUANNNNNNNNNNNNNNNNNNNNNNNNNNNNNNNNNNNNNNNNNNNNNNNNNNNNNNNNNNNNNNNNNNNNNNNNNNNNNNNNNNNNNNNNNNNNNNNNNNNNNNNNNNNNNNNNNNNNNNNNNNNNNNNNNNNNNNNNNNNNNNNNNNNNNNNNNNNNNNNNNNNNNNNNNNNNNNNNNNNNNNNNNNNNNNNNNNNNNNNNNNNNNNNNNNNNNNNNNNNNNNNNNNNNNNNNNNNNNNNNNNNNNNNNNNNNNNNNNNNNNNNNNNNNNNNNNNNNNNNNNNNNNNNNNNNNNNNNNNNNNNNNNNNNNNNNNNNNNNNNNNNNNNNNNNNNNNNNNNNNNNNNNNNNNNNNNNNNNNNNNNNNNNNNNNNNNNNNNNNNNNNNNNNNNNNNNNNNNNNNNNNNNNNNNNNNNNNNNNNNNNNNNNNNNNNNNNNNNNNNNNNNNNNNNNNNNNNNNNNNNNNNNNNNNNNNNNNNNNNNNNNNNNNNNNNNNNNNNNNNNNNNNNNNNNNNNNNNNNNNNNNNNNNNNNNNNNNNNNNNNNNNNNNNNNNNNNNNNNNNNNNNNNNNNNNNNNNNNNNNNNNNNNNNNNNNNNNNNNNNNNNNNNNNNNNNNNNNNNNNNNNNNNNNNNNNNNNNNNNNNNNNNNNNNNNNNNNNNNNNNNNNNNNNNNNNNNNNNNNNNNNNNNNNNNNNNNNNNNNNNNNNNNNNNNNNUACAUAUAAUUUUUGAAAAUUAAGAUCUUGUUAAAAUCUUUUCAAACAGAUUUCUUAGAUUUAUUAAAAUAUAUAUUUUUAUAUUUAAAAUGAAAAGAUAUCAAAAGAUAUUAAGAUUAAAAGUAGUUCAAAGAUUCUCUGUGUUAUUAAUUUAAAUAAAGUACAUUUAAUAAAAUUUCUAAAAGAUGGUCCAAAUUAAAAAAAGUCACACAUGAAAGAAGUCCAUUCUAUUUUGAUAGAAUAGAUGUUUAUUUAUUUAAUUUUUUAAUUAGUUGAAAGUUAUAAAUUUUUUUUUAAAAAUGAAUAUUUAUAUUAAAACUUUUAAAAGAAUAUUUUGUUGCGUUUUAUAUAUGUGUAUAUCUUAUAUAUGUAUAUUGAUUUUUAAAAAUUUCUAAUGAGCAGCUAGUUUAAAGUUUUUAUAAAACAAAUUAUGAUACUGUUUUUGAAUUUAAAUUAAUAUAUAAAAUGUGUAUAUAUUUUUAUUUAUUAUAUUUUUAUUUUUAUUUUUAAUUUAAAAUUUUAAAAUAUUUUUAAAAAUUAAUUUUUUAUUUAUUUAUCCAUCCGUAACCGCCAGCAACCGCAAACGCUAGCUGAGACCAGCUUUUGAUUUUACGAGGUUCGAAGCAAUUUGGAGCGAUUUGUAGCGGUUUGUAUGAUUGUUUUGAAACGUUGUCAACCGCUACUAACCGCAAAAGCUGCGUUUGCGGGUGGUAGCGGGAAAACUAGUCAAGCCUUAAGUCUAAAGAGGGACCAAUGCUAAAGGGGGAAGUGCAUAAAAAUUUAUAGUUGCAUUCUUUUGUUUUUUUUUCAUAUAAGAUUUUCUAUUGAAAUAUUUUUUACGCCCACAAUUCAUUUUUUUUUCAUUGCAGUCACUUUUAAAUUCAGUUAGUUGAACCUGGCAUAUGUGUUGGUGUAUUCAAAUCCAAAGUAUUAACAAUCGAUUCAAGCUCAAAGAUGAAGAAUCCAGAUAGCUCAAGAUGAAGAAGAUAAUUAAAGAGAAAGUUUGUUAAAAUUGUUAAUCUUAACCUUUACAAUGAAUUAACCAUAAGUUAUUAUAUACACAGACCGAUCAAACUGACAACCAGAUACUAAACCCAUAUACCAAACCAAGUAUCCUAAUACAAAGGAUGAAAUGGGGUAAAGUUACUUUGAUGAUCCAUAACAACAUGGUUAGAAGGUAAAGAGGAAGAGGAAGAAACUAAAUAAGUGGAGAGUUUUAAGGUAGAUGAGCUUCUAACCUAAAACCAAUUAGUGAUAAGAGUAGUGGUCUAUCUAUCUUAUAUAUUGAUUAGGAUCUCUACGACCGAUGUGGGAGACUAUGUCUGUAAUACGCCACUCGAGAUGAUGGCUCUCCGAGCGUCAAUCACGGAAUGUUUAGGCAAAGAUCGAUGGGACAACUUUGGGCCAGAUCGAUAUGGAUCGGGUUGGACUGUUUAAUUUGAUCGGGCUCUGAUACCAUGUUAAGCUAGAUAGACUUACUAGUGCUUAUCCCUUUCCCAUAUUGAAACGCCACAUCUUGGGCAACUUGUCAUGUCCUUGUAUUCCUUACGGUAAAGAAUGCAGUCGUUUGUGCAGGCAUGAAUCUGAUCGUAUCCAAAACCAAACACUUUCAAGGAUUUCUUCAUUCCAUCUGUUGAACUUGGAAGGACAUUAUCUCCGGGAAGCAUGUCAUGGACUACCGUCAGGAGCUGGUCGAAGUAAUUCUCAGACAUACCACUCUUGACUUUAAUGCGGUAAAGCGCCAUAAUUUCUGAAACCUUCGUGUAGUUGGGACAGCUAGAGUAUAGUGGAGUUUCAGCAUCUUCCACUUUCUUCCUAAACUCGGAUUCCUCUUUAUUGUCACCUUCUUCUUGCUGAACUUCAUUGUAUUCAUGGGGCUGUGAAGCUUCACCAUCAAAGAAGGCAGUUCGGAACAAGUCAUAAGCUUCAUACUCAUGACUUCCGAUAUCUGAUGGCUUAGCAGUCUUCACAUCUCCAUGUUCAAACCAACUCUCCUUCCUCUUGUAUUUCUGAUCCAUACCCUUGAUAAUUAAAUGAUCCACCACUGUAUCUGUCAGCUGAUGGCACAAGUUGCGGCAGUCAAUGUAGGGACACAACAUAACAGUAGGAUGACCCAAUCUCAAAGCUGAUUCUUUCACAAAAGCAGAUGCUCCUUCCUGAUACUCAAGGCUAGCCCUGUAAGUAACAAACAUUUUGAAACAUCAAACACCUUAAUACUUAAACAAACAAAUGAAAAUAUAUAAUAAAACAUACACAUACCUUGGUAGCCAAACCCAAUUCUUGUCCGUUGUAAAAAUAAACCAGUACUCCAGAUCCAAGUGUACGUACAAUACACGAAUAAGGUUUCGUAAAUCACUAAAACAGAAAAUUAAAAUCUCAUAACAAUACGGAAGGAACGAGAAGCUCACCACUAAAAUAAGUGUACUCCUUUGAUUUGAGAAGAUAUCUGCAAAAGAAGCAACAAGUAUUAGUAAGAACAAAACUUAAUGACGAAAUUGAAGAACCCUAAAUCGAUUAAUCUUAGUAUAAACCGUAGAUCUAACAGAUGAAAAACCUAAAUUAAUUAGAAACAGAUUAAAACCCUAAAUUAAUUCGAAAAUUGAGGACAAAAUUGAAGAACCCUAAAUCGAUUAUUCUGACCUCGGACUGUGGAAACGAGUUUACUCCUUCGACAGCUAAAGAAGGAAAGAGAUUAUGAAUCAAACAGAGAGGUGGAGUGAGGAUUUUGUGUUUAUUUUGAUAGAACAGAGAGGUGGAAUGAGGAUUCGAGAGAGAGACAAAAGGUGUUCGAUACAACUGAGGUGAAAGGAAGUGAGAGGGUUGCUUUUUUUGCCUUAGAAUGUUUUUGGGAAAACCAAAAAUUUUAGGUUCAAUUCCCACAUAUUGGUUUACAUAACAUUUUUAAUUUCAUUCUGCUAUCAAUAAGUAACCGCGAAAAAUACUUAGCUAAAAAAUAUGCCGCGUAUCGAAUUUAUUUUUCCGCCUUAAUUAAAGAUAGCAUUUCAUUAAAGCCAAACGCUAUAGAAAAAUCCGUGUGUCGCAAACCAUAGCAAAAACAAAAAAAACGCUAUACUGGUGUGCUAUGAAAACUCGAUAUUCUUGUAGUGGGUCCAUCUAUCUUAUAUAUUGGUUAGGAUCCCUUUCAACUACCGAUGUGGAAGACUAUGUCUCUAAUAGAGAGGCUCUUUGUGUGUUCAAUUUGUGAGGUAGCUGGAGCAUCCAUAGAUAUGGUUGCAGUUUGAGUUUAUGCAACUAUUGAAGCAGCCUGAGAUGUAGCUAUAGGCUAUAGAUUAUACAGCAGUUUCAGAACUAGGGUUUGUGAUGACAGUAUAUAUCGUGCUAGAGUCUAGUUUUUCUGCUUUCCUAUGUGCAACACUUUCUUAGACUGUAACGAAUGUAUUAGUCUAUAUAGCUGCAGCUGUUACUAGUGUAGUAAUUAAUCUCUGAUGAUACACAGGCUAAUUCAUUAAUAAAGGGAUCACUAUCCAGCAUGGAAGAAUUAGUUGUAGUCAUGUUCUUGACUAGUGGAGCAUUGAUUGAGGUAGUGUGGGAUGAUGUACCCGAGGGAGUGACGGACUUCUGAUCCAACUCGCCACACUUAGCACACUUAGAGCACCCGCAAUGGGAAUCCUUAAGUGGAAAUCCUUAGAGAAAAAAUAAUUAAAUAACCAGUGGACCCCACCAAAAGUUAAAGAUUCAAUCUUUAAAAUUCUUAAAUAAAGACUAUUUCUUAGUGAAUCUUUGCACUAUUUGCGGGUCCUCACGACAUGUGGCGACCCGUGAUUGGUUGAUAUUUUUUUUUUUAAUCUCAAAAAGAAAAAAAUAAUAAUACUUAAAAAAUCAAAAUACACUUUUUCUAAGGACUCCUCUUUGGAUAUCACCAUUGCGGAUGCUCUUAGAAGGAAACCAAGAGUGUACUACAUCAACUAUUGUAAUGGAAAUGCUUUUAUCCUCUAAAGCCAUUCUGUGAGGGAAAGUUUCAUUUAACUUCACAUCGACCAAUAUUUUAGUUUCAUCCAUUGCUUGUGUAGUAGCCAAGGAGUUUUUGUGUAGUACUUUGUUCGCAUUGUUUUUAUUAUUGUACUUCAUAGUUUUUCACUUGUUUUUCAGUAUUGAGAAAAGUUAAUAUAUUUUAGCUGCAUCUCUUUUAAUAGAGCAGUAGUUUCCGUUUCUCGUAGCUAUCCACUUACAAAGACAAAUCACUCUUCCACAUUUAUCUCAUUAAGAUAUAGAAAAGAACUAAUAAAUCACGCUUUUAUAUAUUCAAAAUAUGAUCAUCAUCACAGGAUCAACAUUUUGUUUGGACCACAACUAUAUAAUAUAUAAAGGUAAUUUUUAGUUCUGGGAAUCAGAUCCCGAGGCAUAUGACUAAAUAUAUGUCAUGAUAUAGGUGCUGAGCUAUUAUCAUCACAUAGCAUGUGAAUUCUGUCGCAAUGCAAUAUGCACAAUCUGUAGAAAUUAGUUGAUGUUCUAUCAACAGAUUUCGAAGAAUUCACAAGACUGAGAAAACGUUUUCAGUUGUUCAAUUCUUUGUGCACGCAACUGUGGCAAACUCAAAAGCUGAUCUUAUAGUUAGGAAUGCUACUUCUAUUUACUGAGAUUUGUUUUUAGUGGUUGUUUCAUUCCAUUUUAACUUUCCAAACCAUUUCAUGUUUGAAUUAUCGAACAAUUUUUGCCGUUAAGAAAAUAAAUUAGUAAAUAAUUAACUUACAACAUUUAAUAUAUCUAAAAUUUAUUUUAAAAGGAAAAUUGUUAUAGUUUUAUCACAUUUUCACAAUAAUGCCAAUUUGUAUAAUAUAUAAAUAUUAGCGCCAAUUCAAAAUUCAUAAAAAUGAUCAAUUAUUUAUGAUAAACAAUGCAACUUUGUUUAAAUAUCCACAAUAAUAAUUCAUUCACUAAUGUUUAAUUGAAGAAAAUUUUAGUUCAAUUUAUAGGAUAUGCAUAUUCUCAUAUCAGAUUCUAUGUUCACUUUAUUAUGUUCCCAAAAAUUUUGAAUGCUAGUGAAAUACAUUAAUCUAAGGGAUAAGAUUUAUUUUCAACAACUUAAGGGAUAAGAUCAUAAGAUUGUGUGACUCAUGAAUAAAAGAAAGUUAUCUUCGAAGGAGAUUCGAAAUUUUUGGGUCCAACGUUUCCAACCCUAAAAUUUGAUUCCUAUUUUUGGCGUCUCAAAGUCUUUUAUCUCUUUAUAUAACAGCUCAUUUUCAACCAAGUUUUUAUCUACCAUAUAAUUAAUCAAUUGUCUCCUCAGACAUAUUGUACCUCAUCCAAUAUCUCUCUCUCGUUUGACAUGCUGUGGACGAGGCAUGUGAGAGCAAGAGACAUGGGAAGAGGGUAGAUUAUGCGCGCAUAUGUUGUUUUUGUUCGAUCUCUCAGCUAUGUUCUUAUUUGUAGCCUACUUAUAGUACCUCUAAACCAUUCCUUUACUUAAUUGUCUCCCCAUAUAAAUUAUUUGUGCAUACUUUAUCCAUAGUUUUGCUCGGUCUUUUACUUGCUUAAGCUUUCUAUUUAUUUAUAGAUAAUAAUUAUAAACAUUGACCAAAAAAAUAAUAGUUAAAAACCGUCACAAGAGUUGUAUUACUACUAUUGUUAAUACUUUAAAAAAGUACUGCGCGGGUUUUUGUUUUCAUUUAUUUUUAUAUAAAUAUUUUGUUUUCAAUUCUAAAUUGGUAUAUAUUAUAAUAUAUAUGUGUCUAUCAAUUUUUUAAAACAUAAUAAGUUUACGGUAUAUUUUUUCAUUGAAUAGAUUGUUUCAAUCUUUCACAUGUAUUUGUAUCUUCUUCUAUAUAUAUAUUUUCGGAUUAUUAUUUCAUUAUUAAAAUCGUAACUAUAUAUAUAAAGAUUAGUAAAAUAUUAUUUUAAUGUCAUAUUCAAAGAUAUUAUAACAUUUCACAAAUUUAGAAAGUUUUUAAAAAAUUAAACUUUUCGCUUCAUAGAUUUAUAUUAUCGAGUAAAUAAUUAAACAUUUAGUUUUUGUUUAAUUUUUAAAAUAAACUAUAUAGUUUAAAAUUUGUUUCCAGUGGUUUAAAGUAGUAAAGAUUAAUCAUUGUUAGAUAAUAUGAUUUUUGUUAUUUUAAAAAAAAUCUUUAUAAUUUUAAGAGUUAACAUCGAUAAAUAUUUAAAUAUUUAACAUAUGGAUGUAUAGUAUUACAACAUUAAAUUAUAUCUACUUAAUUUAUACUAUUUAUAAAUCCAAUGGAUCAUCUAUUGUUUAAAUCUAAUUAUUGAUAGUCCAAUAAAAAUUUAUGGUAGGCCCAAAAUUUAAAUGAUAAGAUUAAAGAUUAAAUGUAACAUGACUUUUUUAAAAUAAAUCUAUUAGGUCCAUUUUAUAAAAAAAAAACACACAUGAAUCAAGGUUGUGACUUCUGUUUUAGUAUUGACGUGUUGCUAGAGAUAUGUAUGUUUUAAUAUGAAAGUUAAGUUAGAGUAGGCCAUAGGGACGCCUAAAUUAUUGAUGAUAUUGAUACUUCAUAGUAAAAUCUACUUGCUUGCUGCAACAUGACAUUCCGUUAAUUUAUUCAAGAUGUGAAAUCAAUACAAUAUUAUCAUGUAAAAGGUGUGGGUUUCCAAUGGCACUAAAAUUUCCCAUUUUUUAAUUACAAGUUGUUAGGAAAAUGAAGAACAAAGUAUAAGAAUGAAUGUAUGUAACAAAGCCUAAAUCUUCAGCCGGCCAGAUAAAUCGAAUAAUAUAAUGCGGGAAAACAAUUAUUCAACUGAAAAAUAGAUUUUAUGUGGGAACUAUUUUUUGAACAUUAUGAAUAGUGUAUUCAUAUGUCAAAAAUGAAAUUUUAUUUGAAUUAGAAAUGGAGAUCUAAUGUGUGUGAUUUGAGAAACUUGUAUAAAGUAGCACAUACACUCAUUGGAUAUUUGAAUUUGGAUUUGGGUUUUGAUUUGUUAGUUGGACUUCAUGUUCAUUAACUUAAAUCAAAUAUAUGUUGAUCUUUUAUAUUGAUAAAAUAUAUAAAAAAAAAUAUAUUUUAAAGUAUAUUAUUAUGUUUGAAUUGGUCAAAACAAUAAUAAUUUCAUUCUUUAAUUUCUUGGUCAAAAUGUGAAAUAAAUUCACAUACUAGUUAACAAGAAUUAAAGUCUUCAUUAGUUCACCAUGGAGGUUUCAUUUUUGUGUUGAAGAAUGAAAUUUGUGCUUCUCAUUAUUUUUCUAUAAAAGGGCUUGUAAGCAUUAUAGAAAAAAUAGAUUUUGAACAACAAAUCACUUUCUCCUACUUUGAAUAGUUAUGUUAGUAUUUUUUUUAUUUAUUUUGAGUGUGAGAGUACAACACAAAAUUAGGUUCGAUAGAUUCUGUUUUUUGUGAUGGUAAACAGAAACAAUGCUGCAGUUAUAUCCUGAGAAUCUGAACGCCGUCACACUACGGGACGUUUAAAGAUUUAAGGAAAUAGAUUAACUUUUUCGACUCUGCAAUUCUUCUUUAUUUUUAUAUUUCGGUAUUAUAAUUUUAAUUUAUGUUCUUAUUAUUUUUUACAAAUAUUUUGUCUCAUGGUUGUGAAAUAAGGUUCCUACAUUUUAUUCUGUCGCUUUACCUAUUUGCAAAGUACAGUGGUGUCAAGAAAGCGACCGCAUAUUUGUCUAUUCGUUUGGGUCCAUCCGAAUCUAAAUCCUAGGUUUUCAUUCGUCUGUCAAGGAGAAAGGCAUGACCGCCAAUUAUAUGCUAUAGCUGCUACCUCGUCAAGAAGAAGCGUUACUUUUUUUGUUAGGCUGUGUACUUAUCUUCGAUUCUGAUAAUAUAUUUACUGUAUUUACAGGGCCUUUACUAUCAGUUACAAAACAUUAAAAAUUGUUCGGGUAAUCAUAUGGGCUUCCGCUCAUGAACUGAGCAAGGCCCAUGUCACUGAUAUUCUCCCUAAAUGUUAUAAUUUUCUAUUUUGUGGUACAUGUUCUGCCACAAGAGACUGAAUUAGCGACUAGUUUUAGCUCAAAAACAUAGAUCGAUGCUCUUGGGGUUCCGAUGCCAUCAUCAUCUAUCCUCUCUUAGUUUGUUUCAUUGAAUAAACCUUUGUAAUCUAAAGUCCUUUAUAAAAUAAGUAAAUUUCUUCAUUAUUAUCUUCUUCUAGUUCUUUUAGCUUAUGUUUUCAGUGCAUACUAUUCAACCGUCAUUUUUUUUUUGUUACAACAGAUCGACUUUCUUAUUUUUGUUACACACCCUUUCCCUCUCUCUCUUUUUCUUCUUUGACUAAAAUAUCAUAAACACACACAUGGUUAAUGGAAAAAAACAACAUAUAUUUUCAAACUCCUUCAAAAAGCUGUAGGUGCUGUCCACAUCCAUAUUUAUUUCUAAAGCACCAAAUUCAGAGCAAUCAAGCUUUAAAUUUUUUUUUGAAACCACAGCUCUAGAAAUAACCUACAGCUGUACAAGUGCUCUGUAGAGCCAAAUAUCCAAAGCAAUUUUUUAGUGCUUUCAUAAAAUUCUACAGCAAUAAAAUUUAAAGCCACAGCAAAAAAUCUACAGAUUUUUUUCUACAGCAAAAAUUUUAAAGCUACAGUCAUUACCAAUCGGACCCAUAAAAUAUACAAUGAUAAAAGGAAGGAGAAAAAGUUAAGCAACGGUCUAGUAAGUGCAAGUUGCGUCUUUCGCAUUAAUAGUCUUUGUGUUCUUCGUCAACUUACCUUUAUGUAUUUUCAUUUUUUCCCCUGACAACUGCUCACAAGUAGAAGUGAAGAUUUACUUGAUUCAGUUUUGGGAUCACUCAUAAGCAAAGAUGAAAAUAUGGUAAGGCGUUUUUUCUUAGAGGCAACCAUUCAAAAAAAAAAAGGGUUUUUGCAAAAGUGACUCAAAACUUGGAGUCAAACAGAAAACUAACCUUUUCUUUUGACUCCUUUUUUUUGAGAUUUUAACCCCACACCUGCAUUUUAUCUACGAAAAUGCCAUUAACAUUUUUUUUUUUUCCGAAAAUGGCUUCUUUACUGUCUCAACCUCAUCUUCUUCAAGUAUUUACAAUAUUGCCACUGAAAUGAAUAGUGGCAACAACCUUGUACGAACUGUUUGGAGCUUUUAAUGCCCUUUAAUGCACGUAAAUCUCUUUACACUCUCUCUGUUUCAAUUGUUAUGAACUAAAAACAACAUUUCUUUCACUUUCUCUCUAUAUUCAUCCAAAAAACUCAAGCUUUUGAUUCAAAAUAUGGGCUAUGGUUGACAGAGCCAUAUUUCUUUCGUUUUGACUUACGGUUGCUUUCGUUUGAGGUUCUGGGUGGUUGGAGAAGACCCUGUGUGCAAACGAAGUCAUCUCACCUAGUUUAAGGUACGAAUUUGAAUUUUUUUUUCAAGAUCUGUUCGCGUAGAAGACUUACUAGUAAGUCAUCUGUAUGUAGAAGACUUACUGAUGAGUCUUCUGGUCAAACGGACGACUUAAAUUAAGUCGUCCAGCUUUGUUUGUUAAAAAAAAACACUCCAGACGACUUAUAUAUAAGUCGUCUACGAGAAACGGGCUAGUUUUGCAUUUGACCGAAUCGUGUCAGAUCUUUGACUAUUUCUGGACGACUUAUAAUUCAGUCGUCUCUGGGAAAGUUAAAAUUUUAAUAUUUUUAAUAAAACUUGACGACUUACGUGUAAGUCGUCCUAUGUUAGUUUUGUAAUUGAAAAAUAAAACUUCAUAAUUUAACUUUAACCAGAUGACUUAAUAUAAAGUCGUCCCUCCAGAAGACUUAAUUUAAAGUCGUCCGGGGAAAGCAAAGUCGUCCAGAAUUUUUCCCAAUUUUCUGGUCAAACCUUGCUUAUCCCGGACGACCUUAAAUUAAGUCGUUUAGCUGGACGACUUUCAUCUAAGUCGUCUGGAGAAAGUUAAAUUUCAAGUUUUAUUUUUCAAUUACAAAACUAACCUAGGACGACUUACACGUAAGUCGUCAAGUUUUCAUAAAAUAUUGAAAUUUUAACUUUCCCAGAGACGACUGAAUUAUAAGUCGUCCAGAAAUAGUCAAAGAUCUGACACGAUUCGGUCAAAUGCAAAACUAGCCUGUUUCUCGUAGACGACUUAUAUAUAAGUCGUCUGAAGUUUUUUUUUUAACAAACAAAGCCGGACGACUUAGAAUUAAGUCGUCCCUUUUAAUUUUCAAUUGCAAAAGUGACCUCUUUAGACGACUUACCUUUAAGUCUUCUGGACGACUUAAUGCUAAGUCGUCUGCGGCAAUGUUUAUUGAACUUCUUCAUUUUCUCUAUGUUUAUUAAUGUGUUUUAUUUUGAAUAUUUGCAGAUGAUUUUUCAGUUACAUGCAGUGUAUGGAGAAUGGUUGUUGAGAGAUUUCCGUUGGGAUUUUGUGGUUGAUGAUCUCAAAGGAGCAAGAUUGUUUUUAUUGAAUGAAGAUUCAACACAUGGUGAACUUGUUGCAAUGGCUCAAGAAGAUUAUAACCUGGACAUGAGAACAGUGAGUGUGGAGAUUAGCUACUCAUUACCAGCAGAAAUGAUGAUGGCUCCAGGCAGUCUUCCCAUUCAUGUUACAAGUGAUAGACAAGUUCGAAACUUGCUGGAGAUACUCAAAACCCAUAGAGUAUGUCUUUGUGUAUCAAGCCGCAGCAAGGUCGAAACGGUUUCAGAGAAAAGGGAUAUUGAUGAAGCUGGUGAAUGAGAAAAAGAUGUUGGUGAUAAUGAUGAAGCUGGUGAAUGGGAAGAAGAUGUUGGUGAUGAUGAUGAAGCUGGUGAAUGGGAAGAAGAUGUUGGUGAUGAUGAUGAAGCUGAUGAAUGUUUUGAAGAUGUUGGUGAUAAUGAGUUUGUUGAAGAUGAAAAUCAAGAUGGGGAGGAGGAAAAUGGGGAGGAGGAUGCUGAUAAUUCUAUUGUUGGUGAAACGGAUCAGAAUGGUGGGGAUUACAGUCUUUAUGGAAGGUUCCAGAUGAGGACGAGGAAGAUGAUGAUAAUAUUUGUUUUGAAGAAAUCCAAAAGACAUAUGCUAAGAAAAAUGCUAUUGAAGGAGGAAAAUCGAAUGGUACCAGUAUCUAUGUCAACCAGAGUUUUGUUAGCAAGGGUGCACUGCUUUCAGAGCUGCGGUUGGCAACAGUGAGGGGUAAGUUUUCUUUCAGAUUAUACAAAUCAACGAAAACUCUCGUUGUGGCAACAUGUCGGGUUAGCUAUUGUGGAUGGAAGGUCAGAGCGAGUGUCAAACAUGGGACAAACACGUUUUGGGUAACAAAGUAUGUGGAAAAACAUUUAUGCUCAGUGGGAGACCGAAUCGCUCAGCGGAGACAUUGUACUCCGAAGUAUGUAGGUAGUCUUUUCAUUGAUCGUGUUGGAAUCAUUAAUGGGAUAACUCCGCAGCAUAUCACUGAUGCAAUGAGGAACAUGUUUGGCAUGGCGCUUGAUUACACCACUUCAUACAGAGCACUGUUAUAUGCACAAAGAUUGGUGAGAGGAUCAGCAGAAGAAGGGUAUUCGCGUCUGGCAUCAUAUCUCGAGCAAAUCUCCAUUGCAAAUCCUGAUUCUAUCACGGCGAUAGAACUUGAUUCUAUGAAAAGAUUUAAGUAUCUAUUUCUCUCUUUUGGAGCUUCUAUCAAAGGUUUUAAGUAUCAGAGAAGGGUCAUUGUGGUGGAUGGAACUCACCUAAGUGGAAAGUAUGGAGGAACUAUGUUAGUUGCAGCCGCACAAGAUGGCAAUUUUCAGAUAUUCCCAUUGGCUUUUGGGAUCGUGGAUGAGGAAGAUGUACCUUCUUGGGAAUGGUUUUUCACAAAAUUGGCUAGUUGUAUAUCUCAUGACAAGCCUCUGGUGAUAGUCUCCGACCGGCACAAGGCCAUUAAAAGUGCGUGUGAUAAGGUGUUUCCUUGGGCAACCCGAGGAAUAUGUUAUUAUCACCUUCAAGAUAACAUUGUCAAAAAGUUUAAAGGGAAACAUCUCAUGUACUUGGUGAAAGGGGCUGCUUAUGCUCACACGGUUUACGAUUUUGACCGGUACAUGGCUGAGAUACGGAGUGCAAACCCGGAACUUGCAACGUAUUUGGAGAAAGCCGACGUCAGGCUAUGGUUAUUGUAAGGGGAACAGGUUCAACAUAAAAACAAGCAACAUUGCUGAAUCUAUUAAUUCCGCACUGAAGCGAGCAAGAGGAUUUCCGAUUACGUUCCUGCUGGAGUUCAUAAGGCAGAAGUUAGGAAAAUGGUAUUGGAAAAGGAGACAAGAUGCUUUGAGUCUCACAACUGAACAUAGCCGGGGUGUUGAAUACUUGCUUGCUGUUCGAGAAGAGAUAGCGGAUACGAUGACGGUCGAACCAAUUGAUGGAUGGCAUUUCUUUGUCAAAGGUGGCAAAAUGGACUGUGUGGUUGAUUUGGAACAUGCAAAGUGUGAUUGUGGUGUCUAUGGAGUGGAGAAAAUACCUUGCUCUCAUGCUAUAGCUGCUGGAACACAUGCUGGUUUGCAUAUCUCCACACUUGUAUGUCCACUGUACUCAAAGAAUUAUCUGUAUGCAGGAUACUCAGAGAAUAUAUAUCCUAUCGUGUCACAACAUAUUGAGGAACGAGAAUGCUUUCCUCCAGAACUAAAGCGUGGUCGGGGGAGACCGAAGAAAUCAAGAUGGCAAUCUUGGUUGGAGCUAUCUAGGAUGAGAGGACACAAACCCAGGAAGAAACACAGGGCACGGAGAUGCUCAAACUGCAAGGAAACUGGCCAUACGAAACCACAAUGUACACAACCAGUUGACUAGUUGUCCAGACGACCUAAAUUUAAGUCGUCCAGUCUUGAUUACCCGUCCAGACGACUAAAUUUUUAGUCGUCCAGUGUAUUUUAUUUUUAGACGACCUUCUACUAAGUCGUCCAGUGUAUUUUAUUUUUAGAAGUCCAGUGUAAGUCGUCCAGUUGGAAAACCUUCCAGACGACUUAUAAUAAGUCGUCCAAACCUUCUAGACGACUUAUUUGUAAGUCGUCCAGUUGGAAAACCUUCCAGACGACUUAUAAUAAGUCGUCCAAACCUUCUAGACGACUUAUUUGUAAGUCGUCCAGUUGGAAAACCUUCCAGACGACUUAUAAUAAGUCGUCCAAACCUUCUAGACGACUUAUUUGUAAGUCGUCCAGUUGGAAAACCUUCCAGACGACUUAUUUCUUCCAGAAAACUUAUAUAUUUACAAAUCUAUACAAAGACAAGCUGAAAUACAAAUACUUCGCUCGUUAAAAAAUCAUGUUCAAAUACAAAGACAAGUUCAAAUACAAACACAAAUCUAAUCAUACAUGCCCACGAACUUAUCACCAUCCACAUUUUCUUUCAAAUGCUGAUCAACAAGCUCCUUCCAUAUAUCCACCGCCAUAUUAUCCCUCAUUUUCUUCGCGUUGCACCUAGCAAAGUCUUUAGGGUCAAAGGAGACCCCAAGAGCAUGACAUUCAAUGUACUUUACAGCGUACACGCCACAAUCACCAUUGUUGGCCGUGGGUACACCUUUCAGCGGUCUCUCAUAUGUGUAUGGCUCCAACCCGUAUUUGACCCGUAUUUCGUCGGUGGCUGCGCACUCAACAAGCAGAUAAGGGACCAUCUGGAGAAAAGGCUCCAUUAUCGCAUCCCAUGCGUCUGGUACACUAGAUGAAGGUAUGCUGUCCCAGACGACUAUGUGCCUCUUAGGGAUCGAUAUCCAAAUAGAAACCCAAUGCUUGUCGUUCAAGUUCACUGGCGCAUAGAUAUCAUCAAUGUCCUCCCCCCACUUCUUGUUUGAUUGGCAAAAUGAAGGUAUUGAUCCGUCAUAAAAAUUCGACGCCCCACCAGGUAGAACUCUUCCUAAACCUUUGUGAUCAGGUUCCGAUGUUUUGAAGAGCUGAUACUGCUCUCUCCAAGACUGGGAAAAGUUGUGAUCCAGGAAGCACAUUCGCUUGCUCCUGAAAGCUUGUGGGUUCUCCUGAUACCUCUGCCUUAGCACAUUAAUCCAAGCAUCUAUAUGCUGCAUAUUAAAUAUAACAAGUUAGAAGUUACCAGACGACUUAAAUAUAAGUCGUCUACGUGGUCGUCCAAGUAGACGACUUUCCAGACGAUUUAUCUUUAAGUCGUCUGGAAAGUAGUCUACUUGGACGACUUUGUAGACGACUUAAAUCGUGUGCAGAAGACUUACGCAGUCUUCCAGCCAUUCUCUGGCUGUCCGGAGGAAGUGGUACCACCUUGUUGGUGAUGUACGUGGUUUGUCCUCGGUCUUAGUUGAAUAAUGACUGCAAACAAAAAAGCAAUCAGUUUUGGACGACUAAAUCAAGCUAUUAUGGGUAAAGCAAUCACUUACGGAUCAGUUUUCAACCAAUCAGCGAGUUCCUUCAACUUAUCUUUGUUUACUGGCGGAAAUGGAUUAUAGGCUGCCACUUUAUCUUUUUUUUUCUCUGCCGUAUAAGGAGAUCUCACAGUGGGAGCAGGUUUCUUCGCUCGUUUACUCUUUGCACGCUUGUCCAAUACAACCAGGCUCGAUUCUGAAACUGGAUCGCUUGGCUCGGUGGAAGCGAGGCUCGGUUGUUGAUCGGUGGAAGCGAGGCUCGGUUGGUGAUCGGUGGAAGUGACAGCAACAAUCUCUUUGGAGGUGACACCAUCUGCUUUAUCCUCCGGCAAGAUCUUAUAUACCGAGUUCGCCUCGGUUGCUGUAUCCUCCGGCAACCAUCUCUGCAAUAAAAGUUGCACACAAGUUAACCCUGGACGACUUAAAUAAAAGUUGUCUGAACGACUAGUUGACCCUGAACGACUUAAAUAUAAAUCGUCUGGACGACUAGUUGACCCUGGACGACUUAAAAUUAAGUCUUCCGUGGUCAACUAGUCGUCCAGACAACUUACGUUUAAGUCGUCCGGGGUCAACUAGUCGUCCAGACAACUUUUACAGUCGUCUGGACAACUAGUUAACCCUGGAUUUGAUACUAACCUCUUUGAUUUGAGGAGGCUGUUUCUUUUGAGGAGGAGGAUGUUUCUUUUGAGGAGGAGGAGGCUGUUUCUUUUGAGGAGGAGGAGGCUGCUGUUUGGUUUGAUGAGGAGGAGGCUGGUUACUAACCACGGUUUCAUUGGCAUGAGGGGUAGGCUGUUUAUCUUGAGGGGUAGCCUGAUUGGUUAGAGGUGGAGGGGUACCCUGAUUGGUGACACCAACCUUCUUCUCCACAGCUUCCAAUCUAUCGGACAACUUCCAAAACUCCCUGAUGCACUUCUUAAACCCUUCUUUCAUGCAGUCAGCUGCGCCCUUGAACAUAAUUUCCAAAUCCUCUCUGGUCACCCCUCUAGCCUCUUCUCUAGCCUCUUCACUAGCCACUUUAGGAGCCUCUUUACGAGCUUUCUUCCGAGGUCUUGGAUUGUCUUCCUCCUCCUCCUCCUCCUCCUCCAACACAACCAUCUCUUUGGCUUUCUUCGAUGGAGUCACAACCUUAGGUUUUGUAUAGACCUUAGUACCAGUGACUUCCCAGCAAUCCAUGGUCCACUUCAACGGUCUCCGCUCAUACAUGACUUUAAUGAUGUUCUCCGCGGGCAGGUCCUCAACAUCAGAGUCCCAUUUUGGCCACAUUUCACUAAUGUCCUUCUCAACAAAGUUGAUCACGCGGGUCUGCAGUAAAUAGAAGAAUCGAGUUAGAUAUUUGAAAAAAAUACUAAAUAGACGACUUAAUUAUAAGUCGUCUACUAAGUCGUCCAGCUGGAAGACCUUCCAGACGACUUAUAAUAAGUCGUCUAAUAAGUCGUCCAGCUGGAAGACUUUCCUGACUCAAGAUAGCAGCUUUCAUUGAUCUGCGGCCUCUGCUGCCCUCGUAAGCCAGUAUCGGUGGAGACGGACUGUCUGCUCUGGGACCACCAAUACUAGCACCCAAUUCCGGCAUAGCUGUGUACGCCCAGACCUGAAGAACUUGUAUAAACCCAUCCACGGUGUAACAGCCAGUAAUUUCUUUGUUCCACAAAGAGUCCAUCAGCACCUUAAACGCGACUCUCCCCCAUGGAUAAUUCUCAAACCGUUCUAAAUCCAUCACUAGCCUUGCCAGAGUAGAUCGUGUAGCGGUUGAAAACUUUCUCCCUUCAAUGAAUCCAGUGAAGAUGGAGAGGUACGCGAGCGGCUUGCGAUCUUCCCUGGACCAAUCCCCGCAUCUCUUCAGUGCUGCUAUUAUCUGAUCAGUAGUUGGCCCAGCUUCCAGAUGAACUCCCAGCAUCCCCCAGAAAGAAACCAUCUCUUGGGUAACGUCACAUUUUGGUGUCUCAAGGUCCUCGAUGUACUCGCAGUUUAGACCAGUGAGGUUUUCAAACUCUAACAGUGAAAACCUCAAAGGUUCUGGACCAACGAGAGACCACAUCUCAUACUUCUUCUUAAUGUCCAGCUUGAAACUGAGCAUGUAGUGAACCAGCCUUGAAGCCCAACCAAAUCCCUGCUCCUUGAACUUGAUGAAAACUCUCAAACUCGACUCCUUGAACUCUUCAAAUUCGUCAUCAGUAAGAGCUUCCCUAAGAGCAGUAUGCAACUUGCUGUUAUCCGUAUGAUACGAAAUGCUAUUGUGGGCUUCUGGCUCUUCCCCUGAUGUGUAUAACCUACGGGGGAGUUCUGGAAUAUCCAUCCUUUUUGUCUGCAAAAUAAUCAAAGACAACAAUAUAAGUCCAGACGACUUAGUAGACGACUUAUAAUUAAGUCGUCUGGAAAGUCGUCCAACUGGACGACUUUCCAGACGACUUAAAUUUAAGUCGUCUGGAAAGUCUUCCAAAUGGACGACUUAUAUUUAAGUCAUCUACUAAGUCGUCCAGUUGGAAGACUUUCCAGACGACUUAAAUUACUUACAAGUCUUCCAGUACAAAGCGGACCUGAUUAGUCGCAGAAGGAGUUGGAGUACUCGUCAUUGCGGUUAUAGAUCUGAAAAAAUAAACGUGAAACGGUGAGAAUGAGUAAAUUGAUAGAGACAACGUUUUAUGUUCAUCUUUUCCUCGAGAUUGAUGACUUACCGGCGUUAGGGUUUACAGAGAAACGGCGCUAAGGUUUACAGAGAAGAAGCGGCGGCGCUAGGGUUUAGAAGAAGCGGCGGCGCUAGUGUUUAGAGGAAGCGGCGGUGAGAACGUUGGUGACCACGGUGGCGAGGGCGACGGUUUGUUCGGAAAUAGUGGAAGCGGCGGCGCUAGGGUUUAGAGGAAUCGGCGGCGCUAGGGUUAGAAGAAGCUGCGGCGACAACGGUGAGAAUGAAGUGAGAUAGAUAGCCGACGUUGAGAACGAUGGUUUGUUCGGAAAUCGUGGGAAUUCGAAAUCGCCUUUGAGAGAGAACUGUUAGGGUUUCUGAAUUUCGCGAAAAAUGAAACAAAAAAAAAAUCACCUUAUAUAUUGGGUAAAUAAUCCGGUUAGCUUUAAAAGUACAUUGGUAAACUUUAAGGUUUGGUUGGUCCGGUUUAGACGACUUAUUCUGGCUGAUAAUGUACAACAGACGACUUAAUAUUUAGUCGUCUGUUUUCAGACGACAAAAUAUUAAGUCGUCCUAGACCCUAAAAUGAACCCCUAAACUAAAAUGACUAGAUUAACUAACUAACCACGUUAUAAAAUCAAAUUAUACUUAAAUAGUGUUUACUACACAGAAAUGAACACGCAUAAGUAAUUUAAAAAUUUUCAAAAACGGUUUUAAUGCUUUCCAAAAUCUAACCCUAAGAACACAUACAAUACUACAACAUAUGUUGAUGAAACAUAAACUAAAGAAUAUCAUGACUCACUACUUUCACUCAUCUAUGCUGAAAACAAUUGAAAUUUGUUAUAUCUUAAUUUAUACCUCCUAAGACAUAUGUUAAUUACAUAAUUCCCAUUUUUCACUUAUCAAAAUAUUUUUUACAAAAUUUUUAAAUUAUGUUUAAGACUAACUGUCCAGACGACUUUCAGUUAAGUCGUCUGGACGACUUAUUUUCAAGUCGUCUAAACAGACGACUUGCGAGGGGUAGAAACGUAAAAAAAAUUCCGUUUUUUUGUUUGGUCACAAGGGGAUAGUUGUAAUUUCAAUAGCCUUUUAGGUUACUUUUGCCUUUGACCCAAGUUGGGGUAUUGUUUUGGAUUUGACUCCAAGUUUUGAGUCACACUUGGCAAUUCUCCCAAAAAAAAAUUGAACAAUAUUAGUAUUCCAUACAUAUUCUUCUGAAAAAAAAGGAAGGUGAAAAGUGAAAGUCAAAAAUCAACAACAACACUGGUGUGUGUGUGUGUGUACAAGGAGGAGAAUCAGUCACGUAUCAAAAGCCUCAAGUCGUUAGAAUCCUCUUCUUGUUGGAAUCUUGUGUGAGCUUUUUGAAGGAGUUUGAGAACAUUAGACAAUGCUCCAUUGCUUCGACUCUCGUCUCCCUUCUUCUCUGCGUGAGAAUAAGAUUCUUCUUCCGAAUUAUUCAUCAUCUGGUAUCUGAAAUAAAUGUAGUGUGAGACCUGCAACAAGUUUGGCUUGUGUUGAGGCCAAACACUAGCAUUAUCAUCAACAAUAACCACUCUUCGUUGAUCAGCAGAGAUACGAUCAAGGGUCUUCUUAGGAAGGGAUUUCUCUCUGGUUAUGACUCUAUUUCCAAAAUAUCUUUUACCAGGAUCAAUAACACUCAAUACAUACCGCGCGUAGCCGUAAGUGCCCAUCGUGUAAACGUGCAUGCGGAAAAGCUUGUUGGCUUCUUUCAGAAACUCGCGGAGGAAAGGUCGUAACUUUAUCAUAUGCUCGGGAUUUUCUUCGUUAAACCUCAGUAGAUCAACCCUUGACUCAGGUUCUUCCAUCAAAUAUUUUUCUUUAUCAGAAAGCUGUGAAACAGGGACAUAGUGGAGAAGCGUUUGAUCCAAGUCAAGCAUGUAAUUUCAUCUUCUUCUUCAUCAUCUUCUUCUUCUUCUUCUUCUUUUCUUCGUUGUUGAGACACGAGAGUUUGUUUCUUCCUUUGGUUUUAUCCAAUAAACUAAAGAAUAGUUGCUUUAUAAACGACGCCAUAGUUUCUAUUGGCGUUGUAAGGAGAAGACGAAAACAACUACGGAAACAGAAAGACUUUUUUUGAAAUAGACAAACAAUAAACCUAAUUUGAUGGGAAGCAACAACGAGCGAAUGAAUAAUCAAUCGGUGAUAGUGAUUUUGUAUUUAUAAUGGAGGGAGAGAGAUUGGAGCUUUGGAGUUGGGUAAGGAAAAAAGGAAAAUUUCAAAGUGAUCUACGUGCGUGUUAAGUUUUAACGCCUAAUUCUAGUUAUUAUGAUUAAUUGACUAUUAUAUCCUCUCGAUUAAAGCCAACAAGCUUCUCCUCCUCCUUCUCAGCCGCCGCCAUUAUGCAUUCUCUGACGGUAUCUCCGGGAGCACAGCCAUCAUAUCUCAACACAGUUGUUGUGCCGUUCCAUGCAGAUGCAGUUGCUGAUUUGUUGAUGUUUAAAGCUAAAAAACCUGUAUAGGAUAUGUAGAAUUAUUGAAUGAGAGGAAGAAAAUAAUAUGUUUUUUUUUUCAAUUAUCUUUACAUCCACACAUUAGUUUAGUAGCUGUCUUGUAAUUUAUUUGAUUAUGUCGGCUUUGUCUUGUUUGAUCCCAAAUCUACCAUUUUACUGAAAUGGUUAACGUUAAAAAUGUACAAUCACCUCGCAUAUGUAUAACUUAGUUUCUGUGAAUCAUAUAACGUCAUCAAGUACAUUUUUUACUUUUAGGUCCUAUGGUUUUUUUUUUUUUGGUUUGAUAACGCAGAGGUCACUGUUAUAUAUUUGUAUGUUUCUUCAUUUCAUCCUUAUAUUACUUGAAAGUAGGCUUUAAGUAAGACCAAAUCCAAUGUACCUUAUUGUUAUAUUAAAACUCUUAUACAAGGAAAAAUAGGAGGAUAACAAAACACACAUAAUUAACGGAAAGAAACCAAACAACAAAGAGAGGAGAAAGAAAGUAAAACAAAAUUUAGCUAAGUGGCACGUUUGCAUCUGUUGUAGUAAGUGCAAGGUGCGUUUCUCUGGUUAGCUGUUCCAAUGCUGCGAUCUUACCAUUGCAAGAUUACUGCUUCUGCAGAGCUUUGUAGCUUAGUUUCCUCCUCUGUUGUUGCAGAAUCCUCCUCACCACCGCCUCAACUCCCUCCUCAUCCUCAACCGCUGCAGUUAUGCAUUCUCCAACGGUGACUCCAGAAACACAACCACCAUAACUAAACCCACUUGUCACGUUCCCUGAAGAUGCAAUUGCAGAAACCGCCGCAAGAAGAAGCAGAAGAGAGACAGUAAAGAAGAAGAUAACUGAUCUUGUCAUGUCUUAUGCUAAAAAGCUAGGAGAUAUGGAAUGGAAUGAGACAAAAGUUAUUCUUGUUAUUCGACCGUCAUUUUUUUGUUACAACAGAUCGACUUUCUUAUUCUUGUUACACACUCUCUCUCUCUUUUUUCUUUCACUAAAAUAUCAUAAACACACACAUGAUUAAUGGAAAAAAGAAACAGCAUAUAAAAAUACAAUGAUAAAAGGAUGAAGAAAAAUUUAAGCUGAACGUUGGCAACGAUCGUAGUAAGUGCAAGUUGCGUCUUUCCCAUUAACAGCUUUGAUGCAGUUACCGGCGAUUUUACAGGGUAAAGCCGGCUGUCGCUGCAGAGGUUUUGGGCUUAUAACCCUCCUUGGUUGCAGAAUCCUCCGUACCACUGCCUCCUCCUCAUCCUCCUUCUCAGCCGCCGCCAUUAUGCAUUCUCUGGCGCUAUCUCCGGGAGCACAUCCAUCAUACCUCAACUCACUUGUGCCAUUCCCUGCAGAUGCAGCCGCGAGAAAAAGCAAAAGAGAGGCUAAUACUGUGAAGAAGAAUAAGGAGAAAACUGAUUUGGUCAUGUUUAAAGCUUAUAAAAGCUAGGAGAUGUGGAAUUAUUGUAUGAAGAGAAGAAGGAUAAUAUCCUUUUUCAAUUAUCUUUACAUCCACACAUUAGUUUAUUACUUGUCUUGCAAUUAUUUGAUUAUGUCGGCUUGUCUUGUUUGAUCCCAUAAUGUACAAUCACUUCACAUAAUGUAUAACUUAGUUUAUGUGAAUCAUAUAACGUCAUCAAAUACAUUUUCUUACUUUUGACAACUCAGAGGUUACUGUAUAUUUAUAUCUUUCUUCAUUUCAUCCUUAUGUUACUUGCAAGUAGGCUUUUAGUAAGACCAAAUCCAAUAUAUCUUAUCCUUAUUCUUAUAUUAUACUCUUAAACAUGGAAAAAAAAUAGGAAUAUAACAAAAACACAUAAUCAAGAAGAGAAGAAACACAACAUAUACAACAAAGAAAAGUAAAAACUAAGUGGCACGUUUGCAUCUGUUGUAGUAAGUGCAAGGUGCGUUUCUCCGGUUAGCUGUUCCAAUACAAUUACCUGCGAUCUUACCAUUACAAGAUUGCUGCUUCUGUAGAGCUGCGUAGCUUAGUUUCCUCCUCUGUUGUUGCAGAACCCUCCUCACCACCGCCUCAACUCCCUCCUCCUCUUCAACCGCUGCAGUUAUGCAUUCUCCAACGGUGUCUCCGGAAGCACAUCCACCAUAUCCAAACCCACUUGUGGUGUUUCCUGAAGAUGCAGUUGCCAAAUCCGCCGCAAGAAGAAGAAGAAGCAAAAGAGAGACAGUAAAGAAGAAGAAAACUGAUCUUGUCAUGUCUUUAAGCUAAAAAGCUAGGAGAUGUGGAAUGAGAACAGGAAGAUGAUAAUACAUCUCUUCUUAUAUUGUUAUGUGCAAACUAGUUUACAAUUUUUUAUUCAUUCUUGUUGGUGUAAUAAUUGCGGUUGGUCAUUGACUCCAGUGUAGCAUACAUAUAAUAUUCAAUAUGGUUGUGUUAUUAUUGAUCAUCUGGUUAAAAUAAAUCAAAUUCUCAGACAUUUUCUAUAAACAUUUUGUUUCUUGUGAAAACAGAAAAACAACAAGAAAGGGAUACAGACAUAACAGUAAAAAAAAAUACGGAAACAAAAUGAAACAAGGAAUUACAUAGGAAGGGGGCAAAACACUAUGUAUGAAGACACCUACCUGUGAGAGGCUUUAAUCCUUGCAAUCUCAAGCAAAAGUUUUUGCAAAGCUUGUGGCUUAGAGAAAAAUGGAGCAUGAUCAGCACCUUUUAACCGGUAAACUUUUUCAGGAGGACUACUAUUGAUCAUGUUUUCUUGGAGAGCCAACGGUAUAGCAUUGUCAUCUAGCGUCUCUAUGUAGAAACGUCUCACUGAUCCGUAGUUACCAUCUGAGAGACAGAGUUUCUCAAGAAACGGCGCAAAUGGGAUUGACCUCAUUGACACAGAAGCUAAUGCAACAUCCUUUGAAGGGCUUUGAUUGAACAAAAGGUCUUUAAGAAGAGACUUGUCUAAGUCAAUGCCCGUUGGAGGGUGUUCACUGCCGUUUGUGUAGAUAAAUAUCUGAGUUUUUCUCAUUAAGUCGCUCUGACCUGCCUGCAGCGAGAACAUGUCGAGUGUGCUCUGGCCAUUAGUCAGCAUGGCUGCAGAGAGGAACACAGCUUUGAGAUCUUGGAAGGAAACUGUUCCAUAGCGUAAGAUAUACAUGCUCCACCGAAGUCAUGACCAACCAAGAUCACCUUCUCUCCUGUGUGAAGCUUUUCAAGAACAUCAGUAAGUGGCUUCACGUACUGUGACAAGCUUGCGAUGCUGUUUAUGUUGCACGAGUUGAUACCGCAACCAGCUAAGUCUAUGGCGGUGACUUUGAAACCAUCUUCUUCUAGGAGAGCAAUGGUUUUGUACCAACACCAAGCGCCGAAACCUCCUCCAUGGAUGAGGAUAAAAUGGUUUGUUUCCAAGUCAUCUAGCUUUACACCCUAUUCAAAGACCGGAACAAAAUAUUUCAACUUCCAAAUAAAUAAUGAACCCAAGAAAAUGUAUUAAACUGUUUCCUGUUUUGCACUUAGGUAAACAGAAACUGAAUCAUCCACAAAGACAAAGGUGAACAAAUGGUCAAAACAAUAUAUAUAUAAACAGUCCUACAUGGAAGAUAGGUACAACACAUGAAGAGUGUAACUAAACUUCAACAAUGAUGUUUGGCUAAAACUAAAAGGUAAUAAAAAUGAAGUACAAUCUCAAGAUUUAAGAUAAAUACUUCCAACACCAAAAUUAAAAGUAGUAAAAUCUCAAGAUUAAGAUAAAUACUGGCAACAUCAAGACUAAGAUAAAUACUUGCAACAUCAAGAUUAAGGAAGUAAAACAUCAAGAUUCAAGAUUAAGAUAAACAAUUGCAACAUCAAGAUUAAGGAAGUAAAAUCUCAAGAUUAAGAUAAACACUUGCAACAUCAAUAUUCUCAUCCUCCUUUUGUGACUAUAUAUAUUCUCAUUGUCACCACAAUCACACCAUUGUCCAUAGUCAAAGAAAAAUAACUGAUGAAAAUAGAGGCACCAAGGUUUUUCAAGACUCUAACACCAACUUCUAAAGUGGUUGAGCCAACAAAGUACACUAAAGAAUCUACAUUAUACUAGAAUCCAAGGCACUGAAUGCUAAGAAAAGAAACUAAUCAAUGCUCAUUACAUAUCACAUUCUUCCCAUAUCAUAUAUUAAGACACUAUACACAAUCAAUUCAAGUUCCGAAGAAUGUCUCUAUUCAAAAUACCAUUGAGACAACUUCCAAGUUCUAGCUUUGAAUUAAGACACGAGUUUUUUAGUAUAGGUGGUUUAGAUUGGUUAAGGGCUCUGGAAUGUCCGGUUUAUUUGAGAUUAUAUUUAAGAUGUAAACCAGUUGGUUAUUCUUGGUUUAGCUUUGUUUACGAUUGUAUAAGAAUCAGUUGUAACAAACUUUGUCAUUAAUGAGAAUCUGAGUUUACAUCAUGAAAGCUAAAAUGGUAUCAGAGCAUUUUCCGCGAAAAUCUCAUUGAUUUAGCUCAAAUUCUUCGAUUCUCCACUCUUUUUCGUCGAAUCUCACCUCAUUUUGUUGAUCGGAAGCCGAUUCUGUAGCUGAUUUGAUCUCGGAAGCAUCCAAAUCACCUUUGCGAAUCUCUCUGUGUUUUCAAAUCGUUAUUCGAGCUCCAAUCUUCUUCAAUGGCGAAACAAGGACGAAAAGCACGAGGACGAACACCGAUUUCACCAGAUCAAACUCCGAUCUCAACUCCUAUAGAUCAGAAUGAAGUUGCGGUCACUCCACACCACCAGUUGACGAACAAUCAUGAUCGUUCGCUUCACGCAGCAUUUCCGAUGAAGAAGGAAUCAUACGACAACGUUCACAGUCCGUUCUUUCUCCAUUCUGCUGAUCAUCCAGGUCUAUCAAUCGUUACUCACACUCUAGAUGGAACGAAUUAUAACAACUGGUCGAUUGCUAUGAGAAUGAGCUUAGAUGCGAAGAAUAAGCUUAGUUUUGUAGAUGGAUCUCUUCCUCGACCUGAUUUGGAUGAUACUUUGUUUAAGAUCUGGAGUAGAUGUAAUAGUAUGGUGAAGGCUUGGGUGUUGAAUAUAGUGAACAAAGAGAUCUAUGAUAGCAUUCUUUACUAUGAAGAUGCGGUGGAGAUGUGGAAUGAUCUGUAUCUGAGGUUUAGAGUGAGCAAUCUUCCACGAAAGUACCAGCUUGAACAAUCAAUCAUGACUCUAAAACAAGAGAAUCUUGAUCUCUCGACAUAUUACACGAAGAAGAAGACAUUGUGGGAACAAUUGGCUAACACCAGAACUACCACAGUGAAGAGGUGUAAUUGCGAUCAUGUGAAGGAGUUGAUUGAAGAAGCUGAGACGAGCAAAAUCAUUCAGUUCCUUAUGGGUUUGAAUGAGAAUUUUGCAAACAUUCGAGGACAGAUUCUGAACAUGAAACCAAGACCAAGCUUGACAGAGAUUUACAACAUGCUUGAUCAAGAUGAGAGUCAACGUUCUGUUGGAAGUGUAUCAAAGAACUACUCUCCUUCUGCGUUUCAGGUUCAUGCUUCCACACCUGUUGAGCAGCCGCAUACACUCUUGGCUCAGACAAAUACUCAGAAACCUCGGUGCUCUCAUUGUCACAAGAUUGGACAUAUGGCAGAUAAGUGCUACAAGCUGCACGGGUAUCCUCCGGGUUCUGGUCCCAAAUGGAAGAAGCCGCAGACGAUUGGUUCAACGAAUCUUGCUCAAUCUGCACUAGAACUGCAGGCAGAUAAGCCAGAUUACUCAAAGGAAGAGAUGUCCAGGGAUCAGAUACAGCAUAUGAUUUCUUAUCUUAGCUCCAAGCUCCAUGUUUCAUCAGUUGAAUCCUUAUCGGAUAAAACUUGUGCCUCGACUUCAACCUCUGUACCGAUGAUCUCACAGGUCACAGGUACAUUCCUUGAUCUAUAUUCCAAAUCUUAUUAUGACAUGCUUGUUUCUUCAAUAUCUUUAGAACCGGCUGUGUCUCUUAGAGCUUGGGUAUUAGAUUCAGGGGCUACUCAUCACGUCUCCCAUACUAAGGACCUUUAUGUAGAAUAUAGAGCCUUAGAACAGACCUAUGUUACUCUACCAAAUGGAUAUACGGUUCAUAUAGAGGGCAUAGGAUUCAUUCAAUUAACUGAUGCUAUCUCUCUACAUGAUGUUCUUUAUAUUCCUGAGUUUAAAUUCAAUUUGAUCAGUGUGAGUGUUUUGACUAAGACUUUAAAUUCUAAAGUUAGUUUUACUUCUGAUCAAUGGUUUAUUCAGGAGCUUACAAGGGAAUUGAUGAUUGGUCAAGGUAGUCAAGUUGGAAACCUAUAUGUCAUGGAUUUCAAUAAAGAUAAUCAGUCUGUUUGUUUACAAGGUAUUUCUACCACUUGUUCAUUUCCACCUGCUUGUUCUAGUUUUACGAUUGAUUCUACAAUAUGGCAUAAUAGAUUGGGUCAUCCCUCUGAUUCUAAAGUUGAUGUACUUUCUGAUUUGUUAUGUUUCAAAACUUUAAGAAAUGAAAAACAAAAACAUCAUGUUUGUCACAUUUGUCAUCUUGCAAAACAAAGGCAUUUACCCUUUAAAUCUCGCAAUAACAUUUGUGCUUCACCUUUCGAACUUGUUCACAUUGAUACAUGGGGUCCUUUCUCGGUUCCUACUAGUGACGGGCAUAGGUAUUUCCUGACAAUAGUCGAUGAUUAUAGUAGAGCUACUUGGAUUUACCUUAUGAAGAACAAAUCUGAUGUUUUACAUGUUUUUCCGGGAUUCAUUGCCAUGAUUGAGAAUCAAUACAAAACGAAAAUACAAUCAGUUAGGUCAGAUAAUGCACAUGAAUUGAAGUUUACUGAUUUGUUUCUUGCUAAAGGUAUCAUUGCUUAUCACUCUUGUCCUGAAACACCUCAACAGAACUCUGUGGUAGAGAGAAAACAUCAGCAUAUAUUGAAUGUAGCUAGAUCUCUCUUGUUUCAGUCAAACAUUCCAUUAGAGUUUUGGGGAGAUUGUGUGAUGACGGCUGUGUUUUUAAUCAAUAGAUUACCCACUCCUGUGCUUGAAAACAAAUCUCCUUAUGAGAAACUCACUAGUAAAGUCCCUGAUUAUCAUUCUUUGAAGAGUUUUGGAUGCCUAUGUUACUGUUCUACGUCUCCUAAAGGUAGAAAUAAGUUUGAACCAAGGGCUAGAGCUUGUGUUUUCUUAGGCUAUCCUAGUGGAUAUAAAGGGUAUAAGCUACUAGAUAUAGAGACACACGCCAUUUCUAUUUCAAGGCAUGUCCUUUUCAUGAGGAUAUUUUUCCUUUAGCUACGUCUAACAUCAAAGAUGUGACUAAAGAUUUCUUUCCUCAUUUUCAUUCACCUGCAACCCCUGAUGAAGUUCCCUCUGGAACUACAUCUUCUGAUGUGCAUUCUCAUUCUGAUGCAUCAUCUUCUGAAACUUUGGUUUCUUUCGAAUCAAAGUCUAACAGACAAAAGAAACCUCCCAAACACCUGCAGGACUUUCAUUGUUAUAAUACUACCUCCACUAUACCAUUCCCUAUAUCAAACUAUAUUUCUUAUUCUCUAUUAUCUGAGCCUUUUCGUGCCUUCAUUAAUACAAUCACAAAAGAUUUUGUUCCAAGAACGUAUUCAGAGGCGAAGGGACAUAAGGUUUGGGUUGAAUCAAUGGGACUGGAGAUUGGAGCUAUGCAGAGAACACAUACGUGGAGUAUUACAACAUUACCUCCUGAGAAGAAAGCAAUUGGUUGCAAAUGGGUGAAUACAAUCAAGUAUAAGGCUGAUGGCACAGUGGAGAGACCUAAAUCGAGACUAGUGGCAAAGGGUUAUACGCAACAGGAAGGAUUGGAUUAUGAAGAGACAUUUUCUCCUGUGGCUAAACAUACUUCAGUUCGUAUGCUUCUUCUUCUUGCAGCUAAGAUGAAUUGGUUUGUGCAUCAGUUGGAUAUAUCCAAUGCUUUCUUGAAUGGUGACCUUACUGAGGAGAUUUAUAUGAAGAUUCCGCCAGGAUAUGAAGAGAUUACAGGUGAAGUGCUUCCCAAGAAUGCAGUCUGCAAACUUCAUAAGUCCAUUUACGGGUUAAAGCAAGCCUCGAGACAAUGGUUUCUCAAACUUUCUUCUACAUUAACUGGUAUGGGUUUCUCCAAAUCACAUUCAGAUCACACUCUAUUCAUGAGGUUUAAAGAUGACGUUAUCAUGGGAGUGUUGGUAUAUGUGGAUGAUAUACUUGUUGUGAGCAACAGUGACAGUGUGAUCAGAAAGUUUAUUGACGAGUUGCAGUUACAUUUUAAACUUCGUGAUCUUGGUCCAGCUAGAUACUUUCUAGGCUUGGAGAUUGCGAGAUCGUCACAGGGGAUUUCAGUCUGUCAAAGGAAAUACAUCUUAGAGCUUCUUGAUACAACAGGGUUUCUUGGUUGCAAACCUUCAUCAAUACCUAUGGAUCCGGGUGUUAAACUUUCACUGGAAGAAGGUGUUCCGCUUCAAGAUUCUUCUUCUUACAGGAAAUUGAUUGGGCGACUGAUGUAUCUCCACACGACAAGACCUGAUAUUUCUUAUGCAGUUAACACCUUGUGUCAAUUUUCUCAUGCUCCUACAGAUAUUCAUCUCACUGCAGCACACAAAGUCUUGCGGUAUCUGAAAGGCACUAUUGGCCAAGGGUUGUACUAUCCUGUAGACAACAAGUUUGAUCUACGAGGGUUUUCUGAUGCUGAUUGGGCAGCAUGUAAAGAUACUCGACGUUCAGUUAGUGGCAUUUGUAUGUACAUCGGUGAUUCUCUAGUAUCAUGGCGUUCUAAGAAACAAGAUACAGUUUCUUGUAGUACGGCUGAAGCAGAGUUUCGAGCAAUGGCGUUGGCUACUAAGGAAAUGAUUUGGUUAGCUCGGUUGUUACUUGAGUUCAGAGUUCCAUUUCAUCCUCCUGCUCAUUUGUAUUGUGACAAUACCUCUGCACUUUAUAUUGCCAAUAACUCUGUUUUCCAUGAGAGGACGAAAUGGAUAGAGUUGGAUUGCUACAAGACCAGAGAAGCUAUUGAGAGUGGCUUUCUUAAGACCAUGUAUGUGAAGACUGGGAAUCAACUAGCUGAUACACUGACGAAAGCUUUACAUCCCGCACCUUUCCGAGACCUCAUUGGCAAGAUGGGAAUGAAGAACAUCUUCAUAUCUCCAUCUUGAGGGGGGCUUUUAGUAUAGGUGGUUUAGAUUGGUUAAGGGCUCUGGAAUGUCCGGUUUAUUUGAGAUUAUAUUUAAGAUGUAAACCAGUUGGUUAUUCUUGGUUUAGCUUUGUUUACGAUUGUAUAAGAAUCAGUUGUAACAAACUUUGUCAUUAAUGAGAAUCUGAGUUUACAUCAUGAAAGCUAAAAGAGUUUGAGGAAUGUCUUUGACUUAGUCAACUAAAGAUUAUUCAAAGUCAAAAAAACCUUGUAAAGAAACUGAUGAGGCUGCAACAGAGGAUCCGUGGAGGAUCUUGACCUCGAGCUGGAGCUCCGAGGCAACUGAUUCUUCUUCGAACCAGAAACAGGAUAACGCUGCGACGUGGACCGAUCAAACGGAAGCGAUCCAGCUUCGCCGCUGUUUUGCUGUCCGAACAAAAUGGUAUCUUCGAGCUUGUUGUCCCUCGUAGAGGAAGAAGAAGACGAUCUGCGCCUGUUCCUAGGACCGGAAGCUGAUCUGGGUACGGAUGGUUGCCGCUUCGUGAUGGGUCGUCUCUUCUUGACGGGCUUAGGCGGAGCAAACAAAGAACAGAGGUUUCCCAUGAAGAAACUUGAGAGAGAGAAACAGAGUAAGAAAGGUUUGGGCUUUAUGGAGUUUUUAGAGAGAGAGAGAGAGAGAGAGAGAGAAGGUGGGGGUUCAGGUGAAAGUGGUGGCGAGAAGCUGGCAACUUUUGAACAGCCUUCUCAUCGUGUGCAACGGUGAGUCUAGAGAGGGACCAUGCUAAAGGGGAAAGUGCAUACAAUUUUAUAAUUACAUUCUUUUAUUGUUUUUUUUGUUUUAUAAAAAAGUUUUCUAUUGAAUAUAUUAUUUUUUAUAGGAUUAAUUUGACUAAUAACCAAAAUCAUAAGUGAAAUUAAAUGUAGGACACUCAUGUUGACGGAAUGAAAAAAAUGUCAUUUACCUCUAAGUCAUCCGAUUAUAUCCUUCGUAAAGACAAGUUGCAAGUAUCAAAGGAAAAAAAGAGAUGAAGUCGACGGUUUAUUUACUAACUCACGUCUUUACUGCAUACGUUUUCACUUUAUUUAGUAAAUAAGUGGAUACAAUAUAACACUCUCACAUUAUCUGUUGUAUUCAAUUUGUAUACGCCGUGAGUCUAUUUCCAUUUCAUAAACAAACACAUAAGGAAGAAGACGAAUGCAUGAAAAAGUUAAUGCUUACCGGAUUGUGCGUGUACUAUUAUAUCUCGGUUUCACAUGUACUAUUUUAUUUCGCUGACAUAGUACAUCACCCAAACACUACAAGAAAACAGCGGUAUUCUGACGGACAUUCCGACGGAAAAUGAAAUCCUCAGAAUAUCCCGAGGAAUUUCCGAGGAAACAAAAAAUUUGGUUUCCUCGGAAUUUCCUCGGAAUAUACCGACGGAAUUCCGAGAAAAUAUCAAUCCGUCGGAAUAUUCUGAGGAAAUUCCAAGGAAAAAUGUGUUCCUCGGAAAAAACCGAUGAAUUCCGAGGAAAUAUUAUAGCCGUUGGGGGAUUUUACAAAAUUCCGAGAAAAUUCCGACGAACUAGCCGUUGGCGUCGGAAUUCCGUCGGAAUUUCCUCGGUCUGUCGGCAGGAUUUAAACUAUAAAUACAAGCAGUCCUCUUCCUCUUCAUUCACUCCAUAUCUUCAUCCUCCCUCUUACUCUAUUUACACACGAAUUUGAUUCAUAAAAAAUAUGUCUUCUUCAAAUUAUUUUCGUUCUUGGAUCGAUCGACCUCAUUUGGAUCCGAACACGAGAUUGCUUACGGAAGAAUACCAACGAGGUAUAACCGAAUUCAUGGGGUUAGUUCACCGACAACCGGAAGCAAAAACAUGUAUGUUAAGAUGUCCUUGCUCUAAUUGUAAAAAUAGAAAGGUUAUUAAAGAGUGGGAUGUUUGGACUCAUCUAUAUUUGAGUGGGUUUACACGAAGUUACAAAAUUUGGUAUCAUCAUGGGGAAACUGAUUAUGAACAUGGUAGUACUAGCGAACCUCAGCCAGCGGUUAGAUUAGAAGAACCAAUUAGAACGGAUGUAGAUUAUGGUGUAGGUACUGAGCAGAUGGUAAAUGAUCAUUUUAGAGGGGAAGAUUUACCCAAUGCACAAGCUAGGAGAUUUUAUGAUAUGUUGGAUGCUGGAAAGCAACCAUUGUACGAAGGUUGCAGAGAUGGUCAUUCAGCUUUAUAAUCUGCUACAAGAUUGAUGGGCAUUAAAACAGAUUAUAAUUUGGCUGAAGACUGUGUGGAUGCGAUUGCUGAUUUUGUAAAAUGUAUUCUACCCGAGGAUAAUGUAGCUCCUGGUUCAUACUACGAGGUUCAAAAACUCGUAGCUGGUCUUGGUUUAUCGUAUCAGGUAAUAGAUGUAUGCAGCGACAACUGCAUGAUUUAUUGGAGGGCGGAUGAACAGCGGGUUACAUGCAAAUUUUGUGGAAAGCCUCGUUAUAAAGAUACGAGUGGAAGAGUUCCAGUGCCAUAUAAAAGGAUGUGGUAUUUACCUUUGACGGAAAGGUUGCAGAGGUUGUAUCUGUCUGAACACACAGCGCAACCAAUGAGAUGGCAUGCGGAGCACUCAACAGAUGGUGAGAUCAGACAUCCUUCAGUUGCAAAAGCGUGGAAGCAUUUCCAAUCAAAGUAUCCCGACUUUAUGUAUGAGAGAAGAAAUGUCUACCUUGGAUUAUGUACUGAUGGUUUCAGUCCGUUUGGCAAGAGUGGAAGACAGUAUUCUCUAUGGCCCGUCAUUCUUACACCAUACAACCUACCCCCAAACUUGUGCUUGCGACGAGAGUUUUUGUUUCUCUCGAUUCUCGUUCCCGGACCAGAGCAUCCUAAGAGAUCACUUGAUGUGUUUCUUCAGCCACUAAUAUAUGAGUUGCAACAACUAUGGGCUCAAGGUGCUGAAACAUACGAUGUUUCGUGUAAAGAAAACUUUCAAAUGAGGGCAGUACUAAUGUGGACAAUAAGUGAUUUUCCAGCAUAUGGUAUGUUGUCUGGAUGGACAACGCAUGGAAGGCUAUCAUGUCCAUAUUGUCAAGAUAACACUGAUGCUUUCCAACUAAAAAAUGGAAGGAAAACGUGUUGGUUUGACUGUCACAGGAGAUUCCUACCACCUGAUCAUCCAUAUCGUAGAAGUGGGAAUUUGUUUACGAAGAACAAGAGGGUGUUUGACUGUCCACCUCCGGAAAUUUGUGGGAAAGAUUUGAAGAUACAACUAAGAGAUUUUGGUGCAGAAAGGACGCCAGACGUCGGUGGACAUGAGCGUUUUCCGGUAGAUGCUGUUAGAGAACUACAUAACUGGCACAAAAAAAGUAUUUUCUGGGAUCUGCCAUACUGGGAGGAUCAUCUGCUAAGACAUAAUUUAGAUGUCAUGCAUAUUGAGAAGAACUUUUUUGACAAUCUCAUGAACACGAUCCUUAAUGUUCAAGGUAAAACAAAGGAUAAUUUGAAGUCAAGACUGGAUUUAGUCGAUAUAUGUGCUCGUUCAGAACUUCAUGUUGAUGAGAAUGGUAGGGCUCCUUUUCCCAUAUACCGACUUGAUGCAGAGGGAAAAGAUGCGUUCUUUGAUUGGAUUUCAAACGAUGUGGAAUUUCCAGACGGUUACGCAUUAAAUUUGCGUAACUGUAUCGACAGAAAGGAAUGAAAGUUUACUGGCUUGAAAAGCCACGAUUGCCAUGUAAUGAUGCAGCGCCUCCUUCCGUUCUCCUUCAAGGAACUAUUAGCACGAAAUGUUCAUGAAGCAAUUGCAGGGAUAAGUGGUUUCUUCCGCGAUUUAUGCACGAGAUCAGCGACUCUUGAAGGUAUUGAAAAUUUGAAGACUAACAUAGCCGUGAUUCAGUGCAACCUUGAGAAGAUAUUUCCUCCCUCAUUUUUUGAUGUUAUGGAGCAUCUUGUUAUUCACCUGGCAAGAGAAUUGGAACUUGGUGGUCCUGUGCAGUAUAGAUGGAUGUAUCUGUAUGAGCGGUAUAUGUUCCAUUUGAAGAAGAUAGUGAAAAAUUUAAGUAGGGUGGAAGGUUCUAUAGUCGCAUAGAUGAUCAAUGAAGAAACUUCAAACUUUGCCGAGUACUACUUUCCAGCAGAAGUUCAGACCAAAAACAGAAGACCUGCUCGGCAUGAUGAUAGAGGCGAACGGGCAACAUAUCAUGUUACGGUUCCAGACAUUUUCACAGACGUUGGACGAUUUAGCAGAAAACCAAAGGACCGUCGACUUACUGAGCAGGAGCGCAGUCAUUUGCAAACAUAUUUGCUCACCAACUGCGAAGACGUUCUUCAAUAUGAGAAGUAAAUAAAUUAGCUUACAAAUUUUUAUUUUAACAAGUUGAAAUUUAAAUCUUAAUUAAUUACAUUAUUGUCAUCAUAUACAGGAUUUUCAUGGCAGAAAAGCGGUUCGAGUAUAGAUACGCCACAGAGGACGAACUAGAAGAAAUGAAGCAGAGAGAAUUUACUGGAUGGAUGUUUACUUAUGUGAGUGCUUUAAACAAAUUAAAAUAUAUUUUAUCACAUAUUUAUACUAAUUCACAUUUAUUGAUAUAACAUAUAUAUAUGUGCUAUUAAUAGGUGUCUGCUGGUUUGGCCAGAGGUGAAACAUUUGACGAUUGGAUACGUGAGAUGGUCGUUGGACCAAACUUUGUUGUGAAGUCAUAUCCGAGAUUUUGUACUCGAGGAUAUGCAUUCACAACUCAGAAGAGGAGACGUUCGAGUACGACUUAUGAUGCUGGCGUUUGUUCUGCAUCAGGAGAUGAUGUAUACUACGGACACAUACAUGAGAUUUUGGAAAUCAAGUAUUUGGGCAUGGUUGGAUUGCGCUGUACUGUUUUCUAUUGUGAUUGGCACGACAACACUCCAGAUCGAGGUGUGAGAACAAAUGCAUUUGGUGUUACAUCAGUAAAUUCGAGGCGAAAGCUGCAAUAUUAUGAUCCUUUCAUUCUUGCUUCUCAGGCCGAUCAGGUAAUUAAAUGUUAAUUAUUCAGAAUGAUUCAUCAUAAUGUGUAUUAAUUUAUAAUUUUACUAAUAAUUUUCUAAAUGUUACAGGUUUGUUAUAUCAAGUACCCCCGGGUAAGGAACAGAUAUGAUCCAUGGGUUACUGUUACAAGACUCAACCCGAGAGGCCGAGUUCAGGGAAGUUCUGAGCUGGAAGACCCACUACAACCAAGCACAUCCGGCAACUUAAGUGCAACAGAAGAUUUAGCUGGAGUUGGCCUUGUAGUCGAUUUAACCGACUUCGGAGAGGAAGUCGUCGUUCACGUAGAGGAUGAACCAGUGAUUGGAGAGUUUCACCAAGAUCCAGAUUCAGAUUCAUCUGGUGAUGAUGACUCGAAAACAGACUACCAUUGAUUUUUUUUUUUUUUUUAAAGAAAUACCGAGGAAAUUCCGAGGAACACUUGAUAUUCUCGAUCGAUCGAUGGGAUAAUCUAAUCGAUCGAUCACAUUGUUACGCUUUGGUCCAUCUUAGUGAUCGAUCGAUGCGUUUUCGGACAUAUAUCCAUCGAUCGAUCCGUUUAUAAAAAAACUUACAAGAUUUUCCGAGGACAUUCCGAGGAACGGUUGAGAUUCUCGAUCGAUCGAUGGGAUAAUCUAAUCGAUCGAUCACAUUGUUACGCUUUGGUCCAUCUUAGUGAUCGAUCGAUGCGUUUUUGGAUAUAUAUACAUCGAUCGAUCUGUUUAUAAAAAAACGUACGAGAUUUUGUUCUCGAUCGAUCACAUUGUUACCCCAAACCCUGUUUCCUCGGAAAAGCCUCGGAAUAUUCAGAGAAAAUUCUGAGGAACACCUGAUAUACUCUAUCGAUCGAUGCGUUUUGGUACAUAUAUCCAUCGAUCGAUCCGUUUAAAAAAAAAUUGACGUAUUGAAACCCCAAACACUAGUUCCUCGGAAUUUCCUCAGAAUAUUCCGAGGAAGAAAAGGGUUUCCUCGGAAUUCCCUCGGAAUAAUCCGGGGAAAUUCCGAGGAAAUAGGGUUUUUAAACCGAAAACAACGUUUUGCGGUUUGAAUAACACCUAUAUAACCCUUAUUAAGUGUCUUACGUUCAUUAUGAAGUCACAAAUUUGUUCCUUACCGUAUAAUUAACACUUUUCCGAUUGUAUGAACGAAAUCCCACAACAUAAGAGAAACACUUAUACCUUUUAAUGAACGGUAAAGGGAAUACUUUCAAUUAGUUUUGAAAUUUGUUAUUUCAUAGUUUAUGCUCAUCUAUACUAAGAAUCCUCAAUGGUAUGCAUUACAAUUGUAUAAGAAAUGAAAUACGGCAAAAAAAAAUUGAUGUUUUGAAACCCCAAACACUAGUUCUUCGGUAUUUCUUCGGAAUAUUUUCAUUUUACCGGGCAAAUAUUUCGCGAAAAUUGAAAUUAGAAUUCCGACGGAAUUCCGACGGAUAAUGUCCGUCGGACCCUAGGUUUUAUAACCACGAGCCCCUUCUUCUUCCCCAUUUCUCUCUUCUUCCUCUGCGCGACUCCUCUCUNNNNNNNNNNNNNNNNNNNNNNNNNNNNNNNNNNNNNNNNNNNNNNNNNNNNNNNNNNNNNNNNNNNNNNNNNNNNNNNNNNNNNNNNNNNNNNNNNNNNNNNNNNNNNNNNNNNNNNNNNNNNNNNNNNNNNNNNNNNNNNNNNNNNNNNNNNNNNNNNNNNNNNNNNNNNNNNNNNNNNNNNNNNNNNNNNNNNNNNNNNNNNNNNNNNNNNNNNNNNNNNNNNNNNNNNNNNNNNNNNNNNNNNNNNNNNNNNNNNNNNNNNNNNNNNNNNNNNNNNNNNNNNNNNNNNNNNNNNNNNNNNNNNNNNNNNNNNNNNNNNNNNNNNNNNNNNNNNNNNNNNNNNNNNNNNNNNNNNNNNNNNNNNNNNNNNNNNNNNNNNNNNNNNNNNNNNNNNNNNNNNNNNNNNNNNNNNNNNNNNNNNNNNNNNNNNNNNNNNNNNNNNNNNNNNNNNNNNNNNNNNNNNNNNNNNNNNNNNNNNNNNNNNNNNUUUUUAUUAGGUUCAACCGAUCCGGGAACGGGAUCAGCGCAUGGAUCAACCGUACGAUGUACUCGGCCCUCGACAGGGGACAUCCGACUUUCACUCACUUCCCUACCGACAAGCAGGUUCUGUGGUUUCGUCAGUUUGCGGUAAGUAUUCUUAAUUUUUACUUAUAUUUUUAAUCUUUAAUAUAAAUUUUCUACUAAUUGUGUUUUAUUUUCAGCAAGAGUUCAACUGGAAUUCCGAUGAGACGCUCUUUAUCUAUCACCACUUCGUCCAUAAAGUUAUGGACAACUAUGGGAAGCAGAUCCACGAGUGGAAGAAGAAGUGGGAAAUCAAUAAGGUUCGAUUUAAUUUAUUAAACAAUUUUUUAAUUUAUUAAACUAUUUUUUUAUUUAUUAAACUUUUUUUUUUGUUUUUAAAAGGUCCCAAAGUCGAUGAACGACACGGUCUGGAAGGAGUUGUGUGCGCAUUGGGAUAAGGAAGAGACGAAAGAAACUUCUUCCACCAACUCCACCAACCGCAGGAGCGACCGUAAAGGGAAGGGCAUCUACAAGCAUAAUGGGUGCUCAAUCUAUUGCCACUCUGGGAGAUCGCAUGGUAAGUUCAACCGCUUUUUCUUCAAUUAUUUGAGUUUCAAAAUUUUAAUUUAUUGUGCAUUUCUUCUAAUUUCUAAUGUUUCUUUAAUUUAUGUUUUUUUCAAGGCGGAAGAAAAUGAUGGCGAGCCGGUUGAUGAUCUCGCCGUAAUGAGGAGGGCGUAUACCAACAAGAAGACCGGCCAGAUUGAUGACGGUCUUGUGAGGGACGUGGUCGACCUGGUCCAAACUCAGGUGGUAGACGAAGUGUCUCAGCUUCAAACCGAGGAUGACGCUUCGACGGCUUCGACCAACUUGUCCCGGUUUCGAAUCAACGAAAUCGUUGAAUCCGUAAGUUCUUUUUUUUUAAAGUUCAAUUCAUUUAUUUCUUGGUUUAAAUUUGUAAAUUUGGCUAUUUUCUAUUCAGUCGGUUCCAAAGAAGAAGGGACGUUUGGUCGGUUUGGGUCGUCGCACCCGGUCGGUUCCUCCUUCUUCUGCACCACCGCCCGUUGUUGAUCCAGAAGUACUUACGACUCAGUUGAAGGACAAGGAUGAUCGCAUAUCUUUGUUGGAGACCCAGAUGACGGCUCAACAGGCGGGCUAUGAGGCACAGAGGAGGCUGAACCAGCAAAUGAUGGAGAUGAUGCAGAGGAUGUACCCGAACGAGGUGUUCCCGGACGUGCCAGACCCGUAGUUUUUUUUUCUCCAAAAACUCGGAAUGUUUUAUUUUUAUUUGUGAAACUUUGAAUAUUAAUUAAUAUGAUUUCAAUUUUAAUUUUAAUUUUAUAUUUUCAAAUAUAAAUUUCAAAAAUUUUAUUUUUAAAAAAAUUAAUAUUUUUUACAUUCCGAGGAAAUUAAUUAUAUUUUUUACUCGAUCGAUCGAUGCGUUUUUGGACAUAUAUCCAUCGAUCGAUCUGUUUAUAAAAAACGUUCGGAAUAUACCGAGGGACAUCUUCCUCGGAAUAUACCGAGGGACACCUUUCCUCGGAAUAAACCGAGGGACAUGUUCCUCGGAAUAUACCGAGGGACAUGUUCCUCGGAAUAUUCCGAGGAAGAUGUCCCUCGGUAUAUUCCGAACAUUUUUUUAUAAACGGAUCGAUCGAUGGAUAUAUGUCCAAAAACGCAUCGAUCGAUGAACUUCCGAGGAAAUAUCCCGACGAAGUUCUCCCUCGGUAUAUUCCGAGGAGAUUUCCGACAAACUAGUGAUCCUCGGAAUUUCCUCGGAAAUUUGUUUCCUCGGAAUUCCGUCGGAAAAUUCCGAGGGAUUUCCGAGGAAAGAAGAAAUUCCGAGGAAUAACGUUAUUCCGACGAAAUUCCGACGAUUUUUCCCUCAGUAUCCUUGCUGUUUUCUUGUAGUGAAACCUUCUCUCGGAACUAUAUCUACAAAACCAACCACAUCUGAUAAAUAAUAUACUCAAACUCCUACUUAGUUAAUCUAAACCCUACUCAUAAAACUAUAAACUCAAAUAUAAUUUAUAAAUUGUUUUCUGAUAUUAAACACAUGAAGGCACAUUUACUUGGUUUGCAGGGUUGCAUAUGUUCUAUUCCAUAUAGUCCAAAUAGUAUAAUAAACCAAACCAAACCUAUCUCAGUGACAUAGUACAUCACCCAAACGUUUGGUGGGAACUAUACAUAUAAAGCCAACCACAACCGCUAAAUAAUAUAUCCAACCCCCUACUUAGUAAAUCUAAACCCUAGUCAGGAAACUAUAAACCCAAAUACAAUCUAUAAAUUGUUUUCCGAUAUUAAGCACAUGAAGACACAUUUAAUUGGUUUGAAGGGUUGCAUAUGUUCUACUCCAUACAGUCCAAUUAGUGUAGUAGACUAAUCUUACUGGAGAAACCUACAUAUUAAAUCCGCUCACACCCGCAACUUAUUAUACCUAAACCCCUAAAAAUUAAUCGAUUCAUAACAAUGAUAUGACAUCAAAACAUAACAAAUGUUUAUUCACUGUACAUCCAUAUUUAUAUUCUAUUUUUGUCAAAUAGAAUAGAACAAUACAAAUAACACGUUGCAACUGAGUGACCUAAUGUGGAGAUAUGGAGUAACGAAAGAGAGAAUGAUGAGGUGAAUGAGAAGGUAUCAUUUGCAGAAGAGCUGAUACCAGCCGGAGUUGGUGGAGGAAAAAGAGAAACUAUCAUGAAAAGUGGAGAAGAAUAAUAGUCGAUGGGAGAAACUAAAGAGACAUGAGUGGAGACGGCGGUGAAGAGAAGAUGAUGGCAUCGAUAAAACAAUUGGUGAUGAUGGUUGUAACACCCCCAAACCGUUCUAGGCAUAGGUCGAACCACCGGCCAACAAUCAAACAAGAACAUGACCGACGGGCCGACCGUCUACCAAGGAUCGGGAGCGCUACAUGACGGGUUAACGGCCGAUCCGGCCAAGGUCACGAAAAGUGCAAUUCGUGAUUAGGCCAGUCCGUCCGCUAACACGUCCCGUCAGACCAAAGCCUAAGGCUUCUCAACCCGUACUCCGAUCUGACGUUGUGUUAGCUUGGACAAGCUAAUAUCAGAACAACAAGGCAUUUACACAAAACAUUCACUUUAUUUAUUUUAUAUAUAUUGUAUGGUUCAAAACACACCACAUAAUAUACAAGCGGUGGCAUGCCAAGAAAGUGAAAGUACAUACUUAUAGUCUGAAAGCAUCUUAAGCAAAAAGAUGCAAAUCUACACCAGCCAGCCUAGCCUCCCGCGAUCUCUACAAGCUCGCUACUGGUCACCUGAAACAACAACAAGUGAGGAGUGAGUAAUCUAGCAUUACUCAGCUAGUUACAAUCCCCAACUAACAAAUACAACCCCUCGCUAUCCCACCCCAAGCAAUCUAAAGCGAGAGGUUAACCUAAAAACAAAUCAACCCAAUUCAACGAAUAAUAAUAAGCAAUAUCAGAAAUACGCAGCUGGAAAAAGAUAGUAAGAUAUCUAGCAAUAUGCUAAUUACUAGCUCAAUACCAAACUCAAAUUCGACUUAAACCAGGGUUCAAUAACCCGAAACACGAUAUAAUAUAUAUAACAAACUCGGGCCCUGGUGACGUUAUGUUCCUCCUUCACUAUCGGCAAUAUCCUAUCUUCCUACCACAAAGGCCAGAAGAAGGAACUUUCAACCGACCGCGGCCCACAGUCCUUCGGGUCACCGCGCGACAGCCCACAGUCCUUCGGGUCACUGCCAUAUUACACCGUCAUGUAAUCACUCAGCCAUAGGCCAUGACCCCGUCUAUCUGAGUCUUCCCGAUCCAGCGAAUAAGGGGUUUCCAUGAACCCGCCGGGUACGAGGUCUGAAGGAACACUAACUCACCCCAACAUGCCUAGCAUUGUGGGUUACACAAAUGCUGUCGGCCGAUAUACGAUUAAUACUAAACCCGGUAAAAAUAACACAAGGUUCCUAGUAUUAAUCACCACACAAUCAACACAUUCCACCUCAAACAUGCCUAGCAUUGUGAGUUACACAAAUGCUAUAUGGCCAAAAUAUGAUUAAUACUAAACCCGGUAAAAAUAACACAAGGUUCCUAGUAUUAAUCGCAAAUUAACACAAUCAAUCAUAUUCCAGAAUCUAGCAUUAAGACUAAUUCUAGAAUACCUAACUAUCCACAACUUAGCGAUAUCAUCUAAGCAUUCCGCAUUCGCUAACUAACCAAUCAACCUAACCAUUAGCAAGCUACUACGGUUCUCAAACAAUAACAAGCAUGCCAUCAACUCAAUCAACAUAACCUCAAUUAUUCAAACUGUUACUUAGUUAGACCCGGCCAUCUGCCAUGAUCCAACUUCCAAGUAACGGGACCCUGCAUGAAAACAACUCAGCAAUCAAUCAAUUAUAACUCACAGUUUUUGGUUGACCGUGGCCUUGAUUCAAAACCCGACUUCUGCGAUCCGAACCCUUUCUUGACCUUCUCAAGUAGACCCACGUCUAGACUGGUCUUGAACUGGUCUCCACUAGAACUGAUCUCUCUUCACUUGAGCAGAACCUUCUCGAGGUGCUGACUCAAAAUCGGCAGAGUAACUGUUCUCGAAAACUGCUUAAAUCGUUCGAAAACUAUCGAAACUUGAUCUUUGUUUCCUUGCUUUCUAUCUCAUGUUUUGAACUGACUUUCAAAUGUUCUGAAUGUUUUCAAAUGAGAGAGGGCCGUGGGCUAUUUAUAGAAAACAGCAACCAAUCAGGAACAAGCCGUGUGGCAGCCCGUGUGUCGCUUUGCAUGGCUCCGGACGCAUGCGCGGCGACACCUCGUGCUCCACAUGGCUGGCUGCAUGUCUCAGUCUCAUGCAGGAUGACACACCCACGUCCAGAUGGCCAGAUGCAUGACUGAAGUGCAUGCAGGUCGACACACCAUCUCACACAUGGCUGGCCGCAUGCUUCGGUUGCAUGCUUCGCAACACCUCGUGCUUGGCCGUUCCACCUCGUGCUCCACAUGUCUACUUGCAUGUACAGGUUGCAUGUACUGCAACACCUCCUACUUCCCUUGACACACACACUGCCAGGAGCUUGCCACCACGUCCUGAACACACACACAUCUAGCCACCUCGAGCUUCUCGGUCAAUUGUACGAUAUUGGCCUUCAAGUGAAUUUUUUGUCCCGCGAUCAUUCCCAAUAUUUUUCGACGUCCGUUCUGAUGAUCUGAUUAUUUUUAAUAAGCUCCAAAUGAAUCCUGACUUGAUGGAAAAUAUUUCUCGAUUUUCUGGCUUCUUCGAAAAAUUCCAUAAUACCGAAAUUAGGGUUUUUCGCCCAAUUUCCGGUCUUCCUGUUGUGCUUCCAAAAGUGUCAUGCUUCAAACGUCCUUUGAGUAAAUAUGCCACAUUGUCUAACCAUUGUGUAGUGGGAUACUUGACUCAUGGUCCAGACAAAAACAAUCUGAUUGUCCGCGACUCGACCACCCAAAAGAUACUCGACCAUUAUUUUUAUUUUUAUUUUUUAAUGGGUUUCUACAUUCUCCCCCCCUUAACAGAAUUCGUCCUCGAAUUCUAAGGUUCUGAGGGGCCUCCUUCUUCCAUCACAGCAUCCUCUCGGAAGAACUCAGGGUGAUCGGUUUUAAAUCGCGCUUCAUCUUCCCAAGUAACAUGAAUUCUGUUUUGUCUUCCCCAGAACACUUGUACUUGAGCAAUCUCACGAUUCUUCAGCUUCCGAAUACGCCGUUCUCCCAAUCUGAUUGGUCCUUCCGGAUACGUAAGGUUUGUCCUAAACUCCUCUAGUCUCUCGGGUUCAACAGUACUUGGAUCCCGUAUACGUUUCCGUAGCAUGGAAACAUGAAAUACAGGAUGUAGAUGCAUAUCCACUGGCAGUUCCAAACGGUAAGCUACCUCACCAAUUUUCCCGAUGAUCUUGUACGGACCAAUGAACCUGACUGCAAGUUUCCCGACCAUGCCAAAUCUGUCAUUCCCUUUCUGUGCAGUAACUUUCAAAUAGACCAAAUCUCCUAUCUCAAAAGUUACCUCUCUUCUUGACUGGUCUGCGUGCUUCGUCUGGCGGUCCUGAGCCUUCUUCAUGUUGGCCUGAAUCGUCUCCAGCUUAAUCAUGGUCUCCUGAACGAUAGGUGACCCAAACAUUCUUCUUUCGCCCACUUUCGUCCAACACAUAGGCGUUUUGCAUGACCUUCCGUAUAACGCUUCAUAAGGUGACAUCCCUAUGCUCGAAUGAUGACUGUUGUUAUACGAGAACUCGACCAACGGUAAAUGCUUCUCCCAAGUUCCUGCCCAAUCGAGAAUACACAUCCGAAGCAUGUCCUCGAUGGUCCGAAUGGUUCUCUCCGUUUGGCCAUCUGUUUCUGGAUGGAACGCCGUGCUUCUGAAUAGUUUAGUUCCCAAGGCUUCUUGCAGUGCUUCCCAGAAUGAUGCCGUGAACCUUGGAUCGCGAUCUGAGACGAUGUCUGAGGGUACACCAUGUAACUUCACAAUUUGGUCGAUGUACAACUUGGCCAACACUUCAACUUUAUCAGUGUCCCGCAUAGGCAACAAGUGUGUAACCUUGGUUAACCUAUCCACAAUCACCCAUAUCGAGUUGUUCGAUCUACCUGGAGCAGUGGGUAAUCCAAUGAUGAAAUCCAUGGAAAUAGAGUCCCAUUUCCAUUGAGGUAUCAGAAGACUCUGCAAUAAUCCUCCUGGAACUUGAUGUUCGACCUUGACUUGUUUACAAGUUACACACUGCGCGACCCAUUGCGCUACUGAUCUCUUCAUUCCCGGCCAAUGAUAGUAUCUUCUCACGUCUUGGUACAUCUUCGAACUUCCAGUAUGGAUACUAAGUAAAGAAUGAUGAGCAAUCCUUAGUAUCUCAUCUCUCAGCCCUUGUCCUUUAGGAACCGUGAUCCUCCCAUUAAUUAGCAAGGUUCCAUCCUCCGCCAAGUAGUAUCCAGCACUAUUUGGCCCACCUUGUCCUUUGAGUUCCUCAGCAAUCUUCAAUAGCUUCUCAUCCUUAAGUUGUUCUUCUCGAAUUCUCUGAAUCAAGCUGGCCUGAUUCACCGCUUGAAGUCCCAAUGGCUCGCUCGCUUGUCCUUCCAAAACGACCAACUUUACUUGUUUCAAUUCUUGGUUCAACAGCUCCACUUCUUUCUCUAAAUCUGCGUCCAACUUUCUUCGACUUAAGGCGUCCGCAACAACAUUCGCUUUACCAGGAUGGUAGCGAAUCCUUAUAUCGUAGUCUGCCACAAACUCCAUCCACCUACGCUGGCGCAGGUUGAGAUCUGGCUGAGUGAAGAGGUAUUUAAGACUUUGGUGGUACGUGUAUACCUCCACUUCUUCUCCAUACAAGUACGAUCUCCAAAUUCGCAAAGCGAACACCACGGCCGCUAACUCCAAGUCAUGUGUACUGUAGUUAUCGUCAUGUGUAUUGUAGUUAUCCUCAUGCUUCCGUAGUUGUCGUGAGGCAUACGCGAUGACUCGCCCAUCUUGCAUAAGAACUCAACCUAACCCAACUCGUGAAGCAUCCGUGUAAACCGUGUAAGGUUUACCUUGCUCGGGCAAAGCUAACACAGGUGCGGUCGUGGGAGCUUCCUUCAACUUCUUGAAAGUCUUUUCGGUUUCUUCCACCCAUAAGAAAGGAACUCCUUUACCGGUAAGUUUAGUUAAAGGCUUUGCAAUGGAGGAAAAGUCCUUAACAAACUUCCGAUAAUAGCCAGCAAGUCCGAGAAAACUCCUUACUUCCGUCACAGUGGUAGGUCGAGGCCAUUCUCGUAUGGCUUGGACCUUUUCUGGAUCAGCAGCCACGCCCUCUCCUGAUACUAUGUGACCCAGAAACCUAUCUCUCUCUUCCAAAACGAGCACUUGCUGAACUUGGCAAAUAGCUUCUGAUUCCGUAACCUCUCCAUAACCAGUCUCAGAUGCUCUUUGUGCUCCUCCUUACUUCUCGAGUACACCAGGAUGUCAUCAAUGAAAAUGAUCACGAACUUGUCGAGGUAGUCGUGAAACACUUCAUUCAUCAAACGCAUGAAAGCCGCAGGUGCGUUUGUAAGACCAAAGGGCAUAACUACAAACUCGUACUGCCCAUACCUCGUCCGAAAUGCCGUCUUCAUGAUGUCUGACUUGGCAAUAGGAAUUUGGUGAUACCCUGAUGCCAAAUCAAUCUUCGAAAACCAACUAGCUCCCUUUAGUUGGUCUAACAACUCGUCUACCCUCGGAAGAGGAUACUUAUCUUUUAUCGUGAUGUUGUUGAUACCACGAUAAUCGAUACACAACCUCAUGCUUCCGUCCUUCUUCUUCACAAAUAGCACAUGAGCUCCCCAAGGUGAAGAGCUCGACCGAAUGAAUCCCUUUUCCAAUAGAUCUUCCAAUUGCUUCUUUAGUUCAGCCAACUCCGCAGGUGCCAUCCGAUAUGGUGCCUUAGCUAUAGGUUUUGCUUCAGGCUCCAAAUUGAUCGUAAAGGGAUUACUCCGAGGUGGAGGUAAUUCCUUUAGUGGUGCAAAGAUAUCCUCGAACUCUUGGACCACUUCUAUGUCUUCGACCUUAACUUCAUCAUUAGUGGCUCCUCCACUAACCGAUAAGGUCACCAAAUAUACUUCCCCAUCUUGAAACAAAUCUGGUACUCUCAUUGCUGCUACCAAAGAUACGGUCAUACUAGGACUGAUUCCAUAAUAUACCAUCUCUGGUCGUUUACCUCUGCCAAACAACAACCUUCCCUUUCCACAGUCGAUCUGAACUCUGUAGCUCGUUAACCAAUCCAUUCCAAGGAUUACUUCGUACCCUUCCAAAGGCACGACUAACAAAUCUGCCACAAAAUCUUUCUCUUGAAUGACCAAUGAAACAUUCUUGAUACACUGAUCUGCUUGAAGGGUUCGGUCUGCGGGGGUCAAGACGGCCACGUUUAUCCUGUCAACCACAAAACAAUCCCAAAACCGGGCAGCUACUUCAGGGGUCACAAAACUAUGUGUUGCCCCCGAGUCGAACAAUACAUGUGUGGGUUUACCAGCAACAUGUAUGGUUCCUGCCACAGUAACCCAAUCAACAAUAUCUCAAUCACAAAAACUAAUCAAAAUUCGCACAACCAUCAAUCAUCAAUCCAAAAUUUCUAAACGCGCAACCUAGUGAUCAAGCAAUCUAUACUUAACCAGCAUACUAACUAGGUUCCAACAACUAAAUUCCAUUCAAUAAAUAGAGGAGGUUAAGCACCCAAUACCUGUGAUGGGACCGCUUGACGGUCCUGCAUUGUCUGGGUUUUCUACCCCUAAGGCAUAAACUCUACCUCCUAGGUUUUGCUUCUUUGGUGCUGGCUCAAUAGCUGGACGGCUAGGAGGAGCUCGGAUCGCGAGAGGGGUCGAAGGGAUUGGCUUGUUUGGACAUGACGAUGCAUAAUGGCCCUUCCUUCCACAGAAGAAACAAGUAACAUCUUCCAUCCUCAGCGAUGAAUAACCCUGCUGGUUACUCCAUUGGUUAUUCCGCUGAUUGUUGGGACAAAACCUCGAAAUAUGUCUCGGCUGAUCACAUGUGUAACAUACUCCAGUGUUACCACGAUUGUUGGCUUGGCCUCCAAAUCCUCGCCCUUUGCCUUUGUUAGAUCUUGGACCCUUGUUGAAAUUCAGUCUUUCUCCUUGGUUAAACUUGGUAUGUCCACCAGAAUGUUGUAUAGUCUUCCUUUCCGCCUCUAACACAGUCUCAACAUUAACAGCUUUUUCCACCAACUCCGAUAAGCUGCUAAAGUUGCUUCCAGCUAAACGACUUCCAAGCUCCGGCUUCAAUCCGUACAUAAAGUUACGGAUCAUAGUUGCUUCAUCUUCACGCCCAUCAAAAACGUGUCGCCUCAACCUUGUGAACUCAGAUUCGUAACUCCUCACUGGCCUAUCUCCUUGAACAAUGUUCAUAAAUUGGCGCUCUAACCGAUGCUUCGCUUCUAGAGGAAAAUACUUCCUCUCAAACUCUCCCUUGAACGAUUCCCAUGAUGUGAUGGUGUGUCCACACUGGCUGUCUAUACUGUCCCACCAUCUUGUUGCGUCGCCUUCCAAAUAGUACACCGCGAUCUUCUUUUGAUACUCCUCCAGACACUCCAUAGCCUCAAAGUUCUUCUCCAUCAUAGUAAUCCACUUGCCGGCUUCAAUAGGAUCGGAUCCUCCUUUGAACUUGUAGGAUCCAAUGUUCUUCAUGGUAGAUAAUAGCUUGGAAACUUCAGGGGGUUGAGUACGCCUGCCUUGGUUACCAAGUGCCUUGGUCAUCACGUCAUGUAAAAGCUUCAGGGUGUUUUCUGCUCCUUGAUCUUGUGGUCCUUCAGUGGAACGGUUCUGAUCUGGCCUUGGGUGUGAUUGAACGGAUUGAUCAUGUUGAUGUCUCCGGUCCCAAUUACGACUUGGGCCAAUACUCGCCAAACUGUCUUCCCUCACUCUAGUCAUGUUACCAUACACAGGAAAAGAUCUUGUUCUCUGCAGAGGGGUCCUAUCGUGUCCGAACAUCUCACUGAUGCCAUUUCCAUCCUCCUGAUCUGAUCUGUAACCCAAUCCUCCGCCUGUCCAAUCCAUACCCUCUCCCCAUAUCCGACCUCGUCCAUCAUCACCUAUCCCGCGAUUAGCCAUCUGCACACAAUCAAAAGGGUAAGUCAUAUUCCUAUUACGGGAAGCGGCUGGUUUCCUAAUCAUCUUUUUGCGACUCCUUUGACUCGAUAAAAUCGUUAAAAAGCACUUGUGUCACGCAUGGACGAAACCAUGCUCUGAUACCACCUCUGUAACACCCCCAAAACGUUCUAGGCAUAGGUCGAACCACCGGCCAACAAUCAAACAAGAACAUGACCGACGGGCCGACCGUCUACCAAGGAUCGGGAGCGCUACAUGACGGGUUAACGGCCGAUCCGGCCAAGGUCACGAAAAGUGCAAUUCGUGAUUAGGCCAGUCCGUCCGCUAACACGUCCCGUCAGACCAAAGCCUAAGGCUUCUCAACCCGUACUCCGAUCUGACGUUGUGUUAGCUUGGACAAGCUAAUAUCAGAACAACAAGGCAUUUACACAAAACAUUCGCUUUAUUUAUUUUAUAUAUAUUGUAUGGUUCAAAACACACAACAUAAUAUACAAGCGGUGGCAUGCCAAGAAAGCGAAAGUACAUACUUAUAGUCUGAAAGCGUCUUAAGCAAAAAGAUGCAAAUCUACACCAGCAAGCCUAGCCUCCCGCGAUCUCUACAAGCUCGCUACUGGUCACCUGAAACAACAACGAGUGAGGAGUGAGUAAUCUAGCAUUACUCAGCGAGUUACAAUCCCCAACUAACAAAUACAACCCCUCGCUAUCCCACCCAAGCAAUCUAAAGCGAGAGGUUCACCUAACAACAAAUCAACCCAAUUCAACGAAUAAUAAUAAGCAAUAUCAGAAAUACGCAGCUGGAAAAAGAUAGUAAGAUAUCUAGCAAUAUGCUAAUUACUAGCUCAACACCAAACUCAAAUUCGACUUAAACCAGGGUUCAAUAACCCGAAACACGAUAUAAUAUAUAUAACAAACUCGGGCCCUGGUGGUGUUAUGUUCCUCCUUCACUAUCGGCAAUAUCCUAUCUUCCUACCACAAAGGACAGAAGAAGGAACUUUCAACCGACCGCGGCCCACAGUCCUUCGGGUCACCGCGCAACAGUCCACAGUCCUUCGGGUCACUGCCACAUUACACCGUCAUGUAAUCACUCAGCCAUAGGCCAUGACCCCGUCUAUCUGAGUCUUCCCGAUCCAGCGAAUAAGGGGUUUCCUUAAACCCGCCGGGUACGAGGUCUGAAGGAACACUAACUCACCCCAAUAUGCCUAGCAUUGUGGGUUACACAAAUGUUGUCGGCCAAUAUACGAUUAAUACUAAACCCGGUAAAAAUAACACAAGGUUCCUAGUAUUAAUCACCACACAAUCAACACAUUCCACCUCAAACAUGCCUAGCAUUGUGAGUUACACAAAUGCUAUAUGGCCAAAAUAUGAUUAAUACUAAACCCGGUAAAAAUAACACAAGGUUCCUAGUAUUAAUCGUAAAUUAACACAAUCAAUCAUAUUCCAGAAUCUAGCAUAAAGACUAAUUCCAGAAUACCUAACUAUCCAGAACUUAGCGAUAUCAUCUAAGCAUUCCGCAUUCGCUAACUAACCAAUCAACCUAACCAUUAGCAUGCUACUACGGUUCUCAAACAAUAACAAGCAUGCCAUCAACUCAAUCAACAUAACCUCAAUUAUUCAAACCGUUACUUAGUUAGACCCGGCCAUCUGCCAUGAUCCAACUUCCAAGUAACGGGACCCUGUAUGAAAACAACUCAGCAAUCAAUCGAUUAUAACUCACAGUUUUUGGUUGACCGUGGCCUUGACCCCAAACCCGACUUCUGCGAUCUGAACCCUUUCUUGACCUUUUCAAGUAGACCCACGUCCAGACUGGUCUUGAACUGGUCUCCACUAGAACUGAUCUCUCUUCACUUGAACAGAACCUUCUCGAGGUGCUGACUCAAAAUCGGCAGAGUAACUGUUCUCGAAAACUGCCUAAAUCGCUCGAAAACUAUCGAAACUCGAUCUUUCUUUCUUUGAUUUCUCUCUCACGUUUUGAACUGACUUUCAAGUGUUCUGAAUGUGUUCAAAUGAGAGGGGGUCGUGGGCUAUUUAUAGGAUACAUCAACCAAUCAGGAACAAGCCGUGUAUCGCUUCGCAUGGCUCUGGACGCAUGCGCGGCGAUACCUCAUGCUCCACAUGGCUGGCUGAAUGUCUCAGUCUCAUGCAGGAUGACACACCCACUUCCAGAUGGCCAGCUGCAUAACUGAAGUGCAUGCAGGUCGACACACCAUCUCACACAUGGCUGGCCGCAUACUUCGGUUGCAUGCAUCGCAACACCUCGUGCUUGGCCGUUCCACCUCGUGCUCCACAUGUCUACUUGCAUGUACAGGUUGCAUGUACUGCAACACCUCCUGCUUCCCUUUACAUACACACUGCCAGGAGCUUGCCACCACGUCCUGAACACACACACAUCUAGCCACCUCGAGCUUCUCGGUCAAUUGUCCGAUAUCGGCUUUCCAGUGAAUUUUUCGUCCCGCUAUCAUUCCCAAUAUUUUUCGACGCCCGUUCUGAUGAUCUGAUUAUUUUUAAUAACCUCCAAACGAAUCCUGACUUGAUGGAAAAUAUUUCCCGAGUUUCCGGCUUCUUCGAAAAAUUCCAUAAUACCGAAAUUAGGGUUUUUCGCCCAAUUUCCGGUCUUCCUGUUGUGCUUCCAAAAGUGUCAUGCUUCAAAUGUCCUUUGAGUAAAUAUACCACAUUGUCUAACCAUUGUGUAGUGGGAUACUUGACUCAUGGUUCAGACAAAAAUAAUCUGAUUGUCCGCGACUCGACCAUCCAAAAGAUACUCGACCAUUCUUUUUUUUUUUUUUUUUUAAUGGGUUUCUACAGUGGUAGUCGCGGUGCUUUUUUUACAGAUGGAAUACUAACAUACGUAAUAUAUUUGUGUUUCAUUUCUAUUCGAUAUGUAUAAAUUGUUAUAGAAUAUAAAAAAAUAAAAAUGGUCAUCAUCUUCAAACAUUUUUUACUAAUUGACGGUGACGUGUAUGUGACGGCGUCAAACGAGAAGGUACAUCUCUCCAUACUAUGCGAUCAAAAGGUUUUUGAUUGUACUAUUUUGUUACAAUAUAUGUAGGAUACUCCAAUUACAAAUAGAUCCACAUACUCAUACGUCGGUUCAUAUUUACAAAUCUAUUUCAUUUACUGAUUCACUCAUUUGGAAUGACCUAGAAAUGGAAUAGAAACAGACAAACUAUACAAACAGGAAAUCCCCACAACAUUUCGGGGUAAGACAUCCUUAAUGAAUCUCACAUACAACAUAAAAGACCAUACACAACAGUACAAAUAUCUACUCCAAAAUCAGAACUUACAGUUCAAGUUCCUUCUUCAGUCACAGAAUAAUCUCGAACCGGAAGAGUUAUUCACGGAGGUGAUACACCGGGCUCGCGGAUUUCGAUUUAGAAGCGGCGAAUCUUGUGUCUCCCGUCUCUGACAGAGGCGUCAUAACCGAGCAUUGUUUAGGGUAGUGUGAGAUGAUGUAUCCAAGGGAGUAAUUAACAUGUAUAUUUGCAACUUCUCAGCUUCGAGGAAGAGAUGGAGAUUUAGACAAUUCUAAAUAAUAAGUAGCUUUAUGACCAAACUCGUCACAUUUAGCACAUUCGGAGGUAACCAAAACUAUACUACAUCAACUAUUGUAAUGAACCGCUCUUAUCUUCUUAAGCUGUUCCUUGAUAAUUUUUUUCUAUUUAAUUUCUUUUUUUGAAUUAUACAUGGGUAUCCUUGCCCUCACCAAAGUGGGUCAAGACUAGUCACGUGUUAGCAGCCUAUGUUAAUUUAAUUUCACCUCCACCAAUAUCUUAGUUUCAUCCAUUACGGUUUAAUCAAGCAAAGACUUGCUUUGUUAGCAUUGCUUGUGUAAUACUUUUGUUACCGUUGUCAUUCUAUUCAACUUAGUUUUCAAUUGUUUUGGUUGCAUAUCAGUCAAUAGACAAGUAGCUUUGAUUCUUAUACCUCUUCGAAAAUGGCUAAUCUAAUUCAAAAGCUUAGCAGUUCACGGAAGAUAAAACUAACAAUUUUUUUAAAAAAAAUUGCAAGUGUGCGUAACUUUCUAGUGGCUAUCCACUUACGAGGACAAAUCACUCUUCCACUUUGAGCUUCAUUAAGAUAUAUAAAAGGACUAAUAAAUCAGGAUUUGAUCCAAAAUAUGAUCAUCACAGGAUCAACAUUUUGUUUGGACCACCACUAUAUAAUAUAUUAAGGUAACUAGAUUAAAACCGCGCCUUGCACGGGAUUAACUUUGUAUAUAAUAUUUUUCUGUAUUAUAUGUUUUUUACAUAUUUAUGAAAUAAUAAAUAUAUAUUGAAUAAUUAAAAAGUUAGUAACUAUUACAUAUAUAUUUAAAUUGGUUUUAACAUAAAGAAUAAAUUUCAUUAAUCCAAAAACUCACUUUUUCUAUUUUAUAUGUUAUAUAAUUAAAUUUAAAUGACAUGGACAUAUAUAUAUAUAUAUAUAUAUAUUAAAUGAUUCUUUUUACUCAUAUAGUUUUUUUGAUAAUUUGUAUAUUCUUAUAACAAAAACUUUAAAUCAGUGAUAACAAAAUUUUCAUUGUGUGAUUAAUAGUUAUAGUAAUUUAUAAUUUUUAAAAAAAUUCAAGGCUAAGUUUAAAAUUUAUAUAUUAAGUUUUCAAUAUUUUUUAAAGCUUUUACCAAAAAAACUUGUUCAAAGUAAAUUUUGAAAUUAAAAUAUUUAUGUAUUUUAUAUGGUAUAUAGUUUUUUUUAAACGAUAUUAAUAUAUAUAUAUAUAUAUAUAUAUAUAUAUCUUCUACACUUAAUAUUUAUUAAAUGAGACUUCUUACUAAUAUGAUUUUGUAUCAUUUGUAUUUUAUCCUAACAAAAAAAUUAAACCAUGAAUCACAAAAAUUUGAAUGUGAGAUAUUUAACAGUUUUAGUAAUUUACAGUCGUUUUAAGACAAAAAAAUCAAAAUAUAACAAAUACAAAAAAAUCUAUUUUUUUAUUAAAUGGUUAAUUUAGUUGCUUAAUUUAUUUUAUUAAUUUUAAAUUAAACAAAUAUGAUAGAGAAUACACAAAUUUUUAUCAAAUCUUAAUUACUCAAAAUCAUUCUUUUUCAUAUAUACUUUAGCCACAUUAGGAAAUUCCAUAAUUUUAUUUAAGGAAAGAAUGAAAAACAUUAAUGAGUUUAUGGUUAGUUUAAUAAAAAAACUUAUUAUAUAUUUAGAUGAAACAACCUAUUUCUCUAAGGAUUCUAAAAUUCAUUGUGGUGAUGGCACAUGGUUACCUCAAAUGUUGUAAUGCUUCUUUUUUAAUAUAUAUGAGAUCUCAGUUUAGGGAAUCAGAUCCCGAGGCAUAUGACUAGAUAGUAGAUGCUAAGCUAUCAUCAUCACAUAGCAUGUGAAUUCUCUGGCAAUGCAAUAUGUAUGCAAUCUAUGAUAAGUACAAGUGUUUUAAAAUUUUAGUAGAAAACAUUUGACCUUGGCCAUUUUUUUCUCUCUCCUCUCCGCCGGAAGAAGUAACUUCAUAACUUUACCAGUCAUCCACCACCAUGACCAAUUUUAGCGAACAUUGGUUGAAAUUCAAUACAUGAAAAAACAUCUCUAAAAUAUAUGGACGAUUGUGUGUUUUUAACUGAACCUAUUAAUGCAUGAUUGUAUCUAUCUAUAUCUGCAACUUUUUUUGUCCCAAAAUGCACAUAAGUAACAUAGACACUUGUUAUCUAGGAGUAUUUGAAUUUAAUACGUAAAGUUCUCAAAAUUGUAUUGAAGGUUAGUGAAAUACACUCAUCCAAGGGAUAAGAUUUUCUUUCUACGAUUUAAGGGAUAAGAUCGUUAGAUAAUGAAAGGAAAGUAUCUUCUAUUUGAGAUAAGAAAUCUAUGGGUCCAACUUUUCCAACCCUAAAAUUUGAUUUCCUUUUGGGGUCAACGUAUUUCAAAGCCUUUCAUCUCUUUAUAUAGUAGCUCAUUCUCAACUAAGUUUCUCAUUCCCAACUAAGUUCGUAUCUAACCACUGAACUUCUUCGAUUGUCUCUCCUCAGACAAGUCCUACCCUCAUCCUAUGUCUUUCUCUCUAGUUUAACACGCUGUGGACAAGAAAAGUGAGAGCCAGAAACAUGGGAUGGGGAUAGAGUGUGCACAUGUUGUUUUUGUUCCCUCUCUCAACUUAGUUCUUAUGUGUAGCCUAGUUAUCUACCCCUAAAACAAUCCAUUGAUUGUCUCCUAAGACAAAUUCUGUCUGCAAACUCUAUCCUAAAUCAUGGAUCUACGGCUCUCACUCGUUCGAGACGUUGUGUGGAGGUUUCACUGGUUGAAACUCAUCCACAGCCUCUCAGGCAAGUGAGAGCUAGGAGAGACAUGAGAGGGAUAAUUGAGCAAUCGUGACAUGCUCUCUUUAUUUUUGAUAUUUUGUCACGGAUCGCACUAAUAUUAUUUUGCUCUUUAGAAAAACCUUUGUUUAAUUUAACUACUAAUAAGUAUAUUUCUCGGGAAACCAUAUUACCUAAGUGGGUAACUGUAUCAACAUUUGGUUAUAUGCAGUUCUGUUUUUUUUUGUUCCAUAUUUUUUCUUCCAAACUAUAAUUUAGGUUAAUUCUUCACAAAUUUUGAUUAAGAAUCUCAUUGAUUCAUAUGUUUUAUUAGAUAUAAAAGUAUAUUCGUUAACUUUACAAGUCACUGACUCACACCUUUGGAAACAUAUAAACUUUAAUUCAACUGAAUAGCUAGACUUCCGGAAACAUAGUUUUGAUAUCAACAACCUUUUGUGGAUUAUAUUUUGAACUUACACUCAUGAAAGAUAUUUUAUAUCAAAAUAUGUUGUCGGAAAAUCUAGUCAUUCAAUUUUAAUUAAAGAGUAUAUGUUUUCAAUGGUGUAGGUGAAUAUUAUAAAGUAACUAAUAAACCAUUUACCGAAACAUAAGAUUAAAUAGGAUCAAUAAUAAAAAUCCAUGAAGAGAUAACACAAAUUAUGAUUUAAAGAAAAAUGUGGGAAAGAUAUGAUUGUCUUUAUCUUUUUAAAAUCAAACUCUAGGAAAAGAGAUGUUAUUUCAAAAUAUCAUUGAAAAUUUUGCAUUAAAGAAUGCUCAUAUAUAUUUUAUUAUGAACUAUCUUACUUAAAACAUUAUUUGAGAAAAUUAGUGAUUUUUUAAUGAUUGAAAAAUGUGCUUUCAUAUGAUAUAUAAGAAGAAAAACAUUAAUAAUGUAUAUACAAAAAACGUUUAACGGAUUGUAUAUUGCAUAGAUUUGACAUGAAAUACAAAUAAACCAAUGAAUAAUGUCCAUGCAUGUCAAAAAGAGUUAUGGGCGAGAAGUCUAAUGAUCAUCUGUAUAAUUGGAAUGCAUAUCCGGGAAGAUUAUGUUUGGAGAAUGAGAACUAUAAUAAUUUGUGUGAAUGUAUCCAUCAAAGAACACUCAAAUAAUAUAAUAUAAGAGGUAUAAAUGUAAGAAUAAUUUUUUUGUCACCAUUAAAGUCUUUGUCAUAUAUUUAUAACAUCAAGACUUACAAAGACAAAGCACUCUUCCACAUUUAGCUCAUUAAGAUAUAUAAAAGAACUAAUAAAUCACGCUUUUAUACAUUCAAAAUAAACAUUUUGUUUGGACCACAAUUAUAUAAUAUAUAAAGGUAAUUUUAAGUUCUGGGAAUCAGAUCCCGAGGCAUAUGACUAAAUAUAUGUUAUGAUAUAGGUGAUGAGCUAUCAUCAUCACAUAGCAUGUGAGUUAUCUCGCAAUGCAAUAUGCACAAUCUGUAGAAAUUAGUUGAUCUAUCAACAGAUUUCGAAGAAUUCACAAGACUGAGAAAACGUUUUCAGUUUUCAAUUCUUUGUGCACGCAACUGUGGCAAACUCAAAAGCUGAUCUUAUAGUUAGGAAUGCUUCUUCUACUUACUGAGAUUUGUUUUUAGUGGUUGUUUCAUUCCAUUUUAACUUUCCAAACCAUUUCAUGUUUGAAUUAUCGAACAAUUUUUACCGUUAAGAAAAUAAAUUAGUAAAUAAUUAACUUACAACAUUUAAUAUAUCUAAAAUUAUUUUAAAAGGAAAAUUGUUAUAGUUUUAUCACAUUUUUACAAUAAUGCCAAUUUGUGUAAUAUAUUAAUAUUAGCGCCAAUUUAAAAUUCAUAAAAAUGAUCAAUUAUUUAUGAUAAACAAUGCAACUUUGUUUAAAUAUCCACAAUAAUACUUCAUUCACUAAUGUUUAAUUGAAGACAAUUUUAGUUCAAUUUAUAGGAUAUGCAUAUACUCAUAUCAGAUUAUAUAUUCACUUUAUUAGGUUCCCAAAAAUUUUGAAUGCUAGUGAAAUACAUUAAUCUAAGGGAUAAGAUUUAUUUUCAACAAUUUAAGGGAUAAGAUCAUUAGAUUGUGUGAAUCAUGAAUAAAAGGAAGUUAUCUUCGAAGGAAAUUCGAAAUCUUUGGGUCCAACGUUUCCAACCCUAAAAUUUGAUUCCUAUUUUUGGUGUAUCAAAGCCUUUUAUCUCUUUAUAUAACAGCUCAUUUUCAACCAAGUUUUUAUCUACCAUGCAACUUAUCAAUUGUCUCCUCAGACAUAUCUUACCUCAUCCCAUAACUCUCUCUCUCGUUUGACAUGCUGUGGACGAGGCAUGUGAGAGCAAGAGACAUGGGAAGAGGGUAGAUUAUGCAUAUGUUGUUUUUGUUCGAUCUCUCAGCUAUGUUCUUAUUUGUAGCCUACUUAUUGUACCUCUAAACCAUUCCUUUACUUAACUGUCUCCCCAUAUAAAUUACUAGAAGGGUGCCCGCGCUUCGCGCGGGAUAUUGUUUUAUUGCUGUUAGAUAUGAACUUUUGGAUGAUGUAAUUAAGUGGUCAGUCUUAUUUGUAAAGAUAAUUAUUUGAUGUUUUAUUGUGUUAUGUAGUAUUAGGUAAUAUGUUAAUAUAUUAUGUGUUUGUUUUUCAAUAAUGUGUUGUUAUGUGUAUAAUAGUACUUGUGUGGUGAAGUGAGCUUCUAAUGUAAAUUAUAUUGAAUUUUAAUAACUUUGCAUUUAGGCAUUUGUUAAUUUUAAGAUUGAUGAUUUUGGCGUCAGAAUUGUAUUUUAAUUUGUCACAUUUUUGAACAUUACUCUUUUAAAAUGUUUUUUGCCCACUCUCCAUAUUUUGACCUUGAGCCGUCUCCAUCUAUGUAAUUCGCUUACAUUUCCGGUGUGCGGUGCUUCUCGCCAUCACUGAGAAAAUACUCACCUUUGUGUUCUUGUUUUUCCUCACAUUCAUCUCUUGUGAUAUUAUCUGGUAUUUGUUACAGAUCAUGUUACGAAUUCCCAAUUGUGCGGUUGUUUUUCACUGUGUUGUAGGUUGUUUUGGUCAAUAUUGGUCCUCUUCUUUUUUAGAUUUUGGCUAAUUUUAGGAACUACAUCUCGUUGGGUUGGGUCAGAGUUCAGUUGUCUUUGAUUUUGUCUUCCUCUCGUUGACUUGUCGUCGAUAGUCUCUGCUCGUCUUGGUUUUCAAGAUCUGGUUUUUGGUGAUCUGACUUCUAUGCUCUUUUUUAUAGCUCGAGGAUGGCUCCACGGUUUGAUGAUUUUGUUUCGUCUCUUUUUCUAUCUUUGUUCUCUCAUCUUGUUGCACCUUUCAUUGCUGCUCGCUUCUCUGGUGGCUCUUUUUUCGCCAUAUUUGCUACUCCAGGUUUGGAUAGUGUUUUCUUCUGUGUAUGCUUUGUGUGCUUGGAAGGUUAUUUCUAGUCUAAAGUUUGAGCUCUUUUUUUCGGUGGUAGGCUUCCAUUCUCCCUCCCUCGGGUUGUUUCUUUUCUUCUCUUGCUUUCCUUGGUGUAGGUGUGCGGAGUUAGUCUUUGGAGCUUUGGUCUCUUCUACUUAGAGCUUGUGGUUCUUCGCUGGCAUGAACGUCUUGUAUGUGUUUGUUUAGUUUGUGAGGUGCUUCUUACCUUUUAGCUGGUGGUUGUGAUUCCGGUGCUUGAGGCAUGUGUCUUCUUGUUUCGUGGUGACUCUGAUCUCCUGAUGAUUAUUCUUUCUCUGACCUUUUUGGGUUUUUUGGGUUUUUUGGGUUGGUGCUUGAUCACGCUCCUUUGAGCUCGGAGGAAUGCUUUGUCUUAUAUUUUACUCCCUCUGUUCCAAAAUAGAUGAUGUUUUAGAAAGAUUAUGAUGUUUCAAAAUAGAUGAUAUUUUGAUAUUUUAUAUUAAUUUAAAUUUUAUUGAAUACUGUGUGACCAGUGAUGUUUUAUAUUUAUUUUUAAGGAUUGGAUAAAUUAAUUUUGGUUUAUAUUUUUAAUUUUUUUUGUAGAAAAAAAUGUAUACCUUAAUUAUUGUGCAUACACUCAAAACAUCAAAUAUUUUGGAACAGAAGGAAUAUCUUUUUAUCUUUUCUAACAUCUGCUUGUUCUAUCCAUGAUAUUAUUGGUAAGAUGAGGUAGGUUAGUUUUCUUUGUUGAUCUUUUUCCGGCUCCAAACUUUUAUUGAGUUAGUGUUACUAUAGUGUUUGUUUUUUUUUUGUUGUGGAAGUUGUAGGUUUAGAUUAUGCGUUGUAUUCUAGUUUUUUCUUAUUAGUUUGGUUAUUUGUGGAAGUUGUAGGGCAGUUCUGAGCGAAGUGACCUAUCUUAUCACAUCGGUAACACUCAACCUUUGAUGCGUCUCUCUCUUGCCGAUGAUAUCCGUUUUGUUGAUAUCGAAAUCUACAACGACCUCUUCCUCGAUAUCCAUACCGACCGCCUCUUCCCGAAUCAUACCUCUCAUGUUGUGAUUGGGAGUCUGCAUACAUAAGUUUAUCUUGGCUUUGCUCGUCAUGCUUCUCUUCUUCCUCAUCAUGAAUCAUCUCCUCAUAAAAUAAUAGAAAAUGGUAAAAUAACAAAAAUAAUAAAAAAUAUUUUAAAUUAUUUAUUUAUUUUAUUUAUUUAUUUUUUAUUCAUCUUGAAUUUUAGUGACCAAUAAAAUAAAUUAUCAAAUUUUUUACAAAGAUGGUUAAAAUUAAAAGAGUAAAUAGUGCAUAAUUAGAAAGUAUUUCGCAAAAUUGCAAUAAUCUAUAAGAAACAAAAUUUAAAAUGUAAAAAAAAAAUAUAUGAAAGACACAUGUCAUCAAACCUCUUUACCACUUGUCAUAAGAAUAGAAAAAGCUAAUUUUAUAUAUAAAGAUUUGUGCAUACUUUAUCCAUAUCAUGAGUCUACCACUUCACUCGCUUGAGACAUUGUGUAGAGGAUUCCCCUGUUCGGGAACGCGCUAGGCGCUAGUCGGGCGGUCGGGUUGGGCCUAGCGCCUAAAGAGAAAAUCGGGGAUUAAUCGGAAAUUAUGCGGGGCGGAAUUUAUAGAUGGUUUACUAUGUUAUAAAACAUGUUAAUCUUUAAUUGUGUAUAACAUUAAUACAUUUUCCUGUUUAAGAUUGUAUAAAACACACAAAUAGAAUAUAUAAACUUAAUAUAAUGUAAUUUUCAUCAAAAUUAUGAAUAUAAAUGAUAUUUAUAAAAUUUUAUAUCAAAUAAAUAAAAAAAAAUAUUAUUUAAAAUAAAAAAAAGAUAAAAUUUUUUUUUUUAAAAAAAAUAAAAAAAUAGAUUAGGCGGCCGCCUAGGCGGCUAGGCGGUCAUUUAGGCGGCUAGGCGGUCAUUUAGGCGGUCUAGGCGAAAAAAAAUCGGAUAUCCGAUUUUUUUAACCAAUUUGGCAUAAAUCGGGGCGGAAAAGUGACGCGUAGCGCCUAGGCGGCCGAGUUUUAGAACAGGGGAGGAUUCUAUAGACUUAUUAUUUUAUGCAUAUUUAUAAUUAUAAGAAAUAGCUGUCUUAUUAAGAUGUCUUUUGACCAUUUUUGUAAUCAUAUCUUAUUUCUUUUCUAAUUUUUCACUUAUAAUAUUUCACCAUUAUUUCAUGGAAUAUACUUUCUAACCCUAUUUUUUAAAAUCCUUUUUGAUAAGGUUAAUAUUCAAAAGUGUCUCUCGUAUAACAAUAUAAGUAAUUUAAAAUGUUAAAUUGUGAUAUUUAGUUCAAUCAGACACUUCCAACAAUUUUAUUUAUUCUUCAAAAAAAUAUUAUUUUCAAACGAUUUUACAAAAAUAAUAUUACAUAAAAGAAUGGUUAAUUGUUAUAAGUCAAAUAUAUAUAUUUAGAGGAAUAUCUCCAUAUUUUGUAAUUAGAUUAAAUAAAAAAUUAUUAAAAUAUUUUUAUUUAUUUUUUGUCAUCUAUUAAAAUAUUUUUAAGAUAUACUGUAUUAAAUUUAAAAAUAAAAUUUUUUAUUUUAUUUAUAAUCCUAAGUGUAAAUAUAUAAAACGGAUUGUAACAUUAUUAUCCUUUUACUAAUAAAAAAUCUGAAUCAUUCCCGUCAUCACAAUCCAACCAUCUUCCGUACAUGAUUGUCGGAGGAAUUCAUCUAGAUAAUGAAACAAUCUAACAAAUGAAACAAGUCAAUUCUAUCGAAUUAAACAAGAAUCCGACAUUGUUGACUCAGUUGCGUCUUGCUCGAUUGUUUCCUUGCUCUAAUCUUCAACCACUGUUGAAAAUUAAGGAGAAUAGCGCGUUGUCUAAUAGAUUCCAGACAUUCAUGUACAUAAUGCGGUUGUGAUGAUUGCAAAGAUUUAGACUUUUGUUAGUACAAGAUUUUGUCUUUUUUUAUGAUCAGUUUGAUCACAGUUGUUUAUGUAAAGAGGAAGAUGGAAGAUGUCUGCUGCAUUGAGAGAACUUAUUGACCCAGAAGAGUCAAAAGUUAAAAGAUCUUUUGUUCAUUGUCACUUGUGACUUGUGAGUACUCACCAAAAUCUCAACCCACAAUAAAGUAUACUUCUAACUAGACUAAACGUAAUGAUUAGUUUUGGAUUAAACCCAGUGUUUUGAAACCCGAUCCGGACUCGCGGUUGAACCGGUAAACUCAGUGAUCCAAAAAAAAUCCGGUUUGGAUUUUGUGAAAAAACCCAAUAUUUAGAAACGCGCAAAAACCCACUAAAACCUAGAACCCGACACCGGUUGAACCAGCGGUUGAACCAAUAAAUAACUUUUACUUUUUUUAAGUUUUUAGACUAUGUUUUAUAUUCUAAGUUUCCAAUUAAGAAGUUAGGUGCUGACAAAAAAAAAGAGUUAGGUUUUCCCUUUUCAGUUUUAUAUUUGUGAUUUUUAGAUUUUAAUGAAGAUUUCAUUAUGCCACCAAAAAAAAAUGAAAUGAACGACGGUAGAAAGAACCAAAAUUAGUUGAUGUGAUUUGGUGUUAGUUUAUUUUCGUUAUUGACAAUUUAUUACAAUGAUCUUUUACUUUUGAUUUAUUUUGAUUCACUACAAGAAAACACAAAUUUAACGACGGCGGUUUUUCUCGCUAAUUCCUCGUAAAAUCGGGUUUACGAGGAAUUAGCGAGGAAACACGUUUCGUCGUUAAACGUUCGUCGUAACGCAUAUUUCCUUGCCAAUUCGUCGUAACUUAGCGAGGAAAUGAUUUUGUCGUAAAGACGAAGAACAAUAUUUCGUCGUAAAUACCACAUAAAUAUUCCACGUAAGGACGUCGCUUCAUUUCCUCGUAAAUACCUCGAAAGGUGCCCCUCGUAAAUUACACGUAAAUAUCUCAAAAGUAUUUCCUCGUAAAGAACACGUAAAUAACUUGAAAGCAUUUCCUAGUAAAGUACUCGUUUAUUACUCCUCGUCAUUUCCUCGUAAGGUUUUCCUCGUAAAAUACUCGUUAAGUUUCCAUGUAAAGAAAUCGUAAAUUAGCUACGAAUUUGCUUCACUUUAUUUGACAGAAUAUAAAAAUAUAAUUUAAAAAUAAUUACAAUUAUUUAAUUUAUUAAUAAAAUUAAAAUUCUAAAAAAAAAAUCAAUACCAAAAUAUUUUAUAUAUAAAUAAGUUUUGAAUUUAUAAUACAAGAACCAAAAAAAAAGAACUAAGAGUCGUUCAUCGCCCGGUAGAAGUCAUCACUCGUCCUCUCUACAUCCGCCUCGGCAUGUGUGUGGGAUGAUGACUCGCCUGGAAUGGGAUUUUGUCGUCGCAAGUUCCUCAACAAGGACUUCUAUUUCGGAUUUGUGGCCGCUACAACGUCCAAGAAGCCCUCGAGUCCACCCACACGAGCUGUGAACGCAGAUUGCGUCGAGGCCAACUCAUGACGCAGCUCAGCGGACUCUCUACCCAGCUCAUCGGACUCUCUACGCAGCUGAAUGACUUCAUCAUCCCGUGUCUGACCAUAAGACGAUGUCGCUCUCGAAACAUCAUUGACGGAACCAAUCCCCAACGUACGUCCCUUUUUCUUAGGGACAACCUUAAAAACAAAAAAUAAAUAUUGUUAGUAAAAAUUUAAAGUUAAAUUAAAUGAAUAAUAAAAAAAAUUAAAAUUUUAAAAAAUUUACCUCGUCGUAAAUCUUAUCCACUUCAAGUGUGGAUAAGGUGACGGGUAAUCCGUCGGUGGACUGCUGGGUCAGCUGGGUCUGGCGGUCCUUAACCUGAGCAACCAAGUCGUUGAAGAGUUGUUCGGACUUGCCAUAUAGAAAUUGGCCCGCCUUGUUUUUGUGGGUCCUCUCGUAAAUUUCCAUAAGAGACGGGAGUUGUCCCAUCUCUUUGGCGUAAAAACAUUUAAGAAAGUUAGAAUAUACAUAUAUAUAUAUAUAUAUGUAUUAAAAAUUAAUUAAAUAAAUUAUUUAAUUACCAUUUCCAAACGGACACCGGCGUGGGGUUUUUGGUCCGUAGAGUGAAGCAUCGGCUCGUGGCCGUGCUCAUCUACCGUGAUACGGGAGGCAGAGCAAGACUGGACGAUUCUGAUUGACUCAGGAUCCCGCCAAUAAUGGAUGAGGCCAUCCCACACAUCCAUGGUGAGCUCAGCGGGUUUGCCACACUCAUACCCCUUCACGAUCCAGUCACCCUUCCAGUUGAAGAUCGUGUCCAACAAGCGAACUUUUGCCUUCGCUGUAAAACGCUUUCCUCACCCUCUCAGUGACCCCCAUGGACCAAUGAUAUUUUUGCUGUAAAAAAAAUUAAAUUUAUAAUUAAUUUUUUUUUAAAAUAUAUAAAUCAUGAAAAAAUUGAAGUAUAUAGAAUUAAUGAAUAGUAACUUACAGCGUAAAUUUUGAACCACGUCUUUCUGAUGUAGAUCGGGGUCUUUUUCCAGUUCAGAUGUGGCAUGGAGAAGUAAACUUUCAUCGUGUCGGUUACGUCAGAUGCAAGACAUCCGUCAACCCCAAACCUGAAAAAAAACAAAUUUAAAGUAUAAAUUAUUUAUUAAUGUUAUAAAAGAAUUUAAAAAAAAAUAAAAAAAAUAAUUAAUGUAACAUACCACAAAGUUCCCUCCAGUCGGUCGGGGUUUAUGACUGGUAAACCUUCUCUGCCUGGCUGACUGAGAAUGUCCUCGACAGUGUACUGCGAGUAAGGAGCACUCGGAGGCACCAUCAAAUCGGGAUGAAUCUCGGCGGGCAUCGGAGGAGUCAUCGGAGGAGGCACAGGAGGAGGCAUCGUCGGAGGAGCCAUCGGAGGAACCGAUGGUGCACUAGAAGAAGGCGACCGAGAGACUCUCUGAGAAGGCUGAGUCUCGGAGACAGUCUCCUGACCGGAAGAACUGGUAGCUGAAGAAGAACCGGGAGCUGAAGAAACAACGGGUCUAAACAACUACCAGGCUCACCGAACAUCUGUCUGUAAUGGGGAGUAAGUCUGUUCUUUCGAAUCGUCUGAAAAAAAAAUAAAAUUUGAAAUUAACAUCCACAGUAAUUAACAAAUUCUAUAAAUCUAGCUAAAUUCUCUACAUUAACCACCUAAUCAACACUAAUCAGUAAACCUAUCUAAAUUCCCUACACUAACCACCUAAUCUAUCCUAAACUAACCAAAUUAGAGAGGAAUCAAUCUAAAUACCCUACACUAACCACCUAAUCUACCCUAAACGAAAUAAAUUAGAGAGAGAAAGUACCAUAGCUACGAAAGGGAGAGGAAGUGGAGAGGAAACGGGAGGCGAAGCUCGCGUGUAUAUAUAAGAAAUUAGAAGUCGUCGUAAAUUCCUCGUAAACUUACGUGGAAUGAGCGAGGCCCGUGUUUCGUUUCUUCGUAACUUCCUCGUAAACUUACGUGGAACUAGCGAGGCCCGUGUUUCGUUUCCUCGUAACUUCCUCGUAAACUUACGUGGAACUAGCGAGGCCCGUGUUUCGUUUCCUCGUAAUUUCGUCGUUGGUUAACGAGGAAUUAGCGAGGCCCGUGUUUUCCUUUUACGAGGUCUUUACGACGAAUUGGAGAAAUUAGAUAAUUAUUUUAAGUUUCGUCGUAAAAUCUUUCAAAAUUUCCUAUAAAUACACACCAGUUUGCUUCUCAAAUCAAAGAUAAACUCAUUAAUUUUCUUUUCAAAUCAGAGAUAACUCACCAGUUUGCUUCUCAAAUUAGAAAGAUUUGAAAAAAAAAGAUGGAGAGAAAGAUACGAGAACACAUGUGGGCGGAGACAAGGUUAGACUUACGUAGGUCUCGCUUUGUUUCUUCCCUCCUAUGAUUCCAGUAUCUUUUUUUCUCUUCUUUUUUUAUUGGUUGCUCAGUUUCGAGGAAAUAGCAAGGCUGAUGUUAUUUUUUACGAGAAAAUAGUAAGGUCCGCCUUUACCUAAGACGAGAAAAUAUCGAGGCCCGUCUUUUCCUUAGACGAGGAAAUAGCAAGGCCUGCGUUUUCCUAAGACGAGGAAAUAGCGAGGCCCGCAUUUUCCUAAGACGAGGUCUUUACGACGAUUGGCGCUUACGUGGAAAUAGGUCUUUGGCAAUUAUAUAAUUUAUACUUAUAUGUGUUUAGAAGUGUCCAUAUAUGUUACCUUUCAAAAUAACGCAUCAAUGGAUCCUCGCAAUUGAGUAGAAUAUAGGUGUGUGCACUAUGAUCGUCUUCUUCACUCGACCACCAAACCUCUUUUAAUUUCCCACCGAGUCGCCCAAUCUGGCUAAAGAUGUCUGGAACACCAGCAACUGCAUAUGUUGGUGCGACACCACCAUCAUCAUAUCUUUUUGGAGCUCUUUUCCGGGUACGUACUUUUGACGCAAAGUAGUACGAUGUGAAGUGAGAAGUUUCUUCCAUCAAACUUCCAGCAAUUAUAGAACCUUCAACUUUUGCGAGGUUCUUUGCUUUUCCCAUCAAAUAUUUCAUGGCUCGCUCAUACUGAUACAUCCAUCCGUAAUGUACAGGUCCACGAAGCAAUGCCUCAUAUGGGAGGUGGACAGCUAGAUGCUCCAUGACGUCAAAAAAUCCCGGAGAAAAUAUCUUCUCCAAGUUUCACAAUAAGAUGGGAAUGUUCUGCUGAAGCUGUUCCAUGACUUCUUCUUUUAGAAUGUGUGUGCUCAGAUCCCUAAAAAAUGCUCCAAUGCCUUGUAUAUCCCAAAAACAAUUAAACACAUUAUAUUAGUCAUAUAUUAUUGCAAACUAAACCAUUAUAAAAUUACUGCGUUAUAAUAUACUACCUGCAAGUGCUUCAUGUACGUUUGUUGGAAGUAGCUCUGCAAAUGCAAAGGGAAGUAGUCGUUGCAUAAAGACAUGACAAUCAUGACUCUUCAUCCCGGAGAACUUUUGACCAUUUUCAACACAUCUAGAGAGAUUUGAAACAUACCCAUCGGGGAACUUCACUUCUGAUGCCACCCAGUUGUACAACAUUGACUUUUUUUCUGAAGACAAUCUGAAUAUCGGAACGGGAACUUGUCCAUUGCUUUUUAUAUGUAACUCACUUCUUGAGCAAAUAUCCGCAAGUCCAACCUCGAUUUUAUGUUGUCUUUUGUCUUCCAUGGGACAUUCAAUAUUGUAUUCAUGAUGUUCUCAAAGAAAUUCUUCUCUAUAUGCAUCACAUCGAGGUUGUGGCGCAGAAGAAGAUCCUUCCAAUAUGGCAACUCCCAAAAUAUACUCUUUUUGUGCCAGUUGUGAUGAACACCGUAAGAAUCAGGCAUAUUACGAGGGACAUGCCAAUUACCACCACAACGAACUGUUUCGUUAGCUUCGUAGUAGUCGGUUUCCGCUUCAAUUUGUUCUCCAGUUAUAUAUGGGGGAGUAAUGUCUCUCACAACCCUUUUGUGCCUAAACAAAUUCUUGUUUCUUCGGUACGGAUGGCCAAUGGGCAGAAAUCGACGGUGACAAUCGAACCAACUUGUCUUCCUACCAUUCUUCAGUUGAAACGCAUAUGUCGUUCCAUUACAAUAUGGACAAGCUAAUCUCCCAUGUGUAGUCCAUCCAGACAACAUCCCAUAGGUAGGAAAGUCACUUAUGGUCCACAAAAGCAUCGCUCGCAUAGUAAAAUUCAUCUUCAUUGAGAAGUCAUACGUCCUCACCCCUGUUGCCCACAGAUCCUUCAACAUUUUUAUCAGUAGUUGUAGGAAAACAUCCAGAGAUCUUUUUGGAUGGUUCGGACCAGGUAUUAAUAUGGUCAAGAAUAGCAACUCCCGUUGCAUGCACAUCUCCGGUGGAAGGUUGUAUGGCGUAAGAAAGACUGGCCACAAUGAAUAUUGUCUCCCUGACAUUCCGAAUGGACUAAAUCCAUCUGUGCAUAAUCCCAGAUACCAUUCCGGCUAUUGCUAGCGAAAUCCGGAUGUACUUUGUUAAAAUGUUUCCAGGCUCUUCUAACUUCUCAUCAUCUCCCCAGUAGAUCAUGCAGUUGUCGAUGCAAACAUCUAUCAUCUCCGAAAGCAACCCAAGACUAUAAACCAGUUUCUGAAUCUCAUAAUAAGAAUCAGCAGACACAUUGUCUUCCGGCAAAUAUUCUUUAAACAAGUUUGCCCAUUCAUUCAUGCAACUUUCAGGUAGAUUGUGAUCGGUUUUAAUAUUCAUCAUUCUAGCAGCCAACGACAAUUUAGAGAGACCUUCUCUACAACCACUGUAAAGUGGCUGAUUUGCCGCAUUUAACAUUUCAUAAAAAAAUUUGCAUCUAUAUUAGGUUCUUCAUCUUCAUCAUGAGCUACGAAUGCAUCAGCUACCAUAUCAUGAACCCUAUCAUAAUCUACCAUCUGCUCUUCCUGAUGGUAAUUAUGUUCAUUAUGCAAAUGAUCAACCGGUUCUUCCUGAAAAAUGCUAUUACUACUACUAGCUUCAUUAUGAUCAUAAUUAUAACAUUCUCUAUGUUGAAACCAGAUAUAGUAAUUUGGCUUGAAACCUCUAUUUAUUAAAUGCUUCCAAACAUUUUCACGAUUUGCCAAUUUCAAAUUGUUGCAUUUCCGACAAGGAUAGAACAUCUUACCACUUUCUUGGGCGAGCGGUGUGGAAGGUAUUCUUUCGUCACUCUCCCGUUAGCAUCUCUAUGCAUAUACAUCCACCUCCGCAACUCAAAAAUAUUCUCGGACCCCGACAUUUUUUUUUUCACUUUUUUUUUCUUGUUGGUGUGUUUAAAAUGAUGUUCAAAUGUCCAUAUUUAUAGGAAAUUUUCGAAUAUGGUAGUUGCAAUUUUCCUACGAAUUUACGACGAAAUUUAGUUAGGAAAAACGUGUUAUUUAGUGGAUUCAAAUUUUCCACGCUAAGUAGAUGUAAAAUAUUUCCUCGUAAAUUAAACGCUAUAUUUACGUCGAGUUUACGAGGAAAGAGUAGUUCGUCGUUAAAGCCACGUGAUAUUACACCGGCUUUACGAUGAAAUCAUUUCAUCGUAACUUUACGAGGAAAUAACGAUGAUUUUAUAUUUCCUCGUAAAGUCGACGUACAUUUACGAGGAAUAUUUUUCCUCGUUAAUUUUCCUCGCUAAAUUUGUGUUUUCUUGUAGUGAAUUUGAAGUUUAAUUUAUUAUUCACAUUAGACAUUUAAAUAUUUAUGAAUUUUAUAUCUUGAUUUUUUAAGAUGUCAUAACUUUUACUUUGUUACACAAAAUAUGAAAUAGUCUAAACUUUUUUUUGAUAUUUUGCAUGUCAAAUGAAAAUAAAAAUAUAAAAACUACAAUUAAUUAUUUUCUAAAUACUUUUUAAACAUAAAAUAUAUACAUAUCCAAACUAUUAUUUUAUUUUUUAAAAAACAUUUAGAAAAUAUUAAACUUUAGUUUUUAUAUAUUUAUUUUCAUAGCUAAUAUAUUAUUAUAUAAUAAAAUUAAUUUAUUUAUUAACUCGCGGUUCACCCGCGGUCGACCCAGUGACCCAGUGAUCCGAUAAGUCGUCUGGUUCAGUGUCCGAGUCGGGUUUAAAAACAUUGAUUAAACCCUAAUAAUGCUUAGAGUGCAUUAACUCAUUUCACUCAACUAUGCUUAUAGUGCAUUGACUGAAAUAUACUUAUAACUAGACUCAACUUAAUGUUAAUUUUCAAUUAAAUCCUAAUAGUUCUACUAAUCUUUUAUCCACAGUCACCAACAUCACAACCCAUAACUUUAACAUUUGUUGUUUUUACCACAGUUUCAUUUAUUUAUCAGCAGUUAUCUAAUUUUACACAUGUCUUCCUCUUUUCUUUUACCUUUUAAUGUACUUAGAACAUGUUCGCUCAUUUGUAAAUUUUGUCAAGGUUUUCAAAAUUUAGUAGGAAAAGAAACAAUGAAUAAAAACUAAAUGGGUAGUUCCAAGUUUUUUUUUUUUUUUUGCUAAAAGGUAGUUCCAAGUUGAGAAAAUUAUUGUGUUAAAUUUCUCAUCUUCGACACAUCCAUUUAAUUUUUAUUCAUUAUUUCCUUUAUAUUAAAUGGAUGUGUCGAAGAUUGGGCUAAAAAAGAAAAGAAAAUCAAGUAAAAUCUCAAGAUUAAGAUUAAUACUUUCAACAUCAAGAUUUUCUUCCACUUAUUGAGAGUCUAUAUUCUCAUGGUCACCACAGUGCACAAUCACACCAUUGUCCAUAAUCAAAGAGAAAAGAAUUGAGGCACCAGAUUUUCAAGACUCAAUACCAACCUCUACUACUAUAUACGUAAUUAACCACUAAAUUUGUUGAACCAACAAUUUAUUACAGAAUCUAAAUUAUUUGAGGAUCCAUGACACUGAAUGCCAAAAAGAAAAGGAAACAGAAUAAUGCAUAUCACAUAGUUCUCGUAUCAUAGAGUAAGAUACUGUACAAAAUCAACUAAGUUCCAAAUAAUGUCUCUAUUUAAAUAGCAUUGAGAACCUUUAUAUCUUACUUUUCCAUGUUCAAUUUUGAAUUAAGACCCGGUCUGAGGAAAAUGUAUGUUACCAACGUUAAGAGAAUUGAAUUAGCCAAUGAAGUUUAUUCAAAGUCAAAACCUGAUUGAGGAAUUGAUGAGGCUGUAACAGAUGAUCAGUGGAUGACCUUGAACUAGAGCCCCGAAGAAACUGAUAAUUCUUCAAAUCAGAUAUCGGAUAAUAAUUUGACACCGAACGAUCAAACGGCAGCAGCAGCGGCAAGAGCCUGUUCGAAUUUGGUGUCCCUCCGAAAAAAGACGAUCUGAACUGGUUCCAACGGUUGCUAUUAGGACAAGAACCCAACUCGGAUACGGAUGGUUACGGAAGAUAUAACUAACAUUUUUUUUAUAUAUUGAGAGUGUAACUUUCUCGUGGCAUCCACAUUUAGUUUCACUGAGAUAUUGAAAAGGACUAAUAAAUCACGCUUUUAUUAAAAGUAUGAUCUAAAUUUUGUUAAGACCACCACUAUAUAAUAUACAAAAGUCAUUUUAAGAUAAGAGCAUUAGAUCCUGAGGCAUAUGAGUAAAUAUAUGCCAAGAUAAGUAGACUAUUAUUAUCACACAUAAUGUGAUUUCUCUCUCGCAAUGCAAUAUGUAUGCCAUCAUAUCAUAUGAUAAUUAAGUACAAAAUGUUUUAUAUUUUAGUAGACGAUGCUAGGACUAAAAGUCUGCAGGUAAAUUUGUUCAACGGAGAUAUGCGGUUGCACAAGUCAUAACGUGAGAUGACGUGGCGUCAUCGUAUUGGUUGGAGUUAUUAAUUAUGAAUUGACAAAGAUAAAGAUCGUAAAGCUUGGACAUAACGAUGAAUCAAGAGAUUUAGACUCAUCAAGAUUAAAAACGUCGAUUGCUCGAGAGAAUAAAUGGCAUUGAGUUUAAAGAGUUUGUUUUCAACGUUCUUAGAUUGCAUAGAGUAUUGAGAGAGGUUUUGAGAGAUCUUUGGUUGUAAGAUUAAGGUUGGAUAGAUUAGAAAUUGGUCAGUGUCAAUUCAUAGGUGUGAAUUCGAGUCAAUAUGAUUAAACAAGUCUGUAAUGAUUGUUUAAGGAAUUUUUAAUAAAAGUCAACUGUUUGGAAGAAUCAACUUUUUCAUUGGUAUUUCGUGUUGAACGUGUUUAUGUGUCCUCAGGUUUUACAAUUAGUAUCAGAGGUGGUCGUCUACCUAGAUCUAUAUAUCUAAAACAGGUUGAGGUCCUACGAGGAACAUGGGAACAACAUAAUUUAUGGUGGUUCAUAAAUCACUCAUGUUGGAUGAAAACAACUUUGGACACUGGAAAGUACGCAUGAAACAACAACUCAAAGGGAUUGAGGAAGAUACCUGGACUGUAGUUGAAACAAGAUGGACAGAUCCAAAAAAAUUUACUGAAGAGGAUGAGGAGAUACCUAAACCCAAAAAUAAGUGGACAAAGGCAGAAAACACGGCAUCAAGACUUAACGCAAAGGCGCUAUCAGAAAUUUGUAAUGCAAUCAGUUCUAAUCAGUUUAAACUCGAGCAGGGAUGCUGUCCAGCCAAAGAUGCAUGGGACACACUUGUGGAGUAUUAUGAGGGAACAUCCACUGUUAAAAGAGCGAAACUAGACUACUUGGAAUCUCAAUUCGAGAACUUGAGAAUGACCGAAGAAGAAUCCAUCACGAGUUUUAGCUCAAAUUUGAGCUCCAUUGCAAAUGAAGCAACUGUCCUUGGUAAAAACUUUAAGGAUAAGAAACUGGUCAAGAAGCUGAUACGAUGUCUUCCAGAAAAGUAUGCAUCCUAUAAGGCGUUGUUCAAGGUUAGGAUGAAUAGAUAUGAGAUGAAAUUCUGAUAGUUGGUUGGGAAUCUUAAAGCUGAAGAGAUGGAAGCAACUACAUGUCAAUCUAAGAUAGGAAAAGAAAUAUGCUGAGAAGGAAAGUGACAAACUCCAGGUUCUUCAUAAAAGUCUAAAUUGAAAUAUGAAUGAGUGUCUUGAAUUGCUGACACAAAACUUUAAGGAAGCUUUGAAGCAAUCUGAGAAAGGUCACAGAAGAAACUCGAUCUCACAUGAGUGGUGUAAUAGUAAAGAUAGUCAAAAAUGUGAUUGUCACUGCCAUGAUAUGUGCAAAGGACAAUCUGAGGUUGAAUGUCCAUAUCUUCAAAAGAGAAGUGAUGAAAAGCUUAAUCUUGUCACUCUUGUUGGAAAAGAAAGUGAUGAAAAAGUUUAGCUGGAUUCUGAUUCAGACAGUGAUGGAGAGAAAGAUGUGAAGGCUGAAUAUUGUAAGCUAUAUGACAGUUGGGUUGAAUUAAGUAGUGAGAAUCUGAAUCUGCUCAAGAACAAGUUGUUACUAGAAGCUCAGAAUAAUAUGAUUGAGAUGGAAAAGCCUACGACAUUGAUGUUGGAGACGUCAACAUGUUCAAGGAAGGAGAAUGAGUUGCAUAAGCAGAGAGAAGCUGAAGAGGAAAAUACAUGAGAACUAGAAUCAAAGAUAAAAAGAUUAUCAGAUCUUCUGUCAGAAGAAAAAGAGAAGAGCAGAAGUCUUGAGCAUAAUUUGAAUGAAAAUCACAAGAAUGUCAAGAUGUUGGGCAAAGGAACAAAGGAUUUAGAUACUCUUCUUGCCAUGGGACAGCUUGCAAAACAUAAUUGGGGUCUAGGAUACAAGGAGAAUCGUGUGUUAAGCUCCACAAACAGUGUAUCAAAUCAAACAAGUCUGAUUAAUUUCGUUCGUGCUGAACCAAUUCCUAAUAAUAAACUAAAGAAGGUUGAAUCACAUCAAAUAUGUUCAAGCCGGAAAAUAUUUGUUGAACAGAAAAAUCAGAAGGUCAAACAGGGUGCUACUCCUAUGGCAAACAUGGACACAUGCAGAGAUAUUGUGAUGCUUUGGAAAGCAAGAUUAAGUCAAGGAAGGCUGAAUAAUGUAGUCUCAACCAUGGAUGUUAUUCUUGUGGGAGACUUCGACAUACUCAUCGAUUUUGUUAUGAGCGAAUCAACAAUAUCAAGAAGGUUUGGAGUGAAAACAAAUGUUAUGUUGAGCCAAAAAGCUAUUGUGAGGUAUGGAUUACAAAAUCAGAUUUGUAUUCCAAAUGUAAGGAGACUAAUAUUGUUCAAGAGCUCGUGUGCAACAUAGCAUGUUCAGAAAAAUUGGGAUGCUCAAAUGUCAACAAGAGAUGGGUUAAUGCUGAAGUUGUUCGAGGUAUACUCAGGCGUGUUAAUGAAACCAAUUCCUUAUUCAUCGCGUGAGCAUGUUAGAGGUUCCAAGAGAUGUGACAAAUGCAUUAUAUGUUAUGGAAGUUUUCAAAGAGUUUUGUCACUCAAGCAAGGGAGAUUGAAGAGUUGGCCAGGUUGACGAUACUUGGUGAAAGUGGAGCUUUAUUAGUUAGUAAGCUUGAGUUGUAAAAUUCAGUGAAAAAGGGGGAGAUUGUUAAGACUAGAAGUCUUAUUCAUCGCGUGAGCAUGUUAGAGGUUCCAAGAGAUGUGACAAAUGCAUUAUAUAUUAUGGAGAUUUUCAAAGAGUUUUGUCACUCAAGCAAGGUAGAUUGAAAAGUUGGUCAGGUUGACAAUACUUGGUGAAAGGGGAGCUUUAUUAGUUAGUAAGCUUGAGUUAUAAAAUUCAGUGAAAAAGGGGAAGAUUGUUAAGACGAGAAGUCUGCAGGUAAAUUUGUUCAACGGAGAUAUGCGGUUGCACAAGUCAUAACGUGAGAUGAUGUGGCGUCAUCGUAUUGGUUGGAGCUAUUAAUUAUGAACUGGCAAAGAUAAAGAUCGUAAACCUUAGAGAUAAAUAUGAAUCAAGAGAUUUAGACUCAUCAAGAUUAAAAAUGUGGGUUGCUCGAGAGAAUAAAGGGCAUUGAGUUUAGAGAGUUUGUUUUUAACGUUCUGAGAGUGCAUAGAGUAUUGAGAAGUUUUGAAAGAUCUUUAGUUGUAAGAUUAAGGUUGGAUAGAUUAGAAAUUGGUCAGUGUCAACUUCACACCGAUUAAACAAUUCUAUAAUGAUUGUUUAAAGAAUUUCUAAUAAAAGUCAACUGUUUGAAAGAAUCAACUUAUUCAUUGGUAUUUCGUAUUGAACGGGUUUCUGUGUCCUCAGGUUUUAGAGACGAUAUUUGACAAUGCCCUCUUUAAUCUCUCUUCUCCAAACGGAGAAAUAACUUAUUAACUUUGCAAUCGCUAUCCACCACCAUGUUCUAAAUUCAAUAGAGUCUUUUGUGUUUUGACUGAAUAUUAAUACAUGAUUGUAAUUACAUCAUCAACUUUUUAUCGACAAAUGCAUAUCUAUACUAUAGAGAUUAUGAACAUUUUGUCACAAAUGUACAUCUAUAACACAGACACUUGUUAUCUAGCUAGCAGUAUUUUAAUUUAAUAGGUGAAGUUCAUAAAAGUUUAUUGAACUUAUUACAAUGUUUUAAAUUCAAUAGUAUUUUGUGUUUUGACUGAAUUUUAGUGCAUGAUUGUAAUUACAUCAUCAACUUUUUCUCGACAAAUGCAUAUCUAUAUUAUUUAUAUUAUGAUUUUUUUUGUCAACAAAUGUACAUCUAUAACACAGACAAGUGUUAUGUAGCUAGCAGUAUUUUAUGUUUAUAGGUUAUAUAAGUUCCUAUAAUUUUAUUGAAUGUUAGUGAAAUACAUUAAUCUAAGGGAUAAGAUUUAUUUUCUACAAUUUAAGGGAUAAGAUCAUAAGAUUGUGUGAAUAAUGAAUAAAAGGAAGUUAUCUUCUAAUUGAGAUAAGAAAUCUCUGGGUCCACGGUUCCAACCCAAAAUUUGAUUUCUAUCUUUGGGGUCAAAGUAUUUCAAAGCCUUUCAUCUCUUUAUAUAGCAGCUCAUUCUCAGCCAAGUUUGUAUCUACCCCUAAACUUCUUCGAUUGUGUCCUCAGACAUAUCCUACCUCAUCACAUAUCUCUCUAUCUCUCGUUUGUCACGUUGUGGACGAGGUGAGAGCAAGAGACAUGGGAUGAGGGUAGAAUAUGCACAUGUUGUUUACGUUUGCUCUCUCAACUAUAUAUGUUCUUAUAUCUACUUCUAACACCAAUCCUUUGAUUGUAUCCUAAUACAAAUCUUUGUGCAUAUGAUCUAUCGCAUAUCAUGGAUCUACCAAUUUCACUCGCUUGAGACGUUGUGUAGAGGCUCCACUAGUUGAAACUUCAACAUAGUGCACAACCUCUCAUGCGAGUGAGAGGAGAGACAUGAGAACGGGGUGGCCAUGCCCUCUUUGUUUGAUAUUCUGUUACGGAUCCUAUAUAUAUAGUGCCGGUCAACCAUUUUCAAUUUUUUCUUGAUGCCCUAAGCUCACUUUAAACUUUAUGCCUUUGUUAUUCAUGUAAAAAAAUUUUUUAUGCCCUAUAUACAACUAAAAUUUUAGCUUAAAAUAGGAUCCCUAAGCGGUGGCUUCCCUCGCCUAUGCUCGAGUAUAUAUAUAUAUAUUAUUUUUUCUUUUUUUUCUUUUUGCUUUUCCAUUAGAGUUUGCAAGUAUACACUAGGUUGUUCAAUUACCAAUAAGUAUUUUUCUAGGAAGAACAAGAGUUGUUAAUUAAGAGUGAAUCUAUCUUGCAUAUAUAACUUGUCCUAGGAUGUUUGUAAAUAACAUGAUGGUGCUCGGGAGUUUUAAACCUUUUCACCUAAAUUCAACUACAAAGAUGGAUCAAUUGAGGUGUUCAAAAAAAAUAAAAGAUGGAUCAAUCGUAUUUAGGUCAAGUUUAAAACUCCAAUAUUUUCUAACUGAAACACGCCAAUAUUUGCUAAGCUGUUUUGUAAAAGCGGAUAUAUUUUACAGAUAACCGUGAUAGAAUGUCAUUAAAGACACCAUAUAUAUGCAGAUUAAUUUAUUGUCGGAUAUGAUUAUUGUCUUAUUGAGGUUAUCUCUAAUAUGUUGUUAGCCGUACAUGAUUAGUAAUAUUUGCUUGCUUCUGCUCUAUAAAAUUAAAGCAAGAAUCAGCUUGAAAACAAGGUAAAGAAAGACUUCAAUUCGUGUGAUAUCAAGAAAGUUUCUGGUUUAUUAUCUCCAUGUCUCUUGUUUGGAUUUACAGGAAAGGAGGUCAAAGUUAUGGAUCGUUUUGAGAGUUUGUUCAAACAGAUCUCAUCUUAACCUAGAAGAUUUCAACCAGACAAUACAUAAUUGGUAACUGUACGUACAUUUUCACUUUUUUAGAGUACAUUUUCUUACAGCAUGUAAACUCUAUAGUAUAUGUAUGGUAUCAACUUAAGGGGAAUUGUAUUAGGUAGCAUUUGUUGAUUAUUCAAUUAAGAAACGAGCAUGUUAAUUCUUUAAAUAAAAUAACACUUACUUUUAUUGCAGUAAGUUUCAAAAGCGUUCGAUUCUCUCCUCAAACAGUGUCUGUUUCCCCAUUUCUUUUGUGGCUUCGUUACUAAGUUUUCUGCUUUAUUUGAUAAGGGUUAUAUGUAGAGAGCGAAGCCUGCUAGGUUUUUUUUGUGGAUUUAUUGCCAUCAAUCUCUGGGAAAGAAAAUAUUGAAAUACUCGUUUGAUGAGAUAUAUAUAAUGAACCGGUUUUUUUUUUACAAAGAGAUAUAUAAGAACCGUAAAAAAAAUAAAAAAGAACCGUAAAAAUUAUGUGUUGUUGCUUUUUUUUUUCUAUCUGGAUCCAGUUUUUCUUUAUUUGGAAAUGGAGAACUCGAAUCAUGGACUAAGGUUGUGCAGAAGAAAAACAAGGAGAGUCUUGUUGAGUACAAAAGAGAGAUAAUAACAUCUGUUGGAGAAGGUUACGACAAUUGGAAAAGGUAAGUUUUAUUUUAUCCAGGGUUAUUAAACUCUAAUAAAACUUAUAAAAAAAAACUCUUAUAAAUUUUAGGUUUUCAUUUUUUGCAGAUUUUUAAUUAGAUUUUGGUUUUUUAUUUUGGAAAAACAAUUUAUUAGCCAUUCAAAUUUUAGAUUUUUGUGUAAUUUACUAUAAAUUAUAGAUAAAAUUAAAUGUAUUUUAAUGUACUUUAUUUAUAAUUUGAUUUUUAGUUAUAAAGUUUGGAGUUAGAAUUUAACUAAAUUAAAAUUUUGAUAAUUAUAAACACAUAAAACAACAUUUAGAACUUAAAAGGCUUUAUAUGUUUCAAAAAUAUAAUCUACUGAAAAAUAAAAAUGAAUUUUUUUUUAUCAUUUUCAAAAAAACUAAAAUCUACAAAAAAAAAAACAAACUAGAAAAAUAAAUCAAAAUUCCUAAGCUAAAAAUUAAAAACUAAAAUUAAAUAAAACAAAAUCAUGCAAACAUUUCAGGCCUUAAUAUAAUUUCCUCUUUAAUGUUUUGGAUUUGAAAAGUUUUCCCAAUCAAGGAUCCAUGAAAGAGGACAUGAUAGAUCAUCUGUACAAAGCUUGAUUUAUAUAUUGUUUUCUUUUCUAAUAAAAAAUGUUAUAUCCACGAGUAUUUUGUCUACACUACAACGAUUUUAUUAAAAUUGGUGCCAAAACUCAAGUUCGAUUUUUUAGAGACUACGAAAAUGAACAAUUUAAUAAAAAAGACAUUAAAACAAUUCCUGAAUCCAACAUAUCAUGUUCGAUAGAAAGAAAUUGUUUCAGUCUUUCCUAUCAAACAAAAUGAUCGGUGUUCAUUUUCGUAAUCUUUCAAAAAUGGAAUUUGAGUUAAGGUACCAACUUCUAGUAACACAUUCAUUAUAUAGACAAAACACCCGUAGAUAUAAUUGUUUUUGUUGGAAGUGAAUACAAUAUUUUUUGAAUCAAAGUUUCAGGCAGAUGAUCGAUCAUGUAAUCCUUUACAGCACCUCAGUUUGGAAAACUUUUCACAGCCAACGCAUCAAAGAAGAAAAUAAAUUAAAAUUUAUGCAGGGUCUUAUAACGCUUUUAAACAUAAGUGAAAAUAAAGUUGUCAUAGCUAGUAAAGCAUCACACUUGUCGAUUAGCACUAAGUAUUAUAUUUCUAGCAUUCUAGCUUAUGAAAAAACGUCUCAGACAAGUAAUCUGCACAUGUUAUAUUUUGCUAGUAUUCUAUCAUUGCGUCCAUCAAAAUUUGUUCCAUUAGCACUACAUAUUUUCCUAUAAAUCUGUCAGCUAAGAGAGAAUCUAUUUGUAUUGAUGGAUUGUCACUUGUUUGGCUUAAGUUCCCUUUAGAAAAUAUUGAUUGCGAAUGGGGGAAUCCCCGACUCUUCAGUACUUGCUAAAAUAUUAUAUGAUGAUUAAUAAUGAACUGUUUUGUGUAUUGUUGCUCUCUUCUUUUUUUUCUUUUUUUUUUGCAUUCUGGAUCUAGUUUUGCUUUUUUGGAAAUGUAGAACAUGAAUCACGGACAAAGGCUGUGCAGAAGAUAGAGAAUAUCUGUUGGAGGUGGUAACGACAAAUGGAAAAGGUAAGUUAUUUUAUUCUCGUAGAGGGUUAUAAAACUGCAUAAAUUUUAAAUUCUUUUUUUUUUUGAAAAAAAUUCCAUACUAAUCCAUGAAAAAGAACAUGAUAGAUAAUCUGUCGAAGUUAUGAUUCAGAAAAUAUUGUUUUUACUUCCAACGAAAAAAUGUUAUAUUGACGAAUGUUUUGUCUACACAGUGGUUGUCUUAUUGAAAUUUGGUGCCAAAACUCAAGUUCGAUUUUAAAACCUGGAAAAUAAACACUUUAAUAUGAAAGACUCCAAAACAAUCUUUGAAUCCAAUACUUUGUAUUCUUGUUUCAAAGUCUUUCUUACUGGUUUUUAUUUUCACAAUCCUUUGAAUCGAAUUUGAGUUAUGAUGGUACCAAUUUCCGGUGAUACCACCAUUAUAUAAAAAAUACUGGUGGAGGAUAUGACAGUUUUAUUGGAAGUAAAGACAAUGUGUUCUGAAUCAAAGCUUCAUGCAAGUAUGCAACUAUCAAUCAUGUCCUUUAUGACACUUUAGUUUGGAAAGUUUCACUGCAAAAAAAGGAAAAUACAUUAAAAUUUAUGCAAAGUUUUAUAACGAUCUUAAACAUAAGAGAAAAUAAAGUUGUCGUUGCUAGUAAAACUUCACACUUUUCGAUUAGCACUAAGUAUUGUACAUCUAUCUUAUGCACAUGUUAUAUUUUGCUAGUAUUCUAUCAUUUCGUCCAUCGAAGUUUAUUCCAUUAGCACUAAUAAUUUUGCUUAACAUCUGUCACCUAAGGGAGAAUCUAGUUGCAUUAUGUACGACGAAUUGUCACUUGUACUUAAGUUCCCUUUAGCAAAAAGUUGAUUGCUAAUGGAGGAAUCAAAGACUCUUUGUUAAAUACUCACCGUUUUAGGGGAAGAUAUCGAUAUAUGAUCUCAAUUAAAAUCACUUAAAUGAGCUCUAUUAAGUUUGCCAAAAGGCAUCUUAAUAGCACAUAAAAUAAAUAAUAAUUAAAUAAAAAAUUAAGGGAAUGUUGGUUUAUUAUUCCAAAGAAGUUCGAAAACUAUAACCUAUAUUUUCAAAGUUUUGAAAUUAACUUUCUAUUAAGUAAAAAUACAAUGAUCUUCAUGAUAUUUUCAUAACUAUUUUUUUGUGCACGUUUCACAACUAUUUUUUAAGAAGUUAUAUCUAAAUAAAGUAUUGUUAAUAUAAUGAACAUAUUUUUAAAUACAUUUGUAUUUUUUAUCAUCAACCAACUAAAAUUCUAUAUACUAUACUAUUUUAUGUAUUUUAUAAUUAUAACCAAAAGAUAUCUUCAUGACAUGCAUUUGGACCAUGUUUGUAAUCAUAUCUUAUUGAUUUCUAAUUUCAAUAAUAAUAUUUCACCAUCUUUCAUGUAAUAUACUUUCCAAACCUAUUAAACAUCAUUUCUACAAAGUUAAUAUCGAUGUUUAUCAUAGAAUUAAACAAUAUAAUUAACUUAAAAUGUUAUAAUUACAAAAUUUAAUUCAAUCAGACACUUCCAAAAAAAUUAUUUAUUUGCAAUCAAAUUAUUAUUUUCAAAUGAUUUAACAAAAAUAGUGAAUUAAUAUCAGUGAUAAUUAGAGAAUUAAUGAAAUAUGGUCAAAAUGUGAUAAAGACAGAGUAUUUUAAGAUGGAGCAAAAAAAACUACGGUGUCUAUAAAUUCAAGGGUAAAUUUGCCAAAUGAUUAAAUUUGAAAAGAAAAUUAAGUUCAGAGCAUAGAGCAUUGAUUUUAACGUAAUAAAGUCCAUGAAAAUUAUGUCAACUUCUAUCUGGUAUUACCUUUUUUUUGUUCAAGUUACCAGUAAUAGAGAGAAAAACUGAUGACAUCAACAAUUUGACACCCCACAAUUAAUUAUCACAUAUAAUACAACCAACACCACACUUUUGUUUAACACAUAAAUAUGCAUUUGAUUUUUCUAUACCAUAUCACUAAAAUUAAUAGGAUUCAAAAUCCACUCACAUCUAGUAAAUAUUAAACUUUACUCCAAACCUCAACUCCGAAAUACUAAACCAAAACUUUAAACAUCACCCUUCCAUCUAAAUACUAAACCCUAAACCCUAAUUAUUGAACCCUAAACUCAAAUAUAAACUUUAAACCCAAUUAUCAAAAUCUGAAAAUAGUAUAUAAUAUUAUGUAAUAUUAAACUAAAUCCAAACAAAACUCCUCAAUGCUAAACUCAGACCUGACUUUUGAAUACUAAACCCAAAAAUGCUAUCACUAAACUCAAACCUAAACUCCCACCUUCCAAAUACUAAACCCUAAAUCAUAAUCACUAAACCCUAAACCCAAGUAUAGACUCUAAACCCAAAUAGAAUGGAACAAAAUACAUAGUAUAGUACAAAUUGGUGAGCAAAAAAGAACACUAUUUAUUAAUCGUCGAAUGAAACAUACAUAAUACGGUCACUAAACCCAAACCUCAACCCCCACCUUCCAAAUACUAAACCCUAAAUUUUAAUCAUUAAACCCUAAACCCAAGUAUAAACUCUAAACCUAAAUAGUAUAGAACAAAAUACAUAUUAUAGUACAUAUAGUUGUAAACAAGAAAUUGAUAAAUAAUAAAUUUAUCAAACAAUCGAUGGUACAAUAAUACAACAACCGUAGCAUACUAUUUAGCUUGGUACUUGCGAAUUGUACAAAAAUAUAAAAAUCGUACUAUACUAUAAUUUUCUUUCACUACAUAUAGUAUAGUCGGCGAUUUCAUCUUCUUCACAUCUUCCUCUUUUUACAGACAUGGUGAUACACGUAUUCACUAGCCCAGAGUAAUUAUUCUUCAUCAUACCAUAUCAAUACAACAUACUAUAACAAUUUAAAUAACAACGAAAAAAAUCAAGAUCAACAAUUAACAUUAAAAAAACUCAAAAAAAAAAAUCGUGACGUCACCUCGUCGUUCUCUACGGUGUCAUCUUCUCCUCCAAACUCAAUUCCACAAGCCCAAAAUCCAUGUUUUUCUUCGUCUAGUGGUUUGUAUUCGUAUGUAUGAAAAAAAAAACAGAGAUUGGAGGAGAAGAGAAAGAAGAAGAGAAAGAGAUGUGGAACAAUAAUAAUCACAAUUUAUUAAAUUAUUUAUUUAAUAUUUAUUUUAAUAAAUAAUUGUCAGCAGGUUACACAAGUUGAAUUGAAGGGUAAUAUAACAUUAUUACAUAAAAUACAUGUAGUGUAAAUGAAAUGAAAGUUAGGGGUUUUAGUUAUCUAAUGAAUUACAAUUUGUUUGAAGGUUAUAUGUACAUACAGUAAUAUAUUUUUUUGUCAACACAUACAGUGAUUAUAUAUAUUUUUUUUAAUUAGUUGAUGAUAAAAUAUGAGUAGAUAUUGAAACACCAUUUGAAUAAUAUAAUGAAUCAAUAUAUAUUUAUAAAUAUUAGUAAUUCUUAAAAUAUGUAUUUUUAGAGAAUCUGUAUUAUAUUAAAAAUUAUAUUAUAUCUAAAAUUAUUUAAAUAUAUUUUUAAGAUGUAUUGUAAUUCAAAAAUUAAAAUAUGUAUUAUAUGAUUUACAAUCGUAAUUGUAAAUAUAUGAAAUGGAUGGUAACAUUAUUAUCCUUUACUUGAUAAUUAAUAAAAAAAAAAAAAAUAACAAUCCAGCCAUCUUCCAUACAUGAAUGUAGGAGGAAUCCAUUGCACAACUCAACAUUUUCCAAGAUUUCUGUUACUAGUUCGAACUAGAUAAUGAAUUUUCCUAGAUUUCUAAUACUAGUUUUUUUUGAAACACUUUUUUUUUUUUUUGAAACACAGAUUUCUAAUACUAGUUUGAACUAGAUAAUGAAUUUGAGUCUUGUAAAACACAAAAUUUGAUUUACCAAAAAAAACUCAAGUUCGGUAACCAUAUUUUGGAUUUUACAUGACUCAAACUCAAAUGGUGGAAAUUAAGUAGAAAAGCCUCUUAACCACUCGACCACAUCAUUUUAUUUUAUAGUUUGAGGUUAAUUCGAAGUAUCCUACUGAUCCAGGUAUACCAAGUUUUUCUUUUCUUGACGUUGAGAGCGAUUGAACAUCUUGUAGUGGAGGAGGAAAUCCUUAAUUAAGAAAGCGAGAAUGGUUGAUAAUAUAGACAAAGUUCUAAUAUUUUCAUAAAUAGAGAAGCAGUGGUUGAUGAUGUUAUGGAGACAUGUCACUUGUGUUGCGUCAGGAGAAACUCCCGUUCUUUAUUUACACUGAUCAUAUAUGUUACUAGAUUAUAUAUAUGAAGUUGUAAGUGCGGAUGAGUCAGAAAUGUAGAGCAGAAAGUAAAUGACACACUGAAUUUGUUAACGGGGUUCGUUUUCUACAUCCCCGGGACCUCGUCCAGAUUUCAUUGAUCAAUAGAACAAGAAUGUAAAUACAUCAUUAUUUGCUAACGUAUACAUCAGGCACAAACCUCCUGACACGCUCUUUUCUAGAUAGAUAUCUAUGAAGAUUAAGAAUCAAGCACGCAGGCAUAGAUCUCAUCCGGCCGCACCAGAGCUCACUGUCUUCACACAGCUUCAAUCUUUCCAGACCUCCUCAAUGAAACAAUCUUUGCUAAAGUCCCCCUGAGUCAAGGCUUCAACCUUCCACCUCUCGGAAGGUACAUCACCAUGUACUUCACCAAGUACGUCACCGAGUACUUCACCAAGUACGUCACCGAGUACGUCAACACCAGACACACACCACAGAUACCAACGAGCACGUCACACCAACGCACAGCUUGGUCACACCAAAACGCUUGAUCACCAAAGCACACACAAAGCUCACAAGAGCUACACACGAUAGCUAACUCCACCACACAAAGCGCCAACUCCAACACCACCAAACUAAGUCCACAUCAGACUCCAUCGGACACUACGUCAGACCGUAGGUCAACACUCAAUACUUAAUGAAAACUCUCUCUCUCUUUUCACUUAAUCUUUGGGUGUACUUCUUCUCAUAAGGGCACGUCCCUCCUUAUAUAUAAACCGUAGACUUGCUCUCCAAGUUCAUUAAAUGCACCUUAAUGAACUUCCAUUCCCAUAUAAGGAAACUUUCUAUUACUCUCCAAGUAACACUUCUUCUCCAAGCAAAGCUUCUUUGCUUAAUGGAAAACGUCAUUUGUCUUCAGCAAGAUAUUCUCUUUCCUUUUCCAAUCUCCACUUACACACGCAAUCACCUUAGACAAUCUCCUUGUAAGCAACUUCUCCACUCGAUGUCCUGCCGUGUACGUCUUGACAUACCUCUUGACACACCUUCUGAUGUACAUCACGAACUACAUCAGAACCUCUCUGGAAAUAUCAUCUACAAAAGUUACCGAUCAUUUGCUUCCAUAUCCGUUACAUACAGGAACAAUGUUGAAAGAAUUACUGAGUUCUUGCUCAGUGAUAGGAAGAGUAGACUGUUGUUUGGCUGGGUAGGUGGUUCUUGCCAUGACGUUCCCUUUUUAUCGAAUCAAGUUGUCUAUCGAAUUUUCAUUCAUUUUUCUGUUACAUGACUAGAAGUUGAAAACGUUCAAGAUUUCAUCAAGAAGAACCCUUUUGGACAGAAGCAAGUCAGUCUUGAGUUUAUAGGCAGGCCAUCAUAUGCACACACACAUACACAUACGCAUUUAGAAACUUUAAACUGGUAGAGAAGAGAGGAUUGGUGAAAGAGAGUAGCUGAGACGAGCGUGAUGUUAUUAUAGUUUUUCUUACUUAGAUCUGCUUUAUAGAUUUUGUUUUGGUAAUAAUUAGAGAAAAUCUCAUUCUAUGAUUUUUAGUUUUUUUUCAACUAUUAGAAAUAUCAGUAAAUUUUGAGUCGAUUUGUCAUCUGUUUUGAUUAAAAUUUGGAUAUCCGUAACUCUACGAAACACAAAAAAUACUAAUAUACAAAAUCCGUAAGAAAUAAAGCAAAUCAUAAAUACUAAUAUUUUUAGGAAUGAAUAUCCGAUCUGAUCUGUUAUAUGCAUAUAUUUACAUAAUUAUAUAUAUAACUUAUAUAAAUAUUAUAUUUUAUAUAAGUUUUAUACUGUUUUUAUUAAAUUUGCUAUAUUAGUUAUUAGAAUUUUAUAUGUAACAUAAAACCGGUCGAAUUAAAUUUCAUCUAUCCGUGGAUUGAUCGGUCGUAAGAUGUCUGCUAUCCGGUCUAUAUUGAAUAUAAAUCGGACAAAAAAACCAUAAACCGGUCUUAUGGUUAAUGAUGUCAGAGGGGGCAAAAAAAAAGUUAGGUUCUCUCAUCUUCACCGAACAGUCGAGCGACUUCUCGCCUUCUAAAGGUAACCAGUUUCCUUUUCAUCGCAUUGUUUCUGGGUUUGGCUUCAUCUUAUAAUUACUUGCCUAUCAUUUGCUUUUCGAAUUUUCAAAAUAUCAAAGUUUCGGUCUUUGGAUUUUGAUCUAGAUUUUACUCAAACUGUUGAUGUAAUGGUUCACUCUGGUUUUCAUAAAUGGAUUCGUCAAAUUGGUUCGUGCUUUAGAAACUAGUUAUGACUUGUGAGGCUCUAAUGUUGUCAAAGUUUUGAUCUUUUUGUUUUAUUUUCUCAGGGAGGUUCUUCGGUUAUGGUUAAUGCCUUAGAUUUGCAGAGCUUUAUCCUCCGAGCUCGAGUGCUUAAACUUUACAGGAAAGCAUUGAAGAUAGCUCAUAGAGCUCCUCCUCAGGCUAGAGGUUUGUGUUCUUGUAUUCAUUGCUCUUUGAUGAUUGAUAGUAAGCUUGAUUGUUAAUCCGUGUUGAUGGCUAUAGGGGAAUUGAAACAGAGUAUAAGGCAAGAGAUGGAAACGAAUAGUGAGUGCAAGGACAAGCAAAAGAUCAGGUAUCUGACUAGUGAAGGAUUAGGGCAUAUCCAACUCCACUCUAUUUUUCCCUCUAAAAUAGAGUUUAGAGUAAAAAUGCUCCAAUAGUACUAUAUUUUCUACUCUAUAAUAGUGUAAACCUAUUUUUUAUUCUAUAUAUAGAGUAAUUUUUUUAUUUUUUGUUCAUCAUUCUAUUUUUCAUUCUAAAAUAUAGUACCAUUGGAGCAACAUCCAACUCUAUUAUAGAGUUAUUCUAUUUUAGUGGAAAAAAUAGAAUAGAUGGUUUUAGAGAGGAUUAAACAACUUGAUGAGAUGUUGGACAUGCAAGGCCAUUGAAAAUUGAUUUGUCCUUUUGUAAUGUGUUGUUGUUUCUGAGAUCAAACAUCUUGUCUGAUUAUCACAAAAAAAAAAAGGUAAAGUAGAACAUGUUCGUUUGAUGCUGGGAUAGUUUUAAUACCUGAAAAAAUCAAGUGUGAAAAUAAGUCUUUUUUUUUUUUUUGGUCACAGAUGUAACAAAUAAGUCUAGGUGAUGAUAACAAUGAUGUACUUUUUACUAAUAAAAUCUCUUAGAACACGUUCAACGUGGUCUGUUGAUCGUGUAUUUGACGCUAAUACGCGAUUAAAAAAAAUUAAAAAAGACAAAACCCGAAGGCACGUAUGUUAAUUAGGAGCGGGAUGAUACGUAUGUUAAGGGGCACGUGUCACACAAUAAUUGAUCUGAGCAAUGGUGGAUCCGCGUUUCGUUUCAACUUCUUUCUUUCUCUCUUUCGGUUUCAGUCUCUCUCUUCUCGACGACGAGAAAGGCGAUUCCUUUGGCUCUCGAUGGAUCUUCUCUCCUCGACUCCUCGGCGACGUCUCCUCGGCGACGUCUUCUCGGUUUCGGUCUCUCCUCUCCUUGACUCCUCGGCGAUUUCUCCCCUCUUUGAUUCGUGGCUCUCCUCGGCGAUACGGCGUUGUCUCUCUCGGUGGAUCUCGUCGACGAAGGAAAACGACGAUCUGUCUAUUGGUGGCUCUCCGAGACGCAGAUAAACGCCGGCGAGUGUUGUUCAGGGGAAUCAAAAAGUAAAAAUCUGUUCAUUUGAUUGUCUUUUAGUCUUUAAUAUGCAUGUCUUUUUAGUCUUUGUUUUGGUUGUUUCAGUGUUUCAGUCGGUACAUGGAUUGAUCUAGACGCAUGAUCCAGGUUCAAUUUGUUGCUCAGACUACCCUAAACGGUAAAACUUUGUUCUUUUGUUUAUGUCUUUCUCGUUUAACUUUCAAUUAUCCAUGUCUUAAUUGUUCUUUCAUUUGCUAAUUAGUUUUUUCAUUUGUUUCUAUCUUUGAGUCGGUAUAUGGAUGGAUGAAGACGCAUGAUCCAGGUUCGCCAGACCAAAGGCGUACGCUUGUUGAUAGAGGUAAACAUUUAUCUUUGCUCUGUCCAAUAGAAUAAAGCAUUGUCUUGUACUCUUGUGGAUUUGAUUAACUUGCGAUUGCUGUUGAUUUUGGAGCUUGUUAGAAAUGAAUUGAAUCCUCCGUAAUAAAUGCCCUGGUUAGUGUUAGGUUUGCGUUGUGUUUAGGUAAUAAAUUGAUGCUUCUAUGUAGGUAAUGAAUUGAUGUUAAGGUUUGCGUUGUGAUGAAUGUGUUAGGAAUAUGUCAACUCGGUUUUAUAGAUAUAGAUGGUGGUUGUGAUUAAUGCGUUUAUCCUUCUCUUUCUUCUAUUAAACUCUUCCCUUCUCCUCUUUCUUGAAUACAAUUAACUUCUUUUUCUUCUCUUCUCACUCUGUCGCCUCUGUUCUUUUAUCUUCUAUCUUCUUUGAUCUUCGGAAAUGGAGUACAAUCCAUUUACGCAGUCAUCAAACUUUGUUGGACUACUUAAUAGUCAACAAAGUAUCUCCUUUGGUAACUAUGAAAAUAGUAACCACACUUCACCUCAAGUUCCUACUCUAGUCACGGAUGAUGUUGGUGAGCAUCGAGAACGGAGGAAGUGGACGCCCAGAGAUGAUGUUCUGCUGAUCAGCUCGUGGCUAAACACUUCCAAAGAUCCAGUUGUUGGCAAUGAGCAAAAUUCAGGCGCAUUCUGGACAAGAAUUGCAGCGUACUAUGCCGCUAGCCCGAAGGUUGCUGGCUGCGAAGAGAGAGAGCCUGGUCACUGUAAGCAACGCUGGCACAGGAUCAAUGACUUGGUCUGCAAAUUCUGUGGAUCGUAUGAAGCAGCUACGAGAGAAAAGUAGCGGCUGCAAUGAGAAUGAUGUGCUCAAAAGAGCUCAUGAAAUUUACUACAACAACUAUAAGAAGAAAUUUAUCCUCGAGCAUGCUUGGGUAGAGUUGAGGAACGACCAGAAAUGGAGUGACUUUUCUACUGCAAAAAACGAGGGAAACUCUAGGAAGAGGAAGGGUGAUGAAGGUGAAUAUUCAUCAACCUCCCAAGCUACUCAAAACAAGCGUCCCCCGGGUGUUAAGGCAGCAAAGGCCAGUGGGAAGAAGCCUAUGGUACAGGAGAAUGCGGUGAAUGAGUUUGAGAAGAUGUGGUCCAUUAGACAGCAGGACUUGGUAGUGAAGGAAAGGUUGUGUAAGAUGAGUUUACUUGAGGGUCUUAUUGCAAAACAAGAGCCUUUAGCGGAGGAUGAAGCAGGCCUAAAGAAGAAGCUCAUCAGUGACUUAAUGUUUAAUUAGUUUAAGAUGUUGAAGUUUAACUGCGUAAGUGUAGUUUAGCUCUCUGUUUGUUUAAGUUUAAUUCAAAAUGUUUGCUUAAUGUUUAACUCUCUGUUUUGAUGAUUACUUUAACUCUCUGUUUCAGGUCAAGACAGUGUGCAAUAGUGGAGCAUUGGAGAAGUAUCACGGAGUCUCUGCGGUCUUCUUGUCUUCUGGUCUUGUAGUUUAAUAGUGUUGGAGUCUAGUGGUAUUGGAGUCUUGUGUCGCUAGUCUUGGAGUCUUCUGUCACGAGUCUUGUGGUAUUGGAGUAUUGUGUCACAAGUCUCGGAGUCUUGUGUCUUGGAGUCUUGUCUUAAAGUACUUGUUUAACGUAGCAAUGUUGUGUCACGGGUUUUGGUUUUAAGUUCACGGAGUCUUUGUUUCUUGUAGCAAUGUUCGAGUCUUAUGUAACAAACUCUCUCUAUAUAAUUGCAUGUUGUGUUGAACGUUUUAUUCACAAACUCACAAACUCUCUCUCUCUCUCUCUCAUUCUCACAAACAUUACAACUCGGUUUCAACCAAAGUCAUUCUUUCUUUCCCAACAAAAGUCAUACUCUCUCGUACAAACUCAUUCUCUCUUUCUCACCAACUCAUACUCUCUCGUUCUCACCAAAUAAACUCAUUCACUCCUUCUCAUUCUCACUACAAACCUACUCACUUUCUCUCUUUCUCACCAAUCAAUUAUCUAAAAAUGGGAUCUUCUUCUAAUGACCCAUUUGAACAAUAUUUUGAUCAAUACUAUGAGCAACAUUUUGAUCAAACGUUAGAGAAUUUAUCCAUUAAUUAUGGUGGUCAAGAAGAAGAGAAGAAAAAAAAGAAAAAAAGAAUUUAUAUCGAAAGAAAUCGAGAAGAAGGCGACAUACGUUUAUGGAAUGAUUAUUUCAGCGAAACCCCAACAUAUCCUCAAAAUCUAUUCCGACGACGCUUUCGAAUGAACAAGCGACUGUUCCUGCAUAUUGUUACUCGACUCUCCAAUGAAGUUGAAUUCUUUCAACAAAAGAGAGAUGGUCUCGGCAGGUGUAGCCUUUCUCCACUUCAAAAGUGUACAGCCGCCAUUCGUGUCAUGGCAUAUGGUAAUGCGGCUGAUGCGGUCGACGAAUACCUCCGACUCGGUGCAACUACUACUCGGUCAAGUUUGGAAAAUUUUGUGGAGGGAAUAAUUUCUUUAUUCGGCGAAGAGUACCUAAGAAGACCUACAACUGCGGAUCUUCAACGUCUACUUGAUAUUAGUGAGUAUCGUGGAUUUCCCGGGAUGAUAGGAAGCAUCGAUUGUAUGCAUUGGGAGUGGAAGAAUUGUCCCACCGCUUGGAAAAGGUAAUAUUAUCGGGGUUCAGGUAAACCAACAAUCGUUUUGGAGGCGGUUGCUUCAUAUAAUCUCUGGAUAUGGCAUGCGUUUUUUGGACCUCCAGGUACCUUAAAUGAUAUCAAUGUUCUUGAUCGCUCACCUGUUUUUGAUGACAUAAUAAAUGGUCAAGCUCCGCAAGUAACUUACUCUGUCAAUGGAAGAGAGUAUCAUAUGACUUACUAUCUCACCGAUGGUAUUUAUCCGAAAUGGGCAACUUUUAUCCAAUCAAUUACAUUACCACAAGGCCCGAAAGCAGUUUUAUUUGCUCAACGUCAAGAAGCUUUCCGAAAAGAUGUCGAGCGUGCUUUUGGAGUCCUCCAAGCUCGCUUUGCCAUUGUUAAAAAUCCAGCACUUUUUUGGGAUAAAGUCAAAAUUGGGAAGAUUAUGAGAGCUUGUAUCAUACUUCAUAAUAUGAUAGUAGAAGAUGAACGAGAUAGAUACACUCAAUUUGACGUUUCAGAGUUCCAAGAAGCAGAAGACAACGGAAGUUCACAUGUCGAUCCCCCGUUUUAUACAUACAUGCCUACAAAUAUCGCCAAUAUGAUGGGUGUUCGAACUACAAUUCGUGAUCCACAAAUGCAUCAACAACUGAAAGAUGAUUUGGUUGAACAUUUAUGGCGUAAAGAAGGACAUGAUGACGACGCAUGAUCCUCGGAUUCUUCUUUUAAAUUAUUCUCGUUUUUUUUACUAGUCUUUACUUCAUGUUUUUAUUUAAAAAUCAAUGUUUAAAAUGUUAUCUUGUACUAUGUUUAAUAUAAUAAAUAAAUUUUUCUUUUUAUAAAAUGUUUAAUAUUUUUUUUUUUAAACCCUGAACUAAGAAACUAGCAUUGGAGCACAUUAAAUGUUCUCAUCUCUUAACUAAGUCCGUCCCUUAGCUCACAUUUACAAUUAAAAAUUAAUUAAGAUACCCUAAAUGGGGAUUAGGGUUGAACGUGCUCUUACCAAACAGACCCACUUGCUAAUAAGACAGCUUGUUUGAGUCUAAUGCCAGAAUCAUAUUCUGCCCCACUCGUUAUAGAUAAUAUAUUUAUUUCAUUUGUAACACAUUGAUCUCUCGUUAUAUCAAUAAUGGGGCCUGUUCCUUAAAGUCUUUAUUUCUUCAUCAAUGGCGAUAAAAGUAACCAAAACCUCCCGAGUCAACCCAGCAACAAACUCGUCUCAUGACUCACUCCUUCUCCCACUCACCUUCUUCGACUUACGGUGGAUAAAGUUCCAUCCCACUGAGAGAGUCCUCUUCUACAAACUCCACAAACACAACUCCUUCCACUCUCUAAUCCUCCCCAAGCUCGAGCACUCUCUCUCCACCGUCCUCCACCACUACCUCCCGCUCGCAGGACGCCUAAGAUGGGACCCACAAGAUCCAAAACCACACAUCCUCGGCCUCCCAAACGACUACGUCACGCUGAUAGUCGCGGAGAGCGACGCUGACUUCUCCCUUCUCUCCGGGAAAGGGACACGUCCCGAGACGGAGAUACGUCCUUUAGUUCCAGAGCUUCCGGCUUCUCGCGACGACUCGGUCUUUGUUCUUUCUCUGCAAGUAACACUGUUCCCGAACCAAGGCUUCUCCAUCGGCGUAACAGCUCAUCACUCCGCUAUGGACGGUAGAUCAAUGUCUAUGUUCGUUAAAUCAUGGGCUCACGUAUGCAAAAAUGAAACCAUAGGGGAGUUAACUCCAUGUCUAGAUCGUACCGUCAUCAACGUUCCCGCUAGUCUUGACGCGAGAAUCUUGGAGGUAGUGUCGUAUUUUUCAGAAGACAAAACCAGCUCGAGAUCACUUAAGCUGCCUCCCAGUGGGGAGAUUAGUCCACACACGGUCAGGACCACGCUCGAGUUGACUCGGGAGAACGUUGACAAACUCAAGGAGCGAGCUAAAAACGAGUCGACUCGGUCUCACCUUCACUUGUCAACGUUUGUUGUCGCCAACGCCUAUCUUUGGUCGUGUUUGGUGAAAGCGCGUGGAGGGGACGCGGAUAGACCGGUUCGGUUCAUGUACGCAGCUGAUUUCAGGAACCGGUUGGGUAGUCCGGUUCCGGAGAGUUACUUCGGGAGCUGCGUGUUGUCGGUUGGGUGUUUCGGACACAAAGCGGGAGUUGUGUCGGGAGAAGAUGGAUUUGUCAAUGCGGUGGAGAUUAUUAGUGAUUCGGUUAGAGGUGUUGGUACGCUUGAUGUUGAAGCGCUUUGCGAGUUGUAUAUUGAUGGGACGAUGAGGGUUGAACCGGGUACGCAGACUGUGUCGAUUGUUGGGUCGAACCGGUUUGGGUUAUACCAGUCGGAUUUUGGGUGGGGGAAACCUGUUAGUUGUGAGACAGUGUCUAUUGACAGGAAUGAGGCGUUUUCUAUGUCUGAGAGGAGGGAUGAGUCUGGUGGCGUGGAGAUUGGUUUGUGUUUGAAGAAGGGUGAGAUGGAUUUGUUUAUUGAUCUAUUUCAAAAUGGUUUGUAAAAUUAAAACACUUUAUUUUUGGGUUUUGAUAAUUGGCUAGAAACUUAAACAUUUUAUAUCAUUGCCUGCAACUGCAACCUUGCAAAGUUUGGGGCCUUGGGGUCUCACUAAUUUUUAUGUUUUGAUAAUGGUUGUUAAAUGAAAAGUAGAAUUGUCUGAUAAUAAUCUUCUGUUUAGUAACAUUUAUAGAGCCUUAAUUUCAAAGACACUGAAUAAAAUAGUAACCAUUACUGGAUUCAACCAAAUAUAAAAUCUGGAAGCCUACGGGACUAUAAACAGGUGAAGUCUCUCAGAACAUCUCCAAUGGUUUCUAAACCAAAAAAAAAUAUUAGCAUUAUAAUUAUUUAUUUAUGUUUUAUUUUAUUUUUUAAUUUAGUUAAUCAUCUAUUUGAAUGAUAUGUGUAUUUUUAGUAUUUCAUAUUUUUUUAAGAAUUCAUAACUAAGAAUUUUUUCUCAUUCUUUUUCUUAAUUCACUACAAGAAAACGUGGGAGUAACGACUACGAUUUACGACUACAAAUGUGUAGUCGUAAAUUACCUUCGACUUUACGACUAAGUUAAGACUACCUGAAUGUUCGUCCUAACUUAGACGUAAUUUUGCUACUAAUAGUUCUCGUCGUAAAUUGUUCGUAAAUUAAUUUCUAGUUUACGACUACACUUUCAUGUAUUCGUAAAGUAGUCGUAAAUAUACGACUAAGAAACAUCGACGAUGUACCAUCUGAUUAACGACCAAUUUACGAGGAAUGCAGUUGCACAUUGGUGGUUACGUUAUUAUCAAACGUAAAUUCGUUGUAAACCUACCAAAAUCGAAAUUUCCCUAUAAAUAUGAUCUUCUCCCUCAUUCUUAAGAUGCACAAAAAAAAAGAGAAAGAGUAAAAAAAAAAAUGUCUAGAAAUAUCUAUGAGCUUCGGAGUUGGAUGUAUGCGCAUAAAGAUUCAAGCGGAAGAGUAACAGAAGAAUUUCUCAACGGAGCAGAGAUGUUCAUGUACCACGCCGGACAGACGUCUCUCACACUAGAAACGGGUAAAAUGUUUUGUCCCUGUCGUAAAUGCAACAAUACCAAGUUUGCUGCUAGUGAAACGGUUUAGAAACAUAUAGUAAAUAGAGGAUUUACUCCACAUUACUAUAUCUGGUUUAACCACGGAGAAGCUGAUAAUAAGAAUGAAGCUAGUAGUAGUAAUCAGGUUGAAAAUGUUCGUAACAGAGAGGAACCACAUUUACCUUCUGAAAGUUGUAACCUUCAAGAGGAUCAUAUGGUAGAUCAUGAUAGGAUGCAUGAUAUGGUUACAGAUGCAUUUCGUGAAACAAGAUCAGUAAUAGAGGAGGUAGAAAAUGUAGAGGGGCCUAAUUUGGAUGCAAAAAGAUUUUAUGAGAUGCUAGCAGCAGCUAAUGAGCCAAUUUAUGAAGGUUGUAGAGAAGGUCUUUCUAAAUUAUCAUUGGCAGCUAGGAUUCUAAUUUUGGAUGCAAAAAGAUUUUAUGAGAUGCUAGCAGCAGCUAAUGAGCCAAUUUAUGAAGGUUGUAGAGAAGGUCUUUCUAAAUUAUCAUUGGCAGCUAGGAUGAUGAAUAUCAAAACUGAUCAUAACUUACCUGAAGUUUGUAUGGAUGCAUGACUGAGUUGCUUAAAGAGUAUUUGCCUGAAGAUAAUUUGUGUGCUGAAUAUUAUUAUGAGAUUCAGAAAUUGGUUCAUAGUCUUGGCUUAUCUUCAAAGAUGAUAGAUGUGUGUAUAGACAACUGUAUGAUCUACUGGAGGAAAGAUUCUGAAUUGUUGGAGUGUAAAUUUUGCAAGAAGCUACGAUAUAAACCACAAGGACGUGGACGGAAUAGGGUACUGUACCAGCGGAUGUGGUACUUACCUAUAAUAGUAUAGAUUAAGAAAAAACGAUUCUCUCUAUUAGCUAACCUCGAGAGCCAUUUAGGAAUGUCAAACAGGUCGUCCCGUCCCGCCCCGUCCCGCCCCGCCGCGGGCUCAGCAUCUCGCGGGUCCAGGCGGUACCGUCCCGCGCGGGCUGCGGUCCAGAGAAAGCCGGCCCAGUCCCGUACCGCAUAAUUGCACAGGCCCUUACAAGCCGUCCCGCGGGCUGGACGCGAAAGGAGUGCAGCAUGACGUUUCUCGACGCUGCAGGCUGCUCCAGUGACCACUACAUACAUAAUGAAUGAUAUAUGAACACAUGACCCAUCUACUAUUGGAGCUUAACAAAAUUUUACAUAUAUUAGUCUUGUUCUGUAUUUUUUUUUCAAUCUACGAGAGCAUCGUUAGAGCCACUGGCUAUUUCAGCAACUCGUAUAUAUGUUAAUUACUAGCCAUUCAAUCUGUUUCUUCAGAUAACUUUGAAGAACUAUAGUUUGUUGUUUGAUCGUGAGUAUAAAAAAUUAAGUCUCAACUAAAGUAAAAUUUAGAGAAACACCAAAUGGUCCAAAUCAUAGUAUUCAAAACCAAAAAUCAUGCAACUUAAACAAGAAAUCUGAAAUUGUAAUUGAAGCAAAACACCAAAUCAAGAUAACAUUUCAAACUUGCUCAUCUACUCAUCUUCAUCUUCCCCAUCAACAAUGGACUCAAAUGUUGGUAAUUUCUCUUCUUCUCCAUCACCAUCGAUUUCUUCAUCUACAAAUAUCAGUGUACAAGUCAGUAAUGUUACUCUUACUAAAAUUAUAAUGUGAGUUAUUUACCAUGUGCGUAAGAUUCAUAUCCUUUGAUCCAAUUCCUAGUGCAUAUCAGAGCUUGCACAUUUUCUGGGAGUAGACGACUCCUAUAUUUGUUUAGAACUCGCGAUCCAAUACUGAAGGAGGACUCCGAAGCCACUGUUGUGAUUGGAAUACUUAGCAGAUCACAUGCCAUUGCAGCCAAGUCACCAUACCGAUGCGCAUUAUCUUUCCACCAAUCGAGGAUGUCCAAGCUCUGGAAAUUAGUAAUGUCCAAAGGUGGUUCUUCAAGAUAAGCUUCUAGAGGUGUCUUUCCACUAACAAUUCCACUGACUUUGCGAAAUGCAAAGAAAUCCUAAGAAAAGUUUUAAAAAAAUAUCAGAGAGGAAAAAAAAAUUGGAGGCUGACGACAGAAGGAAAAAAAUUGACCAGAAAAAAAAUGCUUGUGAAAGAUAAACACACUUCUACUCGUGAAAAAAAUGCUUGUGUGAAAAAAAAAAUAAACAGAAGGAAAAAAAUUGAAAACACUCACAUUGUAGUUUUCAAACAGUCCCAUUGAUCCUACCGCACAAGCUUUUUGCGCAACAGUGUCACAUGGCUCAGUGGAAGGUGAGUUAUUCUUGGAGUUUUUGUCGUAUGUCUCAAACAGAAUACUGAGCUUGUCACGCAAGUUCUUCACUUUUGCAUCACGUGUACUUAUGUCAAGCUUCCCUAAACAACAUUCAACAAUUGAAAGCUUAAACCGUGGAUCAAAGACUGCUGCCAUUGCAAAAACACCACUAACUUCAUCCCAAUAUUUGUCAAACUUCUCCUUCAUCGGUCGCACCAUGUAUCUGACAAUCUCAUCUGCGCUUUCCUCAUUUCUCCGAAGCCAAUCAUGGAUCAACCAAACCUGAUAGAAAUACAGGUUUGCAGUCGGGUAAUUCGAACCAGACAUCAAGCUUGUGAUCACAGCAAAAGGACCCAAAAAAUCGCAGAUAUUAGCGGCUCUAGUCCAUUCCUCAUCUGUGGGCGCUGUUUUAUAACCCUUCUUAUCAAAUGUCUCCAACUUAACAAAUGCUUUACGGUACUUGAGGGCUCUUUCAAGCAUAUAGUAAGUUGAGUUCCAUCUCGUCGACACGUCCAGUAUCAGCCACCCACUUUCUACUACACCCGCAGCAUCCACACAUUUUUGGAACAAUUGUUCACGGCUUUCCGAUCCUAAUACAUACUUAACACUCUCUCUUACUUUCUGCAAAGAGUCUCCAAUAACCUUCAACCCAUCUUGCACUAUGAGAUUAAGUAUGUGAGCUGCACAUCUUACAUGAAAAAACUCUCCUCCACACAACAAAUCAUCAUUCAAAUUCAGCUGCGACUUCACAAUGUCCUGCAUGGAGUCAUUACUUGUAGCAUUAUCUAAUGUGACUGAGAACACCUUCUUAUCAAUUCCCCACUCUUUCAGUGACGUGAGGAGUUGAACCGCAAUACUCAUACCGGUAUGUGGUGGUGGUAGAGUACAAAACGUCAGGAUCUUGCUGUUCAACUUCCAAUUCCGAUCAAUGUAAUGUGCUGUCACACACAUGUAUCCUUCCCGUUUCACGGAUGUCCACAAGUCAGACGUGAAGGAGACUCGUCCAGGGAGAGUUGCUAAUUCCCUCUUGAGUGUGUCUCUCUCGCUUUCAUAGAGUCUAUACACAUCUGCUCUCGCUGUGUUUCGACAAAUGGUUUGGACAUCAGCAUUCAAAUACUUCCACGUGUCUCUCACUCUUUCAUACUCCACGUACGAGUAAGGUAGAUCAUGCUGGACUAUUGUCUUAGCUACCAUCUGCCUAAACACAGUAUGAUCAUACUUGCGAGAUACCACUUUCCCUUCGAUAUUGAGUUGUUGCUGCCUUCCUCGAUUCCUUGGAUACAUUUUACAUCUCUCCCGAUGUCUUCUCAACCCACUGGUUCCAUGCGAAUGAGAUUGCCAUGCAUACUCACGUUUGCAAUGAUUGCAUGCAGCUUUCAACUUUCCAUUCGGUUUUUCGACCACCUUGAAAUCUUUCCAGACAUCUGAUUUUUGCCUCUCUUCCCUUUCCUCUUCACCGAUUUCAUCCUCAUCAAACUCUUCUUCAUCCAGUUCAUCACCAAGCUCGGGUAUGUCCUCUGCGACCUUCUCCUUCUUCUUUUGCGACUGAGUAGGCGAAACCUUCUUCUUUUUGGACUUAGUAGGCGACUUUCUUCUCCCUCCACGAAUCACAGACUUCAUAGGAACAGACUUCCCCUUACUACACGCCUGUGCAGACGAGCCAACGCCACCAUCGAUAGUUGAUUGCAACAUGGGUUUCCCCGUGGCUGUUCCGAAACUGGUCUGUCUGCGAGGCUUGGUUUUUUGGGUUGGUUGACUGAUUUCAACAUCAGAAUCAUCAGUAUCAUCAACAAGACUGAUAAGCCUUUUUCUGCUUCCUUGCUGCUUCCCAUCAGCACGAGUUACACCAGCUUCCUGAGAAGCGAUCUGAUCACCAGCCUCAGCUGCUGCAGCAAGAGUAGCUAAGACUUCCUGAGUGGCAAAGUCCACAGUAUUUGGCGGGGUGUAAUUCGGAUCAAACGUCGACUGAUCUUCGGACUGGCUCCUUGAUCCCAUGGUCUCUUUCGCUCUCAAGUUUUGUGGUUUUUUUUUUCACGCCGUGGAAUGAAAUUAACUUUUUAGGGUUUCCUAAAUUUUGUCUAUUUUUUAAAAAAUUUCUUAAUAUAUUUUUUAAAAUCUGUUAUAAUUGUUGAUUUUCAAAAUUCCAAAUUUUAUUAUACAAGUACACAAACACAAGUAAUCAAGCAAAGCAACGUAAACAAGCAAAGCAACGUAAACAACAAGUGAUCCGAUAACCUACGCAAAGCCAUCUAAACAAGUUAAUGUUCUAUCAUAUACGAAAGCAACCUAAACAAGUCAGUGAUUCGAUAACCUACGCAAAGCCAUCUAAUCUCGACUGUGUUCUAUAGACAACUUACUAACCUGAGGUCAUUAAAGCACCUACAUUGGACGAAGCUGGUAACUACUAGAGCAGCUGCUCAACGGACUCUUGUUCUCCUUGUGAUAAAUCCAAUCCCUCAAGACAUAAAACAAACAAAAAAAAGACGUGUAAACAGUAUGAUCCACGUACACAAUGCAAAGAAGAAAAUUAUAAGCGGCUGGUUAUCAAUAUGAAUCGACAAGCAGGGACAAAAUUAAGUAAGACCAUACAUGUUCAGUUGGGUCCUGUAUCUUCUUCUCUUCAACAAGGAGGCGGCUGGUUAUCAAUGAACAAGCUGGUGUGCUUAUAUCGUUUUGAGCCUACACCAGAUUUCACAGUGAUUACCAUCCGCCUCCUUCUCCAUCUACAUCAACAAAAAACAUAUAAGAGACUUGAUUUGAGAUUAAAAAAACAUACACUUGCAAUUUUCAAAAACAAAAGACUAAUCAGAGACUGAACACAAAUACAAGAACAAACUGAAUCGAGUUAAGACAAGCAGUGACUGAAUAAAAUAUUCACUGUCUGGUAAAACUAUACAGAAACCAUAUAUUUUGGUGAUUCAUCUCACAAAAGAAAAACCAACAGAAGAUAUUAAAAAAAAAACUUGUAACAUUACAAGAGAUGGAGUCGAGUGCAACUAAAGAUGUGUAAGCUCCGUUUUUACCCUGAAAGAAAUCUCACACGAUCAAACAAGCAAAGUUUCAAACUCUAAAGAUGAAAAAGGUAAACAAGCGCACUAACCGGAACAGAGUUAUUAACAUCAGAAGGAGCUGCGAAGACGGCAGAGGCGGUGAUGACCAACGGUGAAAAGUUGGAGCGACGACGAGGAUUAGAGAGAGGAGGAGAAGGAAGUGAAAAUGAUGAAGAAGAAGUUGGGUUGAGUAGUGGAACCCAAAAUCGCUAAUAUCCUCUGUUUCUCACGGAUUCCACCUAUAAAAAAAAACAAGUCUUUUUUUAUGAUGAAAUCUAAGGGAAACAAAAGGUGGAAACUUGAGAGAAAUAGAACAAGAUGUACAUGCAUGUACCGCAGGAGAGCGCAGGAGCACCGUCGAUGAAGAAACCAUGACCGGAGCUGAUGAUCUUCUUCUUCAAUGGAGAGUUCCUUCGCAAACUUCUUGUUAUGUUUCCACGAAGAUUCAGAGUAGGAGAUAGAAGGCGAAGGGUAGACAGGAAGCAUCAUCGAAGAAGAAACCAUGGCCGGAGCUCCAUCCCGUGCGGUGGCGACACCACUUUCACUCUCGCUCUCUCUUUUUUUUCAGGUGGCCGAUCGAAUGAAGAGAGAAGAAGCUGUGGGACAUUAGGGUUAACCGCGGUCUUCUUCGGCGCAUCCCGCACAGAGCCCAUCCCGCGCAAGUCUAUUCCCGCGAGGCACGCGACAUUGCGGGAUGUCGGAUCUUCGGCCCAAGCCCGCCCCGCCACAGGUUUAAACGGGCCUAUCCCGCGGGCCAAGCCUUCAGAAGAUAUUUAAAAAAAAACUUGUAACAUUACAAGAGAUGGAGUCGAGUGCAACUAAAGAUGUGUAAGCUCCGUUUUUACCCUGAAAGAAAUCUCACACGAUCAAACAAGCAAAGUUUCAAACUCUAAAGAUGAAAAAGGUAAACAAGCGCACUAACCGGAACAGAGUUAUUAACAUCAGAAGGAGCUGAGAAGACGGCAGAGGCGGUGAUGACCAACGGUGAAAAGUUGGAGCGACGACGAGGAUUAGAGAGAGGAGGAGGAGGAAGUGAAAAUGAUGAAGAAGAAGUUGGGUUGAGUAGUGGAACCCAAAAUCGCUAAUAUCCUCUGUUUCUCACGGAUUCCACCUAUAAAAAAAAACAAGUCUUUUUUUAUGAUGAAAUCUAAGGGAAACAAAAGGUGGAAACUUGAGAGAAAUAGAACAAGAUGUACAUGCAUGUACCGCAGGAGAGCGCAUGAGCACCGUCGAUGAAGAAACCAUGACCGGAGCUGAUGAUCUUCUUCUUCAAUGGAGAGUUCCUUCGCAAACUUCUUGUUAUGUUUCCACGAAGCUUCAGAGUAGGAGAUAGAAGGCGAAGGGUAGACAGGAAGCAUCAUCGAAGAAGAAACCAUGGCCGGAGCUCCAUCUCGUGCGGUGGCGACUCCACUUUCACUCUCGCUCUCUCUUUUUUUUUCUUCAGGUGGCCGAUCGAGUGAAGAGAGAAGAAGCUGCGGGACAUUAGGGUUAACCGCGGUCUUCUUCGGCCCAUCCCGCACAGAGCCCAUCCCGCGCAAGUCUAUUCCCGCGAGGCCCGCGACAUUGCGGGAUGUCGGAUCUUCGGCCCAAGCCCGCCCCACCACAGGUUUAAACGAGCCUAUCCCGCGGGCCAAGCCUUCUUUUGACAUCUCUAACAAGAAGACCUGUUUGAUAAAAAUAUCGAUCUAACAAAAAAAAAGCGGUUAUUAUUUAUUUAUUUAUUUAUUUAUACCAAUUUUCUCUUAGUGACAUCUCUAAAAGCUGCAUCAGUUAAAUCCUUUUGGGGAACCAGCUUGUGUUUCGGUAGAACACUAGAUAAACCGAUCAAAAUAUGUUUCAAUACAGGUGGUGGAACCAUAUCCUCUGCAAUCUAGAACGGAUAUAUAGAUAUACUUAACUGUUAAUGAUAUGAUAUUUCUUAAUGAGAAAUGCAAAUAAGAAGAAUGAAAAGCAAGUCUUUUACUUUGCACAUGGGUGCUACCAAGACUGCACCGGUCCAAGCAUUUGGUUGUUUGAAAUGUAUCUUGAGCGACACUGCUCCACCCAUUGACUGCCCAAACAGAAAGCUAGGUAGAGAACUAAACUCAGGUUUCUCUACAAACCAAAAUACAAAAAAUCAAGAUUAAUAUCAGAGUUUACCAUUCCACAAUGUGAUUAAGAGUUUGUACCUUUGAUGUUGGAGUAAUGCUCAAUGACAUCUUCAACAAGAAGAUCAAAGCUAGAAAUAUAGCCGUGCAAGCCUUCCGAUAAACCAAACCCUGGAUAAUCCAUAGCGAAAACUCCAUAUCCCGACAAUGCCAAUCUCCUUGCGAUCCCUGCCGAAAAAGACGUGGGUGUAAGCAACCAAACAAUGAGCUAAGUAUUAGCCAUUGGUUUUUAAAAAAAAGGAAGAAACAAACAUGCCUUCGAAGAAAAACGUGCAAGUAUCUCCAUAACCAUGACAGAAACAAACAAGAGCUCUGGGCCUAGAAGCUUCAGGAAGCCAGCUUUUUGAGAAGAUCUCAAAUCCUCUCGAAUUCACCUCAUAAGACUACAUUUUUCACAGCCAACAUUAUUAAAAAGUAAUCAAGUUAACUUCUAUUCAUGUAGAAAACAUAUCUUUCUUACCUCCUUUGUCUUAAUUCCAUCUCCUGGUGUCUAAAACAUCAUGAGAACAAAAAACAAACAACGCUGUUAAUCAAAAAUCACCUAAUAAUUCAGACAAAAUUAGCUGAAGUAGAUUGAGUCUAACGUCUCAACCUUUUUUAUAUCUAUUUCGAUCGGGGAAGGACGAUCAAAGAUUCGACCGAUUCAAAUUUAAUUUUAUGUUUUUGUUUACCUUGAUGAGGAUAUGAUCGAGAUUAUGCUGAAUAUCUCUAAAGCAAUCACGAACAUGACGGCGAGCCGGAGCUUCGUCCAUGUUAACAUCNNNNNNNNNNNNNNNNNNNNNNNNNNNNNNUUAUAUAUAUAUAUGUUGAUGAUCGAGGUUGAUUAUGAUGAUCCAUUCUAUCCUCAGUGGUUUCACGAAAUGAUACAAGGUCCGGUCGCUAAGUCACCACAGCAUCUAUGUAUUUCACACGAGGCUACACUUUUCAUACUUACGGAUAUGGAAGUCGUCGAGCAACAAUGAACUAUGGAGUAUGUGUGAAAGGUGAAACUGAUUUCUAUGGAAUCUUACAAGAGAUCAUCGAAGUAGAGUUCUCCGUCCUGGUGAAGCUGAAAUGCGUUCUCUUCAAAUGUGACUGGUUUGACCCAACCGUCAAUAGAAGUGUUCGGUAUAGCAAAUUUGGAGUUGUUGAUAUAAAUGCUACACGGAGGUACAACAAAUUUGAACCCUACAUAUUGGCAUCUCAAGCAGACCAAAUUUGUUUUAUUCCAUAUCUGAGGAUUAGACAAUCUGGAAUAUCUUGGUUAGCCGCUAUAAAAGUUACACCUCGGGGUCGAGUCUUGACUGAUGAACAACCGCCUUUACAAGAAGAUACCGUAAAUGAAGUAGAAGUACCAGAGCAAGCUACAAAUGAUAUCUUACUUGUUGAUCCAUACAACCAGGGAUAUGAAGAACUUCCAGACGAUGCAACAGCCCACGAAGAUGAAUUUGAAGAAAACGAUGAAGUGGAUGAUGUUUUUGAUGAUGAGUGAUCGAGUUUCUAUUGUAUUAUUAAACACUUUGUAUUACAUAUAAUAUUUAUCUAACUUAUCCGAUCAUGAUUGUUCAAUUAGGAUGUUUGAGGUUUGUGGUUUGGGGUUUGGAAGUGUAUAACUUAUGAUGUUUGUGAUUUGGGGUUUGGGGUUUCGGUUUUAGGGUUAAAACAAAAAUCGAAGCUAAUUAGUCGUAAAUUACGACUUUCUUACGACUAGUCUAAAAGAUAACGAAGCUAAGUAGUCGUAAAUUACUACUCUCUUACGACUAGUCUAAAAGAUAACGAAGCUAUAAAACAAACAAAAAAAAGACGUGUAAACAGUAUGAUCCACGUACACAAUGCAAAGAAGAAAAUUAUAAGCGGCUGGUUAUCAAUAUGAAUCGACAAGCAGGGACAAAAUUAAGUAAGACCAUACAUGUUCAGUUGGGUCCUGUAUCUUCUUCUCUUCAACAAGGAGGCGGCUGGUUAUCAAUGAACAAGCUGGUGUGCUUAUAUCGUUUUGAGCCUACACCAUCUUUCACAGUGAUUACCAUCCGCCUCCUUCUCCAUCUACAUCAACAAAAAACAUAUAAGAGACUUGAUUUGAGAUUAAAAAAACAUACACUUGCAAUUUUCAAAAACAAAAGACUAAUCAGAGACUGAACACAAAUACAAGAACAAACUGAAUCGAGUUAAGACAAGCAGUGACUGAAUAAAAUAUUCAUUGUCUGGUAAAACUAUACAGAAACCAUAUAUUUUGGUGAUUCAUCUCACAAAAGAAAAACCAACAGAAGAUAUUAAAAAAAAAACUUGUAACAUUACCAGAGAUGGAGUCGAGUGCAACUAAAGAUGUGUAAGCUCCGUUUUUACCCUGAAAGAAAUCUCACACGAUCAAACAAGCAAAGUUUCAAACUCUAAAGAUGAAAAAGGUAAACAAGCGCACUAACCGGAACAGAGUUAUUAACAUCAGAAGGAGCUGAGAAGACGGCAGAGGCGGUGAUGACCAACGGUGAAAAGUUGGAGCGACGACGAGGAUUAGAGAGAGGAGGAGGAGGAAGUGAAAAUGAUGAAGAAGAAGUUGGGUUGAGUAGUGGAACCCAAAAUCGCUAAUAUCCUCUGUUUCUCACGGAUUCCACCUAUAAAAAAAAACAAGUCUUUUUUUAUGAUGAAAUCUAAGGGAAACAAAAGGUGGAAACUUGAGAGAAAUAGAACAAGAUGUACAUGCAUGUACCGCAGGAGAGCGCAGGAGCACCGUCGAUGAAGAAACCAUGACCGGAGCUGAUGAUCUUCUUCUUCAAUGGAGAGUUCCUUCGCAAACUUCUUGUUAUGUUUCCACGAAGCUUCAGAGUAGGAGAUAGAAGGCGAAGGGUAGACAGGAAGCAUCAUCGAAGAAGAAACCAUGGCCGGAGCUCCAUCUCGUGCGGUGGCGACUCCACUUUCACUCUCGCUCUCUCUUUUUUUUUCUUCAGGUGGCCGAUCAAAUGAAGAGAGAAGAAGCUGCGGGACAUUAGGGUUAACCGCGGUCUUCUUCGGCCCAUCCCGCACAGAGCCCAUCCCGCCGAUGAUCUGCGUAGAGAGUCCGCUGAGCUGCAUCAUGAGUUGGCCUCGACGCAAUCUGCAUUCACAGCUCGUGUGAGUGGACUCGAGGGCUUCUUGGACGUUGUAGCGGCCACAAAUCCGGAAUGGGAGUCCUUGUUGAGGAACUUGCGACGACAAAAUCCCAUUCCAGGCGAGUCAUCAUCCCACACACAUGCCGAGGCGGAUGUAGAGAGGACGAGUGAUGAAUUCUACCGGGCGAUGAACGACUCUUAGUUCUUUUUUUUUGGUUCUUGUAUUAUAAAUUCAAAACUUAUUUAUAUAUAAAAUAUUUUGGUAUUGAUUUUUUUUUUAGAAUUUUAAUUUUAUUAAUAAAUUAAAUAAUUGUAAUUAUUUUUAAAUUAUAUUUUUAUAUUCUGUCAAAUAAAGUGAAGCAAAUUCGUAGCUAAUUUACGAUUUCUUUACAUGGAAACUUAACGAGUAUUUUACGAGGAAAACCUUACGAGGAAAUGACGAGGAGUAAUAAACGAGUACUUUACUAGGAAAUGCUUUCAAGUUAUUUACGUGUUCUUUACGAGGAAAUACUUUUGAGAUAUUUACGUGUAAUUUACGAGGGGCACCUUUCGAGGUAUUUACGAGGAAAUGAAGCGACGUCCUUACGUGGAAUAUUUACGUGGUUUUUACGACAAAAUAUUAUUCUUCGUCUUUACGACGAAAUCAUUUCCUCGCUAAGUUACGACGAAUUAGCGAGGAAAUAUGUGUUACGACGAACGAGUAACGACAAAACGUGUUUCCUCGCUAAUUCCUCGUAAAGCUUCUUUUACGACGAACUCACGAGGAAAACCGCCCUCAUUAAACUUAUGUUUUCUUGUAGUGAAAAAAUAUAUUUAGUAUGUCAAUUCGUACAUGAUAUUGAUAUGACAAUUUUGAGUGUUCAAAAAUAUUUUUAAAUUUAUUAAAAAAUUAUCUUUAAAAUAUAAAUAAACAAAAAUACAAAAUUAUAAUAGGUUAGUAAUAACAAAAAAAAAUUAAUAUUUUCGUAUCAAUAAAUUUCUUUAAUAAAAAUUGCAUCAAAGUCUAAGAAAUUGUAAAUUUUUCAAUUUUAUGUAAUAUUAAAAAUAUAUCAGUAAUUUAAUCAAAAAAAAUUUAAAUUAUUAUCAGCAAAUUUUAACUAAUUUUUUUUUUAUUAAACCCGGACCGAGUUGUAUAUGGAUGGCCGGGUCUACCGGUUCAAAGAUCUAAGUCGGGUAUGAAAAUAUUGUUUGGAAAUCACACUAAUAAAGUAACUUUUAAAUUAUUUAUUUUCUUAAAAAAUAUAAGUUUAUGUAAAUUUGAUCAAAAUGAUCAACCAAAAAAUGUCCGCCCUUUAAAAUCUAUUACUAAUUAUAAACACUGAACAAGUAAGAAACCCUAUCGAAGCAUCCAUUAAUAUAAGAGGAAUAGCAUUGCCCGUCAAGUUUCGACCUAAAACAGUUGUUUCCAUAAGUUUUACCCAUAUAUUUGUGGAAUAAAUCUUGCAAAACCAGAUGUUUAGUUGUUGGAUAUUUGAUUGCACACCAAAAAACGAAGAAAAUAAAAUAUAUGGUCUCACAAAAAAAAAUUAUUUUCUGUACAGUGUCCACAAUGAUAUAUUCAACGUUAAGUCGCUAUAUAAAAUGUUUUUUUCCUUUAUUAUUUAUAAAUAAAAAAUAAUUCACAUUUUAAGUGUUUCUAUGUACUUCCAAAUGUAAUUACUUAUUUUUAAAAACAUUUUCUGAAAAUAAUAGGCAAGGAUAUACAGACUAGAGUUUAAGAUUGAUUUAUAACUUUUUUUUGUCAUCAACAUUGAUUCAUAACUUUUGAUUAAUAGAAUUUUAAUAAACAUAAUUAUCAAUCAUGAAUCUUACAAUUUACCAUUAAAUAAUGUAUUGAAAACGUAAAAAAUUGUAUUUUUUCUAAGCAAUUUUUUAAACAACAUGAAUCUUUUCAAACAGAAGAAAAAUGAUCAAAAAGUUUAAUUUCCCAACAUAAAUAAAUGUAUUUUUUGGAGAAAAAUGAUAACAUGAUUAUAACCUUCAAGAGGGAAAUCUAUAUAAUCAAGAAAGGGGACAUACCUCCCGUAAGCGAACUGAACCGNNNNNNNNNNNNNNNNNNNNNNNNNNNNNNNNNNNNNNNNNNNNNNNNNNNNNNNNNNNNNNNNNNNNNNNNNNNNNNNNNNNNNNNNNNNNNNNNNNNNNNNNNNNNNNNNNNNNNNNNNNNNNNNNNNNNNNNNNNNNNNNNNNNNNNNNNNNNNNNNNNNNNNNNNNNNNNNNNNNNNNNNNNNNNNNNNNNNNNNNNNNNNNNNNNNNNNNNNNNNNNNNNNNNNNNNNNNNNNNNNNNNNNNNNNNNNNNNNNNNNNNNNNNNNNNNNNNNNNNNNNNNNNNNNNNNNNNNNNNNNNNNNNNNNNNNNNNNNNNNNNNNNNNNNNNNNNNNNNNNNNNNNNNNNNNNNNNNNNNNNNNNNNNNNNNNNNNNNNNNNNNNNNNNNNNNNNNNNNNNNNNNNNNNNNNNNNNNNNNAUAAAGUUGAGUGUUAUGAGUAAAACUAGAGAGAAUUUAUGUCCCAAUAACAAGAGAGUUUACUAGAAUUAAAAAAUCAAUAAAAACUAAACUUUUUGAAUAACAAAUGAUUUUAUAUAGAAUUUAAAAGUCCAUAAACCAAUAACUAAUGAUUCUAACAAGAUUGUAAGAAUACAUAAACCAAUAACAAUAGAAUCUCUAAAUUUUAUAACUCCUUCAAAAUUUAACUACCAAUAACCCCCCUUUAUACAAAUUGAUUUAAUAUAUAUCAAAUCUAUAUUAAAUAUUAGUAAGAAAAUAGUAAAAUCUAUAAUAUUUAAUAAAAUUUAUUUUUAAUUGGACGAAGCUGGUAACUACUGGAGCAGCUGCUCAACGGACUCUUGUUCUCCUUGUGAUAAAUCCAAUUCCUCAAGACAUAAAACAAACAAAAAAAGACGUGUAAACAGUAUGAUCCACGUACACAAUGCAAAGAAGAAAAUUAUAAGCGGCUGGUUAUCAAUAUGAAUCGACAAGCAGUGACAAAAUUAAGUAAGACCAUACAUGUUCAGUUGGGUCCUGUAUCUUCUUCUCUUCAACAAGGAGGCGGCUGGUUAUCAAUGAACAAGCUGGUGUGCUUAUAUCGUUUUGAGCCUACACCAGCUUUCACAGUGAUUACCAUCUGCUUCCUUCUCCAUCUACAUCAACAAAAAACAUAUAAGAGACUUGAUUUGAGAUUAAAAAAACAUACACUUGCAAUUUUCAAAAACAAAAGACUAAUCAGAGACUGAACACAAAUACAAGAACAAACUGAAUCGAGUUAAGACAAGCAGUGACUGAAUAAAAUAUUCAUUGUCUGGUAAAACUAUACAGAAACCAUAUAUUUUGGUGAUUCAUCUCACAAAAGAAAAACCAACAGAAGAUAUUUAAAAAAAAACUUGUAACAUUACAAGAGAUGGAGUCGAGUGCAACUAAAGAUGUGUAAGCUCCGUUUUUACCCUGAAAGAAAUCUCACACGAUCAAACAAGCAAAGUUUCAAACUCUAAAGAUGAAAAAGGUAAACAAGCGCACUAACCGGAACAGAGUUAUUAACAUCAGAAGGAGCUGAGAAGACGGCAGAGGCGGUGAUGACCAACGGUGAAAAGUUGGAGCGACGACGAGGAUUAGAGAGAGGAGGAGGAGGAAGUGAAAAUGAUGAAGAAGAAGUUGGGUUGAGUAGUGGAACCCAAAAUCGCUAAUAUCCUCUGUUUCUCACGGAUUCCACCUAUAAAAAAAAACAAGUCUUUUUUUAUGAUGAAAUCUAAGGGAAACAAAAGGUGGAAACUUGAGAGAAAUAGAACAAGAUGUACAUGCAUGUACCGCAGGAGAGCGCAUGAGCACCGUCGAUGAAGAAACCAUGACCGGAGCUGAUGAUCUUCUUCUUCAAUGGAGAGUUCCUUCGCAAACUUCUUGUUAUGUUUCCACGAAGCUUCAGAGUAGGAGAUAGAAGGCGAAGGGUAGACAGGAAGCAUCAUCGAAGAAGAAACCAUGGCCGGAGCUCCAUCUCGUGCGGUGGCGACUCCACUUUCACUCUCGCUCUCUCUUUUUUUUUCUUCAGGUGGCCUAUCAAAUGAAGAGAGAAGAAGCUGCGGGACAUUAGGGUUAACCGCGGUCUUCUUCGGCGCAUCCCGCACAGAGCCCAUCCCGCGCAAGUCUAUUCCCGCGAGGCACGCGACAUUGCGGGAUGUCGGAUCUUCGGCCCAAGCCCGCCCCGCCACAGGUUUAAACGGGCCUAUCCCGCGGGCCAAGCCUUCUUUUGACAUCUCUAACAAGAAGACCUGUUUGAUAAAAAUAUCGAUCUAACAAAAAAAAAGCGGUUAUUAUUUAUUUAUUUAUUUAUUUAUACCAAUUUUCUCUUAGUGACAUCUCUAAAAGCUGCAUCAGUUAAAUCCUUUUGGGGAACCAGCUUGUGUUUCGGUAGAACACUAGAUAAACCGAUCAAAAUAUGUUUCAAUACAGGUGGUGGAACCAUAUCCUCUGCAAUCUAGAACGGAUAUAUAGAUAUACUUAACUGUUAAUGAUAUGAUAUUUCUUAAUGAGAAAUGCAAAUAAGAAGAAUGAAAAGCAAGUCUUUUACUUUGCACAUGGGUGCUACCAAGACUGCACCGGUCCAAGCAUUUGGUUGUUUGAAAUGUAUCUUGAGCGACACUGCUCCACCCAUUGACUGCCCAAACAGAAAGCUAGGUAGAGAACUAAACUCAGGUUUCUCUACAAACCAAAAUACAAAAAAUCAAGAUUAAUAUCAGAGUUUACCAUUCCACAAUGUGAUUAAGAGUUUGUACCUUUGAUGUUGGAGUAAUGCUCAAUGACAUCUUCAACAAGAAGAUCAAAGCUAGAAAUAUAGCCGUGCAAGCCUUCCGAUAAACCAAACCCUGGAUAAUCCAUAGCGAAAACUCCAUAUCCCGACAAUGCCAAUCUCCUUGCGAUCCCUGCCGAAAAAGACGUGGGUGUAAGCAACCAAACAAUGAGCUAAGUAUUAGCCAUUGGUUUUUAAAAAAAAGGAAGAAACAAACAUGCCUUCGAAGAAAAACGUGCAAGUAUCUCCAUAACCAUGACAGAAACAAACAAGAGCUCUGGGCCUAGAAGCUUCAGGAAGCCAGCUUUUUGAGAAGAUCUCAAAUCCUCUCGAAUUCACCUCAUAAGACUACAUUUUUCACAGCCAACAUUAUUAAAAAGUAAUCAAGUUAACUUCUAUUCAUGUAGAAAACAUAUCUUUCUUACCUCCUUUGUCUUAAUUCCAUCUCCUGGUGUCUAAAACAUCAUGAGAACAAAAAACAAACAACGCUGUUAAUCAAAAAUCACCUAAUAAUUCAGACAAAAUUAGCUGAAGUAGAUUGAGUCUAACGUCUCAACCUUUUUUAUAUCUAUUUCGAUCGGGGAAGGACGAUCAAAGAUUCGACCGAUUCAAAUUUAAUUUUAUGUUUUUGUUUACCUUGAUGAGGAUAUGAUCGAGAUUAUGCUGAAUAUCUCUAAAGCAAUCACGAACAUGACGGCGAGCCGGAGCUUCGUCCAUGUUAACAUCNNNNNNNNNNNNNNNNNNNNNNNNNNNNNNNNNNNNNNNNNNNNNNNNNNNNNNNNNNNNNNNNNNNNNNNNNNNNNNNNNNNNNNNNNNNNNNNNNNNNNNNNNNNNNNNNNNNNNNNNNNNNNNNNNNNNNNNNNNNNNNNNNNNNNNNNNNNNNNNNNNNNNNNNNNNNNNNNNNNNNNNNNNNNNNNNNNNNNNNNNNNNNNNNNNNNNNNNNNNNNNNNNNNNNNNNNNNNNNNNNNNNNNNNNNNNNNNNNNNNNNNNNNNNNNNNNNNNNNNNNNNNNNNNNNNNNNNNNNNNNNNNNNNNNNNNNNNNNNNNNNNNNNNNNNNNNNNNNNNNNNNNNNNNNNNNNNNNNNNNNNNNNNNNNNNNNNNNNNNNNNNNNNNNNNNNNNNNNNNNNNNNNNNNNNNNNNNNNNNNNNNNNNNNNNNNNNNNNNNNNNNNNNNNNNNNNNNNNNNNNNNNNNNNNNNNNNNNNNNNNNNNNNNNNNNNNNNNNNNNNNNNNNNNNNNNNNNNNNNNNNNNNNNNNNNNNNNNNNNNNNNNNNNNNNNNNNNNNNNNNNNNNNNNNNNNNNNNNNNNNNNNNNNNNNNNNNNNNNNNNNNNNNNNNNNNNNNNNNNNNNNNNNNNNNNNNNNNNNNNNNNNNNNNNNNNNNNNNNNUCUAUAAUAUUUAAUAAAAUUUAUUUUUAAAUAUAAGUUAGAUUUAAAAAAAAAUUACUGCACUUGGUGCAGGAAAACACCUAGUAACCCCUAUAUAAUCGUGUAUACUAAUUUUUUAUCUAAGUGUUUCAAAAUCCUCAACGUCGAAAUAUCUUUAAAAGACAUUUUACAUGUGUCUUGCCGUAAAAUCAUGUCCAAAGACUGUCAAAAAGGUUUACAAGAUAUCAAAACAUAAUCGCUAAAUAAAGACGUCAAAAAUCAUGUCCAAAGAAUACUUGCUGCCUAUUAGCGUUUAUAAUUGACCCAUGCAUUUACAAACAAACAAAAAAGCUUUUAACCAAAAUCUUUGAUCAGUCACGACCUUUCUUGUAUGACCUAUGGUUAAUGGAAUAUAUUUGGAAAUGUCAGAUCAAAUUUUAAGUCUUGUUGAUAAAAUAAAAAGUUGUAAACAAAAGAAAAUGACACCCAUAAUGUUAAAAAAAAUGACACUCACACCUGAACAUAUCUGGAAACACUCUUACUGUAAGAUGGUCUUAACUAGGAGGUUGUUUGUUCAAAGUCAUAUUAUUAAUUAUGAUUCAGUAAAAAAAUAUACUACUGUUAAUGUAAGAUGAAUAUAUAAUAAAUAAGCUAGCUGUCAUUUAGUUAUAGGUUUUUUUUAUUUACGUUUUAGACGUUAUAGAGGCCUUAUUAAGAAUUAAUGACAAAUAUCCUAAGGAAAAAAAAAUGUAGGUUACAUGCUAGCUAGAUUAUUACAUAAAACAUUCGCAAAUUUUUAUGUUUUCUUUUCUUUUUUUUUUUGAAACAUCAAUCUUUUAUGUUUAAAACAUACUUUUUGUGGGUUGAUAAUAUAAUUUCUUACAAAUUUGAGUAUUGGUAUGGUAUAAAUUACACACAAAAUAUAUAUAGAAAAUAAAAAGAAAAAUCACAAUCAACGUGAGAUGGCCAUCGUAUUAAACUAUAUUAUAUUUAUAGCUUUACAAACAAUUAUUGAAAUUCCUUAUCUACACAACGUAGUUGAUACCUAUCAUUACUUUUUUAUAUGUUCAGGAUGUUUCCAAAUAAGAUUGGUCUUCACUAUUUUUAACAAUAAAAUGUCUAUAUAAAUGUCUAUAUUUUAAUGUAUACACACAUUCAUGGCCCCUGCGUCGUUUCAAAAGAGUUUGGAUAUAAUUUAUAAAGCAAGUCAUGGGCUUGACAUAGAUAAGCCUAUAAUCCACCAGGCUAAUAACUUAGUCUAUUUUUUUUUUAAAUCACAAGUGCUGAAAAAGUAUAAUUUUCAGAAUCUACAUAUAACUUAUAACUUUAAAUGAUAUAUAUUUAAGAAGUUUUUUCAUUUUUUGUUUGGUAAAUAUACUAGCCUUCUACCAAAAAAAAAAGAAAAAUACACAAGCCUUAUAUUUAUUUACCACCAAUAUUUUAAUAAAACCGACGAAUAAAUUAGUGACCGAUUUAAAUAUAAAUAUAUAAUUAGGUAAAACUCCAAAAAUAGUAUUUUUAAAAUACCCAAAAUAGCAUGAUAAACUUUUCAAAAUAGCAUUCAUUUGAGCAAAAUUUUUUUUUUUCACAAAUUACUAAAUUUUACCUUGAUUUAUAUCCCUUAAAAUACCAAAUUCGAAAUCAUAAUCAGUAAAUUCUAAAAUCAAAUAUAAAAUCAUUACAUUUUUUUAUUUUUUUUCAAAAUAUUAUUUUAUUUUUAUAUAGCGUGCUAUUUUUGUAAAUUAUGAUUUAGUAAUAUUUUAGAGUAUUUCUCUCAAUAAUUAAAUUUUAAAUUGUGAUUAAUAAGUAAUAAGAGUCUUCAUUCAGUGGCUUAAUUUAUAGUUUGAUAUAAAAUGUAGACUCCAAACGUGAAAAAUACACAGUUACACAACUAUUUUAUUUAUAUUUAUUUUUAUUGUUUCUUUUUACAAAGAGAAUACAAGCUCAAAAUAUCAUUGAGAUUACUAUAUCCAUCUACACAAUCUAUAUUUAAACACCUACGUAUGUGUAUUUUUACAUUUCAACAUUUAAAUUGAGAAAACAGUAUACUCUUUCAAUAAUCCUAUGUUUGUGUAUGAUCCUUUGCCUCACAUCUCCCCCUCUCUAAAUCCCCUAAUUAACCCAAAAUAUAUACACAAAUCUCAAAUUACACAAUGCAAAUGGCCCCACCAAUCAUAAAAUUCGUACACUGCAAUUCGUCACUGUCACCGGAAAUUUUUUUCACACCGGCGGCGAACACACAGAUCGAUUUAAGAGGCGUACCAGUUUAAACCAGGUAACUGAUACGACGUCGUUAACUCAUCUCCUAACACACCACCUUGUUGUUGCAUCAACGGUGGUGUCUCUUCCAUCAUUGAAGAAGACAUGUUUGAACAGUCUCCUCCUCCUGCUCCGCCGUGAAAGCGUUUGCUCGGAGAUACAUCAUGCUCUUCCUCCGCUGCAGGCCAAAAUGGCACCGGAAGAGCUCGUUUCAGGUUCGCCAUCAUCAUCGGUCCAGAGGAAGAAGCAGGAUUCAAACAGUUACCGACGGCGUUAGGAUCACUAUUAACGGGGCCAGCAACGUUGCUGCAGACGGCUAUGUUGUUGUUGAUCAUGCCACUUCCGUUGUACAAACCGUGAUCGCCGUCGGAGAAAAUUCCGUAACCGCCGGGGAAGAAGUUCAUAGACCUAGAGACAUUAUGGUGAAGUCCGGUGGUAGCAGCCGCCAUUGAUAACGACGGAGGGAUCUUUCUGAAGAUGUAAUCGAUCAUGUCAUGAUCCUUAUCGUUAUCCACAUGUCGACCUGCGUUGUUCUUCUUGUAGAUGCGACAUAGCACCCAAUCAUCAAGCUAACAUAAGAAUAUUCCAAAAAAUAUUAAAUUAAUAAUGAAAUCAUCAAAGACAAUAUCAAGAAUAGUUACUAGUAUGUUAUUAAUAUUAUUACAUACCCGGAGGGAGUUUUUCGUGUUGCCGAAGUCACAUCCUGGUGGUCUGUUGUUCGGUUUGUUGUCUAUGAGACGAUACUCAUGCAUGAUCCAAUCACUUUUAAUACCUUUUGGAGGUUUGCCCCUGUAGAAGACCAGUGCCUUCUUCACGCCGACCUUUUGGUUACCGUCAGAGGCUAGCACCGGUUUGUCAGUACCCGUCGCUUUCCAGUACCCUGACGUUGCCGCUCUGUUCGGCCUAGCUCCGUUCGGAUACUUCCGAUCUCUAGGACUGAAGAAGUACCAUUCCUNNNNNNNNNNNNNUCCGAUCUCUAGGACUGAAGAAGUACCAUUCCUGCUCACCAAACGAUGCCUUGGCUAUCAGAACAAAACAAAAAAGUUAGAUCUCACGUCAAAGAUAAAUUAUAUCCGGAGGAAGGAAGAAAAAAUUCAUAAAAAGUUUUAGAAUAAAAGAAGAUGUAAAAACUAGGAUGAUGAGUGAUGCUUUAAAUGAAACUAUUAUUAUCUGCUAUGGUUUCGGGUCUAGCGAGGUUAUGCAUGGGCCUUGACCCAGAUGCUCCUGGUAUUCAAGAAAAGAAAGAAAUGAUGAUGAUGAUUAUACGUACCUGGAAGUUCCCAUGGAUCAAAUUUGUAGAGAUUGACUUCGGCAAUGAUGGCGACAGGUAAAGGAGCGGAGGCGGCUUUGGGUUUAAGGUAGUGAACGACUAGUUCUUCGUCGGUUGGGUGAAACCGGAAUCCUGGAGGAAGGUUAGGCUGCGGCGGCGGUGGAGGACCACCGGGAGAAUCGGUGCUCUCCAUGGCGAGUUCCUUCUACGUUUAGAAUCUAGCACUGUGGUCGGAUGAUUUGGUUAUGAUGGUAGGAGAAG